AAUAAUUUUAAUAACUGAAUAAACUUUGAGUAAAUGACUGAUAAUUUUUCUUUUAUAAGCUAUAAGAAGUCAAAUAAAAAAUAGGAUGAUAAUUUCUGAUGGGUGUCGAAGCCAACAAAAAUAAAUUCCUACUCUAAAUAAAUUGUGUAUAGUGAUUGAGCAGGGUCGUGUCCACAGAGAUCGGUAAUUAUUUAAAUCCUUUUGAAACGUAAAACGUAAAAUGAGGGAAUUGUUGACAAUAAUAAAAAUCAAACUAAAAUAACGAGAAUGUAAAUUAAAGUUGUGAUUCAAAUUGGAGAAAGCUCUGGUUGAAGGAAUUAACUCAGCUUGAUUCGACUACUGAUCAUUGAUUCAAAUAUAGAUUAUUAUUACUUAUGAAUAGACCGGUUAUAGCUACUGAGACCCUCUAAUAGCCAAUCUCUCCUUAACUAGUCGAUAACCAAAGUACGACCGUUGGUUAUUUCCCUAAUCAAUAGACAACCCUAGAUACGAUCAUAUGAUUUAAUCAAUUGACAGCCUGAAAAACCAGAGAGACCCAAAUCCUAAUCAACACAUAUGAUGAUUCAUUUAAAUUAGAUUGUUUAUUCUCACAACACAACUCUCUGCUAUGUUAUUUGUCACAAACAUUAAAUUCUUCAUACGAUGAAUCCUUUAAUUGACAAUAGAUUAAGUUGAUAAUUAAAUAGUGGCCAAUUACCUAAUUAACAAACAUAAUCAUGAAAAUAAUUCAGAGAAUAAACAAAUACCCAAAAGCAAUAAAACAAUUAAAGCACAAGAAAGAUCUCACAGUACUGAUGAAUCAAAGCUUCAUUAUCCUUCAACCAGAAAAAUGGGUUUAGUUCCUCAUAGAGAGAAGAGAAAAAUUAGAUCUAGGGUUUCUUUUUCUCCAAUCCAAAAAUCCCCUUUUUUCACAAUAGAUUCCUCCCUUAAAUACUCUCUCUCUCUUCUCUUUUAGAGUUCUAUUUAAAAUAAAAUACUAAUAUCUGAAAUAUUAAAUUCGUAAUUACAAAAAUAGCCAAAAAUACAAAACACGUUAAACUCAAAACUGCAGGUUCGCAGUUGACAGCACGCGCCCACGCCUUAUCAACAAAGUUCUUCUGCCGCUCAUAAUUUCUCCAAGAGAACAAUCAUCCUUAAACAUCAUCUUAUAGCUCAAUUUUAUCACCAAUUAAUAGAAUUGCACCUACAAAAGUAAAACACAAGUAAAUCACUAUUAUUAAGUGCAAAACAUCGAUAUUAAGGGAAGUAAACAAUGCAAAACUAGUGCAUAAAUUGCACUCUAACAAUUUCUCUUUUAUAUUGCUCAGAUGAUUUAUUGUUUGGGGACUAAGAUUUUAAGUAUUCAACUUAAAAGAUUAAUAUAUUAUAAAUUGAUUAAUUAAUUAAUCAUUAAGCAACUAAAUUGGGUCCCUGGAUGUCAAUUCCUUUAAUAUUGAUGCAACAACCUUUUUUUGGCAAAUAAUUGUUAAUGCACUUACGGAACUUUUGCGUGUCUACACAGCGAGUUCCAGGACAUUUUCGCAUUGUGCAACAAUUGCUAAUAGCACCUUUUUACGAUUAAUUUAUAAUAUAAUUUCAGUAAAGAUAGAAAUACAAAUUUUAUAUAAAUUGAUAUGAUAUUACUUAAAAACAUUUCAUUGCUCACAUGAGUUACUGCUGAAGCCUAUGAUUUUAGAUACUCAACCCAAAAGAUUAGCCUAUUGAGAGGAGGGAGGUCUAUGAUUUUAGAUACUCAACCCAAAAGAUUAGCUUCUUGAGAGGAGGGACCACUUGUAUUUAUUAGGAAUGGGCAUCAGAUCAGAUUUGGGUUGAUUUGAUCCGAUCCGAUAUGAGCUAAUCUUAUUUGGAUUGGAUUCGAAUUUAGCUCUAAAUCUGAUGGGAUAAGAAUGUUGCAAUCUGAUCAGAUCCGGAUCAAUACGAUCGAUUGCACUUACAAUUAAAAAGAAUACAAAACUUAAAUAUAAAUAAGAAAUAAAAAUUAAAAGACAACCCUAAAUCCCUAAAUCCUUAAAUUUCCCAAAUCAAAACAGAAAGAAUCAAAAAAAGCAACUCAGCCGCAUGCCGACAUUAGCGACGAACCCAGCCAUUCUCUUGAGAAAUAGUUGGCCAGUGUCACGAUCGGUUCCAAUGGCUUGACCACGUCCCCUUCCUCUAGCUCUUCCUCGAGCUAUGUUGUAGUGGCAAAGAAUAACGAUGGAGAAAUAAUGAUAGAACAGCUAACAAAGAAUUUAGUUUGAUUCUCAAUGAUCCUUUUAUUGAAUAAAUUAUGCUCAAUUUAUACACUACUAACUGCAACUUGACAACAAAAGCGCAACUCACAACCAGAAAAUAGCAACAGCAACUAAGAAAUAGCAAGUAAAUCAGAUUCUUGCCUAUUAUUCGGACUAGUGACCCACUACUUUGACUGACUCAACAAAACAAAUAAACUAAAAUGCUGACUCAUGACAGCCAGUUGCAAAGCCGAUGAUGCCCGAGCUGCAUGCCGAUGACGUCCCAGCCGACAGCUGCUGGGCCAGUGACCCGUACAUUGCAAAAGUCCUAAACCUAGUCGUUGCAUUUAUUUGUUUGUUGCAAAGGUUUCAAAUGGAGUCGGAUCCAUUAAAGCUUUUGAGGUGCAGAGGUUAUAAAAAUAGAAUAGAUACUUUGAAAAACUUGCAGAGGUUUGCGUCGUUUGAAUUGCUUGUGAACUUAUUUUUGCAUGCAUGUUAUUCUCUAUGCUUUUUGGUGAUUGUAAAAUUAAUUGUUUGAUUUAGCUUUCCAACUUUUGGGAUGCAAUUGUUACUGGUGUUCUCAACAAAAUAAUUGAUGUGAAAAUGGACGAACUUUCAUUUUUUGUCUUUGUUCUUCCAUUUGCUAGCUUGCUGCAUUUUUUUCUUAAUUUCUAUGAUUUUUCAAUUUUGUAUUUCAACUUGCAAGUGAUUGAGAUUCAUCUGAUUUAUUCGAACACAUCUGAUUCCAAUUUCAGUAUGAUAUUAUCGAUCUGAUCCGAAUCCAAAUUAAUCCGCACUAUUCAUCCAAUUUGAAUGUGAUCCGCACAUAAUCGGAUUGGAUGCAAGUUCAUAUUGCAUUCAUAUGACUUUUUAUCAAUUCGAACAAUCCAAAAUCUGAUCGUAUUAAUCCGAAUAUUAUCUGCAUCCAAUUUUGCCCAUCUCUACUACUUAUAAGCCCAAGUGACUCUCUUUUACUAAUUAACUAGAAAAUAGACCCGCGUUUCACGCGGCUUUGAAAAAAGAAUUUACUAUUAUCUUUUUUUUCUUACUUUACACUUGAUGAAAUAGAUAAAAAAAUAAGAAUUGAUUUUUUUUUAAAGAUGAGGCAGCCUUAUAAAAAAAAAAGUUAUUAGGUAGUAAUAUAAAUAAAGAAGCAACACAAGAUAAAGAAUAAAAUGAGAGAAUAUAUUAUAGAGAGAUUUUAUUCAUUCCAAUUGUGUGUGUACAAAAUAAAAAGAUGAGCUCUCCUUUUAUAGUUACAUAAUCACUCCAUGAAGUUAAUGAAAAAUUAUGGAUCAUAAUUUCUUGUGAGAUAGUGGGAGUUAUAGGGAAGCUAAAGGUUGCUAAUGGGAGAUAGUGGGGAGACUAAGAGAUAUAUGUUAUGAACAUUUAUAUUUAUUUUAAUAAAUUCAUAACACUCCCCCUUGGAUAUUCAUUACAAAAAAUAUGCAUCAUUAAAAUUUUUACAUAAUUGUUAUUGUAUAAUAACAAUCAAAUUAAUUAUGAGAAGAUGAAAAACCAAAUCUAAAAGAAAAUUUCUCUAUUUAUUAGAUAAUAGAGAAUAUACAAAGAAGAGAAAUGGUGAUGCCACAUCACCUCCUCAAGUCCCAACUUUAUAUAGAUAUAUAGAUAUGGGACAUUAUUUAAGAAUUCUUUCUCAAAUGAGGAAAAUUAUCAUACCAUUUUUAUCCAUUAAUUUAGAAUAAAUGCAUUUAUCAUCAUUAUUAUGUUUAAAUCCAUGCAACAUGAUCAUAGAAUCAAAAUUUUCAUGUUGUUGCGUUAGUGCUUAUUUAAGAUCAUAUAAUGACUUUAUUAAUUUACUAAAUUUAUUUUGUAAAUUAGUAAAUUUAUUUUUUCCUUUCUUUGUUGUAAAUCAUUUUGCAUCCAACCACCCUCUAAAGGCUUGGGCCAAUGUUUCAAACAACAAUGCAUCAAGUUCCAAUCUAAGUUAAGAUCCUGCUGAUGCAUCUAGUUGAUUAGAUAAUAAUGAGUCUAUCUCAUUACUUGUUGCCUCUUUCCACAAGGCUGCAUCUGUUGAAGCCAUAGCCUCACUGAGAGUUUAAAGAUCUUCUUCCAUAUUAAAUAGGGAAAUUAUCAUUCUACCAUCUUUCUUUUGACUUAUGUUCAUUUAACCACCACUAAAUUUCAACAUGUUUUCUGCAAUACCUUUCUUUUUAAAUUUGAAUCAAUUAGCCACUUUUACACUAACACUGUUAAAUAAUUUAAACAAAAUGAUAAUUUUACUUCUAAAUAAAUUAAAAUGCCAUUUUAUCUUAUAAAAGCUUUGAAAAAUAAAAAAAUUUUACUUACAAAAUAAUCCAAAAUAGAGGUGCUCAGCUUAUUUUUAUUAAAAAUUUAUAAUUUUGUAAAAUUUUAUUAAAAUAACUAAAUUUAUUUAUUAAAAAUAAAUCCCAAAAUUUUAAUGUUUUAGGGGAUGUUUAUUAAAUCCCAAAAUUUUGCAAUUAUUUUAUAAUUAUAAUUUUUAUUAAAAUAAAAAUUCUAAUUUGGGGAUUUAUUUCUUUAUUAAAUUUAGGGGUAUUUCUAUAAUUAUAAUUAUAAUUUUUUAUUUUUUAUAAAAUAAAAUGAUCUUUUAAUUUAUUUAGGGGUAAAUUUAUCAUUUUGUUUAAAUUAUUUAAUGGUGUUAGUGUAAAAGUGACUAAUUGAUACAAAAUUAAAAAGAAAAGUAGUGCAGAGAACAUGUUAAAAUUUUGUAGUAAUUGAAUGAGCAUAAGGCAAAAGAGUAGUGGUGAAAUGAUAAUUUUCCAAUUAAAUAAAACGGGUGUUCGAUUAAGAACUCUAUCUCUAUCUCCUCGUCCUAUCAAAUAACGUCAACCAUCCAAAAGAAAAAAAUAAAUUGGAAAAGUCCACGGGUAGCAAUAAUUUCUGGUCCGUUCCUGGACCUCCAUUAUCUGGCACUAUGAAUAAUGAAAAUGACAUUGCAAUCGUUAGGUAUCUUGGAAAAAUGACGAAAGUUUUUGGAGGGAGGUGGGGGAAUUGUCAAAAGUUCACACAAUGCGAAACAAGUGUUACAUCCAAUUAAAUUUUAUUUCAUUACCUCUUUUGCCUCAUAAAUAAUAGGAUCACCACGAGAUAAUGAUAAUAUCAAAUAAUGACAACCAUCCAAAUGUAUGAUGGGUCUUCCAAAUUUUGAAAAUGUCGUCAACAUCAAAUCUUCAAUGCCGAAGAAGGUAUAUGCCCAAAAAAUGACACGCAAGACCCACUCCACAGACUAAAUUGUCCUUGAUCAUAUGUAACAAACUUUGGCCUUAUGUGCCUGUGGUGACAUUAGACUGUUCAUUUUCAUUGUUUCUUACCUUCCAUUUACGCCCACUGUAGUAUUAUUUUAUUCACCAUUUUAGCCAUUUAAAUGAAAUUUUAUUUUUGUCAAAAAAUGAACUUUUACUUUUGUCAAAAAUAAAAUGAUACCCUAAAAAUUUAGAAAAAUAGUCACGUAGACCUCAAAUUUUUAAUAUAGGAUACCAAUACCCCUUUUGAUCAUAAUACUACUCUUAGUAGAUGGUAAAAAAAAAAAAAAGACUUCAAAAUUUUUUAUAAAAUUUAAAUAAUUAAUUUCAAUAUUAAAUUUUAAAAUGUGAAUUAAUAUAUUUGUAUCUAUAAAAUACUUGUAAUUAUUACAAAAAAAAUUUAAAUGAAUCCUUAGGUUAAAUAGAUUUUACAAUUAAUAUAAUAUUUCUCAUGUAUUAAUAAUAUUAAAAUUAUUUUAUGUGAUAUUGAAAAUAAUUUAAAUUUUUAUGUAUUUAUUUGAAUAUUAUGUCUCUAUUUAUUAUUAUUUGGUUUAAUAGAAUACGAGAUUUUAAAAUAUUAAAAUAUUUUUAGAUAUUGAAAUUAUUUUAAUAUGUAUACAUUAUUAUAUUCAUUUUAAUAUCCUACUUAUAUUUAUUAUAAAAUAUGAGAAUUAAUUUUUUUAGUUAAUAAAUUUAAAAAAUACUAUAAUAAAAAAAAAGGAUCUUAUUGUCCGGUAUUCACGACAUGAGGUACUACAAAAUUAUUUCCCCGGACGGGUGUGCUUUUCUUAUUUUUAGAAAGAAAAAUAAGUCAAUGGGUUUCAACAAUUUCUAGUCCUAUCUGCCACUAUGACUAAUGGAAACGACAUUGCAAUUGACAUUGCUUUUCGCAAUAUGACUAUUUUUUGGAGAAUCGUCAAAAGUUCACUCCACUAGAGAGUUUUAGGUGGGAGAAUUGUCAAGAGUUCACACCACAUGAAACUAAUGAUAGACUUAAUUUCGCUGUCAGUUCUUUAUUUAUUUAUUUUAUUUAUUUAAUACAUUAUUGUCUUGUUGGUAUUGUGUUGUAAAGAUAUAAAAGUAAAGUAAAAUAUUAAGGGUGCUGUUAAGUUACAACUGAUGUAACUUACAGUUUUUUAAAAAAUAAUGUAAAAAAUUUAAUAGGUGGUGGGACUCAAUUUUUUUUUUUUUGAAGAGAUCAUAAGUUACAGCACUUGUAACUUAACAAAAUCCAAAUAUUAGACAAUAAUACAUAUUAACAAUGCAUAUAAUUUGGGUCUGAUUUUUAAAAAAUUAUUUGAGUACCACCUAUCCUUAAGAUAUUAAUGUGAAUGUAUUUUAAUAGUAAAUAAUAAAUUUUUUUUAACUAUUAUUUGUAUUUCAUACAUUACAUAUUAUAUUUGUUUGAAUUUUAAGUUGUUGCUAAUAAAUAUUUAUGUUGUGAAAGUCGAAUUCAAUAGCUACAAAAGAAGAGAUAAUGGUAUUUUAUAUAGUUUUUAAGAAUACAAGGAUAAGCUGGAUAAUUGACUUAAGUUCUAAUGAUUAAAACAACAACUAUCCCUUAAAUUAUAAUGUCAAUUUCUUUAAUUAGAAUUUUUUUCAACAAUUGCUACAGUUUUUUAAAUAAUAAUGGGAGUUAUAAAUUAUUUAUAUAAAAUUUGUGUAGAAACUAAUGUAACCUAAAAGUGGUUGCUGAAUAACAAUAUUUGAAACUUUAGGUAAUUUUCAUAUCAGCCCUUUUUAUAUUCAGCAACUUUAGAACUUAAACAAACUUGCCCUCGAUCUUAAUUUAUUUACCCCAUUUAAACCCAUGAUGCAUGAUGACAUAAACAGAUUCUUGUGUGAUGAAAACAUCAAGAAAAGACAUCUCAUGUUUUAAUAUAACAGAAAAAAAGCGGUCCAUAAGUCUAUCCAUUAUUUUAUUUAUUCAGUACAAAUGGCCAACUUUAAAAAAUGAUAAAAGUCACACAACGCUUAAGUGAAAAUUAAAAAUGACAUUUUUUAAUACUCUCUGAGUCUCUCUCUCUCCCCCUUUUUUUUCUAAAUAAACCUUAGUUUAAAAUUAGAAGAAUUUUAGAUAUAAAAAUUUGUCAAUCACUUAACAGAAAAGUAGGGGAAUGAAAACAAAGGAGCCCCUGUUAUUAUUGGAAUAUUAAUUAUAGAUGUUAUAAUAUCUAUAACUUGUCGUGGUUCAUUGUAGCAUUCUAAGCCAUAUUCUAAAACUAGGAAAUAGAACCGCACUUCGUCCGGCUUUAAAAAAAAUUAGUAUUAUUUUUUUAUUCCUUUGUAAUUAAUGAAAUUGAUAAAAAAUAUGAAUUAUUUUUUUAAAAGAUGACGCAGUCUUAUAAAACUAAUGUUAUUUAUGAAAGUUAAUUAUUUUUUGUUAACAUUAAAAAUAUAUAUUAAUGUGUAUAGUUAAGUGUACACAACCUUUUCAUCAAUAAAAAUUAUGUUCACACUAAUCAACUCUCCAUUUUUCUUGGUAUAAAUGGCAUUGUUGAGGGAAGAUGAUGAAACCUUCCUUCUUAUAUUAAUUAAUUGAUGUAUUUUAAGCCACUAAAAUUUAAUUGUUGGCAUAAUAAAAUAAAUGAAUGUUUCAAAACUCAUAAUUAAUUAUUAUUAAUGGUUACAUAUUGUUGAAUUUAAAUAGAAAUAGGAAAAGACAUGUAAUCAUUUAUAAUUUAAUAAUUAUUUUAUAUUUUAAUAUUUUGUAAUGUAAUUAUUUUUUAAUUUCAACCAAUUUAUUAAAUAAUAGACAAUAUGAAAUGAUGAGAAAUGGUGAUGCCACAUCACCUCUUGUAGUCCCAACUUUAUAUAUAUGUAUAGAUAGAUAGAUAAAUUAAUUCAUGUAUUUUAUGCCACUAAGGUUUAAUUGCUAGCAUAAUAAAAUAAAUAAAUGUUUCAAAAGACUUAUAAUUAAUUAUUAUUAAUGAUUACAUAUUGUUGAAUUUAAAUAGAAAGAGAAAAAAAAGUACAAAGAAUAUUCACCAAUAUUUUAGAUAUUUUAUAUAAUAGAAAAUAUAAAAAGAUGAGGAAUGAUAUAUAUUAAUAAAGUUACUAUUUAUUAAAUGAGUUAAAUACAAUCAAAUUAAUUAUGAGAAGAUGAAAAGACAAAUUUAAAAAAAAAAAUAUCUAUUUAUUAGAUAAUAGAGAAUAUACAAAGAAGCAAAAUGGUAAUGCCACAUCACCUCCUCAAGUCUUAGCUUUAUAUAUAUAUAUAGAUUAGUAGAUUUGUUAAGAUUUUUAUUAUUGGCAUCAUUGUGUCAAUAUUAUUAUAAUUUAUUCAUUCUAUUGUAAUGAAAAUUUGUCUAUUCUUAGCUACUUAUUAAAUUAUCCUUAAUUUAUUACGAAUAUUUUUGGAGACAAAAGAAACACGUGUAUGUAGGAUUAAUGAUUGGAGAGUUGUAAGUAAAGGUGAUUGCUUCAUUGAGAAGCAUAUUAAAGAAUUAUGGAAAGUUGCACUGUUCCAGAAGCAUAUAUUUAUACUUCCCUAUUUGGACUUGUGAAGUGAUGAUCCGGCCGUAACUAUUGUGAAGCUUUCCUCAAGUAUUCUCAUGCAUACUUGAGGAAAGAUACAAAUUGCAUACAUGUCUAGGAGCCUUAUCAAAGGCGUUAUAUAACUUGUCCAAUUAAUUAAUUCUCUUAAGGGUCAUACCGUGCUCACUCAUUUCAAAAGCAAUUAAGGAUAAGAACUUUCAUCAUUAAUUGAUAUGGCCAGUGUAGAAAAAAUGCCAAGAUCAAAGCACAAGGAUAAGUUUAGAAUUACACUUUUUAAAUUUUGGUUAAUAAAUAAACGUCUAUAUGAAAAUGGAAAAUCUUUUUGGAAUAACUUUUCUUUUCUUUUCUUUUUUUAAUGAAUGUGGAUAUAAAAUUUUAAAAUCGCCAAACCGAAAAGAAAAACAGGGGAAUGAAAAGAGGGCUCUGUUUCUCCUCUGUUUCGAUUUUUUUAUUACUAAACAGGGGAAUGAAGAGAUCAGCUCUUGUCGCAAGUGCAAAUGCAGUUGGUUAUUCUACUUUUGCUAGUGAAGUUUUGGGCCUUGUCGUAAUUGCUGUAAUUGCGACAUCGGUGGUUGACAUGGCUUUCCUUGUACAGGUAUGUAUGAUUGUUUUUUUUUUUUUUGCACUUCUAAAUGGACACUGUUGAAAAGCUUAAAAUUGAACUGAUAAUUUUGUUUGGAAGCUUAGAAAAUUCAUGAGAAAGUGAAAUAGAAUAUUCUGGAUUUCUUACAUAAAAAAAAACAGAAUUAAAGCAAGGUACACAACUAUAACAGAAUCAAAAGCGUGCUUUACUAAUUGGCUGAGCUGGCAUAUACUUCUUUAACUAACAAUGCUGCUGACUGGACUUUAGCUCACACAUGCUUAUUGUGGAGCUACUCUUACUUCACACGUGCUCAGUGUGCUUCCUUAACAGACACAAGGGAAAAGACAUGAUUUUGAGAUUAAUUUAUACCAUAAUAAUAAUAAAGCUAGAGUAAUGAUAUGAAUCAUUAAUUGCUACAAAAUAAUUUGCUAGAUAGCGCCAACACUUAAUUGAUACUCACCAUUUCAUUGAACAAUUGUUUUAUGGUGUCAUUGAGGUUGCCUUCCCAACAUCCUUCAUCAUCAUCAUCUUCUUCAUCCUCAUCAUCUUUUUCUUCGGUGAGUUUCACUUUGUUUAGCUUUGGUGUGUCUACGACUCCUUGUGAGAAAAUCUUCAUCUUUGGGCACUGUCUCGCAAUUACUUGUUCCAAAGGAUGGGAAUUGAAGAGUGUAAUUACCCCGAACAAAGCUUGUUAAGCCUGUCAACCAAUGAAGUGUCAAGUAGUUUCAUUUUCUCGGAAGAACAAUGCAAGCCCUUUCACUUCUCUCAACCUGCAAUUGUUAUGAUCUUCCUUCUAUCAUUUUGCAAUCAGCNNNNNNNNNNNNNNNNNNNNNNNNNNNNNNNNNNNNNNNNNNNNNNNNNNNNNNNNNNNNNNNNNNNNNNNNNNNNNNNNNNNNNNNNNNNNNNNNNNNNUGAGAGUGUCACACAUUUAUCAACCUGUGACACUUCGAUACUUCUAGUCCCCACAGAUUUUCCAAAUGCCACGAAGGUGGUACUAAUUUUUGCAACUUACUACGUUCCGAUAUUUCUAGACUUCCCAUGUUUGCAAACGCUUUGUUGGAUUCGUCAUUUUCCUUCCAGAGAUGCUGCACUUUGUGUAAUCUAGAUAGCUUUAACUCCAUCAAUUGAGGGAAUGCAACCUGAAAAUCAACAAAAUUAAGUUGUAAAUGAAAAUAUGUAUCCAAUCUCUGGAGUCUUCCCCUGCAUAUUUUAUGGACAAGAUUAAUCACGACAUUUUAUAUUUUUUUUCCAAAUUAGUAUGCUUUGCAGUAGGUUCCUAAAUAUAAAUAUCAAAUCGAUUACCCUUUGAAACACAUAAAUGAAAUCUGAGGCUAAAUCCAAUAUGAAUUAGCUAGGAAAACAGAGAUGUAACACACAUAAUUAAUAUAGUUCAUCACCUCGUGUUACCAGGCAUCCAAUUAAUUUCAGACAUUUUUAUAAUUCAUACUAUAAAGUUAGUUAAUAACGGAGGUUAUAUUGUUAAAUCAGAUAUAAAUUAAGACGACGUGCAAAAAGAUGAGUCAUUAAAUUUGAUUUAAUUCUAAUGAAAUUACAUCUAUGCGAACGAAAGUGAAGGGAAAAAUAAUAAUAAUAAUAAUCACAUUUUCAUCGAAGAGGGGUUGUACUUGAUGAGCCAGCAAGAAGUUCUCUUCUGAUGUUAAUUUUUGAGGUUCCUUGUUAUCUGUUGUCACGUGCACUACAGAGUUGGAUAUGAAUGUUUCCAUAUCAGGGCAAUUCUCAAUAGUCAGACGUUUCAACUCAGGCAUUUCAAUUAUAUUCUCAGUGAAGUUGGGAAUCUUUUGAGUUUUGGAAGAUCAAUGAGCCUUAGCUCGAAAAAGCUUAGGAAACAGGGGGCCUAUAUGUUCUUUGUCAACACUUAGCUCUUCCAAAUGAAGCACCUCUGCUAGCGAAUCACAAUUCCUCACUUCCAGGUCCAUCAAAUUGUUCAAGCACCGUAGCAGAUUGGCAGGAAUAGCACUCGACAUAUUCGUGCAGUCAUCCACCACCAGGUGUCCUAAAUUGUUGAAGAAGCUGACAGGCAGUGCUUGGCCAUGCCAUAUUUCUUGCAAACGUGGAAAAUGCGAGAGUUGCAAAUACUUUAUGUCACGAAAUCCAAUCUGCACAAACCAAAACAAUUGCACUGGAUAUAUACAAUUUUUUACUUUUUGAAAGGCACAGACAUAUAUACAUUAAACUUACAUGUUUUGUGCUUAAAUGUGCAAGUGCAAGGGAGAUGCAUGAGCAAUUUUGAUGAAUCGAUUCACACAAAUCAUUUCUUUGUAACACUUUUGUAUAGUGGAAUUAAGAUUGCCUUCACGAUCGUGCAAUUCACCCUCUUCCUUUUUAGUCACUUGCACUUUGUGCAGCUUUGGUGUGGAUAAGAUUCCCAGGGAAAAAGUCUUCAUGUUCGGACAAUGUGUCACAGAUACUUGUUCCAAUGAUGGGAAUUCAAGAGUGUAAUUCUCCAAGCAAAAGCUGGCAAGCCUUGGUAAAUCAUCAAGUAUCAAAAGUUUUAAUUUGCUGAAAGCAAUACGAUUCUCCUUCGCUUCUUCUCCAACAUGUCCUAUGAUUUCUUCUAUUUUUUUGCAGAUUGAUACAUUAAGAUUCACUAAAAUACCCGGAAUUCCAACCUGAAAAUAAGCAAAAGAGUGUGUGUGUAUUAAAAAAGUAAAAAUUAAGAGUAUCAUUCAACUAGGUUCAAAGUAUGUUUAAAUCAUACAAUUAUACGUUUUAUAAACAUAACAAACCAUGAAAUGGCUACUAGAUAAUUUUUGUUAAACAAAAAAGGCAACAAGAUAAGUAAAUAAAUAAAAGCCAGAUAAACAAAGAUAAUAAAAACGCAUUUACACUAUUUAGUAUUAGGAGCGUAGAAAGAAUUUAAGGCAAUUUCUAAAUAUUUUAGACUUAUUUUGCAUUUCGAUGCAAAUUUUUAAAUAAAUUUGAAAUUGCAACUAUUCCUUUAAAAAAAAACUCAACCAAAAUGCUGCUUUUUCCAUUUUCCUUGGUCCCUUUUUUUUAUGUAUAUUAAAAAAUGCAAAAAAAAAAUGGAAAAGACUUCCCAAUACUGUCAACGUAGGACUGUUGUAAAGCGGGUCUUUAUUAAGUACUUCCAUGAAUUUAUGAUUAAUUAAUGUCAUAAUCAAUUCAUAACUAAACUAGAGAUAUUAAUUAAAUUUGAAGACUUUUCUUUUUCUUUUUUUCCAAACGAAAUGUCAAGAAUUAAGGAAAAGAGAAAUAUAUAGAUGAAUUUGUGAACCUAUAAGAUGAGUGACUAUCCUUUAAUUUUUGAAAAUCGUACUUAUUAAGAUAUGAGAAAAACAAUUAAAUUGAAUUAUAUUAUGCUGUUGAAUCGUGUUUAAAAAAAUUAUAUUGUUGAUUCUAAUAAUGGCGAACCUAAAAACUGGACUUAAAACGUAGAUUUCAGAGUGGUGGUUCGAAGUACAAUACUUGAAAUAAAUAAUUAGUGCCUGAAUAUCAUUCGUAAACACAAAAAUGGUUAAAAAAUUGUUGGAUGUAAUUUGAAAAAAAAGAUUCGAAAUGAAUACAGCAACCUUACCAAUGGAGGAAAAAUAUUCAUUAGGUUAUCACACCAAGAUAUCUUCAAAUUCUUCAAUUUGCUGAAAGACUCUGAAGCAAGCUGGUGGUGCCAUAUUCUUCUCAAAUUAUCCAUCCACCAAAUAUGUAAUUCCUCCAACUUCGGAAGUCGUACCUGGCAGUUAAAGGUUAAAUAACUAAUUAAUCGGCAUAAUCUAUUGAUAACCAAAUUAGAGGCUGAUACUAACUAAAUUUGAAGACUCAAGGAAAAGACAAAUUAAAUAUUGUGGCUAAAAUUAAUUUAAAAAAAAAAAAAACCUUUUCGUCAAAGAGAGGUGGAGAUUGCAUUUCAGAAUGAAGGGUGUCUGCUGGUGAGCUCGUAGAGAUGAAUCUUAACAUAUUAUUGCAACCACCAAUCUCGAGGUUUAGUAAAGAAGGGAAUUCAACAACUAAAUCUGAAUGAAUAUGUCCCGUAUUGGCAAAGCUCGUUAGUUUUGGAAGCACACAAAGCCGUAAGGAGUGUAGUUUAGGAAAAACCUCUAACUCAAUCAACUUUCCUUCAUCUCUUCCUCCUAACCACCCUGUGGUGUCGACUACCCCUUCCAUCGACUUACAAGAUCUUAUCACAAGAUGUUGGAGUUGCAAAAGACUAUUAACCAUAGAAUAUGAAAACAGAUACUUCAGACGAUCACAACUUUCCACGGUCAUUUUUGUUAAAUUUCCACAAUAAGACACUCCCUGAAACUGUUCGGGCCAUAAUUUUUCAAUGGUUGUUAACCAUAUAAGUUUCAACUCCUCCAAGCGUGGAAAAAUAACCUGAAGCAAAACGGUACGCUUUUGUUCCGUCAAUUACAACUGUCUAAUAUAAUAAUCUUUUGAUGAUUGAAGAUCAAUCGUGAUAAUAUAUUAAUUUAUUAAUUAUAAAACAGAAAAUUAUCACCUUGUGAACAGAAUCAUCCUCUGCAAUGAUUUCUGUCAAUCCCUGAGUAGCUGUUGGCUUCUCCAUGUCGGGCCCUAUAAAUGAACAAAAACAAUCUAUAAUUAACCUCUGUCCUUUUUUUUUUAAAAAAAAGAGAAAAAAGAAUGAGCCAAUGUCAAUAAUCCUACCAAUAAUUAAUUUCAACACUUACCAAUAAUCAUUUUCAAAUCAUCGCAGUUUUCCACUUCUACUUUUUGAAGCCGCAAUAGGUUUUUGGCCAUGAAGAAUGAGAAGAGAUGCUUCAAUUUGUCACAAAAAAAUACUUUUAUAAUCCUUAAGUUGCUGAAAGAUUGAUCUUCUCUGAGUUGGCUGUAGCAUAUCGUUUCCAAAUUAGUUAAACCAAUAAGAUACAAUGUCUCCAGCAAGGGAAAGACUUUGCAACGAGCUCGUCCAAUUGAACCGACAAUAUGUAAAAUCUCAGGACAGCCUGCUACUAGAAGAUGCUCCAAUUGUGGAAAACCUUCCCCAUCGUCUAAUUCAUGAACAACACUCGGAACACCAUUCAAUGUUACUAGACGGAGAUCUUCAGUUCUUUUUAGCAACAUUUUCAUCCCAUAAUUCUCCAAAAGAAUGCUAACGUUUUCUAGCUCCUGGAGUUUCAUUGAUCUUGAUGUUUCAGAUGUCAAUUUUUCUAGCUCCGUGAUAACUAUGGAUGCUGAUGCUCUAGAUGUGGCGAAGGACACAAGUCCAUUUCGUUGCACUUUUCCUAUACAUAUCUGAUACCUUUGCAAUUCCACAGAGACCAAAUCCUGCGGCAGAAUUUCGGGAUCCGGAACAUCUAUCUCCAAAGUAGUUAGCUUUGACAACCCCUUCAACUCGACAAGACUGGCAUUACUUCCUCCUUCAACCUUAUCCCACUGUGAAAAGCUGCAACCCAUGUACAGUUCUUCUAGUCGAGAUAAUUUGGAUAUGAUGUUAGGAAAUUGGUGGGUGCAGCAGGACCGCAGCUAAAAUAAAAUUGGAAAUAAAAUAAAGAACAAGCACACUAGAGGACACAAGAAAAUUACGUGGUUCGGCUUUUAGCCUACGUCCACGGGCGAAGACAGAAGGAAAUAUUUUACUAGUGAAAAGGAGUUACAAGUAUUGUAGUAUUUUAGCUCACUUCCCAAAAUCCCAAUACACCCAAACUCUCAAAACACUAAACACUCAAGAGUUUAUUAAACUCUUAAAACUCUCAACACUCAAAGAAAGCAAUGCUUCUCUCUCGAUGGAAUUGGAUGAAAAUGAAUGAGGAAGCUCUUCCUUUUAUAGCCAAAAAAUGGCUAUUAAAUUAAUAUAUAUAUGUAUAUAUUUCAAAUGUAGUUACCAACUUCUUCUUUUUCUCCAUUUGGAUGGCACCAUUUUCUUUGGCCGGCUGCACCAUUUUCUUCUUUCAAAUGUCAAACCCUUCUAGAUGCAGCCAUGCCAAACACUUCUAGAUGCAGCCAACUUUGACAUAUGACAUUCGGUGUUAUCACCUCAAGCCUCCUACAAUUGCUCAAAUCCAGCAACUGUAACCGCGUCAAUUGUCCAAAUUCAAGUGGCAACCGCUCAAUAUCGGAACCUCGAAAGCUAAGAAUCUCUAAUUUCUUUAGCUGUCCAACUAUUACUAUAUCUUUUAGUCGGCAAUAUUCUAAACACAAUGUUUGAAGGUUAAUGAGGCGACCAAGUGAUGAAGGUAAUGAAGAGAAGUGAAUUCCAGUAAAAUUCAAAACUCUGAGUCCUUCCGUCCCAUCAAAAAAGUGGUCUGAAAUUGGCAUAGAGCCACCACCCUUUUCAAGCAACAAAAGUAACUCGAGACGGGGACAUUGCAACCUUUCAGGAAGCACUUGAAUACCUCUAUAAGGUAAAGAAAUAGCAAUUGGACCUUCCUGUACUGUCUCUUCCAUCUUUUUGUCCAAGUCGGCAACAUUUGGAAUAUUAAACAUGAGCUCCUCUUUUGCAAUUGAUACGGCAACUACACGAAUGACGUCAUGCAUUUUGACUUCAUCUUCAGCAUCACCGUCCAACAAUAAGCAUGAAGAUUUGAGUUUGCUGAUCAACGUAUGCACUGUACUCCUUGCUUCUUCCGGUGUGUAAACGUUUCUAAAAUAGCCCAUACCCAUACCAUAUCUCAAUAAAGAAGAAACUGGUAUAGCAUGACCUUCACUAAAUAGACCACAAAGAAGGAACAGAGAUUUUGCUUCCUUAUUUCCCAGUAAGUCGUAACUCAAUUUCAAGGAGAGGUACACAUUUUUUUCCAUUCCAUCAAUUUCUUUUGCAUAGGAACUUCUUAGCUGACGCAGCACAUAUUUCCAAGUCUCAAGGCUCAUAUUUUUCAAAGCUUUUGCAAGUGUAAUCAGUGCAACCGGCAGUUCUCCGCAUCUUCCGACGAUCUCAUGUGCUAUAGGUUGAAAAGCAGAUGUUUUCAUUGAAUCACCCACUAUCUUCUGAAAUAAAUACAAUGCUUCUUCUUUUGAUAAAGCAUCGAUCUGGAUCUCUUUCUGAGAAUUCAUAACAUUGUGCAAUAAAUCUUGACGUCUAGACGUCAGUAUUAUUGUGCAUCGUCGCUGAUCAUCCAUUCUUUCUUUCUUAACAUCCCCGGAAGGAAUUCCAACUUCAUCGAACUUCAGUUCUCCCCAAAUAUUAUCCAAUAUAAUGAGAUGCCGCUCCUCGUUCUUCAAAACUCGACAUAGUCGAUUUGCUCUGUCGAAUAUACUCUCAUUCAACUCAAACUUUAUGCCUAAAUCAGAAGCAAGUUUGUCUUGAAUUUUCUGAUGAUCUGGGUUCUCUGUUACCUCAGCCAUAGCGACCUUAUCGAACAACUUAUCUUCCGUCACUUGCUUUGCAACUUGCUUGACGAGCGUGGUUUUACCCACUCCGCCCAUCCCGUAGACCCCAAUUAUGUUGAGCUUAUCAUCCUUCAACGCCUCCAAAACAUCUUGAAAUACUUUCUUUCUUGAGUCAAAGGCCUCGUAAUCUUUCACUUGCAUAUAUUCUGUACUCUUUGGAGCAGGACGAUAGGAAACACUAGAGAAGUUGCCUUUUCCCACGAGAUCAGCAGCAUCUUUUGCGGCCUUUGCUGCUUUUUUACUGAGUUUGUAACGAGACAACAAAUUUGGGCACAAUCCUUUGAAGCAAUACUUCUUGGCUCCAUUUUCAUCAUCAAUAAUGGAGUUUGCAACCCCUUCACUGAUGAAUUCAUCAACGCUAUGUAGCCAAUCUGCGACACCCUCAUAAAGCUCAUCCCCUUGUAGCCUAGCAUGAUUAACUGGUUGCUGCACCAUUUCUCUUUUACAUCCCAGCUGCAUUACUUGAUCUUUUAGCUCAUCUACGUAGCUCUGGUACUUGAACACAUAAGAUAUCUGCCGUAUAAUCGGUUUGAACAGUGACUUUGCACCUUCUGAUACGAUGCUUGAAAAACCACCGAGACAGAAUUCUACAGCCAUUGCCUGUUGCUUAACGAUGUAUGUGUAGUUUUUGGCUGUUAAAAAAAACAAAAAUUGGAUUCAAAUAAAUUAAAUGAACUAGAGGGGAAGAAAAAGAAAGAAACGACAACAAACAACUUUUUAGAGAAAGGUUGAUAUUGUUACAGAACACAUGUUCAUUUUUAACAAAUUGAUCAAUAACUCUAUUCGCUAUUUAAUUGAUAUUGUAACCAAUUUUAAGAGAAUAUAAUAAUAAUCCUUCGAUGCAUAAAUUUAGAAUUAGAUUUUUUAACUUUUUAUUUAAAUAUAAAUCUCAAUGGAAAAUUAUAAAAAUUUAGAGAUAAAAUUUUUCAAUCACCAAACGGAAAAACAGGGGAAUGAAAACAGAGGAAUCUUGUUUUACCUUUUUUUUUUUUUAACCUUCACUCUUGUUCUUAUAUAAAUAAUCUUGUUCUGAUGAUAGUGCUCGUGACUGCAGGAAAAUUUCUAGUGGAAACAACUCAAUUUCAGAAGAAUUUAUUCAAUUGACUCUGUACUUGAACUCGUUGGAUUGGUUGAUUUAUGAUUGACUGAAUUUAUUCAAUUCGGCCUAAAAGAUCUUUAACCAAAGUUUAAUAGCUAUCAUCUACUCCUUAAAAAAAAAUAUGUAUCUUUUUUAGAUUUGACUGAAUUUGAACUUGCUGGAUUGGUUUUUUUUAGAUUAUUAAAAUGGGGCACUGCAAAGUAAGUAUUCUAAAAUCUGUAUGUUGCUUUAGAAAAAGGGCUUUUCCCACUGAUCUUUAUUCUUCAAGUAAACUUAGAUACAAAGUAAAUCUAAAAAAAUGACAAACAAACAAUGAAAUAAACGACAACAAACUGGCAAUUUUGACACAAAGCCAACAAUUAAAAUUUAGGACAUUUUUUUUUCUUGCUUUCUUUUUUUGGAGGAUUAGAGAUUUUGGUAUUACCAGAAAGGUUUCAAGGGUCUGAGUUUCAAGGGUCUGAGUAGAAACCUAUAAUCUUUUGAAAAACUUUGUUUUUUUUUAAAAAAAAAUUUGGGGAAAGGAUGCAAAUUAACCAAAGGAAAUAAUAAGAGCACAGGCUUUAACAAUGAACAAUAACUUAAAACUCAUGCAAAAUAAAUUCAAUAUUAAAGCAAACCAGAGAAAUUUUUUUCUUGAAAAGUAGAUGGAAAUUAUGAAAGAACAGAUGUCAAGAUCAAGGAUCAGGGAUUCUACUACCCAAAAAAAAAAAAAAAAAAUUAAAGGAUUUGGAAAAUGUGCACCUAGAGUUGGUGAGCUUCUCUCUAUUCACUUGAAUAUUUAAGAACAGCUGGGGAAUGUGUGAGAAAAGAGUUGACGAGAGAAAUAACAAUGACUUGCAGAAGAAAAACCAUUAAUCAAGCACACCUUUUUAUAUCCUGUAUUUGGUUAUUGUUGCCCUCUUGACGCAUGUAGAGAAUAAUUAUGUGCAUUUUUGUUUUUAAUCCGCAUGCACUUUAAUGAUUAGUGCUCCUUUCAUAAAGCAGAUACCGGAAACACACAAAUAUCAUUUGAGAGAGAAACUAAACAGCAAAUCAUCAAAGUAAGAUCAAUAAUAUAUGAUUUGGUUAAUGCAUAUUCAAGAACAAAAACAAAAAUAAAUAAAUAAAGAAGGUUUGAUUUUGUUUUGCCAACGCUGCUUUUUUGUUAUUUCUCACUCAUCUUCAAUCCUCAAGUAAAAUUAGGUAAAAAGCAAAUAUAAUAAAAAAACAAACAAAUUAACAAAAAAAGAAAAAAAAACAUUGAUCUUGAGACAACUGAUACUUAAACAGAGAAUUCUUUAUUCUUUUUUACUUCCCCUCCCCCCCCCCCCCCCCCGGGCUCGAGGAUUAGUUUUUGCUAUUAACAGAGAGGUUUUAAGAGUCUGAAUAAAACCAGCGCUUUUUUUAAAAACCUCUUUUUUUUCUUUUUUCUUUUUUGGGAAGAUAGAUUCAAAUUAACCAAAGCUAGUAAUAAGAACACAGACCUUACAAAUGAACAAUAACUUACAACUCAAGCAACAUAAAUGAUAAGAUUAAAACAAACCGGAGAAAUUUUUCUUGGAAAAUAGACGGAAAUUAAGUAAGAACUGCUGUUAAAAGAAAUUAUUAGAGGAUUUAGGAGAAUGUGUACCUCUUUAAUUAUUUGGGAUCAGAGAGUUGAUGAGCUCUCUAUUCGCCUUGAAUAUUGAGUAAGAACUGGUAUUAAAAGAAAUUAUUAAGAACAAUAUUUUAGUGAGCAAAAUAUCACUGUUAACUGCAGAGGAAUUUUGUGAGUAAAAUGCUGAAAGAGCAGUAACAAUGAAUUGCAAAAGAAGAAGACUUAACCAAGCACCCCUUCUAUACCCGAUUUUUAAGAUUUAAUUUUGAAGUUCAGAAUCAAGAACAAAGACGAAGCUUUAAUAAAGCAUGCAGUGAGAUACAAGAAAUGGAUCGGGCAAAAUACCUUACGAAGCGUUUCAUAUUUUCUAAUGAAAUAAUUUAGUUGAAGUUUUCGACGAAUAAAUACCUGUUGUGCUUGAAUAAUUUUGGCAUAUACAUUACUUGUAUCCGGCGAAAUUGAAAAGCACACUCAUUUACAGAGCUUGUUAGUGGGGAAAAGCUUCGUAAGAUGCCUGAUAAAAGAUAAAGCAAAAGCUUGAAUGAAGAAUGACAUUUUAGAAAGAAACUAAAGUGCAAUCAUCAAAGUAGGAUCAAUAGUGAGUUGAUCAGUUAUGCUUUUUGUUAUUUCAAUUGUCCUGUCCACAAAUGAUGCUUCGUUAUUACUAAUUCCACAUGGACAUUAUUUAGAAACUGUUCUUAUGUUUAACAGAAAAAUGAAAACUCGUCAUCAUACAAAACUGCGUGAACAAAUCUUCAAUUUGAUUAUUAUAAAAUAAAGAAGUUUCAUUACUAGAUUAUGCGGACGUUAAUGUUAGAGAUUUCAUCAGAUUAUCAUAUAAUUUACCAAACGCUUUGAGAAGAACAUGAAUUAAUUAGUUAAAAAUUUAAAAAUAAAAUAAAUAAAGAGUACAUGCAAAUAUUGUUGCUUCCAAUCACCAAAGUGAAAAACAGGGGAAUGAUAACAGACGAGUCCCUGAUUAUCCUCUCUCUCUCUUUUUUCAAUCUCUCUUUAUGUUAUGAUUGAAUAAUUGUAUAGAAAGUGUGACGGUUGCUGCAGCAUUAUGAAGUCAAAAUUGAGAACGACAUUAAAUAAUCAAUCUCUUUAUGUAUAUACUCGAAUGUCUGAUAGUGUUCAGACUUGGAUUUUCUAUAAACACAGAUUCGAAAUCCAAAUAAUUGAAUAAUUGUGUGCGUUCAAAUUCAGCAUUUAAUUUCUAUAUAAUUGGACAUAAAUGCGUAUUUUUUAUUUAGCCCAUUUCGGUCCAUGUUCAAAUAAACAUAUUUCUGUGGAUGAUAAUAUCAGGACCUCUGAUGCUUUUUUUUUUAUCAGAAAUUUUAUUUUUAACUCUUCGUUAUUUAGAUAUAAAUUUUUGCAGUCACCAAAUAGAAAAACAGGGGAAUGAAAACAGAAGAGCCGUGUCCUAAAUCAGGAGUAGGUGUUUUGCCUAAAAGUACCACUUUCCUAGCAAAUCUAGUGGGUUUACUGAAUAAAAUUUUUAAUUAUUCUGUUUGAUCUUUCUCUCUUUAUCCUAAGCAUUCUUGGUUGGGAUCGCUGCAUUGUCCUGUAAUCCGUGUGCCUUAGUGAAAAGAGUAAUGGGUAACUGUAGUUAUGGGUACUUGAGAGCUCACGAUGAGGGUAGCUUGGUAAUGGGACUAUCCAUAUCUGAGCAUCAGAGCUUGACAUCUUUGAUAAAUACAUAUGCUUACUGGUACUGUUUUUGCAUAUGUCUUUCACAAAAUCUUUGUAUAGGCUUACAUAGAGAAGAAGAUUCACCAAUAAAGUGUUGGCUCCACUGGCAAUGAAGUCCCUUAAGUGGCUUGACUGGGUUUGCUCCUCAGUUCUAGUCUGGGUUGUGGUACGGGCUUAAAGGUGCCUCCCACAGUUGGGGCCUUCCCCAGGAUACCUCGUGGUCAAAACAAAAAAAAAAUAGAGAAGAAGAUUCGGAUAACUUUCAAAAUCUGAAUCCGCCUGAUGGACGGACUUGACCACACAGCCCCGUGACAAGGAAGUCCAAGCAACUAACCUAAACCGUUCUCCUUUAGUCCUUUAUUAGGUUGUUCAAAAUGAAAUUAUACUGAGGAGCACCCCCCCCCCCCCCCAAAAAAAAGUUCUUUUAUAUAUUUUUCUUGGAAUUUUAGGCAAAAGAAAAAAAAACUGAGAACGAUUUCAAGCGAACAAGUGGAUAAUAACUAAAAUACUUAUUUUUAUAUAUUUGAUAUAUGCGCUCACUAUUAAUAGAACUUAUUAGAUACUACAACUUAAAUAACUUCCAGUGGUUGAUUGAGGGUAUGUUUGGGAUUUCCUUUACUUUCCAAGAAUUAAUUUCUACCUUGAUUCUGAACAAAAAAAUAAUUUUACAAAUAAUUUAUUAGGGUGUUUGGUAAAUGAUGAUUAUUUGACAAUCAAUUUUUAAAUGGUUUACUAUACAAAUCUGGUAAAUGAAAAUUAAAAGUGUAAAAUGUUCAUGUACAAUGACAAAAAUGUACUUGUUUACUUUUUUGUAAUUUAUUUAGAAUAUUAUUAUUUAAAUCUUUUUUAUUUACAACAUUUUUAAGAGCAUAUUCUAUUUUCUUUAUUACAUAUUUAAAUAAUUUUUUAUUAACUAUUUUAAUUUGCAAUAAAAUUAACUUGAAUAUUUUUUUAACUAAAAAAAUUGUUAUCUAGUUCGUGAUAUAACAAAUACUAACAUAUCAUCAAAUUGAUUAAUAAAUUAAGUGCAAAAAAGAAAAUGCAAAAAUUUAAUCUUUAUAGCUCAUAGAAAUAUAAUAUUAUAUACAUGUGUGUAAAAAACAACAUAUGACCAUAAUAUUAUCCACUCAUUAAACUUGCUGCACUAUUAUUUCUCAAUCUCUCCAUCUCUCGACCUUCAAGAACAUUACUACCAUAAUCUUCUUCUUGAAUUCAACCUCCAUUUCCUCAUCAUCAACAAUGCGACCAAUUUGCCUUGAUAGCCUUUCAACUCCUCCCACUUUCCUCCCUUUUGCAGACACUCUUUUUCUUUUUCUUUUUCUGUCUUUAAUAGCUUCAAUGGGAACAACCUCAUCUGACGACAAGUCCAUUCUUCAACUAGGACAGAGUUGGUAGUAGAUAUUCUAGUACUCUCAAACGAUGCCCAAACGGGGUCACCAGUGAUUGUUGUAUUAAAAGACAUUCUAUUUAAUUUUCCUCUGACUCUUGGUCGAUACCUUUUGUACAAAAUCUAUUUACUUCAGGAAUUUUAUACAUAUGUCGAUAUCAUAUUAAAGUGAAUUCAGAUCCUAUAUUAUUGACAUUAAAAUUUAGCCGAAUAGUAAAAAAUUUCCCUUUUUGUUUGUCACACAACUAUAUAGUCCCAUUUUUGGUUAUAAGCUCACGAUAUGCAAGGGAAAUGAAGAUCUAUUAAAAACUUCCCCAUAAUAUUAAACAUUAAACAAUAUCAACAUUUUGUGCAUAUGGUGCCUCGUCAACAAUUUGAUGUUCAUUUUGUUGCUCGGAGGAAUAUGACUACCUAUUAAUUAAUUAGCAAGAAUUGCGUUGCGAGUCCAUGUUUUUUGUCGUUUGGAUGGAGGAUGUGCUAUCUUUUUAUUGUAGAUGCUUUGUAAGGCUUUUGAUUUAAUGAUUGAAUGCAGUCAAUUAACAAAAGCUUACAUACAGUAUUAUGUAGUUGCUGAGAUGUCUAUUCUUGAUAAAGUCGAUUUAUUUACACCCAAGCCAACGGAAUCAAAGCCUUUUCGUUAAUAAUAUACACGGUAAUUGUUUUUGUUAAAUUGAUUUCUGGCUAACAAGAUCUUUGAAAGCAUUUAUUAAAGAAACCACUGACUCAUAAGAAAGCCAUGAUUAAAUACACAGCCAAGCAUGUGAGCUCGUUUUUCAAUCUCUUUGAUCACUCAUAAGCUUCUCUAUACCACUCACUGUAUCAUCCUUUUAAGUCAAUUUUGACUGAUCAUCAGAGAUCAUGCACCCCACCUUGAGAUGAUUGAUCACCAAUUUGGCAUUGUAACGUUGAUCACCUCUAAUUGGCCAUGCUAAAAUUGGGACCUCACAGCCAAUUGCUUCUACAGUUGAAUUUUAUCCACAGUGAGAUAAAAAUCCACCUAUUAAUUGAUAACUCAGUAUCAAUAAUUGUGGCACCAUUCCAUCUAUUAUCAAACCCUUUUUACCGACUCUACUAUCUAAACCACUACAAAAAUAAGCUGGUUAAAUGACGUGGAGGAUCCAAUCUAUUUACAUCAGUUUGAAUUACCUAAAUAAUCGGUGGAUUUGAUGCUUCUAAAUCAUUGGCUAAUGUUGAAUAAUCAUUUAAGGUGGGACCCAUUUCGGUACCAAAUGACAUGUAUAACACGGAUCCACAUGAUUUCAAAUCUAACCAUUGAAUGAUCUCAUCUUCGGUCAUGUUAGAACUUCGCCGGUUGGUUCUCAUCUCACAAUCACGAAGCACUGAACCAGCCGAUUUGUAAAAUUGUUCAGGUAACAAUUGGCCCACUCCCCACACUGGCAUCAACACCAUCGAUCCCUCCACUUGCUUCAUCCAGUGUGGUUGAUCACUCGGUUCUGAUGGGCCUAUUUAUUCUGAACCGGGUGCACCUCACAAAGGUUGUGGACCACCAGGAAGGGACCCGUGAGGCCUGCGUUUAAGAUCCGAUUCGAAUAAAGCAAUAUCCUUGGGUAACCCAAGAAGUAAACGGGCCUCUCCCGGUUUGACAUCCUGGAUGCGAGCCUGCCACAUGGCACACUCCACAGCUGCUGAGCAAGCAUCAGAAGUGAAGAACCCAACAAUGGGAACUUCAAAAUUCUUGAAAACAUCAGCCGUCCAGCCCAUCAUAACGCCGAUGACUACGCAAACAGGUCGGCUUUCGGGUUCCGGGUUGAAAGGAGGUUUCGAAGGCCUUGAAGCAUUUGGCUGUGCAUGACAACAUGGUGGUGAGAAGGAGGUGAUGGUAGUGGUUGAGAUGGGGAGGGUAUUUCGGUAAUUUCAAAUAGAGCGUAUUGGUGAAGAGAGGAAGGGGUGAUGCUGGUGGUAGAAACGUGAGAGGGAAUAAUGAGGGUAGAUUUGUAACAACGAGAAGUGAUUUGCUUGCAUAAUUCAAUGCAUGGAAACAGAUGUCCCUGACCGAAGAAUGGGACAAUCCAAAUCUCAGCCUCAGCAGCAUUCGCAACAGAGCUUGACAUCUUUUAUGAAUUAUUUGAGACUUAAUUGUUAUUGACUGCUUUUGCCAUCUUUCAUAAAACAUUCUUUGUUAUAUAUAAAGAGAUGACUUGAUGGAGAAGCAAGUGUUUUACUUUUAUAGUUUUACUAGUAGUUGAGCUCUGAUUUUGAUAAUUUGAUUGUUAGUUUUAGUUGGUUAGUUAUGAGAAAGCAUCUUUCACAAAAUUCAUUCCAGUUUCAACUAAAAUUAACAAUACUGUUCAAAUUAAUUACUGGAUCAACAAAUAGUCAUAGGCAAAUCUAUCCCUAGCGCUAGAUCUUGAACAUAAUUAUUAUCAUAAUCUCCCCUUCCCCCACCCCCCACCCCCAAAAAAAAAUUUACUAAAUAUCUUUUGUUAUAUAAUGAACAAGAUAAGUUGACGGAGAAGGGUUCUACUUUUACUAGUAAAUGAGCUUUGAGUAGUUAAGAAGGUUAGUUUUAGUUAGUUAAAUAUCUACCAUCCGAAUCAAAGUUCCUUAGACUAUUAUUCAAGUGAGAUGCUUGAGUAACAUAUACUUGUGUUAGUUGGUGCCUAACAAUUCGUGUGAUACAUGAAACCAACCACUAUGAAAUCCAAAUGAAGCUGGUAGGAUUAGAUUAAUUUAAAUGAAAAUAAAAAUUUGUUUAUGCUAUUUAUUAAUCUUAUAAUGUUGAAACUUGAAAGUUAAUUCUUCAACCUGUCAAUUGGUUCAUGACAUGGUUUAAUAUUCAAGUAAAUAAAUUUAUCGUUUAAAAUUAAUUUUUCAUGUGGUAAAAGCAAUACAAAAUAUGGGGUGGAGAGAAUAAUUUGUAGGGUAUACCCCCACCAUUUAUUUAAUUUCAUUAAAAAAAAAGAAAAGAAAUAAAGGCUUGUUCAACAUUCAAUUAAAAUUAACAAUUCCAUGAUAAAAUUACUUGAGAAUAAAAAUUAAAAAAAAAAAAGUAACACAAAAACGAGGAAUUUUUGAGUAACUGAAGAACCAUAGAUGUUUUUUGGUCAUGAGCAAUUUUUGAGUUGAGACAGAACUUGUAUAAAAAAAUAGUUUUGAAUAACUUCUUUUCUUUUUUCAUAAAUAUAGAUAUAAAAUUUUAAAGUCACCAAACACAAAACCAGGAAAAUGGAAAGGAAGCCCCUGUUUCUCCUCUGUUGCAAGAACAAAUUCGGUUUCUACAGGAGUACCUUCUAAAUGCACCAUUUGUAUUGCUUUGUUUCCACGUAAGCUAACGGAAUUUUUAAUGAAAUUAAAUAAAUACAAUCUCACUGACCGAAAAGUUCUGUAGCUGUUUCAAUUCAAUUGCAUACAUUGACGAAACAUUAAAUACGGAAAAAACAAAAAAGAAGUAAUAGGACAUGGGGAUUUCGAGAACUUCUAAAGAGAGAAAUCUAUUUAUAAGCAUUGAAAAUUAGCUCAUUAAAUUUGACAGAAUAAUAUACAAUCUCACUGUUGGCCAGAAAAUAAUAGUAAGAACUUGUGAACAUAUAUAAUCAAUUGUUUAUUACUUAAGCUCUUUUUCUUCGUUAUUUUGAAUGGGUGCAAAGAAGAGAAGUUUUGUACCCAAAUUCCAACUCGAAUUGUGUAGGCUGCUUGCAAGAGCUUCAUUAGAUUUUUAUUUGUCUUUUAAUAGUGCUACUCGAUAAAUACAGCUAGCUACCUGUCUUUUUUGUUACUGGACUAUAGAUCAAUUGACAGUUGAAGUUAUAUUAAUUUGUUGUACUGGAAUUGAAGCUUGUAUCUUAGCCAUUUCGUGAAGUGUCAAAUAUAUUUUUAAUUUCCUUAAAAUUGUUCAAAAUAUGUUUACACUUUUAAAGUCACUAUUAUACAUGAGUGCCCUAAAAUAGGAGAAGGCGAUUUGCCUGACAUUACCUGUUUCCUGUCAAAUCUAGCAGGUUUACUGAUUAGAUUUUAACAAGUCUCUUGGCAAAGUUUGCUAGAAAUGGAAUCAAAUUAUUCUAUUUAAUCUUACUGUCCAUACCCUAAUAGUUCUUGAUUUGCAUCACUGCAUCGUUCUAUAAUCUGUGUGCGUUGGCUUAUAAAGGCUAGCAAGGCUGACCAUUCGUAGCAUAGUUUUUUUUUUUUUUUUUUUCCACAAUGAAACUCCUAUUGAUUUGACUCAGUAUUUAGAGGCGUUAACGAGGGCACUAUACUAGACAUGGAUUUCUACCGCUUUUGGUUGUACAAUUGUUGUAAUCCUUGGCCAUCAAAUCAUUUUUACGUAGCUUUCUCAGAGUUCAUGCCAAGUGUACAUUAAUGUUUUUAUGUUUUGGAUGCAAGUGGGAUUCUAGUUCUCUAUGGCAGUUGAAGAGGUAAAUGGGCAUGGAGCUAUGCUCUAUCAUAGGCUUCGGCCGCUACAAGAAAUUUGAUUUCUUAAGACGAUAUUUUUUACAACUUUAAAUUUGGUCACAAAAUUGUAUUUAUUGUGACAAAUUUUUAAAAUCGUAGUUAAUAAUCUUGUCGUAACUUAUAUUGUUUUUUGUAACCAAUUGUUUUUAUUUUGAGACUUGUUCAUUGGUCAUUAAUUAAAUUUUUUUAUGACAAAAAUUAUUUUAGUCACCAAAAGAUAUAUUUUUUUGGCGCAAAAUCUUCCCUCCAAAAGUGAUUAUUUUGAGACAAUAUUUCACUAUUUAUGACAAAAUAAAUAGUCACGAAAUAUAAUGAUAGGCGACCAAAUUAUUUGGUAACUAAAAGAAGGGUGUAAAAUUGACUAAACAAUCUAUGACACAAAAUAUUAGUAGCCAAAAUUAUUGUUCUUUUGGCUAAUUUUAAGACCAUUUUUUUUUGUCAUAUAUAAUUACCUACCAUGACAAAAUUUAAAAAUAGUUGUUGAAUGUUUUGUCUUGAAUAAUUUUAUAUUUGAUAACCAAUUUUUUUUUUUCUUUUUGAGACAUAUUACUUGGUCCCUAUUUCAACUUCUUUUUGACGAACUUUAUAAUAGUCACAAAAGACUUUUUUUAUUUUUGGCAUAAAAAGUCUGUCCAAAGUUAGCUCUUUUGGGACAAUAUAUAAUCUUUUAUGACAAAAUAUAUAGUGGCGAAAUAUAAUUAUUUUUUACAAAGUUAUUUCGUAACUGAAAAAGAGGUGUAAAUAUAGUUAACCUAUUUGUGACAUAAAAUAUUAGUCUCCAAAACUAUUAUGUUUUUAGCCAAUUUUAAGACCCUAUUUUGUUGUCAUGGAUAAUUACCUAUUUUCAAAAAACUAAGAGAUAGCAAUCAAAAGUUUGUCUUGAUUGACAUUGUAUUUUAUGAGCAAAAUAUUUUGUUUCAGUGACACUUUACUUGGUCUUUGAUUAGACUUGUUUGUGAUGAUCAAUAGAAUUAUAUAAUAACCACUAAAUUUUUUUGGGUUAAAUUUUUAUAGAUACUAUUAAUUAAGUUGUUGACGAAAAUGAUCGAACUAAUACUAAUAUGGGAUACCAUCAAUAGCCGUAAUACUUAUGAAGCGAGAAAUUAUAAUAUGUAGUGAUUUAUUUAGAAUUAUUUUGACUACUUUAUUGAUUUCCAAAACAUAAAAUUCUCAACCCAAAAUUCCCCGCAUUGUGUUUUAUUUUGUCUCCUCACUCAGUUACUCUUUUAGCUAAAGUUGCUUUGGAAAAGUUGGAAUCUUUUGUUUGGGUGGAAAAUUUCCCACCAGAGAUUAGACAUGUAUUCACCUAGUUGAAGUAAUGAAAGUUUUACUUUCCCAUAAAAAAAAAAACUCACGGCUUGACAAAAAAAAGGAAAAAAAUUCUCACAGCUUGAUGGUCUCCUCUCUUUAAAAAUAAAAAUCCCUAGUUACUCUGCUCAAACUCGUUAAUAUUUGUUUCCACCACCUAAGCAGCCACUAGUAUCUUUUUUUUUCGCAAUUCACUUUUGCUGUGUUUCGUGGUUUGGAUGGAGAUCAUGACAAUAAUUGAACGAUGGUGAUAAAUAUCAAAGAAGGAGCUUACAUGCCCUAUAUAUCUCUCUUUGGAUGAAUAACGAAGGUGAACUUUCAAAGUACAGAGAUUUACAUGUUUUAAUUGUCAUUUACAUUGCUGCAUGCCCAUUGCUUGAUAAAAUACCGCAACAAACACGCAUUCUCGAUUUUCUCAUAAAUUUAUUUUCUUAGUCUGAAAAAAAAAUUGAAUGUUCAGAGAAUUUUGAAGGUUUUGGUGUAUGCAUUAAUAUUUUGAUUCUAUUUAUGUUGUUUAACUAAUGAAGAUGAUACAUCUAGCCUCUUUUUGCCCCUUGUUGUUUUUAUUCUUGUGCUUUAUAUACGGUUCAAGUGUGAUACACUUUAGUUUUUCUCAAGUGUUUGUUAGUAUUUCCCCAAGCAAAAUUUGUCACAGACUUUGAGUUCAAAAGUUGAAAUCAUAACUAACAUACUUCGAUUUUUUAUUUUCCUUUUUUCUUCGGGGUCCCAUAUAUCUUUCUAUAUGGCAUUGCUUGAGAAAUUGGUGUACUUAGAUCGUAAUAUUCUGUAGAAAUAAGCUAAUAUUUCAUUAGGUACAUUGUUUAAUAUGAUAAGUACUGUAUGGAAGUUUUACAGAUAAGCUCCUUGUAUAUUAUGCAUUAUGUUUUUAUCAUAUUGUUGCUUGGAACUUUGAAGGAUUGGCCACAGGGCUUUAGUCCUACAAGGACAUUUUAUAUUGGGAAAUUAUCAUUCGUAUACCCUAUAGAUGCUCUGUUAUAAAAAAUACUACAACACUUUGAGGGUGUAUCAAUCGUCCACAUUAAGUUGACAAAAUGUAUCUGUUGUCCACCAAACCGUUACUUGCCGUUUAAAUAGGAUAACGACAGAGGGGUAAUUUGGUCUUUUCAUAUGAUACAAGUGAUAAUUUAAGGGUAUACAAGUGAUACUUUUCAAGGGUAAAAUUGUCAAUUCGCUAUAAUUCCGUUAACUUUCAAACGGUAGCUAACGGUUUGAUGGUUGGUAGAUAGCUUUUGUCAAUUUGGGGUGGACGAUUGAUACACCCUCAAAGUGUUGAAGAACUUUUUAUAACAGAGCUUCCUACANNNNNNNNNNNNNNNNNNNNNNNNNNNNNNNNNNNNNNNNNNNNNNNNNNNNNNNNNNNNNNNNNNNNNNNNNNNNNNNNNNNNNNNNNNNNNNNNNNNNNNNNNNNNNNNNNNNNNNNNNNNNNNNNNNNNNNNNNNNNNNNNNNNNNNNNNNNNNNNNNNNNNNNNNNNNNNNNNNNNNNNNNNNNNNNNNNNNNNNNNNNNNNNNNNNNNNNNNNNNNNNNNNNNNNNNNNNNNNNNNNNNNNNNNNNNNNNNNNNNNNNNNNNNNNNNNNNNNNNNNNNNNNNNNNNNNNNNNNNNNNNNNNNNNNNNNNNNNNNNNNNNNNNNNNNNNNNNNNNNNNNNNNNNNNNNNNNNNNNNNNNNNNNNNNNNNNNNNNNNNNNNNNNNNNNNNNNNNNNNNNNNNNNNNNNNNNNNNNNNNNNNNNNNNNNNNNNNNNNNNNNNNNNNNNNNNNNNNNNNNNNNNNNNNNNNNNNNNNNNNNNNNNNNNNNNNNNNNNNNNNNNNNNNNNNNNNNNNNNNNNNNNNNNNNNNNNNNNNNNNNNNNNNNNNNNNNNNNNNNNNNNNNNNNNNNNNNNNNNNNNNNNNNNNNNNNNNNNNNNNNNNNNNNNNNNNNNNNNNNNNNNNNNNNNNNNNNNNNNNNNNNNNNNNNNNNNNNNNNNNNNNNNNNNNNNNNNNNNNNNNNNNNNNNNNNNNNNNNNNNNNNNNNNNNNNNNNNNNNNNNNNNNNNNNNNNNNNNNNNNNNNNNNNNNNNNNNNNNNNNNNNNNNNNNNNNNNNNNNNNNNNNNNNNNNNNNNNNNNNNNNNNNNNNNNNNNNNNNNNNNNNNNNNNNNNNNNNNNNNNNNNNNNNNNNNNNNNNNNNNNNNNNNNNNNNNNNNNNNNNNNNNNNNNNNNNNNNNNNNNNNNNNNNNNNNNNNNNNNNNNNNNNNNNNNNNNNNNNNNNNNNNNNNNNNNNNNNNNNNNNNNNNNNNNNNNNNNNNNNNNNNNNNNNNNNNNNNNNNNNNNNNNNNNNNNNNNNNNNNNNNNNNNNNNNNNNNNNNNNNNNNNNNNNNNNNNNNNNNNNNNNNNNNNNNNNNNNNNNNNNNNNNNNNNNNNNNNNNNNNNNNNNNNNNNNNNNNNNNNNNNNNNNNNNNNNNNNNNNNNNNNNNNNNNNNNNNNNNNNNNNNNNNNNNNNNNNNNNNNNNNGAGGAUGAAAUUUGCAAAAACCUUGUUCAUAGCUAUGGUAAUUAAGCAAAUUGAGUCUUCUUUUUUUGUUGUUUUUUAUUCACUUUUUCCUGUCCUUAAAACAAAUAAUGAGUUUUCUUGUUUUUAAUAUUUCUUAUAAACUUUAUGUUGUUUGGUAUAAAAUUAGGUAAUUGGAAAGGUCUCAUGUUGGAUGAAAUUAUCAAUUAUGUGCAGUCCCUACAGAAUCAAGUGGAGGUAACAUUGCUACUAAAAAACCUUAUUAACAUAGUUAUAAUGAAUUAAUCUUCUUUAAUAUAUUGCAAUAUUUUUUACUAUUUCUAGGUCUUUCUAUGUUGGUUUUGGAUCAUUGUAGUUGCUGAUUGUGAUUUAUUGCCGCCUAUGGUUGCUGACUUUUGUUUACUGCAGCUACUUUAUUAAAGCAAUUUUGGAUAUUGAAGUUUAUGGCCAACUUUUAUUAGAUACUUCUGACCUUUAUCGAUAUAUUUUCUGAACCUUUACACUUAAGAUGUGUGUGUGUUUUUUUUAAGUAAUUUAAUCCUUACUAACAUUUUCUAACAAAAUCAAUUACAGAAAUGAUUAGGAAAAAACAAGCAAAAUCAUUGUAAAGUGUCUUCUGCGCACCGUGGUUGCUCAAGUCUCAUGUGCAACAUGUGAAUGAAAUAGUACUUGAAAUAAUAGAGACUUUGUUUUAUGACUCUUAUAUUUACAUUUCUUUGCAAGGAACCAUACUUAAUUGUACCUAAUAGAAGAGAUAUCUUUUCACUAUAUAGUCUUAGUAUAAAAAGAUACCUCUUCUAUAAGGCACAAUUAACGGGACAUGUCUUUAUACUAAGACAUCAUUCAUAUUUAUCACACAAUAAUAGAAACUGCAACGGUAGCUGGAAUAUUAUGAAGUCAAAAUUGAGAACGACAUUAAAUCAUGAAUUCUUUAUGUGUUUACUCUAAUGCCUGACGGUAUUUAGUUCAAUUAACACAGAUUCGAAAUCCAAAUGAUUGAAGAGUUGUAUGGGUUCAAGUUCAGUAUUUAAUUACUAUAUAAUUAUACAUAAAUGUGGAUUUUGCAAUCUUGAACCCAUUUAAUUACUAAAAAAGGAUGACGAAUAGAAUUGGUGGAAAUUGACCACAAUCAUCUCUCUCUCUCGGCUUGCUCAAAUUUGGCCGAUCUGUGCGCUUGCUUAAGCUUGGCCGAUCUAUGCUUGCUCGAUUACUCUUCCUAUAUUCAGUCAGAGUCAACUGUUUGACAAGAGUCGAAGUCCAAGGUUCUUUUUUACAGGAUUUGAGCUACUUCUUUUAUUCUUCUUGCAUGUUCACUGAUAGCGGGUGGAAUUUGAGAUGUUCACUGAAGCUUUGAUGUGGUGUUCUGAUAGCGGGUGGAAUUUGAGAUUCUCCUUUCUUCUCUAUAUGAAGGUGCUUGUCAUGUGUCAAGAAAAAUAAAAUUAUUUACAAAAGAUUAUUUUAAGGAGAUUUAUUAUUAUUCGUGGAUCAGGAAGCUCAAAAAGUUUUCUUAUGUAGAACAUAAAAUGAUUUAAAUUUUGCCAUGGUAUAUCCUUUUCUUUGAUUGUGUUGUGGUUUUCCAGUUCUUGGAGAUGCAGAAGAAGUUUAUUUUGUUUUAUGGUAUCUUAUUUAUUUAUUGUUUUCACGAGGAAAUAGCUGUGCUUUUGGAAAUUAAUAUGCUGUGUUGUAAAUGUUGUGUGAAAUCCUUUUAUUGGUGUCUAUGUAAAGUGUUUCAGAUUUCAGACCUGAGAGUUAAUCUUCGCGUACCAGUUGGCUUUUGGGUUUAGUAUUGCUGCUUUUAACAUAAUUGACCUAUGGCCCAAAUCAUUUCUUAGGGCGAAGCAUAUGAAUGAUACAUAUUAUCUUUUUUUGGCCUUAUGUAUUGUUAUUUGCAGUGUGAUUUGGUCUAGCUUAAGAGCUUAAGCUUGCAAGUUGGAUUUGUCUAACAGGGAACAAUUUAAUUUGUUCAUCAUGAUGUUUAUAUCCAUUUUGUACUACUAUCAAUUUCAAUCAUGCCUAAUUUUUAUAUGUAUUUCUUGUGGACUCUCAGGUUCAGUGCACAAGAGGAUGAAGACGAUGGACACCCAAAUUUGAUGUGGAGAAUAAGUAUUGCAAAUGGUCCUUGAUUUACUUCUCCAAUUGACUUGAAUUGGUUUGACGCAAUUUAUAGUGUAUUUUUGUCAUCUUUGUAUGACUGGCAGGUCGUCCUGAUUUGGUACAUGACUGGACUCAGGAAUUGGACUCAUAUUUUUCAAACCAGAAUGCCAACAAUCAAGCAUUUUCUUUUGAAAGCACUGGCGUCUUCUUCAAUGCCAAAAAGGUUAGAGAUUUUUUGUAUCCUGUUUUGUAUUUGAUCAGUUUAGCAUGUGGGUGGCAAUCAAGAAAAGUUAUUCUAACAUUUUUGUGUUCCCGAAAAACUGCUGAUGAUGUGUAGUGCAGGAAAUGAAUUGUUUGUGACUUCUUUUUAUUCGUAUUCUUUCUUUUUUCUUUUCUCCCCAACAGGAUUAUGUAUUUCUGAAGAGCUUCUUGAAGUUGAUUACCUUGUAAGCCACUUUCUGUACUCUAUGCUCAGGAUGUGAUUUUGCCAAGCAUUAAAAUGGUUUAGGUCAGAACCAUCAUCUAAAGUUUACUUAAUGCAGCCGAGAAGCUGUAGUAGAGCAAUGAAGGCUGUUGGUGUUAUGAAGGCCAGCUGUGAAGAAAUAUUUGAACUUGUAAUGAGCAUGGAUGGGACACGAUACGAGUAUGCUUCUUUUCUAUUUUUUAAUUUUAGUUAUUUUAACAUAAUCAAGACUAUAUUGGCUGUCUCUGUAAGCUGAGUAUUAUAUUUCCUCUUGUAUGCUGUGAAAUUCACAUUGUCUCCAGUCCCGAUUCUGUAUGUGCCUUUUUGAAUAUAUUUAAUUAAUCUGCAUGGUGCUUUCUAAAGAUUAUUACAAACUUUUGUUGCUUAAGUAUAUGAAGAAUGUGGAAAUGAAAAUAGCUUUUGAAGUUUGAUGGAUUGCUUCAUUAAUAAAGAAAGACUGGGACUCAUUUUUAUAACUUUUCUCCACUUAGCUAAUGGUAUUUGAUGAAGACAAAAUAGAUGUAGCUAUCUGUAUUUUUUGUUGCUGAACUAUAGAUCAAUUGACGGUUGAAGUUAGUUAUAUUAAUUUGUUGUACUAGAAUUAAAGCUUGUAUCUUAGCCAUUUCAUGAAGUGUCAAAGACGUUCAUGUUUUUUAAAAAAAACAUGUUACACUUUUGAAGUCACUAUUACAUAAAAGAGUGUUCUAAAACAGGAGAAGGCGUGCUGCCUGAAAUUACCUGUUUCCGAUUUUAACAAGUCUCUUGGCAAGGUUUGCUAGUAAUGUGUUCAAAUUAUUCUAUUUAAUUUUACUGUCUGUACCCUAAUAAUUCUUGGUUUGCACCAUUGCAUUGUUCCAUAAUCUCUGUGCGUUGGCUUAUAAAGGCCAGCAAGGCUGAUCAUUUGUCAAAUAGUUAUUUCCAUGAAAUUCCUAUCAAUUUGACUCAGUAUUUAGAGGUCUUGAAGAGGGCAGUGUACUAGACGUGGAUUUCUUCCUCUUUUGGUUGUACAAUUGUUGUAUUUCUUGGCCAUCAGAUCUUUUUUAUGUAUCUUUCUCAAAGUUCAUGCCGCACGUACACCGUUUUUCAUGUUUUGUGCAGGUGGGAUUGUAGUCUUUUGUAUCGCAGCUUAGUUGAAGAGGUAGAUGGUCAUACGGCUAUUCUCUAUCAUAGGCUUCAGCUGGACUGGUUUCCAAUGUAAUAGUCUCUUGAUUCAAUCAUCUCAUUUAUGCUUUGGUCAGAAUAGAACAUUUAUUGUUUUCUUCUUUCCCCUUUCAUGUCUUCUGAUAUAAUAUGUGAGGAAAUUACCUAAAAUUUCUGUAUCCCAAUGUAAUUGUUGGAAUUCAGAAAUAAAAUAAAUACACCGUCUUGUUUUUCCCUCGGUUCAGUCCUAAGUUCUCUUUGGGCCUUCUGCAAGUUUUUAAACAUACUGUGACAGUAAAAAAUCUAGUGAUUGAGAUCAUUUUGAUGAAUUUAAUUUUAAUUCUUAGCUGAUACUUUUUCUGGAAUUUUUUUUCUUAUGUUUCCUCAAUAUGACUUAAAUAUAGGGCUUAGUUUGGUUUAGAAGUUCGUCUAAAACCUUCUCCUUGAUUCCAAAAAAAUUCUCUAGAAAGGUCUCAGAUGGAUUUUAGGGGAGUUCUGUGGCAAAUUUGAAAAGUUCAGGGGAAGGGUCUAAUGAAUUUUAAAACCACAUGGGUUAUCUGUUUUAUUCAGAGGAUAGUGGAAUUCCCUGAAAUUUAUCAUUUUUAUUUAAAUAAUCUUCCUACUUUCCUCUGCGGAAUUUAUUUACAUUUAUGAAUUCAUUUGGUUGCAGGUUUGUUUGGCCCCGCGGCCUUUGUUAAGUACGUUAUUGGCGUUGAAAUGACGCUGCGAGUUAUGGUAAGGUUCUUGCUUCCCCACUUCUUGAAAUUAAAUCUAUCUUUUCUGGCACUAGAAGUUUCCAUAAGCUGUGUUUUGUUAUCGCGCAGUUGUGUUAUUUCAUUCUAGGGAGCAUGAGAACUGUGGUCCACAGCCAGGAUAUGUACGAGCUCACGUGGAGAGUUAGUUUUCUGUCCUUUACUUUGGUUGAUGUAGAGAAUUAACAAGUGACUAAGUCAUGCCAAGUUGCACCACUUGCUUCCUGUAUUCUGAUUUCUCAGGUGGUGGAUUCAACAUUUCCCCACUCAAACCUCAAAAUGGUAGGCCCAGAACACAAGUACAGCAUCUUAUGCAGAUUGAUCUAAAAGGGUGGGGUGUUGGUUAUGUGUCAAUGUUUAGCAACACUGUCUUCUUCAGAUGUUAAAUAGCAUUGCUGGUAAGUUUCUUGCUUUCACAUUUUAUUUUGCGCUGUUAUGGGUUAAUAUGUUUCUGUUGGGUGGCCAUUUUAAGUCAUAUUUUUACGUGUUACUGUAUUUUCUUCAGUCCUUUUAUAGGGAACACACACAUACACGUAUGUAGAGUCACCUUUUAAUGAGGGAUCUACCAUUUUAAUAAAAUGAGGAAUGAGCUAAAAGAUAAAAAUUCACGAACUCCAAUGCAAUAUGUGUGUGUGCGUGUGCACACCUUUUCUAACUCUUGUUCUUAGUUAGAUAUUUUUCGGGAUUUCAGGCAAAUGAAAAAAGAGAUUAAGAGAAAGAGAAUAGGUGGAUGAUAACUUAAAUAUUCAUUUUUAUAUAUUUUGUUAAUGUCCUCUUUAAUGGAUUUCUAUGGAAUUAAUCUUUUUUUUUCAAUUAGUUGCAGCCCUAGAGGAAAAGUAGGGUGAUCAAAUUGAUUUAUCUCAUUUUUUUUUAGCAAUUUGCGACAUAAUGACCGUGAUAAUGCUUGUGACUGCUGGAAACUUUCUGAUGGAAAUAACUUCAGAGUUCGUAGCAAGCAUUUUUGUUAUGACAAAACAAAGGUUCCCGCGAAUUUUGGUUGUUGUUAGGCCACAAGUGCGUUUCACAUAUGCAAGGCGCAAGGGUAAUUCCGGAAAUACCAAUCGUGGCUGACGUGUCAUCAAGUAGUAUAGAGAGAAGAGUUUGUUAUGCAUUUCUGUUAGUGAUAAGUUGAUGGUAUUCUGUUUUGAUAAUUUGUUAGAGUUUUCUAUUAUUCUAUUUGGGCGUAAAAGUGAGGAGGUUAUAUGGAGAGGAGCUGUUUUUUGGGAAGGGGAUCUAGAGAAUUAUUUUGUAGUGAGCUUGCUCAUUUUGGGAGAGAUACCAAGCCUCUCGAAUGCUUGGGUGUUUUGGUUUAUUUCUGCAGAUAAAUACCAGUUUUCCUACUUCCAACAACAUUCUGUUCUCUACUGUGUUGUUUAUCUAACCAUUUCAGUUCAGGGCUUAUCAAAUUGGUAUCAGAGUAGUCACGUACCUAGAAAAUGACUGGCAAAAAUGUUGCUCAACGAAUGGAUUCCAUAGAGGAGGCGAUGGGUGCUGCGUAGGAGGAGUUUCAACGGGAAAUGAGAUCGUUGAAGGAUGAAAUAUAGAUGAUGAACAAACGAUUCGAACAGUUCAUCAAACUUCAAGAGGAUACGGGAGGUUCGUAUUCGAAUAAAAGGGAAAAGAUGCUCAGCCCCAACUUCGGCGGGUUGAGCUCAAGCGGAACUAGCCAUGAUUUCCGAUUCCGGAAACUUGAGAUGCCACUGUUCGAUGGCUCAAAUCUGGAUGGCUGGAUCUGAAGGCUGAACGAUAUUUUUCCGUAAAUCGGUUAUCCAAUGAAGAAAAACUUGAGGCAGCGAUAAUAGCUUUCGAGGGAGAUGCCCUGUUGUGGUAUCAAUGGGAGAAUAGGAAGAGAUCCAUGAUGGUUUGGGAAGAGAUGAGGCUACUAAUCUUGAAACAAUUCCGAGUAAUCCAAGCCGAUUCUCUCCAUGAACAAUGGCUAGCCCUUACUCAAGAUAGCAGUGUGCGAGAAUACCGCCGGAAAUUCAUCGAACUUUCGGCGCCGUUGGAGAACAUUACAGACGAACUAGCUCUGGGAAAUUUUAUCAAUGGGUUGAAGCCUGAAAUUCGGGUCGAGGUUCGGAUCAUGGAACCCAGUAAUUUGGGCCGGGCCAUGGACUUAGCCCAAAAGAUUGAGGAGAAACUGUGGGUGACCAAGGCCCACAAAGCAGACGGUGGGUUUCAUCGAGCAGGAGGGUCAACGCGAGGUGUGAACUUCCAUUCUGAAGCUUCGCAAUCUUCGUUUGGGGCAAAUCAUAACACGGCCCGAUUUUCGGGAGAGGUUAGGAGGUUGUCCGAUUCAGAAUUACAGAAGAAAGAGAGAAGGGACUAUGUUAUCGAUGUGAUGAAAAGUGGGCACCUGGGCAUCGCUGCAAGAAGAAAGAAUUGACUGUCCUUCUCACCUACGACAUGGACGAAGCAGAGCAGGAAGAGGAAGAAGGUUCGGGUGAAGGCGAUCCCGAACUGGAAACGGCCGAAAUUAAUCAAGGGAUAGAGGUCUCUCUUAACUCGGUGGUUGGUCUGACUACACCAAAGACGAUGAAGCUUAAGGCGUCUAUCGGGGAGCAAGAGGUGGUGGUACUGAUUGAUUCAGGUGCAACCCACAAUUUUAUUUCUCUAGAUUUGGUUAGUAAGAUGCAGAUACCCAUUGUUAAAACUGAGGCUUAUGGGGUGACUAUGGGUACUGGAGCGGCUGUAAGGGGAUAAGGUUUAUGUCGGGGAGUGACUAUUCAUCUACAGGGAAUAGAUAUUGUAGAGGAAUUCUUGCUGCUUGGGUUGGGGAGCUCGGAUGCUAUAUUAGGAGUUCAGUGGCUUGAAACUUUGGGGAUGACACACACAAAUUGGAAGACACAAGUGAUGAAGUUCAUGCUCGGAAAUGAAUCUGUUACUCUACGAGGGGAUCCUUCCCUUGGCAAGACUUUGGUUUCAUUGAAGGCAAUGAUGCGCACCAUUAAGCACGAGGGAGCUGGAAUUCUGGUGGAAUGUAAUCAAUUUGAAGGUCUGUGCGAAGUGAGCCCUGAGGUGCCACCGAAUCUAAACCAAGUCCUAGCAGAAUAUGAAUUGGUUUUUAACAUGCCCAUGGGCUUACCACCUACUAGGGGACAUGAGCAUUCCACUUUGCUCAAAGACGGCAGUCAACCUGUUAGUGUCCGACCAUACCGCUAUCCUCAUGCCCAGAAGGAUGAGAUUGAAAGACUGAUUCAGGAGAUGUUAGAUGCGGGAAUAAUCCAAGUCAGCAAUAGUCCAUUCUCGAGCCCAGUUUUGUUGGUUAAAAAGAAAGACAGAUCAUGGCGUUUUUGUGUGGAUUACAGGGCUCUCAACAAAACGACGGUACCAGAUAAGUAUCUCAUCCCUGUCAUUGAUGAACUCCUAGAUGAGUUACAUGGUGCCAGAAUUUUUUUCCAAGCUAGAUUUAAAUUUGGGCUACCAUCAAAUCAGAGUCAGUAGUCAGGAUGUUCAUAAGACUGCUUUUCGAACGCAUGAUGGACACUACAAGUUUCUCGUCAUGCCUUUUGGACUAACGAAUGCCCCGUCGACUUUCCAAUCCUUGAUGAAUGAUGUCUUCUGGCCUUAUCUUCGGAAGUUUGUUCUAGUGUUCUUUGAUGACAUUCUAAUUUACAGCCCUUCAGUGGAAUCCCAUCAGCAGCACUUGGCUCUCGUCUUGGGAAUAUUGCAGGCCAACAGCCUUUAUGCCAACCGAAAAAAAUGCGAGUUUGGAAGAACUCAAGUGGCAUAUUUAGGCCAUAUCAUCUCUGGACAAGGGGUGGCAGCGGAUCCAAGUAAAAUCCAAGCCAUUAACUUGUGGCCAACGCCCACUAAUCUGAAAGCGUUAAGGGGAUUUCUGGGAUUGACGGGGUAUUAUAGAAAGUUUGUGGCUGGGUAUGCUAGAAUCGCAUCGCCAUUGACUGAUCAGCUCAAGAAAGAUAGGUUUGGGUGGAGUCCAGAAGCUGCAGCGGCAUUUGAAGAACUCAAACAAGCUAUGUCUUCAGUCCCUGUGUUGGCAAUGCCUGAUUUCACAAAGCCAUUUAUUGUUGAGAAUGAUGCAUCUGGUUUUGGGUUAGGAGUUGUUCUACUACAGGGGCAACAACCAGUAGCUUACUACAGCCAAGUUUUGGGGCCCCGGGCUCGUCUUAAGUCCAUAUAUGAGAAAGAACUAAUGGCCAUAGUGUUUGCAAUCCUGAAAUGGCGGUCGUACUUGCUGGGAAGGCGAUUUAUUGUGCGAACAGACCAACAGAGCUUAAAAUUUCUUUUGAAGCAGAGGAUUGUUGGAGUUGAAUAUCAAAAAUGGAUCACCAAAAUCAUGGGAUAUGAUUUUGAUAUUCAAUAUCGUAUUGGGGCUGUUAACAUAUAUGUUUCCAUAAUAUUGAUUUUGAUGAUAACAAAAAAGAUUAAAAAUGAUUAAUCUUUUAAGCUCAAAUUAUUUUUUAUACAUUUUAAAUAAAUCAUUAUUUUUAUAUUAUAAAGGUUUUAUAUUUAAUGGAAAAAUGAUUUUAUGAAAUUGGUUGUUUUUCAAGUUUAUGAUUUAAUUGAAAGAGUUUUUGAAAACUUUGAAAUCAACAAGUAUUGCUUGAAAUUUUAGAGAAUGACUUAUUUUAAAAGUGUCAUAGCAUUUUGGGCUAUAUCAUAAUUUCAGAAAGUUUUGGGAUUAACAAAGCAUUACUUAGAAAUUCUGAAAUUGGACCUAUUUGUAAACUUUCAUAACAUUUUGGGCCAUACUGUAGUUUUAUAAAGUUUUGGGGUCAAACUAUAAUUUUAAAAAAUAGUGCACUGUGCAGGUUACUGUACCAAUCACUGUAGCAAAUGGCUAACCGUUUAUUUAAAAACGGCUAACCGAUAAUUUCCAGAAAGCAUGUUCUGCAAAGUAUUGUUAAAAUGAUGAUUCUGGAAACUAACGGUGAACCGUUUACUGAAAACGGUUAACCGAUUAUUUCCAGAUUGUUAACCUUGAACCGUUUAGUAAGAACGGUUAAACCAAAUUUGUUUUGCAGGUCUCUGGAAAUUAACGGCGAAAGGGUAAGCCUAAACGGCUAAUCGUUUAUUUAAAAAUUGGCCCAACGGUAACUUUGACCGGCCUAAACGGUUAACCGUUAAUGGUUAACGGCGAACCGUUUUCGAGCAAACAGUCUAUAACGGCUAGUUUUUCAGCUCCAACUAUAAAUAAGCUCAAUCCAAUUCAAACAAGAAGAAUUCCAACGAUCAUCAUUGAGCAAAAUAUUGAGAAUAUAACUUUCAUUGAGCUUUAAAUCCUUGUAUUCAUCUCAUUCAUUCACACAUUGAGCUUUCACUUGUGAUUAAACACAUUGUGUGAGAGAGAUUUAUUUGUAAUCCUUUUUGUAAAAUCAAGUUAAAAGAUUGUAAGUGUUGGGAUACACUUGGGUUAAGAGAUUGGGGAUAAUCUCUUGUUGUAAAGGUCCAUUGACACCUUGGAAGUCAAUUGUAAGCGUUUGAAGCCUUGGGAGGCUAGCUUAGUGAAAUCCUCAAGCUCGGUGAGCUUGGAGGCAUGGACGUAGGCGGGGAUUGCCGAACCACGUAAAAAUCAUUGUGUUUGUUUUCUCUUCCCUUACUCUUUUAUAUUGUGAUUGAUUUAUUUGUUAUUGCUUUAAAUUAGUUUUGGAUUUGCAUUGAGUUUUGUUUUAGAAUUGAAUAAUUUUUAAUAUCCCAAUUCACCCCCCUCUUGGGUUGCCUAGUUAGUAUUUCAUUUGGUAUCAGAGCGAGGUGUUCUUGUGUAGACUUAACCGUCUAGAGUUAAAGAUCCAUGGCAACCUAUAGUGACUCAACCUUUAGGGAAGGACAAUCCACAAUUAGACCACCGUUCUUCGACGGUAAUGACUACCCAUAUUGGAAAACUAGGAUGAGAAUUUAUUUACAAGCUUUAGAUUAUGAAAUUUGGGAAAUUGUUUGUGAUGGUCCAUUUAUGCCUUUGACUAAAAACGAAGUUGGGGAAGAUAUUCCAAAACCUUCACGGGAAUGGAAUGAAUUGGAAAAGAGAAAAGCUUCUCUAAAUUCCAAAGCCAUGAAUGCCUUGUUUUGUGCACUUGAUAAGAAAGAGUUUCAUAGAGUGUCUAGUUGUGAAAGUGCUAAUGAAAUUUGGCACAAACUUGAAGUUGUUUAUGAAGGCACGAAUCAAGUGAAAGAGUCUAAAAUUAGUAGGUACACUCGGCAAUAUGAAUUGUUCCAAAUGGAACAAAAUGAGAGUGUGUAUUCUAUGAAUACUAGAUUUACGGACAUAGUGAACACUCUAGGAGCCCUAGGAAAGACCUUUUCAAAUAGCGAGAAAGUUAAGAAAAUCAUUAGGUCGUUACCUAAGAAAUGGAGACCAAAAAGGACUGUCAUUGAGGAAGCUCAAGAUUUGAAUAUCUUACCUAUUGAUGAUUUAAUUGGUUCUCUUAUUUCUUAUGAGGAAGACAUGGCAGCCGAAAGAGGCAAUGAGGAGAAGAAGAAAAGCAUUGCUCUCAAAGCCUCGAAACAUGAGAGUGAUGAGGAAAGCGAGCUGGAUGAGGAGGAGAUGGAUAUGCUGGCUAGGAGGUUCAGAAAACUUUUUAAGAAAUCCGAUGAGCGAAGAAAAUUUAGAGACCUCAAGAACCGAAAGGAGAAGAAGGAAGUAAUCAAAUGUUAUGAGUGCAAGAAGCCUAGCCAUAUAAGAACGGAAUGCCCUCUUCUCAACAAGCUGAAGAAGAAAGCAAUGAUAGCCACAUGGGAUGAUAGCGAUGAGGAAACAAGUGAUGAUGAAGAGCAUCAAGAAAUGACAAAUCUAGCUCUCAUGGCAAUUGGAGAUGAAUCGAAUGAUGAACUUGAUGAGGUAAAUGAUCUUUUUACUUAUGAUGAAUUAUAUGAUGCUUUUAAAGAAUUACAUGAUAAUUGGAUAAAAAUUGGUAAAAAGAAUGCAUGUCUUAAAAAGAAAAUGGUAGAGCUCAAAAAUGAAAAUGAAUCUCUAUGUGCAAAGAUUACAUGCCUAGAAUUAGAGAAUAAAACAUUGCAUGAUAGAGUUGCAUUAUCAAAUGAGAAACCUAGUACUUCACAUGAGCAUCUAGAAUAUCACAUAGAUGACUUGAAAAAUGAAAAUGAAAUGCUUAAGAAGAAGAGCAAUGAGUUAAAUGAGAUUGUUUUAAGAUUUACAAAUGGACAAAAGAUGUUGGAUAACUUGAUUAAUUCACAAAAAAUGUGUGUUUGAUAAAGGAGGACUUGGUUAUAAGCCACAUUUGAAACAAAAGUAUUAUAGGAACUACUUUGUGAAGAGUACAUCUACUAACAAUCAAGUUGUAUGUCAUUAUUGUAAUCAAAACGAUCACAUGAAGCUUGGUUGUCCUAUUAAAAGAAAAGUAUAUUAUGGAGUAAAAUGUGUUUUGGUUCCAAAAGGAAAAAUUGCUAACACUCAAGGACCCAAGAGUAUUUGGGUACCAAAGGGCACAACGUGAAUGUUUUCUUUGUAGGUACCACAAUCAAGGAAUGGUGGAGAGUUCCUUGAUGAAAGCUUGUGAGGAUAAUCACUUGAGUAUGAUCUAGGAGAAAAAGAUGAGGCAAGAUGAUUUAAUUGUUUUGGUAACAAUUUUUGCCAUAUUAAUUUUGUUGAAUGAAUCAUGAUAAAUGAAUUUGCGAAAAUAUGCUUGUAUGUUUACAUGAUGGAAUUAUCAUUGUGUAUAACAUUGAGUGAUUUAUCAUGAUGCCUUUGUUUGAUUUUGAUGAUUGUAUGGUCUUUGAUUUCAUCUUCUUAAUUGUCUAUCAUCAUUGUCCAUCUCUUAUAAAUGUGUGAAUUCAUAUGCCAUUAAUUGUGUUAUAUCAUCAUUCAUGUAUAAAAUUGAACUUAGAAAUUAUGAGGAAAAAGUAGUAUCCUUCAUCUUUACAAUCAGUACAAGGAUCCCUUUUAAAUAGAGCAAUUAUAACAGAAAAGGAAACUAAUUAAGAGCUAAUAUUUGACAGCUAUCAUCUAUAUUUACAGAGGAAAGGAUCCUACAAUAUCUCUAGGAUUAAGGCUAAAUUCAAGGCCUAAUUUCCAACACUCCCCCUCAAGCUGGUUUGAAGAUAUCUUCCAUAGCCAGCUUGCUAGUCAACUUAUCAAAUUGCUUCUUGUGCAAUCCCUUUGUUAAUACAUCAGCUAACUGUUCAGUUGUUGGAAGAUAUGUCAUACAUAUUAUUCCAGUGUUGAGUUUCUCCUUGAUGAAGUGUUUAUCCACUUCUAUAUGUUUUGUUCGAUCAUGAAGAACUGGAUUAUGAGCUAUAGAAAUAGCAACUUUGUUGUCACAAUAGACUUUCAAAGGAGUUGAGAAAGUAAAUUUCAGUUCUUCAAGAAUUCUUUUUAUCCACAUAACCUCGCAGAUUCCAUGGGCAACAACUCUGAAUUCUGCUUCUGCACUACUUCUAGCAACCACAUUCUGUUUUUUACUCCGCCAUGUAACUAGGUUCCCACCAACAAAGGAACAGUAGCCAGAUGUUGAUCUCCUGUCAGUGACACUUCUUGCCCAGUCUGCAUCUGUGUAGACUUCAACUUGAAGAUGUCCAUGUUUUUUGAACAUUAGGCCCCUCCCUGGAGUUCCUUUUAGGUAUCUUAAGAUCCUGUAGACUGCCUCAAAAUGCUCUGCCCCUGGUGAGUGCAUAAACUGACUUACCAUGCUGACUGCAAAGGCGAUAUCAGGUCGCGUAUGAGACAAGUAGAUCAACUUCCCUAUGAGUUUUUGAUACUGUUCCCUAUCCUUUACUUCUUCAACCUUAGCAGGUUGUAACUUCAAGUUAGGAUCAAUUGGGGUCUCUACCAUCUUACAACCAAGCAAACCUGUUUCUCCAAGGAGAUCAAGAACAUAUUUCCUCUGAUUCACAAAUAUACCUUCCUUGGAUCUUGCAAAUUCCAUUCCAAGGAAAUACUUAAGGACUCCCAAAUCCUUAAUUUGAAACUUCUUUGCAAGUCUCUUCUUGAGGGCUGCUAAUUCUGUUUCAUCAUCACCAGUUAAAAUGAUAUCAUCAACGUAAACAAUCAAAAUUGCAAUUUUACCGUCUUUUGAGUGUUUAUAAAAUAUUGUGUGAUCUCCUUGACUCUGCAAGAAGCCAUAACUGAUAACUGCCUUUCCAAAGCGUUCAAACCAUGCUCUUGGUGACUGUUUGAGACCAUAUAAUGACUUUCUUAAUCUGCAGACUUUAUCACUACCAAGACUCUUCUCAAAUCCUGGUGGUAGACUCAUGAACACCUCCUCUUUAAGAUCACCAUUGAGAAAUGUAUUUUUAACGUCAAGUUGGUGUAAAGGCCAAUCACAAUUCACUGCAAGAGAUAACAAAAUUAUGAUAGAAUUUAUUUUAGCAACAGGAGUAAAAGUCUCAUGAUAGUAAAUCCCAUAAGUCUGAGUGAAGCCUUUAGCCACCAGCCUCGCCUUGUACCUCUCAACGCUUCCAUACGCGUUACAUUUUAUCCUAAACACCCACUUACACCCAACUAUUUUCUUGUCUCUGGGUGGAUCAACUAUCUCCCAAGUACCACUUCUCCUCAAGGCAUUCAUCUCCUCCAUGACUGCUAAUUUCCAAUUCGGGUCAUCCAGUGCUUCCUGUACAUUUCUUGGAACAAACAAGUGUGAAAUCCUAGAUGUGAAAGCUUUAUGGUUUUUUGACAGUCUUUGAUAGGAAAGAUAAUUUGCAAUAGGAUGUUUGGUGCAGUUUCGAACACCUUUCCUAAUAGCUAUAGGGACAUCAAGAUCAGAAAUAAUUGGUGAAUUAUUGGAAACAAUCGAAGGAAUCAAAGCUGGAGUUGGGAUUUGAUUACCUGAAAUUUCAGUGCCGGAACUCAGUUUUUCAAAUUGGGCUUGUGUAGGAUUGACAUUCAAGUCUUUACUUCUCAGAUGAAAUCUCUUCCUAGUAUAAACCUGAAGUUCAGAAUUUAGAUCAUGUUGAUCUGUUUGUAGUACUUCUCCCCCUGAACGAGAAUCCCUUGUACUAGGCUCUAAAGAACUUGUUUUUCUCAACUGAUCAUUAUCAGAAAAGUGUGGUCCUUGAAUAGGACAAAUAACAUUUGGAAGUGGGAUAGAAAUGUCCCAAAAAUUGUCUUCUACUCCAUUUGUCUCCCCCUGAAGAGAAUUUUUUAUGAAAUAAGGAGUUUUUUCCAAAAACGACACAUCCAUACUCACAUGAAAUGUUUUUGUUUGAGGGUCAAAACACUUAUACCCCUUUUUGUUCGAUGAAUAACCCAAAAAUACACACUUUAUAGCACGUGGGUCAAGUUUUGAACGAAAUUGACUUGGAACAUGAACAUAGACAGUACACCCAAAAACUUUGACGGGUAAAUCAGAAAACAACCUUGUUGCAGGAAAAAAUUCUUUAAGGCAAUCAAGAGGUGUUUUGUAUUUUAACACCUUGGUAGGCAUCCUGUUUAUUAAAUAAGCUGCUGUUAAAACCGCUUCACCCCAUAAAUACUUAGGAAUAUGCAUGUAAAACAUUAUGGCACGUGCUACCUCAAGUAAAUGUUUAUUUUUCCGUUCUGCAAUGCCAUUUUGUUGAGGGGUAUUCCGACAUGUAGAUUGAUGAAAAAUGCCUUUAUCAUUCAAAUACUCACCCAAGUGCUCAUUGAAAUAUUCUGUUCCAUUGUCAGAAUGUAAAAUACCAAUUCUAGUUUGAAAUUGAUUUUCAAUCAUAGUGUAAAAAUUUUCAAAUAAAUAUUUUACGUCAGAUUUUUUAUGCAUGAGAUAAAUCCAACAUAAACGAGUAUGGUCAUCAAUAAAAGUAACAAACCAUUUUUUACCGGAAAGGGUAGUGACCUGAGAAGGACCCCAAACAUCACUAUGAAUCAAAUAAAAAGGUUUGGAGGCCUGGUACUGUUUUGGCAAAUAAGUAGAACGAUGAAGUUUUGCAAAAGUGCAACAUUCACAAUAAAAAGAAGAGCAAUCAAUCCCUUUAAAUAAUUCUGGAAAUAAGUAUUUCAAAUAAAGAAAACUAGGAUGUCCUAGUCUAUAGUGCCAUAGCAUUAUUUUUUCUCGAACAGAAAUUGAACUAGUACUAAUAAAGUUCUGAGCUUUUUUAUUACUAAUAGGUACUUCAUCAAAGUAGUAAAGACCUUCAAUCAUCCUAGCACGUCCAAUCAUCAUCCCCGAGUUCUGGUCCUGAAAUUCACAAUGUGAUUCAAAUAAGGUAAUACGACAAUUAGAAUCUCUAGAUAAUUUACUAACAGACAAAAGACUGCAGGCUAAUUUAGGGACAUGAAGAACAAAAUUGAGAUUAAUUUUCUCGGUCAGUUUGAUAAGUCCUUCUCCUGCAAUAGGUGAAAAACUACCAUCGGCAAUUCUAAUUUUUUUAUUUCCAGAACAAGGAGAAUAGGUAUUAAAUAAAUGAAAAGAACUAGUCAUGUGAUCAGAGGCUCCAGAAUCUAUGAUCCAUGGAGAAGAGUUUAAACAAGAAAGGGCUAUAGGAUUUCUACCUGUUUUUGCCAAAGAAACACUAGGAAUACCAGACGAGAAGUUGGAUUUUAUCAGCUUCAGGAGUUGAUCAAUCUGCUCUUUGUUAAAGUGGCCUGAGUUGGCUUCAUUGGCCGAAGGAAUCCCACGAUUCUUCUCUCCUUGCUUGCUGCUUUUCCAGUUUUCAGGUUUGCCAUGAAGCUUCCAACACUUCUCACGUGUAUGGCGAGGCUUGUGGCAAUGAUCGCACCAGGCCUGUGACUUAUCAUCAGACCUGCGCUGAUAAUUUGCAGUCUUGUAGGCUGCUGCAUCAGUAAUUAAGGCAGAAUUCUCAAUUGACUCACCGGCACUCCUUUUCCUGAGCAUUACGCUCCUUCGACUUUCUUCUCUUCUGACUUCAGCAAAGACUUCGCCAAUGGGUGGUAGAGGAGGUCUGCCAAUAAUCCUCCCUCGUACUUCAUCAAACUCAACAUUGAGGCCGGCAAGAAACUUGUAAAUACGACUGUCUUCCACGGUUUUCUUGUGGUGGUUGCAGUCAUCAGCGGAUUUCCAUUCAUAUGUGUUGAAGAGGUCAAGAUCUUGCCACAACCUUUUCAAAGAAUUGAAAUAUUUGGUGACAGAAUCAUCACCUUGACGAAUCUCUCCCAACCUUAAAGUUAACUCAAAAACCUGAGAUUGGUUGCCCAGGUCAGAAUACAUCUGACUAACGUUGUCCCACAAUUCUUUAGCAGUAGGAUAGCACAUAUAAUUGGAGCUUAUAUCCUCCUCCAUGGAGUUGACCAGCCAUGUCAUAACCAUGGAAUUUUCAGCAUCCCAAGUGGCAUACAGCGGAUCAUCAUUAGCAGGAACCUUCUUGUCACCAGUGAUGUAACCAAUUUUUCCUUGCCCACGGAUAUACAUCCGGACAGAUUGCGACCAGCGGAGGAAGUUGUCGCCAUUUAAGCGGAUGGUGGUGAUUUGAACAGAAUGAGAGUUGGAGUGGUUUCGCAGGGUCUCAGAUGUUUUUUCUGGAAUGGCAGCAGCAAGGGUUUGAGUGGUUUCAGACGUGACUUCUGACAUGGUUGCAGACACGAUUCCCUAUGCUCUGAUACCAACUUAGAAAUUAUGAGGAAAAAGUAGUAUCCUUCAUUUUUACAAUCAGUACAAGGAUCCCUUUUAAAUAGAGCAAUUAUAACAGAAAAGGAAACUAAUUAAGAGCUAAUAUUUGACAACUAUCAUCUAUAUUUACAGAGGAAAGGAUCCUACAAUAUCUCUAGGAUUAAGGCUAAAAUCAAGGCCUAAUUUCCAACAAUUGACAUUAUUGUUUGAUACGAUUUCAUAUGUUUGGUCUUGUAUACAUUUAUGCCUCAUGCAUUAAAAUGGCUUAUAAAACAUUUUUGGAUCAAUUAGUUAGUAUUUCAGGGGCAAGUAAUCGAGUAACGGAUGCACUCUCACUCUUAACAGAACCAGCAGAGUGUUCAGCUUUGGCGAUUCCUCAGUGCCAACAUUGGGAUUCCUUAAAGGUUGAGUUGGCAGAGGAUACCUUUCUGAAGAAACUAAGGGAAGACAUAACUUCGGGUACACAAUCUCACGUGGGGUUCUCAGUUGAGCAUGGAGUAUUGUUCUACAAGAGUCGGCUGGUUAUUCCUCAGACUACUAAGCUUCUUUUUGCUCUCAUAGGAGAGUUUCACACCACUCCGAUUGGGGGACAUUCGGGAGAAACAAAAACUUACCAACGCUUAGCAGCAGAAUUGUAUUGGAUAGGUAUGCGCAAGGAUGUCACCAGAUUUGUACGGGAAUGCACCAUCUGCCAGCAGAAUAAGUACUUGGCCACUACUCCCGCAGGGUUACUUCAACCUAUUCGACUACCAGCCCAGGUUUGGGAGGAAGUCACACUUGAUUUUAUUGAGAGGUUGCCUCGUUCUGAAGGGUGGGAUGCCAUCUUAGUAGUGGUGGACAGGCUGAGUAAGUAGGCUCACUUCAUAGGAUUAAAACAUCAUUUUUCUGCUGUUUCGGUUGCUGGAAUCUUUGUUCGUGAAAUUGUUAGGCUUCAUGGGAUACCACGGUCAAUUAUCUCUGACCGAGAUAGGAUAUUCUUGAGCCAUUUUUGGAGUGAAUUGUUGAAGCUGCAGGGAACUACUCUCAAAAGAAGCACCGCCUAUCAUCCACAAUCUGAUGGACAAACAGAAGUUGUCAACCGUUGUUUGGAAACGUAUCUAUGCUGCUUUGCUUCUGGAAAACCUCGAAGUUGGGCUCGCUCGUUGGCAUGGGCUGAGUAUUGGCAUAAUACUUCCUUCUACUCUUCUACACAUUGUACUCCAUUUCGUGCUCUCUAUGGAAGGGAUCCACCCCCUCUUAUUCGGUAUGAGCAAGGAGCUGCUUCGGUAUCUUUGGUAGAACAGUUAAUGGAGGAUCGUGAUGCCAUACUGGACGACCUGAGGAUGCAGUUGCUUCGUGCCCAGCAGCGGAUGAAGCUGCAAGCUGAUCAAAAGCGCCAUCAUGUAGAGUUCAAUGCAGGUGAUUUGGUAUUUCUGAAACUAAGACCUUACCGGCAGCGCUCCCUCGCUCAACGUAAGUUUGAGAAAUUAGUUGCACGUUACUACGGUCCAUUUAAGGUUCUUCAGCGUGUCGGGAAGGUGGCAUACAAACUAGAACUGCCUCAAACAGCAAAACUCCACCCUAUCUUUCAUGUUUCGCAGUUGAAAGAUAAGGUUUCAAACAACAAACUACAUACUAGUUUUCCUACUUCCAACAACAUUCUGCUCUCUACUGUGUUGUUUAUCUAACCAUUUCAGUUCAGGGCUUAUCAGUUGUUUCUUAUGGUAUUUAUAUAUCCGACAUAUUCUAGUUCGACAUGUAACGAUGUAGUUUGGUUGGUUCUUCUUGCUUUUUGUGCAAUUUGUAACUGCAGAUACGUGUGGGAAAACAUUUAAUGGAUCUUGUUGCUGUUGAUUAGUUCAAAGACAAAGAGAAUGGACCAUGUAGCUAGGCGUCAAGGCUGUGAUGCACAAGUAACUAUUCUUUUCUUUUUUAUUUUUCCUUUUCCAUUGACGGAUUAGAAGAAAAUACUGCCUGUGAGAUACUACAAUAUAAAUAACUUCUGGUGGUUCAUUGAAUCUAUAACACUCUGAGCCCUAUUCUAAAAUAUGUAGGUUGCUUCCAAAAAAGGGCUUUUCUCACUGAUCUUUAAUCUUCAAGUAAGCUUGUUUCAUUUCAGAAGGUAUUAAGUUUCAAACUUAUCGUUUUGGGAGGUUGUAUGGUUGUAACGUAAGCAUCUGCAGGUUCCUGGUUCAACAAAUUAUAGUAUGGUAUUUUAUUUUGUCACAAGGGAAUUAAUUACAGGAUCCCUUUUGCAAUGGUUUGUUGACGGCGAUGAUGAAUUUCGCAAUGAAACUUAUCCCAUCCGUUCCUAAGGUAUCCGUCUUGGUCUUCAUGUAUUAGGACUAUGUUAACUAAUACGUACCCUCCGCUGCAUAGUACACUUUAAUUUGUACAAAGAAGGCAUGCAUUUAGGUGUAAAUGUAUUAAUGGGUUGUACCUUCAAACUUCAUUUCCUUUUUCUACCGAUUUGAAUUUGUUUUGCAUUUGUUCUUGAUUUUAAGCAUUGAAUCAUGCAGGGGUCAUGGAUCGUGCGCCAGAGUGAUGGAAGCACCCCUUGUUUAUUAGGAAAAGCAGUUGAUUGUAACUAUAUCCGCGGUCCUAAGUACUUAGAAGUAAAUGCUCUUCGAAUUUCUAUAGUACAUGGGAUGUGUUCCCUUUCGAAUAGCUUGUUCAAUACCAUUAACAUGGUUUAACAUUGUUCAUCUUUCUGCAGAUUGAUGUUGGCAUGUUCUUCUACUGUUGCUAAUGGAGUUUUGGGCCUUGUAAUUGGUGUAAUUACGGCAGUGGUGGUUGACAUGGCUUUCCUUGUACAGGUAUGUAUGAUUGUUUUUUUCCUCUACUUCUAAAUGGACACAAGGGAAAAGACAUGAUUUUGAGAUAUUGUACUGCAAUUUGCAUAUUUGCAUACUUGAAUGUUCUCAGAAUGGUAUAAUGCUUCGUGUAUGCAGGCAAAUACUACAGGUGAAUUACCGGAGCGGCUGAUUGGAGCUGUACGUGUUUCUUAUAUAGAACUCAAGUCUGCUAUUGUCCCAAAGUUGGAACCAGAGACAUCAUGACUGUGUUUUCAUUUCACCUCAACUGUUUGUUUUUAAUUUAAAAAAAAUCAUUUGUUUUAGGUAUACAUACAUGUAUUUUGAUCCCGUUUUCAUUGUAAUUUCUCAUUUACUUUGAAAGAAAGUCAUUGGUGUUUUCGAAUGGGAAUUUUGCAUUAAAAAAUAAAGAAUACUUAAUAGGAAAUUUCAUGAUUCUUUAGUUACUAUUUUUGGAAUGAGUGUAAUAGUAUUAAAGUUGGUUUCUACUCGCAAACAAGUGAACUACUCGAUCCCCAACUGUGACCACGCUAAUUGUCAUUGUUUAAUAGCUACUACUUUUAAAACUCAACAACUAACAAAAAUACUAAUAAAAAAAUGAUUUUCUUAUGAUGCUGUGAAAACAUUUAUGGGUUCACUUAUUUCCACAAGAUCUAUAACAUGGUCUUGACUUCACGAAAUUCUUUUAAUUUAAAGGGUGCUGGUAUGAGAAAAUCAGUUUUACGGAUUAAUUCCUUUUAAUAAUGGUCGAGUUAAUUUUACUAUACUCAUAAAACUAUUCUUAUUCUGAUAAUGCCACAAAUGUUAUGCUGUUUUCUUCAGCUAAUGAUCUUCUAUCAGGACUAGUUAGAAAUCAAAUGCUUAAAACACCAAUUGAAUGAAUGAUGCAGAAGUUUAAACAGUAUCUAAUUGAAAAUUGCCUGAAACAUGAAACAUCAAUUCAAGUCCUUCCUUAAACAGAGAAUGCAUCAAACAAAUCCAAAGUGUCUUUCAAGUCUGUAGCAUGACUAAAAAAUUGUAAAUGCGUUCAGAACCAAAUUAUUCAAGUACAGGAGAACGAGCAAGUUGAAUCAUGUACAAGAGGUUGACCUAGUUCUAGAUAGCUUCUUCACUGUACCUGAAGGGUUGGCUCAAUCUUUUCUUUAGAAUUCUGCACAUUUUGUAAUUACUCGUGUAAGCAAGCAUACAUUACAAUCAUAAUAAUAAUAAAGCAAGAGUAAUGAUACGACCACAACCUCUUGUGCACAAAUAAUAUUGUACAAACUAACAUGACAUAAUAUGAUUGAGUAAUGAUACGACCACAAUCUUUUGUGCACAAAUAAUAUUGUACAAACUAAUAUGAUGUAAUAUGAUUGAUUAAACAAAAACAUAACAUAACCCUUAUAAUUUAUUUAUUAUUAUUUUAUAUUUUCAAUCAAGCAAUCAUAUUAUGCCACGUUAAUAGCUAUAGAAAUAAUUUGCUAGAUAGUGCCAACACUUCAUUGAUACUCACCAUUUCAUUGAACAAUUUUUUUAUGGUGUCAUUGAGGUUGCCUUCCCCACAUCCUUCAUCAUCAUCUUUUUCUUCUUCGGUGACGUUCACUUUGUUUAGCAUUGGUGUGUCUAAGACUCCUUGAGAGAAGAUCUUCAUUUUUGGACACUGUCUCACAACUACUUGUUUCAAGGACGGGAAUUCAAGAGCGUAAUUACCCAAACAAAAGCUUGUUAGGAUUGGCAAACAAUCAAGUUCCAAGUACUUUAAUUCCUUGAAAACAAUGCAAUCUUUCGUUUUUUCUCCAACCUGCGAUUGUAUGAUUUCUUCUAUCAUUUUGCAAUCAGCUAUCUUUAUUCUUUGAAGAUUCACUAGAUUUUUAGAUGCUGAGAGCGUCAACGCAUUUAUCAACCCGUGACACUUCGAUACUUGUAGUCCCCACAGAUUUUCCAAAUGCCACGAAGGUGGUACUAAUUUUUGUAACUUACUACAUUCUGAUAUUUCUAGACUUCCCAAGUUUGCAAACGCUUUGUUGGAUUCGUCAUUUUCCUUCCAGAGAUGCUGCACUUUGUGUAAUUUAGACAGCUUUAACUCCCUCAAUUUAGGGAAUGCAACCUGAAAAUCAACAAAAUUAAGUUGUAAAUUAAAAUAUGUAUCCAAUCUCUGCAGUCUUCCCCUGCAUAUUUUAUGGACAAGAUUAAUCACGACAUUUUAUAUUUUUUUUUCCAAAUUAGUAUGCUUUGCAGUAGGAUCCCAAAUAUAAGUAUCAAAUCGAUUACCCUUUGAAACACAUAAAUGAAAUCUGAUACUAAAUCCAAAUGAAUUAGCUAGGAAAACAGAGAUGCGACAAGCAUAAUUGAAAUAUAGUUCAUCACCUCAUGUUACCAGUCAUCGAAAUAAUUUAAGACAUUUUUAUAAUUCAUACUAUAAAGUUAGUUAAUAACUACGGUUAUAUUGUUAAAUCAGAUAUAAAUUAAGACGACGUGCAAAAAGAUGAGUCAUUAAAUUUGAUUUGAUUCUAAUGAAAUUAUAUCUGUGCGAAUGAAAGUGAAGGGAAAAAUAAUAAUAAUGAUUACCUUUUCAUUGAAGAGAUGUUGUAUUUGAUUAGCUACCAAGAUGUUCUCUUCUGAUUUUAAUUUUUGAGCUUCCUUAUUAUCUGCUGUCAUGUGCAGUACAGAUGUAGAAUUGGAUAUGAAUGUUUCCAUAUCAGGGCAAUUCUCAAUAGUUAGAUAUCUCAACUCAGGCAGUUCAAUUAUAUUCCCAGUGAAGUUGUAGAAUCUUUUGAGUUUUGGAAGAUCAAUGAGCCUUAGCCAGGAAAGCCUAGGAAACAGGGGGCCUAUAUGUUCUUCCUUAGCAUUUAGCUCUUCCAAAUGAAGCACCUCUUCUAGUGAAUCACAAUUCCUCACUUCUAGGUACCUUAAAUUGUUCAAGCAUCGUAGCAGAUUGGCAGGAAUAGCACUCGACAUAUUCGUGCAGUCAUCCACCACCAGCUCUCUUAAAUUGUUGAAGAAGCUGACAGGCAGUGCUUGGCCAUGCCAUAUUUCUUGCAAGCGUGGAAAAUGCGAGAGUUGCAAAUCCUUUAUAUCACGAAAUCCAAUCUGCACAAACCAAAACAAUUGCACUGGAUAUAUACAAAUUUUUUUUUAAAGGCAUUAUAUAUAUACACAUUAAACUUACAUGUUUUGUGUUUUAACUUUUAAAAAUAUAUAUACAAGGGAGGUGUAUAUGCUUAAAUGUGCAAGUGCAGGGGAGAUGCAUGAACAAUUUGGGUGAAUCGAUUAACACAUACCAUUUCUUCAUAACACUUUUGUAUAGUGGAAUUAAGGUUGCCUUCCCAAUGGUGCGGUUCACCCUCUUCCUUUUUACUCACUUGGACUUUGUAUAGCUUUGGUGUGGAUAAGAUUCCCAGAGAAAAAGUCAUCAUGUCCGGACAAAGUGUCACAAAAACUUGUUCCAGUGAUGGGAAUUCAAGAGUGUAAUUCUCCAAACAAAAGCUGGUAAGCCUUGGUAAAUCAUCAAGUAUCAAAACUUUUAAUUUGCUGAAAGCAAUACGAUUCUCCUUCACUUCUUGUCCAACAUGUCCUACGAUUUCUUCUAAUUUUGGGCAACCCGAUACUUUAAGAUUCACUAGACUACUAGGAAUUCCAACCUUAUUAUGAAAUGUCUGUGUGCAUGUGUGUGUGUAUUAAAAAAGUAAAAAUGUAAGAAUAUCAUUCAACUAGAUUCAAAGUAUGGUUAAUCAUACAAUUAUACAUUUUAUGAACAUAACAAAUUAUGAAAUGUCUACUAGAUAUUUUUUGUCAAACAAAAACGGAACAAGAUAAAUAAAUAAAUAAAAGCCACAUAAACAAAGAUAAUAAAAAUGCAUUUACACUAUUUAGUAUUAGGAACGUAGCAAGAAUUUAAGGCAAUUUCUAAAUAUUUUAGACUUAUUUUGCAUCUUGACGCCAGUUUUUAAACAAAAUUUGCAAAUUUCAACUAUUCCUUUUGGGAAAAAAAAUCAACCAAAAUGCCGCUUUUUCCCUUUUUCCUUGGUCCCUUUUUUUUAUGUAUAUUUAAUUUUGGAAACAAAAUUAAAGUGGAUCUUUAUUAAGUACUUGCAGACUCGAGGAAAUUUCUUUACAAUCAAGGAUCAGUUGUAAAUAAUCAUGAAUUUGUGGUUAAUUAAUGGCAUAAUCAGUUCGAACUAAACAAGAGAUAUUAAUUAAAUUUGAAGACUUUUCUUUUCUUUUUUUUUUCUUUUUCCAAUCAAAAUGUGAAGAAUUAAGGAAAAGAGAAAUAUAUAGAUGAAUUUGUGAACCUAUAAGAUGAGUGACUAUCCUUUAAUUUUUGAUAAUUGUACUUAUUAAGAUAUGAGCAGAAACAAUUAAAUUGAAUUAUAUUAUGCUGUUGAAUCGUGAUUAAAAAAAUUAUAUUGUUGAUUCUAAUGCUGGCAAACCUAAAAACUGGACUUAAAAUGUAGAUUUGAGAGUGGUGGUUCGAAGUACAAUACUUGAAAUAAAUAAUCAGUGGCUGAAUAUCAUUUGUAACCCAAAAAUGGUUAAAAUAUUGUUGGAUGUAAUUUGAAAAAAAAAAAAAAAGAUUCGAAAUGAAUACAACAACCUUACCAAUGGAGGAAAAAUAUUCAUUAGGUUAUCACACCUAGAUAUCUCCAAAUUCUUCAAUUUCCUGAAAGACUCCAAAGCAAGCUGGUGGUGCCAUAUUGUUCUCAGGUUAGCCAUCCACGCAAUAUCUAAUACCUCCAACCUAGGAAGUAGUACCUGGCAGUUAAAGAUUAAAUAACUAAUUAAUCGGCAUAAUCUAUUGAUAACCAAAUUAGAGGCGGAUAUUAACUAAAUUUGAAGACUCAAGGAAAAGACAAAUUAAAUAUUGUGGCUAAAAUUAAUUAAAAAAAAAACCUUUUCGUCAAAGAGAGGUGGAGAUUGCAUUUCAGAAUGAAGGGUGUCUGCUGGUGAGCUCGUAGAGAUGAAUCUUAACAUAUUAUUGCAACCAUGGAUCUCCAGGUUUAGCAAAGAAGGGAAUUCAACAACUAAAUCUGAAUGAAUCUGUCCCGUAUUGGCAAAACUUGUUAGUUCUGGAAGCCAUUCUAGCUUGAGGGAGUGUAGUUUAGGAAAAACCUUUAAUUCAAUCAACUUUCCUUCAUCUCUUUCUGACCACCCCGUGGUGUCGACUACCCCUUCCAUUGACUCACAAUAGCUUAUCUCAAGAUGUUGGAGUUUCGCAAGACUAUUAACCAUAGAAUAUGAAAACAGAUACUUCAGACAAUCACAACUCCACACGAUGACCUUUGUUAAGUUUUGACAACAGUACAUUCCUUGAUUAUGAUCGGCCCAUAAUUUUUUCAUGUUUCUUAAGUUCCUGAUAUUCAAUUCCUCUAAGCUCGGAAGAAUAAUAACCUGCAAAGAAAACCCGUACAUUUUUGUUCCUUCAAGUACAACCGUCUAGUAUAAUAUUUUUUGAUGAUCGAAGAUUAAUCGUGAAUCCGUGAUAAUAAAUUAAUCAAUUAAUUAUUGAACAGAAAAUUAUCACCUUUGGAGCAGGGUCAUCAUCAGCAAUGAUUUCGUUAAAUCCCAAAGAAGAAGUUGGUUUCUCCCUGUCGGGUCCUAUAAACAAACAAAAACAAUAUACAUAAUUAAUCUUUGUUCUUUUUUUUUUUUUGGUCCAAAAUAAUUGAAGAGAAGUCCAUAAUCCCACCAAUACUUAACUUCAACACUUACCAAAAAUCAUUUCCAGAUCAUGGCAAAACUCCACUUCUACCUUUUGAAGCCGCAGUAGGUUUUUGGCUAUGGAGAAUGAGAAAAGAUGCUUCAAUUUGUAACAGGAAUAUACUUCUAUAAUCCUUAAGUUGCUGAAAGAUUGAUCUUCUGUGAGUUGGCUGUCACAUAUUGUCUCCAAAUUGAUCAAACGACGAAGAGACAAUGACUCCAGCAAGGGGAAGACUUUGCGACGAACCCGUCCAACUGAACGGACAAUAUGCAAAAUCUCAGAACAACUUUUUACAGAAAGAUGCUUCAAUCGUGGAAAACCUUCCCCAUCAUCUAAUUCACCCUUCAGUUCUUCUAGAUAGAGAUAUUCAGUUCUCUUCAACAACAGUUUCAUCCUGUAAUUCUGCAAAAGAAUGCCAAACUUUUCUAGCCCCUGGAGCUUCAUCAAUCUUGAUAAUCCAGAUUUAACGGACCGGCUGCUCCACCACGUAUUUCCUAUACAUAUCCUAUAGCUUUGCAAUUCCACAGAGACCAAAUCCUGUGGUAGAAUUUCGGCAUCCCGAACGUGUAUCUCCAAAGUAGUUAGCUUUGACAACCCCUUCAACUCAACAAGACUGGCGUUACUUCCUCCUUCAACCUUCUCCCACUGUGAAAAGCUGUUACUCAUAUAUAGUUCUUCUAAUCGAGAUAAUUUUGAUAUGACAUUUGGAGCUAUCACCACAAGGCUGCUACAAUUGCUCAAAUCUAGCAACUGUAAUCUCGUCAAUUGUCCAAUUACAAGUGGCAACUCCUUAACAUCAGAAUCUCGAAGGCUGAGAAUCUCUAAUUUCUUUAGCUGUCCAACUAUUGCUAUAUCUUUUAGUCCGCAACCAUCUAAACAAAAUGUUUGAAGGUUAAUGAGGCGACCAAGUGAUGAAGGUAAUGAAGAGAAAGGAAUUCUAGUAAGACUUAACACUUUGAGUUCUUCUGUCCCUUCAAAAAAGAGGUCUGAAAUUUGCAUAGGGCCAUAACCCUUUCCAAACAACAAAAAUAACUGGAGAUUGGGACAUUGCAACCUUUCAGGGAGCUCUUGGAUAUCUCUAUGAGGCAAUGAAAUAGCAAUUGGUCCUUUCUGUUUCGUCUCUUCCAUCUUUUUCUCAACGUCAGCAACAUUUGGAAUAUUAAACAUGCGCUUCUCUGCGGCAAUUGAUACGGCAACAACAUGAAUGACGUCAUGCAUUUUAACUUCAUCUUCAGCAUCACCGUCCAACAAUAAGCAUGAAGAUUUGAGAUUGUCGAUCAACCGAUGCACUCUACUCCUUGCUUCUUCCAAUGUGUAAACAUUUUCAAACAAACCCCAACCCACGCCAUAUCUCAAUAAGUCAGAAACUUCUAUGGCAUCACCUUCACUGUACAGACCACAAAGACGGAACAAAGAUUUUGCCUCCGCACUUUCCAAGAAGUCAUAACUCAAUAUUAUGGAGGUGUACACAUUUGCUUGCAUGCCAUGAAUUUCUCUUGCAUCCGAUCUUCUUAGCUGAUUCAAUGCAUCUUUCCAAAAGUCAAGCUCCUUAGUUUUCAGAGCAUUUGCAACUGUACUCAGUGCAACAGGCAAACCUCCGCAUCUUUCAACGAUCUCAUUUGCCAUACUUUGAAAAGCAGAUAUUUUAGUUGAAUCACCCACUAUCUUCUCAAAUAACUGCAAUGCUUCUUCUUUUGAUAAAGCAUCGAUCCAGAAAAUUUUCUGACAAUUCAUAUCAUUGCACAAUAAAUCUCGACUUCUAGACGUCAAUAUUAUUGUGCAUCUUCUCUGAUCAUCCUCUCUAUCUUUCUCAUCAACAUCUCCAGAAGGAAUUCCAACCGCAUCCAACUCAAGUUUUGUCCAAAUAUUAUCCAAUAUAAUGAGGACCCGCUUCUCUUGCUUCAACCUUUCACGCAGUCGAGAAGCUCUAUGGUGUAUACUAUCAUUCAAGUCAAAUUUCAUGCCUAAAUCAGAAGCGAGCUUGUCUUGAAUUUUCUGGGGAUCUGGGUUCUGUGUUACCUCAGCCAUAACGACCUUAUCGAUCAACUUAUCUUCCAUCACUUUCUUAGCAACUUGCUUGACUAGCGUGGUUUUACCCACGCCGCCCAUGCCGUAGACCCCAAUUAUGUUGAGCUUAUCAUCCUUCAACGCCUCCAUAACAUCCUGAAAUACUUUCAUUCUUGAAUCAAAGGCCUCGUUAUCUUUCCCGUCAUUAAGUCCUGUGCUCUUUGGAGUAGGACGGUAGGAAACAUUAGAGAAGUUGCCUUUUCCCACGAGACCAGCGGCAGCUUCUGCGGCCUUUGCUGCUUGUUUACUAAGCUUGUAACGGGACAUCAAAUUUGGGCACAAUCCUUUGAAGCAGAACUUCUUAGCUCUUUCUUCAUCAUCAAUGAUGGAUUUUGCAACCCCUUCACUUAUGAAUUCAUCAACGCUAUGUAGCCAGUCUGUGACACCCUCAUAAAGCUCAUCCCCUUGUAGCCUAGCAUGAUUAACUGGUUGCUGCACCGUUUCUCUUUUAUAUCCCAGCUGCUUUACUUGAUCUUUUAGAUCAUCUAUGUAGCUCUGGUACUUGAACACAUAAGAUAUCUGCCGUAUAAUCGGUUUGAACAAUGACUUUGCACCUUCUGAUACGAUGCUGGAGAAAGCUGCAAGACCCACCUCUGCCAUUGCCUGCUGCUUAACAAAUCUAAUAAAAUGUCAAAGAAAGGAAUUCAAAUAAAUUAAAAUGAACUAGAGGGAAAGACAAAAAAGGAAAAGGCAGUAAACAGUGUCGCAACAUUGAUCUUGAAUCAACUGAAACAUGAACAGAGCAUUUUUUCUUCUUUGUUAAGGAUCAGAGUUUUUGCUAUUAACAAAACCUACUUCAAGCGUCUUAAAAAAAAAAACUGUAAAUUUACCAUAAAUGAACAAUAACUACAAAACUCAAGCAAAACAAGCCACAGAAUUUUUAUCUUGGAAAGUGGAUGGAAUUAAGAAAGAAAUGCUAUAAAGAUCAAGCAUCAGAGAUUAUGCUAUUAAAAGAAAUUAAUUGAAGGUUUUAGAUCAAGUGCGCCUAUUUAAUUAUGUGGGGUCAGAAAGUUGAUGAGCCUCUGUGAUCGCCUUGAAUAUUUAAGAGCAAUUUCAAUGAGCAAAAAAUUUCUGUUACCUGCAGAGGAAUGUGAUUAUAGAGAGCUUAUAGGGUAAUGACAAUGAUUUGGAAAAGAAGAAGACUUAAUCAUGCAGCCCUUAAUAUUUAUUAAAUGACUUGUGAUCAUUUCUUUUAUGAAUAAAAUGCCAAUAGCAAAAAGAGAAAAAAGGGCGAAAUUUACUAAGUCUUAUUUUAUUUUUAAUUUCUUUUAUUUCCAUUCGCCGAAGAGGGAAUCUCUCCCUCUUUUUGUUUUUUUUUAAGGGGAAUCUCCUUACCUAAUAUGACAUAAUGAAAGCAAUCUGUAAAUAGUCAUAUAAUGUAAUAAUUAAAAAUACCCACAUAUUUAUAAUAUUAAUGAUGGGAUCCAUGUGUUUAUACUAAUUAAAUUGGUGGACCAGAAUUUAUUUGACCGUACUUGUUUUCUAUUUAAUUAAGAUUGAAACGAUAGAGAAAAAUUGUCGUAUUGAUUGUUUCGAUUGUGGAGUUCCAACACUGAAAGUGAAGAUUUCAUCAACUUUCUCACAUGGACACGUACCGUCAUGCAUAUUGCAUUAUUUUCCUAGAAAAGCAAGAUUAAUUCUUUUAAUAAUUGUGAAUUCAGGAAAACAGGUGGAUAAUAACUAAAAUAUUUAUUUUUAUAUUUUUGAUAAACGCACUCACUAUUAAUAGAAUUCAUUAGAUAUCAUAACUUAAAUAACUUUUUGUGAUUGAUUGAGGGUAUCUUUUACUUCCCAAUAAUUAACUUCUAUGUUGAUUCUCAGAAAAUUAAUUUUACGAAUAAUUUAGUAGGGUGUUUGGUAAAUGAUGAUUAUUUGACAAUCAGUUUUCAAAUAGUCUACUAUACAAAUUUGAUAAGUGAAAAUUGAAAGUGUAAUAUUCAUGUGCAAUGAUAAAAAUGUACUUGUUUGCUUAUUUGUAGCUUAUUUAGAAUAUUAUUAUUAACAUCAUUUUUUUAUUUACUGGAUUUUUAAAGAGUAUAUUCUACUUUCUUUAUUACAUAUCUAUAUCAUUUUUUUAUUAACUAUUUUAAUUUGCAAUAAAACUAACUUUAAUAUUUUUUAACUAAAAAAUUCAUGCUAACAUAUUAUUAAAUUGAUUAAUAAAUAAGUGCAAAAAGAAAAUGCAAAAAUUUAAUCUUUAUAUAAACUUUUAUGUACAUAAAACUAUUGCAAUCAAAGUAGUUCAUAAAAAUAAAAUAUUCUAUACAUGUGUGUAAAAAAAAAAUAUAACUACAAUAUUGUCCACUCAUUAAAUUUGCAGCACUAUUAUUUCUCAGUCUCCCCAUCUCUCGACCUUUACCUUUAGGAACAUUAACACCAUGAUCUUCUUCUUGAAUUCGACCUCCAUUUCCACAGUAUCAACAAGGCGAUCAAUUUGCUGUGACAGCCUUUCAACUCCUCCCACUUUCCUCCCUUUUGAGGCCGCCCUUUUUCUUUUUCUUUCUUUGAUAGCUUCAAUGGGAACAAACUCAUCUAACGACAAGUACAUUCUUCAACCACAGUAGAAUUGGUUGUUGAUAUUUUACUACUCUCAUAUGGUAUGUAAACAUGGUCACCAGUGAUUGUUAUAUUAAAAAAAAAUUCUAUUCAAUUUUUCCUCUGACUUUGUGUCGAUACCUUUCAUGCAAAAUCUAUUUGCUUCAGAAAUUUCUUCCGUAUGUUGAUAUCAUAUUAAAGUGAAUUCAAGAUCCUAUAUUAUUUUGCAUGACAUCAAAGUUUAGCCGAAUGGUAAAGAAUUUCCCUUUUUGUUUGUCCCACAACUAUAUAGUCUCAUUUUUGGCAAUAAGCUCACAAUAUGCACGGAAAUGAAGAUUUAUUAAAAACUUCCCUAUAAUAUUAAACACUAAACAAUAUCACUAUAACCAAAGUUGGCUGGUGUGAGUGGUUCGGCACUCUCACUCCUUAAGAGAGGUCAGGGGUUCAAGCCCCGCUCUCGUAUGGAGUCACCACUUUGGCCAGCACUUUACCCCUUAUGGGCCGACCCGGUGCGAGCGGGGAUUAGUCUGGGUUGUGGUACGGGCUUAAAGGUGCCUCCCACAGUUGGGGCCCACUCAGGACCACCUCGUGGUUCAGACCAAAAAAAAAAAAUAAACAAUAUCACUAUGUUGUGCAUAUGGUGCCUCGUCAACAAUUUGAUGUUCAUUUUGUUGCUCGGGUGAAUAUGACUACUUGGGUUGCGAGUCCAUGCUUUUGUCGUUUGGAUGGAGGACGGGCCAUCUUUUUAUUUUAGAUGGUUUGUAGGACUUUUGAUAAUUAUUUUUCUAAAACUGAUUUCUGGUUAAUAAGACCUAUGAAAGCAUUCGAAGAAGCCACCGAACUCAGAGGAAAGCCAUGGUUAAAUAUACUGCGAAGUAUGUGAGCUCGUUUUUUAAUCUCUUGAUCACUCAUAAGCUUUUCUAUACCACUCACUAUAUCAUCCUUUUGAAUCAAUUUUGAUUGAUCAUCAGAGAUCAUGUACCCACCUUGAGAUGAUUGAUCACAAAUUUGGCAUUGUAAUGUUGGUCACCUCUAAUUGGCCAUGCUAAAAUUGGGACUUGACAACCAAUUGUUUCACUGUUGAAUUCCAUCCACAGUGAGAUAAAAAUUCACCCGUUGAUUCAUGUCCCGCUCUCUUAUGAAGUCACCACUUUGGCCAGUACUUUACCCUUUAUGGGCCAACCCGGUGCGAGCGGGGAUUAGUCUGAGUUGUGGUACGGGCUUAAAGGUGUCUUCCACAGUUGGAGCCCACUCAGGACCACCUCGUGGUUCAAACAAAAAAAAAAAAAUCCACCCGUUGAUUGAUGACUCAAUAUCAAUAAUUGUGGGGCUCAUCCAUCUAUUAUCAAACCCGUUUCACCGACUUUAUUAUCCAAACCACUACGAAAAUAACUGCCUUCUACUGGUUUGUUCAAAUGACGUAGAGGAUCCAAUCUACCUGCACCACCUUGAAUUACCCAAAUAAACGGUCGAUUUGAUGCUUCUAAAGCAUUGGCUAGUACUAGGUACUCAUCUAAGGUCGGAUCCACUUCAGUACCAAAUGACACAUAUAACACAGAUCCGCGUGAUUUCAAAUUCAAUCAUUGAACGAUCUCAUCUUCCGUCAUGUUAGAACUCCGCCGGUUGGUUCUCAUCUCAUGAUCAUGAAGCACUUAACCGGCCAAUUUGUAAAAUUGUUCAGGUAACAGUGGGCCCACUCCCCACAUCGGCUUUCUCAAUUCAUUGGCUAAAUAAUUAUAAAUGGUCCCUCAAGACCAUCACACGUGUUGAACAUCAACGCCAUUGAUCCCUCCGCUUCCUUCAUCCAGUGUGGUUGAUCACCGGCCUCUGGUGGACCUAUUUUCUCGGAACCAGGUGCACCUCUCAGAGGUGGUGGACCACCAGGAGGGUGCCCAUGAGGCCUUGUUUAAGAUUCGAUUCAAAUAAAGCCAUAUCCUCGGGUAACCCAGGAAGUAAAUGGGCCUCUCCCGGUUUGACAUCUUGGAUGCGAGCCUACCACAUGGCACACUCCACAGCUGCCGAGCAAGCACCAGAAGUGAAGAACCCAACAAUGGGAACUUCAAAAAUCUUGAAAACAUCAGCCGUCCAGCCCAUCAUAACGUCGAUGACUGCACAAACGGGUCGGCUUUUGGGUUCCCGGGUUGAAAGGAGGUUUCGAAGGCCUUGAAGCAUUUGGUUGUGCAUGACAACAUGGGGGUGAGGAGACGAAGGAGGGUAUUUUAGUAAUUUCAAAUAGAGGGUAUUGGUGAAGAGGGGAAGGGGUGAUGCUGUGUUGAAUCAAAAUAGAGUAAAAACUCUAAUUGAUCAAGAAGAAGAAAAACACUCUUUAGAAUAAUCUCACAAAAUUGCAAAAGAGAAGAACUCUUAAGAAAACUUUCAAAUGCUUAUAAUAAAGCUUUGAUUGUUAAAUUAUAAAACUCAAAUACAAAUAAGGUAUUUAUAGGUUACAAGAAACAAUCUAAACCACUCAUUAAAAUAACCACAAACUAAUUUAAACCAUUGAAAUUAAACAUGAGAAAAAUACCUAAUUUUCACCUAACUAAAUUGAUGUAAGCAAUGACAUCAAAUUAAUUUGGGUGUGGACUUAUUUGGGCUAAUAUUGACUUCUCAACACUCCCCCUCAAUGUUAGCCCAAUUCUUUGAAUCACGCCAAGCUGACGACGGAAAUGUUCAAACUUUCCAACACUCAAGCUUUUUGUAAACAAGUCCGCAGUUUGCUCAUCUGUCUUGACUUGCCUCAUCUCAAUCUCUUCUUGCAGAACUUUUUCCCUAACAAAGUGGUAAUGCACUUCCACAUGUUUAGUUCUUGCAUGAAAAACAGGAUUCUCCGCCAGCCGAAUUGCCGAUUGGUUGUCACAGUACAACAGAACUGCAUAAUCUACUGGUUGAUGUAGAUCAUUCAUUAGUUGUAUCAGCCACGUGCUUUCUUGAGCUGCCAUUGCUGCUGCUCGGUACUCUGCUUCCGUAGUUGACAAGGACACAGUCGGUUGUCUCUUGCUACACCAAGAAAUCGUUCCAGAUCCAAGGGUAAACAUAUACCCAGUAGUUGAUCUGCGAGUAUCGUGAUCUCCUGCAUAGUCAGCAUCACAGUAGCCAACUAGUUUGUAAUUUCCACCUUUCUUGUAUAGAAGACCAUAGUCUAUUGUACUCUUCACAUAUCUGAGUACUCGCCGAACCGCUUCUAAAUGAGACUUCUUCGGAUUUUGCAUGUAUCGACUCAUCACACCAACUGCAUAAGAAAUGUCAGGUCGAGUCAAGGUUAAGUAGAUUAGACUACCCACUAAUUGUCGAUACAUCGAUGCAUCUUCCAGGUCUUUGCCUUCAUGUGCACACAUCUUGGCAUUUGGUUCCAUCGGCGUUGAGAUCGGCUUACAUUCUAGCAUCCCAAACUUCUUCAACAAAUCUUUGGCAUAUUUCUGUUGACAAAGAAAUAUCCCUUCUUUCAUCUGAUCAACCUCUAGCUCAAGGAAAUGCUUAAGUUGUCCAAGUUCUUUCAUUUGAAAACGAACUGACAAGUUCUCCUUUGUUCGGAAAAUUUCUUCAAUAUCAUCUCCAGUGAUGAUUAGAUCAUCUACGUACACGAGCACAAUAGCUAUCCUUUCUCCAUUAGCUUUAGCAAACAAGCUGGAGUCUGCAGAUGUUACUGAAUACCCACUUUGAGUUAGAAAUUCAGCAAUCUUGCCAUACCACGCCCUGGGUGCUUGUUUUAGUCCGUAGAGAGCCUUUUGCAGCUUACACACAUACUCAGGAUGACCUCGGUUCUGAAAACCCAUCGGUUGAAUCAUGUAGAUCUCCCGAUCCAGCUCUCCAUGGAGAAAGGCAUUCUUCACGUCCAUCUGCCACAAGUUCCAGCUUUUGUUGGCUGCAAGUGCAAGUAAGACUCGGACGGUUGUAAGUUUUGCCAUUGGACUAAACGUUUCGUCAUAGUUUAGUCCAUAUUGUUGAGAGAAACCACGAGCUACCAAUCGAGCCUUGUACCUCUCGAUUGACCCAUCUAGACGGUGCUUUAUUUUGUAAACCCAUCUGCAGGAUAUGGGUUUCACAUCUUUUGGCUUUGGCACGAGUUCCCAGGUCUGAUUUUGCUCAAGUGUAGUGAUCUCGUCUUUCAUAGCUGUCAUCCACUCAGAACUCUGUGAUGCUUCUUCGAAUGUCUCAGGUUCUAUUCCAGUUGCUUCUUCAACUAUGGCUGCAUUAGCGUAUUUGGGAUUUGGCCUUCGGGUUCUUGUUGACCUUCGUAAUGGAGUUGAUUCUUCCGUUUCACUAGGCACACCUUCUUCAUCUGGUUGUCGAUACACCCCAGAUUGCCAAGGAUUUAGAGUUACUCUUCGUUCGCUAUCACUAUCGCAUAGAUCCCCAGCUGAGCUUAGAUGAAUUUGGACAGUAUGCUCCCCCAUCUUUUGUUGUAGCAUGUCUUCGAAUUCUUUCGAGUCUGGCAGCACUUCUUUUUCUGAGGUCCACCAUGAGGAUGCUUCAUCAAACACCACAUCUCGUGAUGUGUAGCACCUUUCAUUUACUGGAUCACAACACUUCCACCCUUUUCGCUGGUUGUCGUAUCCUACAAAGAUACAUCUGACAGCUUUCUUAUCGAUCUUGCUACGUAGAUGGUCAGGAACAAAUACAUAGCAUACACAGCCGAAUACUCGAAGAUAGCUAACUGUAGGUUUCUUGUUCCACAAUUUCUCAAAGGGUGAAACAAACUCCAACCUUGGUUGAGGAAGCUUGUUGAUGACAUGAGCUGCAGUUCUCAUACCUUCGGCCCAAAAUCUUCCAGGUACAUUCUUCGCAUGUAGCAUACUCCGGUAAAUUUCAGCAAGAUGCCGAUUCUUCCUCUCUGCUACACCAUUUUGUUGUGGCGUAUUAGCACAAGUAUACUGAUGACGUAUUUAGCAUUCCCGUAGGUAUUGAGAAAACUCUCUCGAGCUAUACUCACCCUCGUUGUCUGUGCGCAAGCAACGAAUCUUUUGCUCCACUUCUCCUUCGACUAUCUCUUUGAACUCUUUGAACUUUGAGAAUGCUUCAGAUUUUUCUUUCAUGAAGAAAGCCCAUACAUAUCUGGAGAAAUCAUCAAUGAACGUAACCAUAUACCACAUUCCGCCAAUUGAUGGUUGCUUAACGGGUCCAAACACAUCAGAGUGAAUUAACUCUAAUGGUUUAUUUGCUUUAAACUUCGACUCCUCGUAUGGCAAUUGAUGUGCUUUACCAUAUUGACAUCCCGCGCAAACAAUAUUUGUUCUCACGUCAAGUUGAGGAAGUCCUUUAAGCAUCGACUUCUUCACCAUCACACUUAGCUUGGAAUAAUUAACAUGACCUAGCCGCAUGUGCCACAGAUCUGCCGUCUCAUUCCUUCUUGUCUUGUCUACGUAUGCAGACUCAGCUGACAUCACAUAAACUGACUCCAAUUGUCGUCCCUCCAUCGUAGGCUUUUCUGAGAUCUUUAAGUCUCGGAAUACCUUCACAUUUUGUGGACCAAACAAGACAUAGUGGCCUGAUGAUGUCAAUUGAGCUACGGAUAGCAAAUUUUUCUUCAUUCCUGGAACAUGGUAGACAUCUUGAAGUGGCACUUGGUUGGGACUAUAUCGAGGUGUAACGAUCGCUUUACCGAUGUGAGCUAUCGGUAACCUUGAGUUGUCAGUUGUUACCACCACACGAUUUCCCUUGUACUCAGAACAAUUUUGCAACUUCUGUCUAUCACCCGUCAUGUGAUUUGAGCAGCCUGAGUCUACGAUCCAAUCAUUCUCGUAGUUAAUCUUUUCUGGUGUUGUUACCGUGAGAGCUAAUUCUUCUUCCUCCAUAGCGAGUAAUGCUUCGGCAUCCCAGUUAUCUUCACUAUCUUCUUUAGAACUAGAAGUAGCAAUAUUGCUUUCGGUAGACUUCUUUUUGGACCAACAAUCUCUCUUCAUGUGGCCCUUCUUCCCGCAAUUGUAACAUUCGCCAUCAAACUUUCUAUUACUGUCGCGAUUCUUCGAAGCUCCCCCUGGACGAGAGCCAUUCCCUCCCUGAUGACUUUUUGUCUGUUCACCAGUCUUUCUAGAUCCGCCUUUGUUGUGCUGUCUUGAACCACCUCUGCUUUGGUUGGUGUAAAGCGCUUCCUCUUCACCCUUUAGUGAGACUCCUCCCAUUUUCUUGGCCAUAGCUUCUUGGCCUGUCAGCAAAUUUUCAAACUCAACAAGUGAUGGUUGUGUCGGCCAUCCUUGCACAGCGGCUACAAAGCUUCGGUAUUCGGGUCUCAAGCCAUGGACAAUUAUUCUUUUUAUCCUGGCUUCCCCAAUAGCAGCUAUUGGAUCUAAUUCUGAAAUUUCACGGCAUAUCGACUUCACCUUGUGAAAGUAUUGGGCAAUCGCCAUGUCGCGUUGCGCCAUUGAUAGAAGUUCAUUCUCGAGAAGUUGCAAUUUUGUAUCGUUCCUCUUCGAAAAGAGUGUAGCGAAGGUGUCCCACGCUUCCUUCGGUGAUUUAGCAUCCCGAAUGUGCUCCAACAUUUCUUCUUCUAUUGUGGUCUUUAAAGCAAACAUUGCUUUGCCUGCUUUAAUUUUCCACUUCCGCAAGACGCCGUUAGCAUCUUCCGCUGCCGGUUGUGUAACUUCACUACCACCGACAACCUCCCACAAGUCUUGACCUUGAAGGUAAGACUCUAUACACGUUGCCCACGUGUUAUAGUUUUGGUUGUUGAGCUUUUUGAUUCCUCCAACAACUUGAAGAUCACCCAUCGUAUCGGUAUCGACAAGACUUUGACUACACCGAACAAGCUUGAGUGACUACCGUGCAGAGUAAUACACUACUCUUGACACAAAGAAGCUCCCUCUCAAGGUUUGUGAUAACCCCAGCAAUAAUCUCAAGAAAUCUUUUCUGAUGUGGAAGAUCAGUCAAAACUGCAACCACAGAGCAUACUCGGAAUUUCAAGAGACUUUACAACCAAUGCUCUGAUACCAAAUGUUGAAUCAAAAUAGAGUAAAAACUCUAAUUGAUCAAGAAGAAGAAAAACUCUCUUUAGAAUAAUCUCACAAAAUUGCAAAAGAGAAGAACUCUUAAGAAAACUUUCAAAUGCUUAUAAUAAAGCUUUGAUUGUUAAAUUAUAAAACUCAAAUACAAAUAAGGUAUUUAUAGGUUACAAGAAACAAUCUAAACCACUCAUUAAAAUAACCACAAACUAAUUUAAACCAUUGAAAUUAAACAUGAGAAAAAUACCUAAUUUUCACCUAACUAAAUUGAUGUAAGCAAUGACAUCAAAUUAAUUUGGGUGUGGACUUAUUUGGGCUAAUAUUGACUUCUCAACAUGCUGGUGGCGGAAAUGUGAGAGGGAAUGGUGAGGGUAGAUUUGUAAUUACGAGAAGCGAUUUGCUUGCAUAAUUUAAUGCAUGGAAAUAGAUGUCCCUGACCAAAGAAUGGGACAAUCCAAAUCUCGGCCUCAGCAGCGCUGCAGCAGUAGCAACAGAGCUUGACAUCUUUUUGAAUUAUUUGAUACUUAAUUGUUACUGUUUGCUUUUACCAUCUUUCAUAAAACACUCUUUGUUAUAUAUAAAGGGAUGACUUAAUGGAGAAGUAAGUGUUUUAGUUUUACAGUUUUACUAGUAGGUGAGCUCGGAGUUUGAUAAUUUGAUUGUUAGUUUUAGUUGGUUAGUUAUGAGAAAGCAUCUUUAAGAAAAUUCAUUCCAGUUUCAACUAAAAUUAAUAAUAUUGUUCAAAUUAAUUACUCGAUAAAUAAAUAAUUAGAGAUAAAUUUAUCCCUAAUCUCACAUUUAUAAAAUAAGGAUUGAAAUAAGUUUUUGUGGGUUCGAACUCAAGCCCUCAAGUCGAGCGGCUGGAUCUUGACUACUUUGACUUAAUUAUUAUUAUUAUUAUAUAUAUAUAUAUAUAUUUUUUUUUUCAUUCUGUCACGGAACAUCUUUUGUUAUAUAAUGAAGAAGAUAAGUUGACGAAGAAGAGUUCUACUUUUACUAGUAGAUGAGCUUUGAGUUGACAACGUUAGUUUUAGUUAGUGAAAUAUCUACCAUCCAAAUCAACGUUCUUUAGACUAUUAUUCAAGUGAGAUGUCUGAGUAACAUACGCUUGAGUUGGUCGGUGCCUGGCAAUUCGUGUGAUACAUGAAACCAACCGAUAUGAAAACCAAAUCAAGUUGGUAGGAUUACAUUAAUUUAAAUUAACUUUCAAGUUCUAAUAUUAUAAGAUAAAUAAAUAGCAUAAAAUAAUUUUUAUUUUCAAGUAAAUAUGUUUAUCGUUUAAAAAUUAUUUUUUCUUGCGGUAAAUGCAACACUAAAUAAGGAGUGAAUAGGGUAAUUUGUAGGGUAUACCCCCACCUUUUAUUUCAUUUCAUUAUUAAAAAAUAAAGGCUUGAUUCAACAUUCAAGUAAAAUUAACAAUUCCAUGAUAAAAUUGCUUGAGAAUAAGAAUUAAAAUAAAAAAAGAAAACAGCAACUCAAAAACGACAUACAAAUACCGCAUAGAGGUUUUUCGUCGCAAGAUAUUUUUGGGUUGAGCAACACUUGUAUAACAGAGCAUACAGACUGAAUGACGGUGAGAAUAAGAAGGAAAACGGCGCCACACACCGAAAUGCCAGCCCAUGGAGUAUUGAAGUAAUUUUGUUUCAAGUUUGCCCUCCAUUUGUAGCACGUUCUUUUGCAGUGAUCAUUCAAUCCUUUGCAUAGCCCAGAAAAAUAGAAGCUAUCAGACAGCAGAGUAGUACCUCUAGAAAGGUUAUUUAUAAGCAUUGACGCAGUCUCUUUAUCCGGCAACCGGUUCUCAAUGAUUCCGUUCUGAACAAGCAACUCGACGUCCUUCGCUGUGUUCACGAGAUGAUGAAUAAGGAACACAUAAUCAUUUAUGUAAUUCUCUGAGUAAUGCCGUUGUUCAAAGGCAAUGAGAUUACGAAAUAAGGAUUCCGUUUCCAGCUGUAGCUUCAGUUUCGGAAUAUGCAAUGUCCUGUUUUUGAAUUCUAUGGCGAACAAAUCAUUGCUCUUGCUCAAACUGAAGUGGACUCCAGCUUGGUGGAGAUCAGUCACACUUGGUGCGGUUUUGCCUUUGUGGUAUUGCUGACCUUCUUGUUUUUCCUGAUUCCUCGAUGAUGGUAGAUGACAAAUCCUUAGAAAAUCAAGGAAAUGCUCGACCCUAACCUCAGUGUAAGGAGGGAAUUUUUGCUGAUUACCUUGUACUGCCUCUAAACCCUUGAAAUACUCGUAUGUGACUGUGAUGAUGGUUGGAUUUUCAUGUUGGUCGGGGAUUUCAAUAGCAAAAAGAUCCUCAAGAAUGAAGAAAGGAAGCUGAUUCUCAAGCAACCACAUAUCAUACCAUAUAUCCUCUAUUAAAUAGGGUUUAAGAAAUAUAUAAUCAUCUUUUUUUUGAAGUUGACGGAAAUGAUGCCUCAAUAAGAGUUCAAUGAUGAAGGCAGCAUCCAGCAGAAUCAUUUCAACAAAUUUAUCACUACUUAGUUCGACUUUUUCUGCAUAAGAACCUCGUAAUUCUGCUUCUCUGAGCUUUAUAAUUUGAACAAACUCGUCAAAGCUUAUUUUGGUCCGUUGAAGAAAGUAACGCAGGUACCGCUGUUUAUGUUCUUCCAUGAACUGUAAGUUUGCUUUGCCAUGGUGAAGAGGGCCAAUUGAGACUACCUGAGCUGUAUAUGCCUUUUCAUUUAUCUGACGUAAUCGCUCCGGAACUCUGUAGAUGCAGCAGUUUGAGGGCAAUGGUGAUAAUUUUUCCAACUUAACUUGCAAGCACUCUUCCAUGUUAUAAACUGAAAACAUGGCGCGAAAUUUGAUCAAUUCACUAGUUUAUAUAAUAUUCUUGAACCUCAUCUUAAGCAAAGCAACAAAAGCCUUCACUGUUUCUUAACAACUUUAUUGCUCUAACACAUAGCAUAACAUUUUUAAAUUUGCAUAAAGCACAAUAGUACUUUAGUUUGUAACAACAGCACAGAUAAUAAAUAGCAUUUUAUAGCUUUAACAAAAGCAUACAAAAUUCUUAAACCUUGUUUCAAGCAAUUCAUUAAUGCCACAAGGAUGUCUUUUUGCUUCCUACAGUUUUUAUUGAAAUUCAUAUAUUCUUCUUUAUCAAAUUAAGUAAUUUUCCUUUUUCAAAAAAUCAAGAAGGUUUCGACUGCAUGGAAAUACAGCACACAAUUACUACUAUUCCCGGAGUAAGAAAUUCAUAAAUGCAAUAUAAACAUACAUUUUCAUAAGACAUCAGAAUCAAAGAAUCAUCAAUGCAUCAAAUCUGUACACCCAAAAAAGUUGAAAGCACCAAGAGAAAAUUAUACCGCAUGGACCCUUUACAACCCUUAUAACGAGUUCAGACAGCUACAAUGUGCAAUACAAAAUUUCCCAAUACUAUUUAGAACAAAGUCUAGAAAACAAAACUUAUAUAUUGUACAAAAUCAUGAAAACCAGAAAUGACAAAAAACCUGCAAAUGUAAUUUUUGGGUUUCUUCAACAUAUCUUCCAUCCAAAUCAAACAAGAAUCGAUAAAUCAACAACAUUCAUCUUUAAAUGACAUAUUACCACAAUAAAAUUGUCAACCAAGCCUCAUAUAAACCUUUUUUGUGUUUUGUGGUAAAUAUAUUUGUUAUUCUCUAAGAAUACUAGGGAAAAAAGAAACCCACUUUCUUAAUCAAGAAUCAAAUAAUAUAUAUUUAUCUAAGCUGAAGUAAGUCUUCGGUUUGAUGAAAUAGCUUGCAAUGUGAUUUAGAUUGGAAAGGAAGUUGAUUUUUGCUGGUUGAGAGAGAGAGAUUUGAGACUUAAGAGUGUUGCUAAUCUUCGAUCGUGUAAACAAGGGUAACUGGGUCAUAGUUCAAAAUAAGGGUCCAAAAUUUACUAAAGCUAUUAAGGAGCCCAAAACUCAUAAUGGCUUGCCCAAAAUAAAUAAAAUUUUCGAGCAUUAAGUUUUUGUUUCUUCUUGAGAUUUCCUUGCCGUACUUACCCAUAUUUCGAUAUUGCCUCCAAGUAAACUUAUAUAUAUUGAUUAACAAUAUAAACAAGCACUAUGAAGUUUUAGGCAUGAAAGAACAUUAGGAUUGAAAUGAAAACCAUCUAUUUAAGUAACAAAUUCUUCUGAUAAUUUGAUGCUUAAUUUAGAGCAGAGAUGACAUAUCAAUCACGUUAUGAUGUGGAAGUUAUGAUUAUAUUCAUCUUAAGAAUAAGAUCUUUCAGACACUGGCAGAUUAGUAUAAAAAAUACUCAGCAUAAGACCUACAAACUAGAAAUCACGCACCAAUUAUUGAACUCAGCACAUAAGUUGAUCUUUUAUAAGCUAUAAAACAAAUCUGCUAUAACAUAAGAAAGUGGGAUUUAUCACCAGACAAGUAUUUUGGUGAAAUUCAAGCUGACGGAAGGAUAUCCAAAGCAACCUCCUUAAGGGAAGGCAUCACUUCCUGCUGAUGCAAACAUGUAUAUUUAUUACUCACUUUCUUGAGGACCUUCUAGGAACCUGGGCAGCACCUAACAGAAAGUGGAAAAGAAUAAAAUGUAAAAUAUAAGUUAAACAGCAGGAAAACAGUGAGUGAUACUAGGCAAGCAUUAAUAUGUUGCCGCAGGAAAAGUGUCAGUAACUAGCUAGCAAACCUGAAAAGGGUUCCUCCAUUGUGACCCUUAAAAUUGUGAAUGUAAAAUAUGGUCUCCAUCACAGGAAAAAGUGUUUUGGAUAGUGCAGCCAGCUUAGGGUAGAAGAAUGACGGAUAAUCUUUAGCUCAUUUAAGGAAAUCCUCUCUGAUCCUUUCAUUGCACAUUCCAAAACAACUCUACUACAACCAAGUUACCAAUUCUUUUUGUUAAGUCAUUGUUAUUUGUUAAAAAAAAAAAAUCUUCCUUGCAACAUUUUAUUGAAAGAUAUAACAUGAUCAUCCCUACUAAUUCCCUUUUAGAUUUCUGUGAGUGAAUUUCAAAUUAUUGUAUUCAAAAAUAGAAGCAAAAGACCCACUUUACUUUCAAUUUCUGCAACAAGAUACCAAUUGAAGGACCAAAAAGUUGUAAACAACCAAUUCAAUGGGUGGGCAUCUAGAAACUGCUAUAUAGCAUCAAGAUCAUACUAAAUUUACAGAAAGUACGAUAAUAAUGAAAGAAUGGUGAAGGAUACACCCAGACCUUAUCCGGUCAAGUUCUCCAUUGAAUAUAAUCAGUUUCCGGGCAGUAUUGAAGACAACUUCUUUGUAAAGCUCUUCAACGACAAGCAUUUCUACAAGACAAAAGAAAAGCAAAAUUAAUUACCUUAAGGAAUGAAUAUCAAUGAGAAGACAACGUGUAAGACUACCAUUGACAUUAAAAUAUGGAUACGCGACUAGAAACAAUUCAUCUUCCGGCUUCACACGGUCUGCCUUUUUAACCUUCUCAGUGAAUCCAAAAUCCUCAAAGAAUGAAGGUUUUGUUAGAUAGUCCAACUUAAAUGAUGAUCCUUCAAAGACCUAUUUUCUUGCAAAUUUGACUUCAUUUGCCUCUGGGAAAAACUAAAAACCAAAUGACAGACCAAGAUCACAAAACGAAUCAUGAACAUAGAUAUCAGAUAAUCAGAAAUGGGCAUUAAACAGACUACUAACAAAUAGGAAAUGCAUACAGAAAACAUUAUUCAUACACCUUAUGCACAUGAAAUAUAUAUGCAGUGGGAUCCUCUUGUGAAUUUAGUUUAUAUCCUAAAAUGAGACAAUGAACAAUUGGAUGCCAUCUAAGGGCUAACAUUUGUUUGAUUAUUAUAUGAAAAAAAAAAACAAAACAGAGUUGAUUGAUGGCCUUUGAUGGAUUGCCUACACUCCUAAAGUGCAGAGAGCCUGAUUAAUUGCUUUACCUGCCCCCCACACACACACUUGAUUUUAUUAUCUCUCUUUUCAAAUAUAUAAUCAUUGCCUGUCUUUCAUCCUGAUCCAGCUCUCCUUCCAGGCACCAGCUGUGUUUUCUUCAAUUCAGUGAAGCAUUCACUUUCAGGUAAGAAUAAACUUGUCCUUCCUCAAAAAUCAGCUUCUCACCAUGAAGCUUUCUUUUUCAAAACAAUUACUAGUCUAGCAUAAUGCAUCUAAUUGAAGACAACUCAGAAUUGAAAAAGCCAUACUUUAAUGUCUGCUGUUGGGACCUCAAGACCAGGAAAAAAAAGCUUCUUUCUAACUGUUGGAUUAACAAGUAGAAAUAGCUUUUUUCUGAAGGACCCAACAUUGCAUUGAAAAAUUCAACAAAAGGACUGGCGUCAUAUUUAGUCCUGCUAGAAUUUUGUGCACUUAACACAAUGGUUAAUAAUUGGCCCAGCAGACACUUUGUCGAACUACUGGCAAACCUUGACUGUGGAAAUGCAUAUUUCAAAUGUUGGCAGACUCUAGCUUCUUGAUGUACUGUUGAUAAAAAUGCCUAUUUCAAAAGUUGGCAGGCUCAAACUGCCGAGACUUUGGUUUCUUACAUUUCAAACCCACAAAUAAAACUUUGGCAGAACCCCAGAAAGAGCUACACCUCCCAAAUUUGAUGACAUAUGAAGAGACCAUGCCUAGUGCUUGGUUCGGCAAAUGAGUAAGUUUGAAAUAAAUUGAGGGAAACCUUUCCCACAGAGAGUCAUUUUGAAGGUUACAAUUUGAAGACUUUGUCCCCUGUCGCCCGUAACCUUCUUUGAUCUCUUUUCUUAGUCAUGAAUAAUCAAACAUGUGUUAGUGGUUGGAUGCAAUCCACUCGCUGACAUCUCAUGUCCACAAUCAAUCAACCAUAUUUUAAUAGAAAUGGAAACAUUUUAAUUAAAAAAGAAUGAGAUAGGAACAAAAUCAAGCUUGGCAGACAUGGGUCUAUGAGAUUUUAAAGAUGCUUGGUGAAAGUCGUAUUCAAGAGUUCAACAAUCAGUUCCAUCACCUAUGGCAAAGUAACCACCGCAACUAAAGCAAUUACAAAACAUCAAGAAGCUUGAACUUGGCAAGAGGUCUCAUUAACAGUAUACCUCAGAAAUUAAGACAGAAUUAAAGUGCAAGCUUUUGGAUUUAUUUAAACACUGAAAAUAAUAUGGGUAGAAGCUCCUAUGGUCACAGCAAACAAUUACAAAGCACAAAACCCAAAAAACAGAUAUGCAAAAAGCUGCAAAAGAACAUUAUUAGCAAUUGACAUCUGCUUUUGCUCAGACAAAGGUUCUCAUAACAAAGGACUUAGUGAUUAUCUGUCAUAUGUUUAUGUUAAGGGGAAAAAAGAAGUUUGUUUUAGUCAAUCUCAUGUCUAUUGGCAUUCAUAAGGAGCCCAAAAAUAAAAGAAAAAAUAAAGAGUUAGUAGGUGUUUCUUGCAACACAAAGAAAAUUUAUCAUCCAUGAAAAACUUAGUAUGGAAAAAGCUAACUCAUUUAUCUGCCAAUGCAGAAAAACUUGUUGUCUACCCACUAAGGACCCACCAUUGGCAGGUCUGAUGGAUCCCAUGGAUGGGAACCACAAAUAUUUUAUUCUAAAUGACAUGGGUAUUGCACCCAUAUCAUUUAAUUUGUAGAUUCCACUGAUGGAACUCAUCAAACUUGCCAAAUGGCAAGUCCUCCGUGGGUAGGCGCAUCACUUCAGCAUCCUUCUCCACCGAUGACCAAAUCUGGACUCAUUUAAAAAGAAUACAAAGCAAACUAACUGACAAAAAUUGCAUAUAGAGGUCUAGGAGCCAAAUCAAUGUUGUUAACUCAUCCAAUUAAUACAUUCUCUUAGAGGUCAUACCUUGGUAACUCAUUUCAAAAGAAAUUAAAAGAAAAAUGACUGCACAAAUUGUACUGAGCUCAAGAAGACCUGUUCAAGGUGUUCACUUGUCCAACUAAUAAAAGUCAUCAAGGAUUGUAUCAGGGACUUGGGACCAAUCCUGCCUUAACGAGAGAAAGGGAAUUUAGGAUGAAGAAGAUAACCUCUUUUCCUAGAGCAAAUUAAGCUGGUAAAAUCUUGGCAGUUGCACUUGGGGCAGAAAUUAGUUCCACCUUGGUUUACAGGACAGAAAUUCGUCAUAUGCAUGUAUUUAUUUAUAUUUUAUACACAUACGCAUACAUGUACACACAAACACUACCUUCACUUUGAAGAAAAGAUUAAAAUAACACUGCUCACAUACACAAUACUUACUAUUCUAGUUCGUGUGACUUUCUCCGGAGUCACAAAUAGGUCAAAGAAUUCGCGUAUUAACCGCAUACUUCCAGUCAUUUCUAUUCCUCCUUCACCAUCACCUUUCCCACAAUUACAAAAAGUGAGAGGUAGUAACCAACAUAUUUGGGUUGUUCUUCGGUAAGGGGUGGGAGGUAAGGGUUAGUUGUGGAGGGCACCUGGUACAGAAUCAAGGCCAGCUGUUGGGAAUUUGAUCUCCUGUAACAUAUACUUGUUCAUCAUAAACUAUAUACUUAUUCUGCAGUCGAUGUGGGCAUAUAGCUCUUCAAUUAUCCAGUAAUAACUCACCAUCAACUUCCUGCCAUCCUUCAUGGCUAAUUCAGCAGCUAUUUUUGCCUGUUUAAAGGGCAAAAGCCCAAACUAAGCAGAUGCUCCUACUCCGAUACUUAUUAUCUAACUACUACAGAACAGAUGAUACACAUCAAGUUGUGUCAAGAGAGACACCAAGUUGUGUUUUCCAAGAGGUUCCAAAGAGGUUUUGUGUUAGAGUGCAAUUUAUGCACUAGUUUUGAAUUGUUUACUUCCUUAAUAUCGAUGUUUUGCACUUAAUAAUAGUGAUUUACUUGUGUUUUAUUUUUAUAGGUGCAAUUAUAUUGAUUGGUGCAAAAAUUGAGCUACAAGACGAUGUUUAAGGAUGAUUGUUCUCUUGGAGAAAUUAUGAGCGUCAGAAGAACUUUGUUGAUAAGGCGUGGGCGCGUGCUGUCAACUACGGACCUGCAGUUUUUAGUUUAACGUGUUUUGUAUUUUUGGUUAUUUUUAUAAUUACGAAUUUAAUAUUUCAGAUAUUAGUAUUUUAUUUUAAAUAGAACUCUAGAGGAGAAGAGAGAGAGAGUAUUUAAGGGAAGAAUCUAUUGUGAAAAAAGGGAGAUUUUUGGAAAAGAAAGAAACCCUAGAUCUAAAUUUUUCUCUUCUCUCCAUGAAGAACUAAAUCUAUUAUUCUGUUUGAAGGUUAAUGAAGCUUUUAUUCAUCACUACUGUGAGAUCUUUCUUAUGCUUUAAUUGUUUUAUUGCUUUUUGGGUAUUUGUUUAUUCUCUGAAUUAUUUUCAUGAUUAUGUUUGUUAAUUAGAUAAUUGGCUACUAUUUAAUUAUCAACUUAAUCUAUUGUCAAUUAAAGGAUUCAUCGUAUGAAGAUUUUAAUGUUUGUGACAAAUAACAUAGCAGAGAGUUGUGUUGUGAGAAUAAACAAUCUAAUUUAAAUGAACCAUCGUAUGUGUUUGUUGAUUAGGAUUUGGGUCUCUCUGGUUUUUCAAGCUGUCAAUUGAUUAAAUCCUAUGAUCGUAUCUAGGGUUAUCUAUUGAUUAGGGAAAUAACCAACGGUCAUACCUUGGUUAUCGACUAAUUAAGGAGAUAUUGGCUAUUAGAGGGUCUCAGUAGCUAUAACCGGUCUAUUCAUAAGUAGUAAUAAUUUAUAUUUGAAUCAAUGAUCAGUAGUCGAAUCAAGCUGAGUUAAUUCCUUCAACCAGAGCUUUCUCCAAUUUGAAUUACAACUUUAAUUUGCAUUCUUGUUAUUUUAAUUUGAUUGUUAUUAUUGUCACAAAACCCUCAUUUUAUAUUUUACGUUUUAAAAGGAUUUAAAUAAUUACCGAUCUCUGUGGACACGACUUUGCUCAAUCACUAUACACAAUUUAUUUAGAGUAGGUAUUUAUUUUUGUUGGCUUCGACAACCUUCAAAUUUUGGCGCCGUUGCCGGGGAUUGGUGUCAUUUAUUUAAUCCUUUUUACGUUUUACUUGGUGUAUGGUUCGUUCUUCUUGUACAGGUACACUUUCGUUUGAUCCUUAAAUUGAGAAGACAGCUCGCCAGCUGAGACAGCAGACGAAGCGAGCUAAGCAACGACACUCAUCGCCUUGCUUUCUGAAACAGAUACGGUGCCUGAUUUAGUUGAAUCAUCAAGCGAUUUAGAAGAACAAGUGAUGGAUAGAGCUGCACCUGUAGAAAGAACUCUUAGAGAGUUAGCCGAACCAGACUUGAAUCAGCAACCACUCUACAUUCAAUAUGUAGACUUGGAGGUAAAUUUUGAAUUAAAGUCUGGUCUUAUUCAUUUAUUACCCAAGUUUCAUGGUUUUGCAGGUGAAGAUCCUCAUAAACAUCUCAAGGAGUUUCAUGUUAUGCGUUCAAGUAUGAGGCCACAAGGCGUGACUGAAGAGCAAAUUAAGUUGUGUGCUUUUCCUUUCUCUUUAGAUGGGCUAGCUAAAGACUGGUUGUAUUACUGUUAGAGUGCAACUUAGCAUAUAAUUUUUUAGGCAAGAAAGAUCACUCAGGAGUUUUCUCUAAAACUGAAUUUUAUUUUAUCUGGUGCAUGUUAAAUGAUGUGAGGCCUAAUUUAGGUUUUUGGUUAGCAGAUCAAUUUCAAAGUGUGCUUAAACGGUAUAGGACUUUAUUUCUUGGUCCAUACAUUACUCUGUUAGCUAUAAACCUAUGUGUGCUUGAUCCUGACAAUAAUGAUUUGCAUCCUGCUUGCAAAAAAGAAUUUUUGGAUAUGUUUAUGUUUGAAAGAACAGGUGUGGUCGAAUUCAAGGAGCGGAGAUUUCAGUUUACUAAACCAGGGCCCACUCAACCUCCGAAGAAGCUUUAUGCUAGGAGUGGUGCUACCUCUGAUGACGAGUUUGACGACGACACUGCUGCCCCGCCAACUAUUCCUUCUACAUCCGCACCACCUUUGAGCAUUCAGUUAGAGAAAAUGGAGCACAAGCUGAAUAAGAUGGAGCAAAAUUUGGCCACAUACUUCGAGAAUGUGGGAUUUACCUCACCAUUUCCGCCAAGCCAAUAGACGUUAUGUGGAUCAAAGCUCACAAUUCAGGGAAGUUUUUUUUGCCUUUAAUCUUUUAUCCUUACGCUUUAAUUUUUAUGUGAGCUUUGAUUAUCUUACAUUGGGGACAAUGUAAGUUCUUGGUGUGGGGGAGGGAUUUUUGCAUUAUUGAUGUCUGGAAUUAUUAUUUUCACUCUACUCAUCUAUUUUCACUCUACUCGUCCUUAAAUGAUUUUGGAGUUAGUAUGCUUCAUAUAUUAUUAAUUUCCUUUUCCUUUCUCUCUCACUACUCUUUUCCCAUCUAUCUCAAAUUAUUUACAUCUAUUUUUUUUUCUAUCAUACUCUUUCAUCACUUACAUUUUAUCUUUCAUUUUUUUACUACAUACAUCUUUCUCGCUUAUUAUUUUUUUACCUUUCUUUUUAUAUCUCACUCAUACCUUCUUCUCAUUCUACACCACUCUUGAUGGUUGAUUCAUUUGAAGAGUGUACAUGAUUUGAUGGCAAAUUUACCAACUUUGUGAGGAUUUGAGCCUGUGAGCAACCACUUUGCUCUAAUUAUUUUUGUUAUGUGAAUAUCAAUCUUAGUUUGUAUAUUCUAGAACUUGCUUUGUUAAGCAUGUUGAAGCCACAUUACGGGAUUUUAUGCAUUAAAAUGAUAAGGGCAAACCAUUUACCAUUUUUCUAUUCUCGCAUUUUCUUUUUUCUCUACCCGAAGACCUUUAUUUGCUACCUUUGUUUGAGCCUUAACCAUUACCCAUCUAAUUCUUUCCAUCUACUUAACCAUUUUUCUUCUUUUUGAGCCUAAUUUAAGGAGAUAUUUGGACUCAUUGUGUGGAUAUAUUUUGUUGCUUUUUCUACCUUGUAUUAAAGUUUCUCAAUUAGAUCAACAAGCAUUAUGCUUGAAUUAAAUUGUGCAAGGUUCGUUUCUUUUGUUUGAUUAAAAAAAAACAACAAAAAAAAGGAAAAAGAAAAAAAAGUGAAAAAAAAAUCGAAAAAAAAAAUUGAAAAAAAAGGUUUACAUUCUUGGUGACUUGAGUAGAAAUAAGCAUUUUGAUAUCAUAAGUUCAUUCAAUGAGUUCAUUCUUCUCAUUUUGAUCUCUUUUUCUUUCAUAAACCUUUCUUUUUUAUUUAACCUAUUUAACUCCAUUACAACCCUUUUAAGACCCUUAAUUUUUUGCAUUUUAUUUAUGUUUUAUGGAUUGAGAUGUGAUAUAUGAGCAAGCUUAUGGUAAUAGCAUUCUUUGAUUUGAUUUGAGUGAAUAAAUGACACCCUAAACACUUUGAGUGCAUGGAGUGAAGUCAAUGAGAGGGCUAUUAAAUCUUGUUGCACUUGAAUUUUGAAUGGAUCUUCUUGGUGGUUGAAUGUUCUUAUUCUAUCUUAUGAGAUUCUAUGCUUUAAAAUCCUUGCCUCUCGAAUGUUGAUCGACUUAAAUUCUUGAGGUAUGCUUGCUUAAAAUUGUUUUUGGAUGAGUUGAGAUGAAAAUUGAGUGGAGAUUUGGGAUUAGUCUUGAGUUAUAUGCUUGAGGACAAGCAUCAUCUUGGUGUGGGGAAUUUGUUAGAGUGCAAUUUAUGCACUAGUUUUGCAUUGUUUACUUCCCUUAAUAUCGAUGUUUUGCACUUAAUAAUAAUGAUUUACUUGUGUUUUACUUUUGUAGGUGCAAUUCUAUUGAUUCUUGAUAAAAUUGAGUUAUACGAUGAUGUUUAAAGAUGAUUGUUCUCUUGGAGAAAUUUAGAGAGUCAUAAGAACUUUGUUGAUACGGCGUGGGUUCUUGCUGUCAACUGCGGACCUGCAGUUUUUAGUUUAACAUGUUUUGUAUUUUUGGUUAUUUUUGUAAUUAUGAAUUUAAUAUUUCAGAUAUUAGUAUUUUAUUUUAAAUAGAACUCUAAAAGAGAAGAGUGAGAGAGUAUUUAAGGGAGGAAUCUAUUGUGAAAAAGGAUUUGGAUUGGAGAAAAAGAAAGAAACCCUAGAUCUAAUUUUUCUCUUCUCUCUAGGAAGAACUAAACUUAUUUUUCUGGUUGAAGGUUAAUAAAGCUUUGAUUCAUCACUACUGUGAGAUCUUUCUUAUGCUUUAGUUGUUUUAUUACUCUUUGGGUAUUUGUUUAUUCUCUGAAUUAGUUUCAUGAUUAUGUUUGUUAAUUAGGUAAUUGGCCACUAUUUAAUUAUCAACUUAAUCUAUUGUCAAUUAAAGGAUUCAUCGUAUGAAGAUUUUAAUGUUUGUGACAAAUAACAUAGUAGUGAGUUGUGUUAUGAGAAUAAACAAUCUAAUUUAAAUGAAUCAUCAUAUGUGUUGAUUAGGAUUUGGGUCUCUCUUGUUUUUCAGGCUGUCAAUUGAUUAAAUCCUAUGAUCGUAUCUAGGGUUGUCUAUUGAUUAGGGAAAUAUCCAACGGUCGUACCUUGGUUAUUGACUAUUUAAGGAGAGAUUGGCAAUUAGAGGGUCUCAAUAGCUAUAACCGGUCUAUUCAUAAGUAAUAAUAAUCUAUAUUUGAAUCAAUGAUCAGUAGUCAAAUCAAGCUGAGUUAAUUUCUUCAACCAGAGCUUUCUCCAAUUUGAAUUACAACUUUAAUUUGCAUUCUUGUUAUUUUAAUUUGAUUUUUAUUAUUGUCAACAAAACCCCCAUUUUAUGUUUUACGUUUUAAAAGGAUUUAAAUAAUUACCGAUCUCUAUGGACACGACCCUGCUCAAUCACUAUACACAAUUUAUUUAGAGUAGUAAUUUAUUUUUGUUGGCUUCGACAACCAUCAAUUACUUGCCACCUGGAUCGAUUACAACAUGGAAUGGUUUGAAGAAGCAGUUCCUUGAGAAGUACUUUCCUGUUGUAAGAGCUGCCAACAUCAGAAAAGUCAUUUGUGGGAUCAGACAACUUCUUGGGGAGACUUUGUAUGAGUAUUGGGAGCGAUUCAAACAAUUGUGUGCCAGCUGUCCUCAGCAUCAGAUUUCUGAUCAACUUCUUAUUUAAUAUUUUUACGAAGGACUGUCAUUGAUGGACAGGAGUAUGAUAGAUGCUGCUAGUGGAGGUGUGUUGGUGAACAAGACCCCUACUCAAGCAAGGGAGUUGAUUGCAAAUAUGGCUGCCAAUGCACAACAAUGUGGCAGCAGGUAAGAUCUCACUUCAAGGAAGGUGAAUUAGGUAAAUAUUUCUUCUGUUGAACAACGUUUAGAUAAACUUACUUCUCUUGUGGAAAAGUUUGUUGUAGGUAAUGUGCAACAGGUGAAGACUUGUGGCAUUUGUUACAAUAUGGGUCAUUCAACCGAUAUGUGUCCUACAUUUCAAGAAGAACCCGUUGAACAAACCAAUGCAGUUAGAGGAUUUCCAGGCAUGCCUUAGAGGAGGUAUGAUCCUUAUACACAAACAUACAAUCCGGGAUGGAAGGAUCAUCCCAACUUCAGCUAUGGAGUUAGACCAUCAUGAUUCCCGCAACAGUAUCCACCAAGACAACCAGCACCUCCACAGUCAAACUCCAAGUCAGGUAUAUCUCUUGAAGAAAUUGUUAAAUCACUUGUGACUAACACUCAACAAUUUCAACAGGCAACUACAGCAAGCAUUCAGAAUUUGGAGAACCAAAUGAGUCAAUUGGCGACUACAGUGAGCCGUCUGGAGUCUCAAGUAUUAGGGAGAUUGCCUUCACAAUCUGAGGUGAAUCCAAAGUAAAACGUUAGUGCUGUCAUCCUUAGAAGAGGGAAGGAGUUGCAAGAUCCCAGUAAGAAAGUGACAAAGCAUGUAGAAGAUGAGUUUGAGAAGAAUGAAUUGAUGCCUAAAUCUCAAGAUGCGCAACCCACCAAAGCGAAACCCCUACCUAUUGUGAUACCUCCUCCUUUCCUAAGCCGGUUUGCAAAAUCCAAGAAGGAGGAACAAGAGAAAGACAUCCUUGAGACAUUUCGCAAGGUUAAGGUAAAUAUUCCUUUAUUAGAUGCUAUAAAACAAAUACCUCGAUAUGCUAAAAUCCUUAAGGAACUAUGCACCUCCAAGAGAAAAGUAAGAGGAGAUGAAAAAGUUCACAUGGGGGAGAAUGUUUCAGCAAUUCUCCAAAAGAAACUACCUCCUAAGUGCAAGGAUCCAGGUAUGUUUACUAUCCCUUGUAAAAUUGGUAGUGUUAGAGUUGAAAAUGCUAUGUUAGAUCUAUGAGCUUUUAUUAAUGUCAUGCCUCGUUCCAUUUAUUCAUCUUUGAAUGUUGGGCCAUUAAAAGAAACUGGCGUGAUAAUUCAACUAGCUGAUAGGUCUAAUGUAUAUCCUGAUGGGGUAUUAGAAGAUGUUUUAGUACAAGUUAAUGAGUUGGUUUUUCCUGCUGAUUUUUAUGUACUUGAUAUGGAAGAGGAUAACUCCUCUAAUUCUGUCCCAAUUUUGCUAGGAAGACCUUUUCUUAAGACUGCUAGGACUAAAAUGGAUGUACAUAAAGGGACUCUCACUAUGGAGUUUGAUGGAGAGGUUAUAGAAUUCAAUAUGAAUGAUGCCAUGAAAUAUCCUAGUGAAGAACAUUCGGUAUUUUCUGUGGAUGUUAUUAACCCUAUAGUGCAGGAAGUUUUUUACAAGAAAAAGACGAAGAUAUUUCAUGAUAGAAUGAUUUUGAGAAAGGAGUUCUUUGUUGGUCAAAAAGUUCUUCUUUUUCAUUCUGAGCUUAAACUUUUUCCGGGUAAAUUACGUCCUUGCUGGGUUGGACCUUUUAUUGUUACUAAUGUUUUUCCUCAUGGUGCAGUUGAGAUUCAGAGUUCGACCUCUGACAAAGUUUUUAAGGUUAAUGGUCAUCACUUAAAACCUUUUUAUGAAGGUUUUUCGGUGAAUAUUGUGGAGAAUGUGGCUCUCGAGAGUCUCAAUUAUGGAGAUUGAUGCAUAAACGUGUCUAGCCAAAGACAUAAAACAAAGGCGCUUUUUGGGAGGCAACCCAAAUGAUUUAUUUAUUUUGGUUUUUGUUAUAUCUUCUUUUAGUUUUGAUUCAGAUUAUUUUUUGAAAAAAAAUAAUGUGUUUGCUUAUUUUGGUCAGAAGAAAAUUUUUGAUAAGGCGUGCUCACGUCUUAACUAAUAAGUACUUCUGUGAUUUUUAAAGUAAAAUGGUUUUAAGGCGUGCCCACGUGCUUAUUAGAAAAGUACUUCUGAAUUUUUUUUUAGUGUCUCAAAGUGAUUCAUCACUAAAAAAAAAUGAAAAAAAAAAUUAUUUAUUUAUUUAUUGAUUUGAAAAUUAAAAAAAAAAGAAAAAAAGAGUUUUUUUCUUCUUUUUCUUCUUUUCUUUCUUAUAUAUAUUUAUUUAUUUUAAAAAAUAAAAAAUCACUAUUCACAAAUCCCUAAUUCAAAAAUUACUGUUGAUUAUCGUUUUCCAGCAGCGCGCCUCGGCUCCAGCCUUCACUGAGCAACCAGCAGCAGCAGACGAGCACGCUCAGCCCCAGCCGCAGCGCGCAGCAUCAGCCCUAGCCGCAGCACACAGCAUCAGUCCCAACCGUAGCGCGCAACGUAACGCAACCAGCGUCACCAGCGCAGUAGAACCAACCCCAACCCGUGCAUCAAGCUACAGCCGAGCAGCAAUCGUCCGCAACCCGCCUACGCACUGUAUUCCAACCGGGUAAAUCGAAAUCCGUGAGUGCAAUUAUUAUAACAAUGCCGAAGAGGAAAGCAUCAACUUCCAAGUCAUCUAAAAAGACACCCGUCGCAAAGAAGUCCAAGAUUGCCGCUCCCACUACGGUUCCAUGGAACACAGUUUCAGAUUCACGCCAAGCCGUGAGACAAAGAACGAAACAUGGAAAGGGCAUGAGUGUUUUACUACUUGCGGAAUCCAAUCUUGGAGGGGGCCUCGCAUUCACGACUCAACAAGAGAAAGAAAGGUACAAAGAUAUUUCCAAGCAAAAAAUACUUCCAGCUAAGUAUAUUCAUUACCCGACUCUUGAAAAAUUGAAUGUUAAGGAUAAUUUUGAUUCUUUGAUAGAUAAGAUUGGUUUGCGUAAGUUUGUUGAUGUUGAUUGUUUGAGUUAUGUUGAGUUGAUUAGGGAGUUUUAUGCUACUUUUCAAUUUAAUAUACCGUAUGAUUUUACUUUGCAUACCCCGGAUAUUAUAAAGUUUAGGUUAAUGGGAUGGAGUUUUUCACACUCGAUCAUAGAUUUUAACCUAGCUUUAGGAUUCAUUGAUGAUGAUUAUUCUUCUAGUGAUGCAUAUUUAGGAACAACUUGUGACUUUAGCGAAAAUUUUGAGCCUUAUGGUCUUUGGCGUAAUUUAUCUGUUGAUCACAAUGCCUAUAACCCAAGUAAAUCAAUGAGUUCUUUCUUACGUGACCCUGUUUUGAAAUGUGUGCAUCGAUUCUUAGCAUAUAAUUUUUUAGGAAAGAAAGAUCACUCAGGAGUUUUCUCUAAAACUGAAUUUUAUUUUAUCUGGUUUAUGUUAAAUGAUGUGAGGCCUAAUUUAGGUUUUUGGUUAGUAGAUCAAUUUCAAAGUGUGCUUAAACGGUAUAGGACUUUAUUUCUUGGUCCAUACAUUACUCGGUUAGCUAUAAACUUAUGUGUGCUUGAUCCUAACAAUAAUGAUUUGCAUCCUGCUUGCAAAAAGGAAUUUUUGGAUAUAUCUGUGUUUGAAAGAACAGGUGUAGUCGAAUUCAAGGAGGGGAGAUUUCAGUUUACUGAACCAGGACCCACUCAACUUCCAAAAAAGCUUUAUGCUAGGAGUGGUGCUACCUCUGAUGACGAGUUUGACGACAAAACUGCUGCCUCACCAACUAUUCCUUCUACAUCCGCACCACCUUUGAGCAUUCAGUUAGAGAAAAUGGAGCACAAGCUGGACAAGAUGGAGCAGAAUUUGGCCGCAUACUUCGAGAGUGUGAGAUUUAUCCCACCAUUUCCGCUAAGCCCAUAGACGUUAUGAGGAUCAAAGCUCACAAUUCAGGGAAGUUUUUGCCUUUAAUCUUUUAUCCUUACACUUUAAUUUUUAUGUGAGCUUUGAUUAUCUUACAUUGGGGACAAUGUAAGUUCUUGGUGUGGGGGAGGGAUUUUUGCAUUAUUGAUGUCUGGAAGUAUUAUUUUCACUCUACUCAUCUAUUUUCACUCUACUCAUCCUUAAAUGAUUUUAGAGUUAGUAUGCUGCAUAUAUUAUUAUUUUUCUUUUCUUUUCCUUCUCACUACUUUUUUCCCAUCUAUCUCAAAUUAUUCAUAUCUAUUUUUAUUUUACCAUAUUCUUUCAUCACUCACAUUUUAUCUUUCAUUUUUUUUCUACAUACAUCUUUCUCGCUUAUUAUCCUUUUUACCUUUCCUUUUAUAUAUCACUCAUACCUUCUUCUCAUUCUACACCACUAUUGAUGGUUGAUUCAUUUGAAGAGUAUACAUGAUUUAAUGGCAAAUUUACCAACUUUGUGAGGAUUUGAGCCUAUGAGCAACCACUUUGCUCUAUUUAUUUUUGUUAUGUGAAUAUCAAUCUUAGUUUGUUUAUUCUAGAACUUGCUUUGUUGUGCAUGUUGAAGCCGCAUUACGGGAUUUUAUGCAUUAAAAUGAUAAGGGCAAACCGCUUUCCAUUUUUCUAUUCUCACAUUUUUCUUCUUUUUCUCCACCCGAAAACCUUUAUUUGUUAUCUUUGUUUGAGCCUUAAACAUUACCCAUCUAAUUCUCUCCGUCUACUUAACCAUUUUUCUUCUUUUUGAGCCUCAAUUUAAGGAGAUUUUUGGACUCAUUGGGUGGAUAUAUUUUGUUGCUUUUUCUACCUUGUAUUAAAGUUUCUCAAAUAGAUCAACAAGCAUUAUGCUUGAAUUAAAUUGUGCAAGGUUCGUUUUUGUUGUUUGAUUAAAAAAAAAGGAAAAAAACAAAAAAAAAAAAGAAAAAAAUGUUUACAUUCUUGGUGACUUGAGUAGAAAUAACCGUUUCGAUAUCAUAAGAUUCAUUCAAUGAGUUCAUUCUUCUCAUUUUGAUCUCUUUUUCUUUCAUAGACCUUUCUUUUUCAUUUAACCCAUUUAACCCCGUUACAACCUUUUUAAGACCAUUAGAUUUUUGCAUUUAAUUCAUGUUUUGUGGAUUGAGAUGUGAUAUAUAAGCAAGCUUAUGGUAAUAGCAUUCUUUGAUUUGAUUUGAGUGCAUAAAUGACGCCCUAAACACUUUGAGUGAAUGGAGUGAAGUCAAUGAGAGGGCUAUUAAAUCUUGUUGCACUUGAAUUUUGAAUGGAUCUUCUUGGCAGUUGAAUGUUUUUAUUCUAGCUUAUGAGAUUCUAUGCUUUAAAAUCCUUGUCUCUUGAAUGUUGAUCGACUUAAAUUCUUGAGGUAUGCUUGCUUAAAAUUGUUUUUGGAUGAGUUGAGAUGAGAAUUGAGUGGAGAUUUGGGAUUAGUCUUGAGUUAUAUGCUUGAGGACAAGCAUCAUUUUGGUGUGGGGGAAUUUGUUAGAGUGCAAUUUAUGCACUAGUUUUGAAUUGUUUACUUCCCUUAAUAUCGAUGUUUUGCACUUAAUAAUAGUGAUUUACUUGUAUUUUAUUUUUAUAGGUGCAAUUCUAUUGAUUGGUGCAAAAAUUGAGCUACAAGAUGAUGUUUAAGGAUGAUUAUUCUCUUGGAGAAAUUAUGAGCGUCAGAAGAACUUUGUUGAUAACGCGUGGGCGCGUGCUUUCAUCUACGGACCUGUAGUUUUUAAUUUAAUGUGUUUUGUAUUUUUGGUUAUUUUUAUAAUUACGAAUUUAAUAUUUCAGAUAUUAGUAUUUUAUUUUAAAUAGAACUCUAGAGGAGAAGAGAGAUAGAGUAUUUAAGGGAGGAAUCUAUUGUGAAAAAAAGGAGAUUUUUGGAAAAGAAAGAAACCCUAGAUCUAAUUUUUUCUCUUCUCUCUAUGAAGAACUAAACCUAUUAUUCUGGUUGAAGGUUAAUGAAGCUUUGAUUCAUCACUACUGUGAGAUCUUUCUUAUGCUUUAAUUGUUUUAUUGCUUUUUGGGUAUUUGUUUAUUCUCUGAAUUAUUUUCAUGAUUAUGUUUGUUAAUUAGAUAAUUGGCCACUAUUUAAUUAUCAACUUAAUCUAUUGUCAAUUAAAGGAUUCAUCGUAUGAAGAUUUUAAUGUUUGUGACAAAUAACAUAGCAGAGAGUUGUGUUGUGAGAAUAAACAAUCUAAUUUAAAUGAACCAUCGUAUGUGUUUGUUGAUUAGGAUUUGGGUCUCUCUGGUUUUUCAAGCUGUCAAUUGAUUAAAUCCUAUGAUCGUAUCUAGGGUUGUCUAUUGAUUAGGGAAAUAACCAAUGGUCAUACCUUGGUUAUCGACUAGUUAAGGAGAGAUUGGCUAUUAGAGGAUCUCAGUAGCUAUAACCGGUCUAUUCAUAAGUAGUAAUAAUUUAUAUUUGAAUCAAUGAUCAGUAGUCGAAUCAAGUUGAGUUAAUUCCUUCAACCAGAGCUUUCUCCAAUUUGAAUUACAACUUUAAUUUGCAUUCUUGUUAUUUUAAUUUGAUUUUUAUUAUUUUCAACAAAACCCCCAUUUUAUAUUUUACGUUUUAAAAGGAUUUAAAUAAUUACCGAUCUCUGUGGGCACGACCCUGCUCAAUCACUAUACACAAUUUAUUUAGAGUAGGUAUUUAUUUUUGUCGGCUUCGACAACCAUCAUUUUGUUUCUUUAUGUAAUUUUUAGACUGCUCUGACAACUCAUCUUAAAGGUGCCACUCAUCCAAUAUGAUAUGGUGACAGUAGUUUAGAGUUUUAAACUAAAUGCAGAGCUAAUAGUAUUUUGGAAAUAUAAUCAUCCUAAGAUACUAACAAAAACAACAACUUCGGUGUAGAGAGAAAAUGAUUUCACAAAAGCAGAUGUUUUGAUUUAAGUCUCCAAAACCCCCACCAAAGAAAUGUUCAACGGAUAUAGAAAUAUGAUCCACAUAUCUGUAACUUAAACUGUGAAAUUUGUUGAUGCUGUUCUAAAAUUGCCACAAUCUAUCUACCCCAUGAAUGUUAUUGGAUAAAACAACAAGCAGGACCCAAUGCCUGUUUUCUAAUAGCUUCAAAAAGGCCAAAUUGGUUUUGAAAUGUCUCCAGCUUUUCAUUUAACAAGUUUAAGGAUCCCUUCGGCAUUGCAAUUGGGGAGCUCAGAUAUAUAAAAGUCUGGUAAACUCUUACAGCCGCAGCUUUUGAGCAAAAAUAAUUUUAUCUCAUAAUAUUUUGACAAAAAACUUAUAUCACCUUUUAUCAGUUUUGUAAAAAAUAUUAUUUAUAAGUCAUAUUUACCAAACACAAUCAACUUUUACAUCACAAUUAUAGCUUCUUUUUUUUCACCACACAUAUACAGUUAAAAUCUACAAGAACUCGAUAUCAAAUAGAUCCUAAAGCUUAAUCUAAUAAAAAGGUAAAUAAACAAAUGCAGAAGCCAGCGUACUUGAUCAAGACGCUCUGAAUAGUCACUGGGAAAGGGAAUAUCGACGUUAAUGGGGUUAUUGCCAUCGCUUGAAACCGAAUUGGUGAGACAAUUGCGUUUUCUUCUGUACGGAGAAAAUGUGACGAUUCUUUGACCACUGAAAAUUUCGAUUCUACAAUUUACCUGCAAUUAGUGACAAUUAUUCCGUUUAGAAACAAUUUUAAAAAAAAUAAAAAGUAAUAAUUACAAACUCAGAGUAUACCUGUGGACGUGGAAUUGAAGAAACUGGAAUAGGAAGCGUAGGGAGGGCAAUGGCUGUAUUGGAGGAUAACGGCAUUUUGAACCUCAAAGUAAAGAGAGAGAGAGAGAAGAAACGCUUCCCUUUCAAAUACCGCGCUCUUUUGUACCUGGGAAUUUAACUAAUUCAUGCGAAUAAAAAAAUUUAUAAAUUUGGUAAAUUAUUUAUUAAAAAAUAUUGAGAGGUUGUGCAUUAUUUUAUUAGUAAUGACAUGGUAAUAAUCAAAUUAGUUAAAUUAAAAUAGUUGUUGACUCAGUAAUUUAUUUUUAUUAUUUUUAUAUAUUUAUUUAAUUAAUUAAUUAAUGUUAUAUCUAUUUAUAUAAAAAUGUACAGUUCUAUCCUCACUCUUAUUUUAUUUUUAUUAUUUUAAAAAAAAUGGUCUGCGUUAUUAAGGUUAAGGGUGACAACUGGGAUUAAUAUACGGUUUAUUCGAGUGCUUAAAACCUAAUAAAUAUCCACUAACUCAUAUAUAGUAAAAAUAUAAUUAUUUUAAAAAAAAUUAAUAUAAACUAAACAAAUUGAUUGGAUUUUGUUUCUCAAGGUACAUCAUUAGAACGUUACUUUUAACUGAACAAAAGCACACAUAACUAGCACAUUCGCCACAAAAGCCUCGGCUUAGUGGUCGGCUUAUUAAUUAUCCUAAUUAAAUCAUGGUCAUAAAUUUGAGUCCCGGCAGGAAUUAUUAGGCUAGGUAGCUUUUAUAGACUACACUAUAAAUACAUGUAUUUUAAUUCUCGCGGGUAUUGCUUCUAGUAGUUAUCCAUCCGAGUAUAGUGCUUUGUAGCUUUCUUCACGACCUUCCCCAAUUUCAAUGAUUGUUAAUCAAUCUUCAUAGAAAAUGUGAUAAGACUGUAUUUAGAGAAAAGCUCAAUAAAUGAUUUUUAUAGGUCAUCAUUUCAUUUAAUUUUCCGUUAUAUAUAUAUAUUCACCUUUCUCAGAGGCCAAGAAGUCUUCGACAGAAAUGUGAUCCUUGAGCUUCUCCCAAGUUUCAAUUAAUUCGCUUUGAGUGAGGAUAUUUUCUGGUGGCCUCAAAUACAAUGUUUUGUUCAGUACUCGAGGAGCAUUUAUUGUCUUAAUAGUAUUUAUGGCAACAUCAUCGAUAUGCACAGUAAAAAAAAAGAUAAUCAUUUUGUUUAAUAUGAACAUAAAUUGUCAAAUUCUGAAUCAUAUUAUAGUGAACGAUAUUGUCGUAUGGUGUGUGUAUGUACUAUCUAUAGUUUUAAUAUUAUUAAUAAGGAGUUAAAAGUCUUGAUUUAAUUUUAAAUUGUUAUUCCUCUAACUUCACCGUCUCCAUAGAUGCAGACUCUAUCUUUUGAAGGGCGGGGGUAGCUAUAUUUGAGAGAGGUGUCUGGGGAACCAACCAGCAAAAAAUAGCUAGCAGAAACAUAAAUGACAAGGAUUUGAGCAGCCUUGAUUGCCCUUCUCACACAUGCGCUCUGUGUUCUCCCUCCAGCUCUCACUCACUCACGCCCAAAUCUCACCUCACUCACGUAUCUCUCCUUUCUGACCGGUGGUUUUCUCUCUCUCGCCGUGGGUCUCUAGGCUGGCGGGGAUUUCUCGACUUGACUACUAAAACAUAAUCCAAAAACUAUCUCGACUUGACUACUAAAACAUAAUCCAAAAACUACUAAGAUAUAUAUAUAUUACUAUGAUAUACACAAUAUGAAGAAACUGCAGUUAUAUUUCAAAUAUUUUAUGAAGGAAGAGGCUGUAUGGAUUAUCCAAAGGUGCUGAAAUUAAGAGACCCACGCCAACCGACAGAGUGAGUGAAUAUAAGGGGGUUAUUGGGUAAAAAUCACAUAACGCGCAAGCGAAAUUUUAGAUUAUAUUUUUUAAUACUCUCCGAGUCUCUCUUUCUCUUUCUUUUUUGGUUUGAACCACGAGGUGGUCCUGAGUGGGUCCCAACUAUGGAAAGCACUUUUAAGCCCGUACCACAACUUAGACUAAUCCCCACUCGCACCGGGUCGGCCCGUAAGGGGUAAAGUGCUGGGCAAAGUGGUGACUCCAUACGAGAGCGGGACUUGAACCCCUGACCUCUCUUAAGGAGUGAGAGUGCCGAACCACUCACACCAACCAACUUUGGUUAACUCUCUUUCUCUUUUUCUUUUUUUAAAUAAAUGUCAGUAUAAAAUUAGAAAAUUUUAGAUAUAAAAUUUGGCGAUGACCAAACAAAAAUUGCAGGGGAAACCUUGAUAUCAUUGAAAUACUAAUCAUAGACACUGCAGUAUAAAUAACUUCUUGUGAUCUACUCAACUUUAACACUUUAAUCCAUAUUCUAAAAUUUGCAUGUUUGUUAGGAUUUUUAUUAUUGAUACUGUUGUAUCAAUAAAAUUAUAAUUUAUUCAUAUGGAAUGAAAACAUCAAGAAAGGACCUCUGAAGUUUAUUAUAACAGAAAAAAAUGGUCCAUAAGUCUAUUUAUUAUUUUAUUUAUUCAAUACAAAUGGCCAACUUUAAAAAUGGUAAAAGUCACACAAUGCACAAGUAAAAUUUUAGAAUUAAAUUUUUUAAUUCUCUUUGAGUCUCUCUCUCUUUAAAAAAUAAACCUCACUGUAAAAUUAGAAAAAUUUUAGACGUAAAAUUUGACAAUCACCAAAUAGAAAACAUAGGCAAAUGAAAAUGGAGGAGCCCUAUUUUCAUUAGAAUAUUGAUCAUAGAUACUAUAAUGUAAAUCAUUUGUUGUGGUUCAUUCAACCUGUCACACUCUAAGCCAUUUUCUAAAAUUUGUAAGGUUUAUAGGAUUUUUAUUAUUGCCAUCAUUGUAUCAAUAAUAUUAUAAAUUAUAUAUUCUAUUGUAAUGAAAAUUUGUGCAAUCUUAGGUAUGUAUUAUAUUAAAUUGUGUGGAUUAAUUAAGAAUAUUUUUGGAGACAAAAGAAGUGUGUGUAUGUAAGAAUAAUGAUAAAAAAUUUCUAAAUAAAGGUGAUUGCUUCAUUGACAAGUACAUAUUUAUAUUCCUCUAUUAGUAUUUGGGUUGUAAACUCUGUUUAUAAAGUGAAUAUAUUGUGGUAAGCGAUGUGGGAAAUAUCGGAUGCGAAAUAUUGAGAGAUCAUUAACGCAUAUAUUUAUUGAAGAUGCAUAUAGAGGAAAGAGUGUAGAUCCGGCCGUAACACUUAUGAAGCUUUCCCUAAGUAUUCUCAUGCUUGCUUAACUAUUCCGAAGUAUUUUUCAUAGUGUGCAUAUUUACUUUAUGGUGUCUUUAUUCGUCUCAAAUGAUUACUACAGUUCUUUUGGGAUGAAAGGUCAUUUAUUUUGUUAAUUUUAAACAAUAGAAAAAAUAAAUAAUGGUAACGAAAGACUAAUUGUGAUAUUGAAGCGUACGGACUUUAACUCAAUCCAAAAAUUAGUAGGACCCACAUAUAUUUGAUGACGCUGAAAGUUACAUCAAUUGUAACUUAGAAACAUCCAAAUAUUAGACAAUAAUACACAAUAACAAUGCAUAUAAUUUGGGUUUGAUUUUUAAAAAAUUAUUUGAAUAUCACUUAUCCUUAAGAUAUUAAUUUGAAUAUAUUUUAAUAGUAAAUAAUAAAAAUUUGUUUAGUUAUUAUUUGUAUUUCAUACAUUGCAUGUUAGAUUUGUUUGAAUUUUAAGUUGUUGCGAAUAAAUAUUUAUGUUGUGAAAGUCGAAUUCAAUAGCUACAAAAGCAGAGAUAAUUGUAUUUUAUAUAGUUUUUAAGAAUACAAGGAUAAGAUCAUAACGCAUGAGAUAACGGUAUUUUAUAUUAAAAGACCAUAAUGCAUGUAUUUGAGCCAUUUAUAUUGAAGACACAUAUAGAGGAAUGAGUGCAGAUCCGACCAUAACUAUUGUGAAGCUUUCCUCAAGUAUUCUCAUGCACCCAAACCUUAUCUGGUCAAGGUUUCUGAUUGAAUAUAAUCAAUUUCCGUGCAGUACCGAAGACAGCUUCUGUUGGUAGUUGAAUUUGUGGGGAAUGACAAAUGUAGAGAAAUACAACAAUAAUGGUGGAACUUUAUUACGUAAAGUAAUGUGUUUACAACUAACUCUGUAUGUAGUAAGAAAAAUAAUAGUAAUAAGUAAACUUGCAAAAAUUUUGUGUGCUUGAAGGCACGUUACAAAUGUCGCUUUCCUUAAGACGUUAUUUGCCCCCACCAAUUGAGUGAUGCACAUGGGUUAAGCAAAUACGCAUCCAGGAUACAAUGAAGCACUUGUUUGUUUGCUAGUGUUGUGCAUCAACGAAAGCAAACCAGAAUACUCUUGAAUGUUGCAAGCCUGCCAAGAAACAAUAAAUUGUUCCUGCAGAAAACAAUAUAUUGGAUUGUGAAUGCACAAAAGAAAUGGGUGUUUUGUGUUGAAAUUCGUACUAGAAAGGAAUGCUAAGAAAAGAGUGGUGUAGGAUCAUUGAUUUCAUGUCUAAAUGGCUUAAACAUGACCCCUAUUUAUGGAUAUACUUGUGCCCCCUCAUUUGGGUUGUCAUCUUCAUGAUACCCCUUCAUUCAUGGCCAUUGGAUCUAUAUUUAAUUUUAAUCAAUGGUCCAAAUUGAACCAUCACCAUUUCAAAUGAAAUGUCACCAUGAAAUGAUGCAUCUCUAAGUGAAAUGUUACCAUGAAAAGUUAUAUCAUUUAGUAAAAAGAUACAUUUUCUAUAAGACAUAAUUAAAUAGACAUGUCCUUACAACAAGACAUCAUUUAAUUAGACAUGUCUUUAGUGAAAUGUACUUUUUCUAUAAGGCAGAAUUAAUAAGACAUGUCUUCACCAUAAGACACAAUUUAUUUUGAAAAUUUUCCAACAGCUUAUCUGUAAAGCUCUUCAACCACAAGCAUUUCUACAAGGCAAAAGACUAGGACGUGUUGGAAUGAAUAUCAAUAAGGGAAUGUCUUAUGAAUUUGGUUUAUAUCCUAAUAUAAGACAAUCAAUAAAUAUUGGAUGCAAUCUAAGGGCUAACAUUUGAUUGAUCAUUGUACGAAAAAAAAAGGUACAAAAAUACAAAACAGAGCUGAUUGAUGGCCUUUAACAGUCAGUUCUAUGACAAAGUAACCACCACAACAAAUGGAAUUAUAAGACAUCAAGAAACUUGAACUUGGCAGGAGGUCUCAUUAGCAGUAUACCUCAGAAAUUAAGACAGAGACUUUAAAAUGCAAGCUUAUGGAGUAAUUUAAGCACUGAAACUAAUAACAGUGAUGCAAAAAAAGGUGCAGAAGUACGGUAUUAGCAAUUGACCUCUGCUUUUGCUUGGACAAAGGUUUUCAUCACAAGGGACUCAUUAGUUGCCCUUGCCUCACACGAUUGGAUGCUAAGGGGAAAAAGGAAGCUUCUAACGGCAUUCACAGAGAACCUAUAAAACUAAAAAAAAAAAAAAUCAUCCAUGAAAAGGCUACUAACAAAAAAACUAACUCUUUUAUCUGCCACUGACCUAAUCCGCACUCAUUUAAUUAAAAAAGAAUUAAAAGCAAAACUAAAAGAUACAAAUUGCGUACAAGUCUAGGAGCCAUAUCAAAGGCGUUAUAUAACUUUUCCAAUUAAUAAAUUCUCUUAAGGGCCAUACCGUGCUCAUCAUUUCAAAAGCAAUUAAGGAUAAGAACUUUCAUCAUUAAUUGAUAUGGCCAGUGUAGAAAAAAUGAAAAAGCCCUCCAAGAUCAAAGCACAAGGAUCAGUUUAGAAUUACACUUUUUAAAUUUUGGUUAAUAAAUAAACGUUUAUAUGAAAAUAGAAAAUCUUUUUGGAAUAACCUUUUUUUUUCUUUUUUUAAUGAAUGUGGAUAUAAAAUUUUAAAAUCGCCAAACCGAAAAGAAAAACAGGGGAAUGAAAAGAGAGCCCACGUUUCUCCUCUCUUUUGUUUUUAUUGUUAUCAAACAGGGGAAUGAAAAGAGUGCUCUGUUUCUCCCCUGUUUUGAUUUUUUUAUUACUAAACAGGGGAAUGAAGAGAUCAGCUCUUGUCGCAAGCGCAAAUUUUUGUUUCUAAAUGCAGUUGGUUGUAACUAUAUUCGCAGUCCCUAGUACUUAGAAGUAAAGGCUCUUGGAAUUUCUAUUGUAGUACAUGAGAUGUUUCCCGUUCAAAUAGCUCGCCCGAUACCAUUAGCAUGUUCAUCUCUCUAUAGAUUGAUGUUGACAUAGAUGUUAUUCUACUUUUGCUAGUGGAGUUUUGGGCCUUGUCGUAAUUGGUGGAAUUACGACAUCGGUGGCUGACAUGGCUUUCCUUGUACAGGUAUGUAUGAUUGUUUUUUUUGCACGUCUAAAUGGCACUGUUGAAAAGCUUAAAAUUGAACUGAUAAUUUUGUUUGGAAGCUCAGAAAAUUCAUGAGAAAGUGAAAUAGAAUAUUCUGGAUUUCUUUUCUUUCCAUAACAUACAAAUGACAAACGUAGCAGUAUUUAUACUCGUUGCUUACAUCAUAAAAACAGAAUUAAAGCAAGUUAUACAACUAUAACAUAAUAAAAACCGUGCUUAACUAAUUGGCUGAGCUAGCAUAUACUUCUUUAACUAACACAUGCUUAUCGUGCAGCUACUCUUUAGUUCACACGUGCUCAGUGUGCUUCCUUAACAGACACAAGGGAAAAGACAUGAUUUUGAGAUAUAACGCUUGAAUGUUCUCGGAAUGGCAUAACGCUUUGUGUGUCUCGGACCUGUUAAGAAUAACAUAUGCUGAGUCAGCUGCUGAGUCAUCAAGCCACGCUGGAAGUUAGUUUUGCAGUUAGUUAGAGAGCUUAUCAGCUUCCCUCCAAAAGUUUGUUAUGUGUAUUAGAAUCUGGGCUCACGAGUUUUGUGAGAUUGUAACCUUAAGAAGAUUCUCACACUACUAUAAAUUGUAUUGUGACUCAAUUAAUAAAAUAAGUUGAAGCUUUGCAUUUUCUCUCAGUCAAAAUUUUCUCUCUGUUUUUCUAACCAAACAAGAUCUACAGAGCAUCUUGUAUUUUAACUUGGUAUCAGAGCUUGAAUCCAAUGGCCUUAAUCGGUUCCAAUCAACAGUCAAGCAACACUUCCAUAACUUCUUUCACCUUCACAAAUCCAAUUAAGCUUGAUCGUGCAAACUAUACGAUCUGGAAACAAUAAGUACUUUCUUCAAUUCGUGGCAAUGGUCUUGAAGGCUAUAUUGAUGGAUCAAGGAUCUGUCCUAGUCAAUUUCUUUCUCCAGAGGCUAGAUCUGAAGGUUCUUCUUCUUCUAACAUCGAAGGUCAAGAGAAUCCAGAGUAUGCAGCCUGGAGACGUCAAGAUUAGCUCCUGCUCAGCUGGAUUCUGUCGUCCAUGAAUGUAGAUAUUCUCAGUCUUGUGGUAAGCUCUAAGACUUCUUUUGAGUUGUGGAAAAAUCUAGAAAAAUAAUUUGGAUCUGAAUCUAUGGCUAAGAAGGUUCAUCUAAAAAUGCUUUUGAGUAACCUGCGAAAAGGAUCUCUAACCAUGUCUGAGUAUUUUACAAAGCUUAAGUCAGUUACAGAUGGUCUUGCUUUAGUUGGUAGCCCUGUGCAUGAUUCGGAUUUAGUCACUCAUCUUAUUACUAGUCUAGAUCAGUCAUAUUAUCCUGUAGUAGUCUAUAUUGAGGCAAACAUGUUGAAAAUGGAUCUUAGUGAGGCUUAUGCUAUGCUUCUCACACAUGAAGCUAGACUUGAGAAUAAUAAGCUUCAUGAUAGUAAGGAAACCAAGAACAAUUAUGCAGCAAAUGUAGCUCAGGCUGGAAAUUUUUCAAAGAAAGGUAAUAACAAUAAUCAAAACAACUGGAAGGCUGGAGGAAACAAUUGGAAUAAUAACUCUGGUGGAAGAGGUGGUUUUGGUGGUAAUGGAAGAGGUGGUUACCAAGGGUUCAAUCCAGGAAGAGGAAACUAGAAUAAUAAUAAUUUCAGAGGUGUUGCUGGUGGAUUUAAUAGUGGAUUUCCUGGUCCCGGUGGCUUCAAUAACAAUUAUGGCAGAGGUGGUUUCAACUCAGGAGGUGCUGGAAAGAAUUUUGCUCAGGGAACUGGUGCUGCUUGUCAGAUAUGCUUCAGGUUUAAUCACACAGCAGCUGAUUGCAGAGACAGGUUCAACCGAAAUUUUAUCCCAAAUUUUCCAGCUCCAGCUCCAAAUCACUUCUGUAAUCAGCAUCAAGGACCAAGAGCAGUCUUCAUAACAACAUCUGAAGGAGCUGCUGAUCAGGGAUGGUUUCUGGAUAGUGGUGCAACUCACCACUUAACCAACACAGUUCAGAAUCUGAGUGAUGGUAAAAUCUAUUUUGGCUCAAACUUACUUACUGUUGGUAAUGGCCAAGGUCUUAGAAUUACUCACAUAGGUUAUACACAACUUCACACUUCUUUUGGCACCUGUUUACAACUACAUAAUAUUUUGUGUGUCCCUCAAAUUACCAAGAACCUCAUUAGUAUUUCCAAACUCCUCACUGAUAAUGAUAUAACCAUUGAAUUUUUCUCUGAUGUUUGCUUUCUAAAGGACAAGGUGAAGGGCACUCUGUUGGCUCAGGGGAUAGCCUAUACAAGCUACUAUCAAAAGAGGAAUCUCUCUCUUCUUCCACUUCUGUUCUGCCAGUGUCUCAUCCUAGUUCUAUGAUGUCAACUCUUUCCUGCAAUAAUGUAGUUACUUCUGUUCAAAGUUCAAAUAAUGACUUCUGUUUUAAGUCUACAUUUCCUGUAAGCUUUCAAACUUCAAGUUAUGUGUCAGCAAAUAUGUUGCACAAUAGACUUGGUCAUCCAAGUAAACAUGUCAUACAAACUAUUCUCAGAAACAAUUGUUUAAUGUCAGCCAAUGUUAGUAAAUCAAAUUUUCUUUUCUGUGAUGCCUGUCAAUUGGGAAAGUUACAUCAAUUACACUUUCCUGCUACUGAAAUCAAAACAAAAAACCCCUUAGAAUUAAUACACACAGACUUAUGAGGACCAGCACCAGUUUUAUCACUAGAUGGCUAUAGAUACUAUAUUUCCUUUGUUGAUGACUUCACCCGAUAUUGUUGGAUCUUUCCUUUAGUUUUAAAAUCUGAUGCUCUUACUACUUUCAAAAACUUCAAGAGCUUAGUUGAGAAACAAUUCAGUCUGCCUAUCAAAAUUCUGCGGUCUGAUAUGGGAGGUGAAUUCAAAGCUUUUCAGUCCUUUCUUCAACAAGAAGGUAUCCAAGCUAGAUUUAGUUGUCCCUAUACUCACCAUCAAAAUGGUGUUGUUGAGAGAAAAUAUAGACACUUAGUAGAAACUGGAUUAACACUCCUUACUCAAGUAAAAAUGCCUAUUUCUUUCUCGUGGGAGGCUUUCCAUACAGCCUCCUAUCUCAUUAAUAGAAUGCCUACCACUACACUGAACAACUUAUCUCCCUAUCAAAAGCUUCAUAAUCAGCCACCAAACUAUCAACUUCUCAGAGUUUUUGGUUGUGCUUCCUAUCCUUUUCUCAAGCCUUAUAAUGAUCACAAGCUUGAUUUUCAUUCCCAAAAAUGCUUGUUCUUAGGUUACAGCCCUCUUCAGAAAGGAUAUAGGUGUCUAACAAAGUCAGGUAAAGUAUAUGUUGCUACUCAUAUUGUUUUUAAUGAAUCUGAUUUUCCCUAUUCAGAGUUGUUCUCUUCAUCUGAGUCUUCUUCCAAUUCUCUAUCAUCAUACUCUCCAUCUAUUUGUAUCCUUAAUGACAGUGGCUUGCAUCAAUCAUCAGCUACAUCUCCUACUUCAGCAAAGUUACCAACUAUACAUUCACCUCAACAUCCUCACCAAGCCCCACACUCUCCUUGUCCCUCUCCAGUCUCAGAUUCCUACAGCUAAUCAUCACCACAUUCUUCAUCACAUAAUGCUUUAGCCAAUCCCUCUGAUGAAUUACAACCAUCAUCUCAACCUGUCAUUUCAACUCAUCAGAUGGUCACUCGAGCCAAAUCUGGUAUUUUUAAACCAAAGACCUACCUUACAGCUACCCAAGACCUUGAACCAGUGAGUGUUAAAGCAACCCUAAUUGAUACAAAGUGGAAAAUGGCUAUGCAAGAAGAGUAUAAUGCCUUGCAGAAGAAUGGCACCUGGACAUUAGUUCCAGCUGAAACAGCUACAAAACUUGUUGGCAAUAAGUGGGUUUUUCGAGUUAAAUAUAACCCAGAUGGCAGCAUUUCCAAGUAUAAGGCUCGGUUGGAUGCAAAAGGUUUUCAUCAAACCUAUGGAGUAGAUUUCUUUGAAACUUUUAGUCCAGUUGUUAAACCCUGCACUGUUCGUAUUGUUCUCAGCUUAGCAGUCAUGCAUUGUUGGCCAGUUCGGCAAUUAGAUGUUAACAAUGCCUUUCUUAAUGGCAUGCUUACUGAAGAUGUGUUUAUGCCUCAGCUAGAAGGCUUUAUCAGCUCUCAGUUUCUCAAUCAUGUCUGCAAAUUACAAAAAGCCCUUUAUGGUCUUAAACAGGCUCCAAGGGCUUGGUAUGAUAGAUUGAAAGGGUCUUUAGUUCAGUGGGGUUUCAAAUCUUCAAAGUCAGAUACUUCACUGUUUUUCAAGCAUAUUGGCAAUAAUGUUCUCAUCAUCCUUGUUUAUGUAGAUGAUAUCCUGAUAACAGGCUCUAGUGAUGUUUAUAUUUAAGAGGUUAUCAGUCUACUUAGCUCAGAAUUUGCACUUAAAGAUUUAGGAGAUUUUAACUACUUUCUUGGGGUAGAAGUGACUCCAUCUGCUGAAGGAUUACAUCUAUCUCAAACUAAGUAUGUUGGUGACAUCUUAAGAAAAGCUCAUAUGCUUGAGAGUAAAGGUUGUAAUACACCUAUCAGUGUUGCUGAUAAAUUGCAGAAGGACAAAGGCUGCUCAUUUACAAAUCCCUCACUUUACAGAAGCAUCAUUGGUUCUCUGCAGUAUCUGACACUGACCAGACCAGAUAUUGCAUUCACUGUAAACAAAUUGAGUCAGUUUUUAGCUGCUCCAACUAUCUUGCAUUGGCAGGCUUGCAAGAGGGUAUUACGAUAUCUACAAAGCACAUCACAUUUUAGACUGCAAUUCUUCAAGUCAGGUUCUCCAAGUCUCAUAGCAUAUUCUGAUGCAGAUUGGGGGUCUGAUCCAGAUGAUAGAAGAUCUGUUGGAGGGUAUUGUGUUUAUCUUGGAUCCAAUCUUGUGUCUUGGUCAUGUAAGAAACAGAACAUUGUUUCCAGGUCAUCUGUUGAAUCUGAGUAUAGAGCAUGGCCUUAGCUACAUCUGAGGUUUUGUGGAUUACAUAUCUAUUAAAAAAGCUCAAAGUAUCACUUCCCAAACCUCUUGUUCUUUACUGUGACAACAGCAGUGCAGAAGCUUUGGCUAGCAAUCCUAAGUAUCAUUCCAGAACUAAACAUAUAGAACUGGAUUUACAUUUUUUCAGAGAACACAUUGCCAACAAGGAUCUCUUCAUUGAACAUGUGUCUAGUUCUGAUAAGCUAGCUGAUGUGCUUACCAAACCUCUGAGUUUUGAUCAUUUUGCCUAUAUGCAAACUAAGGUCAAUGUCUGCCCAUGACCUUGAGCUUACGGGGGCAUUUUAAGAAUAACAUAUGCUGAGUCAUCAAGCCAUGCUGGAAGUCAGUUUUGCAGUUAGUUAGAGAGCUUAUCAGCUUCCCUCCAAAAGUUUGUUAUGUGUAUUAGAAUCUGGGCUCACGAGUUUUGUGAGAUUGUAACCUUGAGAAGAUUCUCACACUACUAUAAAUUGUAUUGUGACUCAAUUAAUAAAAUAAGUUGAAGCUUUGCAUUUUCUCUCAGUCAAAAUUUUCUCUCUAUUUUUCUAAGUAACCAAACAAGAUCUACAGAGCAUUUUGUAUUUUAACUGGAGCGGCUGAUUGGUGCUGUACGUGUUACAUUUUUACUUUUUUAACUCAAGUCUGCUGUUGUCCCAAAGUUGGAACUAGAGAUAUCAUUUCACCUCAACUGUGUUUUUUUUUUAAUUAAAAAAAUCAUUUGUUUUAGGUAUACAUACAUGUAUUUUAAUUCUAUUUUCCUUGUAAUUUCUCCUUUACUUUGAAUGAAAGUCAUUGGUGUUUUCGAAUGGGAAUUUUGCAUUAAAAAAUUAAGAAUAGUUAAUAGGAAAUUUCCUGAUUCUUUAGUUACUAUUUUUGGUAUGAGUGUAAUUAGUAGUAAAGUUGGUUUCUACUCGCAAACAAGUGAACUGCUCGAUUCCCAAGUGCUAUUAACCAGUUUCCAACUUUUUAAUAUACACUAAUUGUUCCUGUUUAAUAGCUACUACUAUUAAAACUCAACAGCUAACAAAAAUACUAAAAAAAAUGAUUUUUUCUUAUGAUGCUGUGAAAAAAAUUACGGGUUUACUUAUUUCCACGAGAUCUUGUAUAGUGUUCUUGUAUAGUGGAAUUAAGAUUGUCUUCCCGAUGGUGCAAUUCACCCUCUUCCUUUACAGUCACUUGCACUUUGUGCAGCUUUGGUGUGGAUAAGAUUCCCAGGGAAAAAGUCUUCAUGUUCGGACAAUGUGUCACAAAUACUCGUUCCAAUGAUGGGAAUUCAAGAGGGUAAUUCUCCAAACAAAAGCUGGUAAGCCUUGGUAAAUACGACUCUCCUUCACUUCUUCUCCAGCAUGUCCUACGAUUUCUUCUAAUUUUUUGCAGUUCCAUACAUAAAGAUUCACCAGACUAGUAGGAAUUCCAACCUGAAAAUAAGCAGAGUGUGUGUGUGUGUGUGUAUAUAUAUAUAUUAAAAAAGUAAAUAUGUAAGAGUAUCAUUCAACUAGGCUCAAAGAAUGUUUAAUCAUACAAUUAUACGUUUUAUGAACAUAACAAACUGUGAAAUAUCUACUAGAUAUUUUUUGUUAAACAAAAAAGGUAACAAGAUAAAUAAAUAAAUAAAAGCCAGAUAAACAAAGAUGAUAAAAAUGUAUUUACACUAUUUAGUAUUAGGGACGUAGAAAGAAUUUAUGGCAAUUUCUAAAUAUUUUGGACUUAUUUUGCAUCUUGAUAUAAGUUUUUAAGCAUAAAUUUGCAAAUUUCAACUAUUCCUUUAAAAAAAAAACUCAACUAAAAUGCCUCUUUUUCCCUUUUCCUUGGUCCCUAUUUUUUAUGUAUAUAUAAAAAUGGAAAAAAAAAUUUUGGAAAAGACUUCCCAGUACUGUCAACAAGGGAUUGCUGUAAAGUGGAUCUUUAUUAAGUACUUCCAGACUCGAGGAAAUUUCUUUACAAUCAAGGGUCAGUUGUAAACAAUCAUGAAUUUGUGGUUAAUUAAUGGCAUAAUCAAUUCUUAACUAAACUGGAGAUAUUAAUUAAAUUUGAAGACUUUUUUUUUUUCCAAUCGAAAUGUGAAGAAUUAAGGAAAAGAGAAAUAUAUAGAUGAAUUUGUGAACCUAUAAGAUGAGUGACUAUCCUUUAAUUUUUGAAAAUUGUACUUAUUAAGACAUGAGCAGAAACAAUUAAAUUGAAUUAUAUUAUGCUGUUGAAUCGUGAUUAAAAAAAUUAUAUUGUUGAUUCUAAUGCUGGCGAACCUAAAAACUGGACUUAAAACGUAGAUUUCAGAGUGGUGGUUUGAAGUACAAUACUUGAAAUAAAUAAUCAGUGGCUAAAUAUCAUUUGUAAACCCAAAAAUGGUUAAAAUAUUGUUGAAUGUUAUUUGAAAAAAAAAAAAAAGAGAUUCAAAAUGAAUAUUCUUACCAAUGGAGGAAAAAUAUUCUUUAGGUUAUCACACCAAGAUAUCUCCAAAUUCUUCAAUUUGCUGAAAGACUCCGAAGCAAGCUGGUGGUGCCAUAUUUUUCUCAAAUUAUCCAUCCAGUCAAUACGUAAUACCUCCAACCUAGGAAGUCGUACCUGACAGUUAAAGAUUAAAUAACUAAUUAAUCAAUUAAUGGCAUAAUCAAUUGAUAAAUAAAUUAGAGGCGGAUAUUAACUAAAUUUGAAGACUCAAGGAAAAGACAAAUUAAAUAUUGUGACUAAAAUAAAUUUAAAAAAAAAAAAAACCUUUUCGUCAAAGAGAGGAGGUUGCAUUUCAGAAUGAAUGGUGUCUUCUGGUGAGCUCGUGGAGAUGAAUCUUAACAUAUUCCAGCAACUCUGAAUCUCGAGGUUUAGCAAAGAAGGGAAUUCAACAACUAAAUCUGAAUGAAUAUGUCCCGUAUUGGCAAAGCUUGUUAGUUCUGGAAGCCAAUAGAGCCGCAGGAAGUGUAGUUUAGGAAAUACCUUUAAUUCAAUCAACUUUCCUUCAUCUCUUUCUGACCAUCCCGUGGUGUCGACUACCCCUUCCAUUGACUCACAAUAGCUUAUCUCAAGAUGUUGGAGCUGCAAAAGGCUAUUAACCAUAGAAUAUGAAAACAGAUACUUCAUACGAUGACAACCGACCACGUGCAGCUUUGUUAGAUUUUGACAACAGUACAUUCCUUGAUUAUGAUCGGCCCAUAAUUUUUUCAUGUUUCUCAAGUCCCUGAGAUUCAAUUCCUCUAAGCUCGGAAGAAUAACCUGCAAAGAAAACCCGUACAUUUUUGUUCCUUCAAGUACAACCGUCUAGUAUAAUAUUCUUUUGAUGAUCGAAGAUUAAUCGUGAUAAUAAAUUAAUCAAUUAAUUAUUGAACAGAAAAUUAUCACCUUUGGAGCAGGAUCAUCAUCAGAAAUGAUUUCGUUGAAUCCCAAAGAAGUUGUUGGUUUGUCCAUGUCGGGUCCUAUAAACAAACAAAAACAAUAUACAUAAUUAAUCUUUGUCGUUGUCUUUUUUUUUCAAAAUAAUUGAGGCGAAGUCCAUAAAUCCACCAACACUUAAUUUCAACACUUACCAACAAUCAUUUCCAGAUCAUCGCAAAAAAACACUUCUACCUUUUGAAGCCACAGUAGGUUUUUGGCCAUGGAGAAUGAGAAAAGAUGCUUCAAUUCGUGACAGUCUGAUACUUUUAUAAUCCUUAAGUUGCUGAAAGAUUGAUCUUCUGUGAGUUGGCUGUCACAUAUUGUCUCCAAAUUUAUCAAACGACGAAGAGACAAUGACUCCAGCAAGGGGAAGACUUUGCGACGAACCCGUCCAACUGAACAGACAAUAUGCAAAAUCUCAGACCAACUUUUUACAGCAAGGUGCUUCAAUCGUGGAAAACCUUCCCCAUCAUCUAAUUCAUGAACAACAUUCUGAACACCCUUCAGUUCUUCUAGAUAGAGAUAUUCAGUUCUCUUCAACAACAGUUUCAUCCUGUAAUUCUGCAAAAGAAUGCCAAACUUUUCCAGCCUCUGGAGCUUCAUCAAUCUUGAUAAUCCAGAUUUAACGGACCAGCUGCUCCCCCACUUAUUUCCUAUACAUAUCCUAUAGGUAGAAGUGUUCUAGCUAUUAAUUUUAUACAUAUCUUCUAUAGGUGUAUUCUAAUUAAUUUCAUACAUCAGAUUUUUAGAUAAAAAUAAAGAAGUAAAAAAAAAAAAUCUUCACAUCAUCUUAAGAAAUUCAAAGCCAUGAUACCACAUCCAAUCACGAGAAUCCAUUUUCCUAUGAUCACUGACCUUUAGGUGCGGUGCUUGGUUUGAAGAAGGGAAAGGGGGUGAGGAAAGUAAUUUGAAUUCCUUUCUUAUUUCCGUUGUUUGGUCGGUCAUAAUAUAAAAGAAUUUAAUUUUCAUUAAAAUUUAAUAUAAUCAUAAUGUGGAAUUUAGAUUUCUCAAUAAAGAGUGAUGAAUCUUGGUUUGGGUCUGUUUUGAGUUUAUUUUCAUUUAUUUGGCUAUGUUUUGAUAGCGAAUUUUGAUAUGUCAAUAUAACGUGUAAUUGUUUUGGGUUGAGCUGGUAAUUAUGCUGGAUUAGAUUGGUUUGGUUUUGGUGCUUCUCUGAUGGAACACUGUUUUUUUUAGAAAUUUUGAAUGUAAUAUGAGACUACAUUUAGUUUAAUUGAACACUGCAUCUAGUCUAAUUACUAGAAGUGCGGCAUUUGGUUUGGUUUAUCCUAUAUUCUCCAGAAUUUCACUUGCAUCUGGUUUUGUUGCAUAUGUUUGCUUGCAUUUGAUGGCAGUAGCAGACUGUUUGGUUUUGUGACAUUUGAUGGCAGUUUGGUCUGUUCUUGGUGUUGGUUUAAGAUUGUUCCUGUUGUGCUGAUGUUAAUUGCAGGUGCUUGAAUCAGCUAGGGUUGCUGGUUUAUUCAGAUGGUUGACUCAGGCGUUGUUACUGGUUAAUUCAGGUGGCUGACUCAAGUUGUUCAUUUAAUGUUAGGAAGCAAAUUAAGAAUUAAUGAAGUAUUCAUUAAACUAUAAUUAUUGUAGUUAUUUUAUUUCAUAACUGAAUUAUAAUCUAUGAUACUUGUGAACAAAUUAGAGAAUUUUUAUAUAUGAAUUAUAUAUAUGUGUAUGUACAUUUUGCUAAUAAUUUAAAGAAUAUAUUUCAAUUCCCACAAAAAAAUGGCUCCAAUUUCAAUAAUUCCCGCCAAAUAAUUAAAUUUUUUUAAUUUACCACCAAAAUAUAUCUUAAAGAAAUUUUAGUUAUUCUUGCUAGAUUUAACAAAAAUGAUUUGUAGGAUUAACAUUUAAUUAAAAUAAUUAAAUAAUUUUAUUAUUCCAAUUAAAUAUGUCAUGUUUAUACGACAGACAAUAUUCAUGAAUGGGAAGUAUUAGUUACGUAUUUUUCCUUGGGAUUUCAGGCAAAUGAAAAAAAGAUUGAGAAUGAUUUCAAGAGGACAGGUGGAUGAUAAGUAUUCAUUUUUGUAUAUUUGUCUAAUGUCCUCAUUAGUGGAUUUUUAUGGUAUUGAUCUUUUUUUUUUUUUUUUUAAUUUUCAAUUAGUUGCAGCCCUAGAGGAAGAGCAGGCUGAUCAAAUUGAUUUGUCUUGUUUUUCGGGCAAUCUACGACAUGAUGACCGUGAUAAUGCUCGUGACUGCUGGAAACUUUCUGAUGGAAAUAACUUUAGAGUUCGUAGCAAGCAUUUUUGUUAUGACAAAACAAAGGUUCCCCCAUAAUUUGUUUGUUUGUUAUGGUAUUUAUAUAUCCUGCAUAGGCUAGGUAGACAAGUUAUGAUGUACGUGUUUCUCAUAUAGAACUCAAGUCUGCUGUUGUCCCAAAGUUGGAACCAGAGAUAUCAUGACUCUGGUUUCAUUUCACCUCAACUGUGUUUUUUUUUUUAAUUAAAAAAAUAUUUGUUUUAGGUAUACAUACAUGUAUUUUGAUUCUAUUUUCAUUGUAAUUUCUCAUUUACUUUGAAUGAAAGUCAUUGGUGUUUUCGAAUGGGAAUUUUGCAUUAAAAAAUGAAGAAUAGUGAAUAGGAAAUUUCUUGAUUCUUUAGUUACUAUUUUUGGUACGAGUGCCAUUAGUAGUAAAGUUGGUUUCUACUCGCAAACAAGUGAACUGCUCGAUUCCCGAGUGGUAUCAACCGGUUUCCAACUUUUUAAUAUACACUAAUUGUUAUUGUUUAAUAGCUACUACUAUUAAAACUCAACAGCUAACAAAAAUACUUAAAAAAAAUGAUUUUUCUUAUGAUGCUGUGAAAAAAAUUACGGGUUUACUUCUUUCCACGAGAUCUAUAACAUGGUCUUGAUUUCACGAAAUUCUUUUAAUUUAAAGCGUGCUGGUGUGAGAAGGUCAGUUUGACUGAUUAAUUCUUUUUAACAGUGGUCGAGAUAAUUUUACUAUACUCGAAAAUAUUCUUAUUCUGAUAAAGCCAUAAAUGUUAUGCUGUUUUCUUCGGCUAAUGAUCUUCUAUCAGGAGAGGUUAGAAAUCAAAUGCUUAAAAGACCAAUUGAACGAAUAAUACAGAAAUUUAGGCAGAAUCUAAUCGAAUAUUGUAUGAAACAUGAAACAUCAAUUCAAGUCCUUUCUUAAACAAAGAAUGCAUCAAACAAAAUCCAAAGUGUCUUGCAAGUUUGUAGCAUGAGCAAAAAAUUGUAAAUAUGUAGAACCAAAUUAUUCAAGUACAGAAGAACGAGCAAGCUAAAUCAUGUAUAAGAGAUUGGCCUGGUUCAGGAUAGCUUCUUCACUGUAGCUGAAGGGUUGGCUCAAUCUCUUCUUUAGAAUUCUGCAGAUUUUGUAAUUACUCGUGUAAGCAAGCAUACAUUGCCACCAUAAGAAUAAUAAAGCAAGAGUAAUGAUAUGACCACCACCUCUUGUGCACAAACAAUAUUGUAUAAACUAAUGCGACAUAAUAUGAUUGGUUAAAUAAAAACAUUACAUGGCCCUCAUAAUUUAUUUAUUUAUUUAUUAUUAUUAUUAUAUAUUUUCAAUCAACCAAUCAUAUUAUAUCACAUUAGUUUCUAUAAAAUAAUUUGCUAAAUAGCACCGAAACUUAAUUGAUACUCACCAUUUCAUUGAACAAUUUUUUUAUGGUGUCAUUGAGGUUGCCUUCCCAACAUCCUUCAUCAUCAUCAUCUUCUUCAUCAUCAUCAUCUUCUUCUUCAUCAUCUUCAUCAUCAUCAUCUUUUUCUUCUUCGGUGACGUUCACUUUGUUUAGCAUUGGUGUGUCUAAGACUCCUUGAGAGAAGAUCUUCAUUUUUGGACACUGUCUCACAACUACUUGUUCCAAGGAUGGGAACUCAAGAGCGUAAUUACCCAAACAAAAGCUUGUUAGGCUUGGCAAACAAUCAAGUCCCAAGUACUCCAAUUUCCUGAAAACAAUGCAAUCGUCCGCUUCUUCUCCAACCUGCGACUGUAUAAUUUCUUCCAUCAUUUUGCAAUCAGUUAUCUUCAUUCUUUCAAGAUUCACUAGACUUUCAGAUGUUGAGAGCGUCAAUAAAUUUAUCAACCCAUGACACUUCGAUACUUCCAGAGUCGCAAGAUUUUCCAAAUGCCACGAAGCUGGUACUAAUUUCUGCAACUUACUACAUUCAAAUAUUUCUAGACUUUUCAAGUUUGCAAACACUUUGUUGGAUUUGGCAUUUUCCUUCCAGAGAUGCUGCACUUUGUGUAAUCCAGAUAGCUUUAACUUCAUCAAUUGAGGGAAUGCAACCUGGAAAUCAACAAAAUUAAGUUGUAAAUGAAAAUAUGUAUCCAAUCUCUGCAGUCUUCCCCUGCAUAUUUUAUGGACAAGAUUAAUCACGGCAUUUUAUAUUUUAUUUCCAAAUUAGUAUGCUUUGCAGUAGGAUCCCAAAUAUAAGUAUCAAAUCGAUUACCCUUUGAAACACAUAAAUGAAAUCUGAUCCUAAAUCCAAUAUGAAUUAGCUAGGAAAACAGAGACCUAACACGCAUAAUCGAUAUAGUUCAUCACCUCCUGUCACUAGGCAUCUAAUUAAUUUGAGACAUUUUUUUAAUUCAUACUAUAAAGUUAGUUAAUAACUACGGUUAUAUUGUUAAACAUGUAUAAAUUAAGACGACGUGCAAAAAGAUGAGUCAUUAAAUUUGAUUUGAUUCUAAUGAAAUUAUAUCUGUGUGAAUGAAAGUGAAGGGAAAAAUAAUAAUAAUGUUACCUUUUCAUCGAAGAGAUGUUGUAUUUGAUUAGCUACCAAGAGGUUCUCUUCUUAUUUUAAUUUUUGAGCUUCCUUAUUAUCUGUUGUCAUGUGCAGUACAGAUGUAGAAUUGGACAUGAAUGUUUCCAUAUCAGGGCAAUUCUCAAUAGUUAGAUAUCUCAACUCAGGCAGUUCAAUUAUAUUCCCAGUGAAGUUGCAGAAUCUUUUGAGUUUUGGAAGGUCAAUGAGCCUUAGCUCAAAAAGCCUAGGAAACAGGGGGCCUAUAUGUUCUUCCUUGGCAUUUAGCUCUUCCAAAUGAAGCACCUCUUCUAGUGAAUCACAAUUCCUCACUUCCAGCCAUCUCAAAUUGUUCAAGCACCGUAUCAGAUUGGCAGGAAUAGCACUCGACAUAUUCGUGCGGUCAUCCACCACCAGGUGUCUUAAAUUGUUGAAGAAGCUGACAGGCAGUGCUUGGCCAUGCGAGAGUUGCAAAUGGUUUAUAUCAAGGAAUCCAAUCUGCACAAACCAAAACAAUUGCACUGGAUAUAUACAAUUUUUUCUUUCUGAAAGGCAUAGAUAUAUGUACAUUAAACUUACAUGUUUUCUGCUUUAACUUCUAAAAAUAUAUAUACAAGGCAGGUGUAUAUGCUUAAAUGUGCAAGUGCAGGGGAGAUGCAUGAACAAUUUGGGUGAAUCGAUUAACACAUACCAUCUUUUUGUAACAUAUGUUUAAAUGUGCAAGCGCAAGGGAGAUGCAUAAGCAACUUGGAUGAAUCGAUUAGCACAUACCAUUUCUUCGUAACACUUUUGUAUAGUGGAAUUAAGCUUGUUGCCUUCCCAAUGGUGCAGUUCACCCUCUUCCUUUUCAGUCACUUGCACUUUGCAUGGCUUUGUAAUGGAUAAGAUUCCCUGAGAAAAAGUCUUCAUGUCCGGACAACGUAUCAUAGAAACUCGUUCCAAUGAUGGGAAUUCAAGAGUGCAAUUCUCCAAACAAAAGCUGGUAAGCCUUGGUAAAUCAUCAAGUAUCAAAACUUUUAAUUCGCUGAAAGCAAUACGAUUCUCCUUCACUUCUUCUCCAACAUGUCCUACGAUUUCUUCUAAUUUUUGGCAAUCUGAUACUUAAAGAUUCACCAGACUACUAGGAAUUCCAACCUGAAAAUAAGCAAAAGUGUGUGUGUAAGAGUAUCAUUCAACUAGGUCCAAAGUAUGUUUAAAACAUACAAUUAUAUGUUAACAUAACAAACCAUGAAAUGUCUACUAGAUAAUUUUUGUUAAACAAAAAAGGCAACAAGAUAAAUAAAUAAAUAAAAGCCAGAUAAACAAAGACAAUAAAAAUGCAUUUACACUAUUUAGUAUUAGGAGCGUAGAAAGAAUUUAAGGCAAUUUCUAAAUAUUUUAGACUUAUUUUGCAUCUUGAUGCCAGUUUUUAAACAAAAUUUGCAAAUUUCAACUAUUCCUUCUGGGAAAAAAAAAAAUCAACCACCAACAAAGUGUUGGCUCCAUUGGCAAUGGAGUCCCCUUAAGUGGUUUGACUGGGUUUGCUCCCCAGUUCGAGUCGCAGGGAAGUCGCCUUUGUUGGGAGAACUUGUGCCUCCCGGUUCGAGCGGGGACUUCUAGUCUGGGUUGUGGUACGGGCUUAAAGGUGCCUUCCACAGUUGGGGCCCUCCCCAGGAUACCUCGUGAUUAAUAUAAAAAAAAAAAAAAAAUCAACCAAAAUGCCGCUUUUUCCCUUUUUCCCUUUUUCCUUGGUCCCUUUUUUUUAUGUAUAUUUAAUUUUGGAAACAAAAUUAAAGUGGAUCUUUAUUAAGUACUUCUAGACUCGAGGAAAUUUCUUUACAAUCAAGGAUCAAUUGUAAAUAAUCAUGAAUUUGUGGUUAAUUAAUGGCAUAAUCAGUUCGUAACUAAACAAGAGAUAUUAAUUAAAUUUGAAAACUUUUCUUUUCUUUUUUUCUUUUUCCAAUCGAAAUGUGAAGAAUUAAGGAAAAGAGAAAUAUAUAGAUGAAUUUGUGAACCUAUAAGAUGAGUGACCAUCCUUUAAUUUUUGAAAAUUGUACUUAUUAAGAUAUGAGCAGAAACAAUUAAAUUGAAUUAUAUUAUGCUGUUGAAUCGUGAUUAAAAAAAUUAUAUUGUUGAUUCUAAUGCUGGCGAACCUAAAAACUGGACUUAAAAUGUAGAUUUGAGAGUGGUGGUUCGAAGUACAAUACUUGAAAUAAAUAAUCAGUGGCUGAAUAUCAUUUGUAAACCCAAAAAUGGUUAAAAUAUUGUUGGAUGUAAUUAAAAAAAAAAAGAUUCGAAAUGAAUACAACAACCUUACCAAUGGAGGAAAAAUAUUCUUUAGGUUAUCACACCACCAUAUGUCCAAAUUCUUCAAUUUGCUGAAAGACUCCGAAGCAAGCUGGUGGUGCCAUAUUUUUCUCAAACUAUCCAUCAAGUCAAUACGUAAUACCUCCAACCUAGGAAGUCGUACUUGGCAGUUAAAGAUUAAAUAACUAAUUAAUCAAUUAAUGGCAUAAUCAAUUGAUAACUAAAUUAGAGGCGAAUAUUAACUAAAUUUGAAGACUCAAGGAAAAGACAAAUUAAGUAUUGGGACUAAAAUUAAUUUUUUUUUUAUUUUAAAAAAAACCUUUUCGUCAAUGAGAGGAGGAGGUUGCAUUUCAGAAUGAAUGGUGUCUUCUGGUGAGCUCGUAGAAAUGAAUCUUAACAUAUUACUGCAACUAUCAAUCUUGAGUAUUUGCAAAGAAGGGAAUUCAACAACUAAAUCUGAAUGAAUAUGUCUCGUGUUUGCAAAGCUUGUUAGUUUAAAAAGCCCAUAGAGCUGCAGGGAGUGUAGUUUAGGAAAAACCUUUAAUUCAAUCAACUUUCCUUCAUCUCUUUCUGACCACCCCGUGGUGUCGACUACCCCUUUCAUUGACUCACAAGAUCGUAUUUCAAGAUGUUGGAGUUGCAAAAGACUAUUAACCAUAGAAUACGAAAACAGAUACUUCAAAUGAUCACAACCGUCCACGAUCACCUUUGUUAAAUUUUGACAACAGUACAUUCCUUGAUUAUGAUCGGCCCAUAAUUUUUUCAUGUUUCCUAAAUGAAAGAGAUUCAAUUCCUCUAAGCUCGGAAGAAUAACCUGCAAAGAAAACCCGUACAUUUUUGUUCCUUCAAGUACAACCGUCUAGUAUAAUAUUCUUUUGAUGAUCGAAGAUUAAUCGUGAUAAUAAAUUAAUCAAUUAAUUAUUGAACAGAAAAUUAUCACCUUUGGAGCAGUAUCAUCAUCAGCAAUGAUUUCGUUGAAUCCCAAAGAAGUUGUUGGUUUCUCCCUGUCGGGUCCUAUAAACAAACAAAAACAAUACACAUAAUUAAUCUUUGUCGUUGUUUUUUUUUUCAAAAUAAUUGAGGCGAAGUCCAUAAAUCCACCAACACUUAAUUUCAACACUUACCAACAAUCAUUUCCAGAUCAUCGCAAACAAACACUUCUACCUUUUGAAGCCGCAGUAGGUUUUUUGCCAUGGAGAAUGAGAAAAGAUGCUUCAAUUUGUGACAGGAUUGUACUCCUAUAAUCCUUAAGUUGCUGAAAGAUUGAUCUUCUGUGAGUUGGCUAUCACAUAUUGUCUCCAACUUGUUCAAAAACCAAAGAGACAAUGACUCCAGCAAGGGAAAGACUGUACAAUGAACCCGUCCAACUGAACCGACAAUAAGCAAAAUCUCAGAACAACUUUCUACACGAAGAUGCUUCAAUCGUGGAAAACCUUCCCCAUCAUCUAAUUCAUGAGCAACAUUCUGAACACUCUUCAGUUCGUUUAGAUGGAUCUCUUCAGCUUCUUUCAGCAACAUUUUCGUCCCAUAAUUCUCCAAAAGACUGCUAACAUUUUCUAGCCCAUCGAGCUCCACCAUUCUUGAUGUUUCAGAAUUAACGCCCCACAUGCGCCACGCUUCUCCUAUACAUAUCUUAUAUCUUUGCAAUUCCACAGAGACUAAAUCCUGCGGCAGAAUUUGGGCAUCCCAAAAUUGUAUCUCCAAAGUAGUUAGCUUUGACAGCCCCUUCAAUUCAGCAAGACUGGCGGUACUUCCUCCUUCAACCUUAUCCCACUGCGAAAAGCUGUCACCCAUAUAUAGUUCUUCUAAUUGAGAAAAUUUUGAUAUGAGAUUUGGUGCUAUCACUACAAGGCUCCUACAAUUGCUCAAAUCUAGCAAUUGUAACCGCGUCAAUUGUCCAAUUUCAAGUGGUAACUGCUUAAUGUCGGAAUCUCGAAAGCUAAGAAUCUCUAAUUUCUUUAGCUGUCCAAUUGCAGCUACAUCUUCUAGUUGGCACCAGUCUAAACACAAUGUUUGAAGGUUAAUGAGGCGACCAAGUGAUGAAGGUAAUGAAGAGAAAGGAAUUCUAGUAAGGCUUAAAACUUUGAGUUCUUUCGUCCCUUCAAAAAAGAGGUCUGAAAUUUGCAUACGGCCAUUACCCUCUGCAGACAACAAAAAUAACUGGAGAUUGGGACAUUGCAACCUUUCAGGGAGCUCUUGAAUAUCUCUCUGGGGUAAUGAAAUGGCAAUUGGAUCUUUCCGUAUUGUCUCUUCCAUCUUUUUCUCUAAGUCGGCAACAUUUGGAAUAUUAAACAUGCGCUUCUCUGCGGCAAUUGAUACGGCAACAACAUGAAUGACGUCAUGCAUUUUAGCUUCAUCUUCAGCAUCACCGUCCAACAAUAAGCAUGAAGAUUUGAGGUUGUCGAUCAACCGAUGCACUCUACUCCUUGCUUCUUCCAAUGUGUAAACAUUUUCAAACAAACCCCAACCCACACCAUAUCUCAAUAAGUCAGAAACUUGUAUGGCAUGACCUUCACUGUAUAGACCACAAAGACGGAACAGAGAUUUUGCCUCCUCACUUUCCAAGAAGUCAUGACUCAAUUUUAUGGAGGUGUACACAUUUGCUUGCAUGCCAUGAAUUUCUCUUGCAUCCGAUCUUCUUAGCUGAUUCAAUGCAUCUUUCCAAAAGUCACGCUCCUUAGUUUUCAGAGCAUUUGCAACUGUACUCAGUGCAACAGGCAAACCUCCGCAUCUUUCAAUGAUCUCAUUUGCUAUACUUUGAAAAGCAGAUAUUUUAGUUGAAUCACCCACUAUCUUCUCAAAUAACUGCAAUGCUUCUUCUUUUGAUAAAGCAUCGAUCCAGAAAUUUUUCUGAGAAUUCAUAUCAAUGCACAAUAAAUCUCGACUUCUAGACGUCAAUAUUAUUGUGCAUCUUCUCUGAUCAUCCUCUCUAUCUUUCUCAUCAACAUCUCCAGAAGGAAUUCCAACCGCAUCUAACUCAAGUUUUGUCCAAAUAUUAUCCAAUAUAAUGAGGACCCGCUUCUCUUGCUUCAACCUUUCACGCAGUCGAGAAGCUCUAUGGUGUAUACUAUCAUUCAAGUCAAAUUUCAUGCCUAAAUCAGAAGCGAGCUUGUCUUGAAUUUUCUGGGGAUCUGGGUUCUGUAUUACCUCAGCCAUAACGACCUUAUCGAUCAACUUAUCUUCCAUCACUUUCUUAGCAACUUGCUUGACUAGCGUGGUUUUACCCACGCCGCCCAUGCCGUAGACCCCAAUUAUGUUGAGCUUAUCAUCCUUCAACGCCUCCAUAACAUCCUGAAAUACUUUCAUUCUUGAAUCAAAGGCCUCGUUAUCUUUCCCGUCAUUAAGUCCUGUGCUCUUUGGAGUAGGACGGUAGGAAACAUUAGAGAAGUUGCCUUUUCCCACGAGACCAGCGGCAGCUUCUGCGGCCUUUGCUGCUUGUUUACUAAGCUUGUAACGGGACAUCAAAUUUGGGCACAAUCCUUUGAAGCAGAACUUUUUAGCUCUUUCUUCAUCAUCAAUGAUGGAUUUUGCAACCCCUUCACUGAUGAAUUCAUCAACGCUAUGUAGCCAGUCUGUGACACCCUCAUAAAGCUCAUCCCCUUGUAGCCUAGCAUGAUUAACUGGUUGCUGCACCAUUUCUCUCUUAUAUCCCAGCUGCUUCACUUGAACUUUUAGCUCAUCUAUGUAGCUCUGGUACUUGAACACAUCAGAUAUCUGCCGUGUAAUCGGGUUGAACAGUGACUUUGCACCUUCUGAUACACAGUUGGUUAAAAAAGCCAGACACGCUUCUAUAGCCAUUGCCGGUUGCUUAACAAUAUAUAUCUAGUUUUUGGCUGUUGAAAAAAAAAAUGGAUUCAAAUAAAUUAAAUGAACUAGCGGGGAAGAAAAAGAAAGAAACGACAACAAACAACUUUUUAGAAAAAGGUUUCAGGGGCCUGAAUGGAAAACCAACAAUUUUUUGAGGAAAGAAAACUUUUUUGGAAGAUGGAUGCAAAUUAACCAUUAAUAAUACUGCAUAAGAACACAGAAGUUAACAAUAAACAGUAACUUAAAACUCAAGAAAAUUAAAUGACAAGAUUAAGACAAACAAGAGAUAGUUUUUGUCGGACAUUAAGAAACAACUGCUAUCAAGAUCAAAGAUUAGAAAUUAUGCUAUUGAAAGAAAUUAUUAAAGUAAUUAGAACAAACGCACCUCUUCAAUUAUCUAGGAUCACAGAGUUUAUGAGCUUCACUCUUGGCCUUCGAUUUAUAAGAAAAAUUUUAAUGAGCAAAAGAUCACUGUUGACUGCAGAAGAAUGUGAGUAAGCAAUACAAUUGAAUUGUAAAAGAACAAGACUUAAAGCGUGCACCCCAACAGAACACAUGUUCAUUUUUAACAAAGUGAUCAAUAACUAUAUUCGUUAUUUAAUUGAUAUUGUAACCAAUUCUAAGAGAAUAUAAUAAUCAGCAAACAAACAACAUUGAUCUUAUGCCUACUGAUAUUUAAACAGAGAAUUCUUUCUUCUUUUUCUCUUCAUGGAUUAGAGUUUUUGCUAUUAACAGAAUGGUUUCAAGGGUCUGAAUAAAAUCCCAGACUUUUUUUUAACUUUGUUUUCUGUGGGAAAAUGGAUUCAAAUUAACCAAAGCCAAUAAUAAGAUCACAGACUUUAACAAUGAACAAUAACUUAAGCAAAACCAAUGACAAGAUUAAAACAAACCAGAGAAAUUUUUUCUCGGAAAGUAGAUGAAAAGCAAGUAAGAACUGCUAUUAAAGGAUAUUAUUAAAGGAUUUAGAACAUGUAUACCUCUUUAAUUAUAUGGGAUCAGAGAAUCGAUGACCUCCACUAUUCGCUUCGGAUAUUAAGUAAGAACUGCUAUUAAAAGAAUGAGUUGAUGAGAGUAAUAACAAUGAAUUGCAAAAUAGGAAGACUCAAUCAUGCACCCCUUUUAUACCUGAUCAUAUUAAGAAGUCGUUAAAGAAUAACGACUAAAUUAGGAAUUAAUUCUGAAGUUCAGAAUCAAGAACAGAGACGAAGCUUUAAUAAAGCAUGCAGUGAGAUACAAGAAAUGGAUCUGAUAAAAUACAUUAAAAAAAUUUGUUCAACCUAGUUAAGCUGAUGAAAGCACUAGUUGUUGGCUCUACGUUUCAUAUGUUCUAAUGAAAUAAUUAAGUUGAAGUUUUCAACGAAUAAAUACCUGUUUCGCUUGAAUAGCUUUGGCAUAUACAUUACUUGUGUCCUGUGAAAUUGAAAAGGUUAUUGAUUUACAAAGCUUAUUAGUAGAGAAAAGCUACGUAAGAUGCCUGAUAAAAGAUAAAGCAAGAGCUUGAAUGAAGAAUGACAUUUUAGAAAGAAACUAAAGUGUAAUCAUCAAAGUAGGAUCAAUAAUGUACCACUUUCCUUGCAAAUCUGGUGGGUUUUCUGAAUAGAUUUUUACAUUAUUCUUCUAUUUAACCAUUUUGGCUUUACCCUAAGCAUUCUUGGUUGGCAUUGUCCUGUAAUCUGCGUGCCCUGGAUACGUGAGAGGGAAUGAUGAGGGUAGAUAUGCAAUUUCAAGAAGCGAUUUGCUUGUAUAAUUCAAUGCAUGGAAAGAGAUGUACCUGACCAGAAAAAAAAGGGGACCAUCCAUAUCUGAGCUUGACUUUUUAGAUAGAUAAAUAUUCUUAUUACUGUUGAUAAUGGAGAAGGGUUCUACUUUUACUUUGCCAUCUUUGAUAUAAAACAGCAUGAUUCCUUUUUUUCAAACACUUGCCUAAGUCUAUUUUUUAUUUUUCUUAUUUUCAGAAAGAGAUUAGCUUAAUUUAAAUUAUAUUCAAGUACAAAGUGUUAUACACUCAUAAAACGACAAAUAGGCAUGUAUUGAUCACGCGCAAUCUGUUUUUUUUCCCCCUUUUUUUUUUAAUCCAGUCUUCUUAUUUAAAAAAAAGAAUUUAUUUGCUUUAUUUUAAAUUAUUUUUUCAUGCGGUAAAUGCAAUACUGAGUAAUGGGUGAGCAAAAUAUUUACAGGCACACCCCCUUUUAAUGAUUUCGUACUAAAAUUAAAAAUUGACGAUUCCAUAAUAAAGUUCAAAGAGUAACUGAAGACCCAUAAAUGUUUUUUGGUCAUGAGCAAUUUUUGAGUUGGGACAGCACUCCUAUGAAAAAAAAUAGUUUUUUUUUUCUUUAAGCAUGAGCAUAUUAAUUCUUUUUUUAUAAAUCAACGUGAAUAUAAAAUUAAAAAAUAGUUUUGAAUAACUUCUUUUCUUUUUUCAUAAAUAUAGAUAUAAAAUUUUAAAGUCACCAAACACAAAACCAGGAAAAUGGAAAGGAAGCCCCUGUUUCUCCGCUGCUGCAAGCACAAAUUCGGUUUCUACAGGAGUACCUUCUAAAUGCACCAUUUGUAUUGCUUUGUCUCCACUUGAGCUAAUGGAAUUUGAUGAAGACAAAAUAGAUAUGAGUCGUGCUAUUCACACCCCUCGAUAAUUCUUUCAAAAUCCCUUUUCUAAUUAUACCCCGUUAAUACCCUUGUUCGCUAUGAAAAUAAAGCAAAUGCCUGUAUAAAAAGCUGGCUCUAAUAAUCUACUUGAAUUUACAUCAGAAAAGAGUGGACUUUGAGAAAUAAGAAGUCAAUAUGGAGAAUUUUACCAAAAUAAUCCAUUUUUAUAUACAGGGAAUGGUAUUUUCUGAUAUAGGGAGGAGUGGAGAAAUUAAAUUCAGCAAAAUAAAGAACCUCCAUCGAGAAGCAAAAAUGAUGAUAUCUUUGUCGUGAAGAGAUUUCUGCCUCAUACAAAUUUUUUAUUCUAGAAUGCUUGAAACCGAAAAGUUCUGUAGCUGUUUCAAUUCAAUUGCAUACAUUGACGAAACAUUAAAUACGAAAAAAACAAAAAAGAAAUAAUAGGACAUGGGGAUUUAGAGAACUUCUAAAGAGAGAAAUGUAUUUAUUGUUGGGAAAAUAUGCUCUUUAAAAGCAUAUGUGUUUAUUUAAUUGUAAUAAACUAUUUUUCUGAUUAAUAAAAUAAAUGAGGCAUUUUAUUCAAAUAUCUUAAUUGCAUUAAUACUUGUAUUAAAGUCCAUUUAAUCAUAUUAUAUGUAUUUAUGUGAUCACCAUGUGGAUUCACAGAAGACAUAAAUACAAGUUAUCUUAUGAUUAAAUAAAUUUAGUUCGCAGUUGAUAAAUAAAGUUGGGCACUUUAUUUAGGUAUAGACUGUAAUAAAUUCAUUGAAUGAUUUGUCUUAAUUAUGUAUGAAUUUAUUGAUGUAGUACGACUACAUUGAACAGGAUCACAUAUGAGAUUUAAUUAACUUUGUAAUAACUGUCAGACUUAUUAAAUCUCAUAGGCAUUGAUUUUACUGUAAUCUUAAUCUUGAGUUAAUUAUGAUUUCAUGAUUGUAAUUGUUAUUCCAUUUGAGUUACCAAUGGGCAUGACACAUACUUGUAGUCUACAUUACCCGGUAUCUUGGUGGGAACAAUUAUGAGUAUUGGAGUUAUGGAUUAACAAUAUAGAAUUUGUACAACACAUCUCUUGAUGGGUUUUCGGUACUUGAUCAUAGAAUUCUCUGGCCAGAGUGUGUCAACAUAUUUAGUAUGUUGAAAAUGAUCAUUAGAGAAAACCAGUAAGGAUCAAGGAAUAAGAUGUUAUUAAAUUGAUUGGACAGUUGAGAUAUCAAUUUAAUUAACGAUGUGGUACAAAGGAUUGUGCAGUAAAGAAAUCAAUGUGGCUUGGGACGAAUUAUUAUUCGAGCAUACAAUUAUGGAAGUCAGUUCCAAUCUUUUAGUGGAGUAGAUUUGGAAUUAAAUAAUUAGGCUAGUUUAAUUACAGGUAGGGAUGGCAAUGGGGAGGGGAGGGGAGGGGACCAAUCUCCCUAUACCCAUCCCCGAUAUUUUAUUAUGUCCCCGUCCCCUCUCCGUCCCCGUCAGAAUUGCUUAAGUGAAUCCCCAUCCCCUCCCCGAAUAAUAACAGGGGAUCCCCGAGGGUCCCCGGUUCCCGAAUAAUUAAUAGUCUAAUACAUUUUUUUUUAUUUUCGAUUUUAAAUUAAUCAUAUUAAAAUAAAAAAUUCAGAUAAAAAUAAAGUUCAAAAUAUAUCUUGCAUUAAUAUUGAUCAAUUUCAAAGUCACAUUCAAAAUAUAAAUUAUUAAAAUAAUUAUCUUUGUCAAUGACUCAAUCUUCAUAAUCCUACAAUAAAAAGAAAAAAAAUUAUUUUUAUAUCGGUAAUAAAAUAAAUGUAGAUACUUAAUUAAUAUUUUUAAUAAAACUAUUUACUUCCUGCUCCUCCUGUUCUUCCUCGAGAAAUGUGGCAAAUUGAGAGUUAGCCUCAGAUUUCAAACCUAAAACAAUGAAAAUGAUAUGAGUAACGUAACUUAUAAGCGCAAAUAUUAAUAACUGUAUAAUAUAAUUACAAUGUAAAAUAAAUUCAUACUGCUAUUGUAAGCUCGUAACCAACUUUAACAGCACAUUAAGGCCUCCAAUGUGCUUGGAUGAAGUUUGUUACGGUGUGGGCUCACAAUUCUAGCACUAGUGCGAAAAGCUGAUUCAGAAGCAACUGUUGUAAUUGGAAUUGCCAAAAUAUCUCUAGCAAUUCGAGCUAAUGUAGGAUACAAAUUAGGAUUAGAACUAUUGUAAAUUAUAAUUAGGCAGCUCUCUCCUGUAUCAUUGUGGUUUGGAUUAAAAAUUUAAGACUUUAAUUAGUUAAUUAAGUUUAAAAGUUUAAUAAUAUAACUAUUUUAAUAUUUAUUAUUUUUAACAAUAUUUAUAAUUUUGUUAUUUAUUUAUUAGUAAUUUUAAAAAUAAAAAUAAAAAUAAAAAUUAAAAUGGGGAAAUGGGUAGGGGAUGGGGAUUCCACCUCAUCCCCGUCCCCUCCCCGAAUAAAAAAUUGGGUAAAAAAUUUUCCCCGUCCCCUCCCCGAAUAAAAAAUUGGGUAUAAAAUUAUCCCCGUACCCUCCCCGAAUGGGGAAAAUCCCCGAGGGUACCCGUCCCCGUGGGGAUUUUUGCCAUCCCUAAUUACAGGCCUAAUUAUUGUAGCCACUAUUGUAUGUUCCCAAAUGAUCCCCGGGUUAGCUCAUUUAAUUGAUUGCACCACUGCUGGACUAAUAAGCAAGAUAACUAGCUAUUUGGGCCAAAAGCCUAAAUAUAUCAUUUAGUGGGAGGCUCCAUUUAAUAAGCUUAUGUGUAAGGGGCCUUAUGUUAUUUUACAUGGUGGGUCCCCUAUUAAAUGAAAAGUAACGUGAGUUUUAUUUUGGGGAAUCCUUGGAGCCUAGGGUUUUCACUAAAGGGAGAUAUAUAAGGCUUAUUUUCCCAAAAAAGAAAAAGAGAAGCCACUUUAUACAGAUCUGAGAAAAAGAUUUUUCUCUCCAUUGUUGAGAGAAAAAUUUUCUCGUGCUAGUUGCUUUGGUAGUGAUAAAGGCGCCCACACGUCAAGUGCAGAUCGAACCUGAGUCAUAACCUGGAAGAUCAUUGGAAACAGUUCGUGAUCUAACAAGCGUGGUGGUGACGGAUCGUGAUCUAACAGGAGUGGUGGUGGUGGAUCGUGAUCUAGGAGCCUAAAUCACUUCAGCGGUAAAAGCCAACUCAGAUUUUCAAGGUACGAUUUCUAGAAUACAAAUUCUUAUAUAUUAUAUGAGAGCGAUCUUCAAAAGGUUUUAUAAAAAUUCAAAAACCUAAUUUUUCCCCAACAUUUAUAAGCAUUGAAAAUUAGCUCAUUAAAUUUGAAAGAAUAAUAUACAAUCUCACUGUUGGCCAGAAAAUAAUAGAAGAACUUGUGAACAUAUAUAAUCAAUUGCUUAUUACUUAAGCUUUUUCUCCGUUAUUUUGAAUGGGUGCAAAGGAGAGAAGUUUUGUACCCAAAUCCAACCCGAAUUGUGUAGGCUGCUUGCAAGAGCUUCAUUAGAUUUUUAUUUGUCUUUUAACUUAACUUCCUUCGUGGUUAAAAUUGUAAAAACAAAUGCGGUUUUAAUAGAAUUAUUGAGGAGUGCCAAUAGUGCUACUCAAUAAAUACAACUAUCUGUCUUUUUUGUUACUGGACUAUAGAUCAAUUGACAGUUGAAGUUAUAUUAAUUUGUUGUACUGGAAUUGAAGCUUGUAUCUUAGCCAUUUCGUGAAGUGUCAAAUAUAUUUUUAAUUUCCUUAAAAUUGUUCAAAAUAUGUUUACACUUUUAAAGUCACUAUUAUACAUGAGUGCCCUAAAAUAAGAGAAGGCGAUUUGCCUGACAUUACCUGUUUCCUGUCAAAUCUAGCAGGUUUACUGAUUAGAUUUUAACAAGUCUCUUGGCAAAGUUUGCUAGAAAUGGAAUCAAAUUAUUCUAUUUAAUCUUACUGUAUAUACCCUAAUAGUUCUUGGUUUGCAUCACUGCAUCGUUCUAUAAUCUGUGUGCGUUGGCUUAUAAGGGCUAGCAAGGCUGACCGUUCGUAGCAUAGUUUUUUUUUUUUUUUUUUUUCCCACAAUGAAAUUCCCAUUGAUUUGACUCAGUAUUUAGAGGUGUUAACGAGGGCACUAUACUAGACAUGGAUUUCUACCUCUUUUGGUUGUACAAUUGUUGUAAUCCUUGGCCAUCAAAUCAUUUUUACGUAGCUUUCUCAGAGUUCAUGCCAAGUGUACAUUAAUGUAUUUAUGUUUUGGGUGCAAGUGGGAUUCUAGUUCUCUAUGGCAGUUGAAGAGGUAAAUGGGCAUAGAGCUAUGCUCUAUCAUAGGCUUCGGCCACUACAAGAAAUUUAAUUUUUUAAGACGAUAUUUUUUACAACAACUUUAAAUUUGGUCACAAAAUGAUAUUUAUUGUGACAAAUUUUUGAAAUCGUAGCUAAUAAUCUUGUCCUAACUUAUAUUGUUUUUUGUAACCAAUUGUUUUUAUUUUGAGACUUGUUCAUAUAUUGGUCAUUAAUUAAAUUUUUUUAUGACAAAAAUUAUUUUAGUCACCAAAAGAUAUAAUUUUUUGGCACAAAAUCUUCUCUCCAAAAGUGAUUAUUUUGAGACAAUAUUUCACUAUUUAUGACAAAAUAAAUAGUCACGAAAUAUAAUUAUAGGCGACCAAAUUAUUUGGUAACUAAAAGAGGGGUGUAAAAUUGACUAAACAAUCUAUGACACAAAAUAUUAGUAGCCAAAAUUAUUGUUCUUUUGGCUAAUUUUAAGACCAUUUUUUUGUCAUAUAUAAUUACCUACAGUGAUAAAAUUAAAAAAUAGUCGUUGAAUGUUUUGUCUUGAAUAAUUUUAUAUUUGAUAACCAAUUUUUUUUCUUUUUGAGACAUAUUACUUGGUCCCUAUUUCAACUUCUUUUUGACGAACUUUAUAAUAGUCACAAAAGACUUUUUUUUUUUUUUUGGGCAUAAAAAGUCUGUCCAAAGUUAGCUCUUUUGGGACAAUAUAUAAUCUUUUAUGACAAAAUAUAUAGUGGCGAAAUAUAAUUAUUUUUUACAAAGUUAUUUCGUAGCUGAAAAAGAGGUGUAAAUUUAGUUAACCUAUUUGUGACAUAAAAUAUUAGUCUCCAAAACUAUUAUGCUUUUAGCUAAUUUUAAGACCCUAUUUUGUUGUCAUGGAUAAUUACCUAUUUUAAAAAAAACUAAGAGAUAGUAAUCAAAAGUUUUGUCUUGAUUGACAUUGUAUUUUAUGAGCAAAAUAUUUUGUUUCAGUGACACUUUACUUGGUCUCUCAUUAGAGUUGUUUGUGAUGAUCAAUAGAAUUAUAUAAUAACCACUAAAUUUUUUUGGGUUAAAUUUUUAUAGAUACUAUUAAUUAAGUUGUUGACGAAAAUGAUCAACCAAUACUAAUAUGGAAUACCAUCAACAGCCGUAAUACUUAUGAAGCGAGAAAUUAUAAUAUGUAGUGAAAAAGUUUUCACAGUAGUCCCUAGUAUUUAGAAUUAUUUUGACUUACUUUAUUUACUUCCAAAACAUAAAAUUCUCAACCCAAAAUUCCCCGCAUUGUGUUUUAUUUUGUCUCCUCACUCAGUUAAGAGUAACUCACGGCUUGACAAAAAAAAGGAAAAAAAUUCUCACAGCUUGAUGUUCUCCUCUCUUUAAAAAUAAAAAUCCCUAGUUACUAUUUGUUUCCACCACCAAAGCAGCCACUCGUAUCUUUUAUUAAGCAUAAUAUUUUUCUUAAAACCUAAUUGAUCAUUCUUUAACGUCUCCAGGAUUAUAUAUGGCUCGCUAUUUUUCUCCUUCAAUUGAAUAGAAGUCUAGAAUUUUUUUUUUUUUCGCAAUUCACUUUUGCUGUGUUUCGUGGUUUGGACGGAGAUCAUGUCAAUAAUUGAACGAUGGGGAUAAAUAUCAAAGAAGGAGCUUACAUGCCCUAUAUAUCUCUCUUUGGAUGAAUAACGAUGGUGAGCUUUCAAAGUACAGAGAUUUACAUGUUUUAAUUGUCAUUUACAUUGCUGCAUGCCAAUUGUUUGAUAAAAUAUCGCAACAAAUACGCAUUCUCGAUUUUCUCAUAAAUUUAUUUUCUUAGUCUGAAAAAAAUUGAAUGUUUAGAGAAUUUUGAAGGUUUUGGUGUAUGUAUUAAUAUUUUGAUUCUAGCCUCAUUUUGCCCCUUGUUGUUUUUAUUCUUGUUUUUUAUAUACGGUUCAAGUGUGAUACACUUUAGUUUUUCUCAACUGUUUGUUAGUUUUUCCCGAAGCAAAAUUUGUCAGACUUUGAGUUCAAAAGUUGAAAUCAUAACUAACAUACUUCGAUUUUUUAUUUUCCUUUUUUCUUCGGUGUCUUUCUAUAUGGCAUUGCUUGAGAAAUUGGUGUACUUAGAUCGUAAUAUUCUGUAGAAAUAAGCCAAUAUUUCAUUGGGUACAUUGUUUAAUAUGAUAAGUACUGUAUGGAAGUUUUACAGAUAAGCUCCUUAUAUAUUAUGCAUUAUGUUUUUAUCAUAUUGUUGCUUGGAACUUUGAAGGAUUGGCCACAGGGCUUUAGUCCUACAUGGACAUUUUAUAUUUAAUAGCUGGUUAGGCAUUUUAUUUGAUGUUAUUUGGACUUGUAGGUCUUAAAAGUUUUGUUCAAUAAUUUUAUAAAGCUUAAUUUCAUAGGUGCUGAUUAGGCAUUUCACGAGGAAAUAGCUGUGCUUUUGGAAAUUAAUAUGCUGUGUUGUCAAUGUUGUGUAAAAUCCUUUUAUUGGUGUCUAUGUAAAGUGUUUCAGAUUUCAGACCUGAGAGUUAAUCUUCGCGUACCAGUUGGCUUUUGGGUUUAGUAUUGCUGCUUUUAACAUAUUUGACCUAUGGCCCAAAUCAUUUCUAUAGGGCGAAGCAUAUGAAUGAUACAUAUUAUCUUUUUUUGGCCUUAUGUAUUGUUAUUUGCACGGUGAUUUGGUCUAGCUUAAGAGCUUAAGCUUGCAGGUUGGAUUUGUCUGACAGGGAACAAUUUAAUUUGUUCAUCGUGAUGUUUAUAUCCAUUUUGUACUACUAUCAAUUUCAAUCAUGCCUAAUUUUUAUAUGUAUUUCUCGUGGACUCUCAGGUUCAGUGCACAAGAGGAUGAAGACGAUGGACACCCAAAUUUGAUGUGGAGAACAACUAUUGCAAAUGGUCCUUGAUUUACUUCUCCAAUUGACUUGAAUUGGUUUUACGCAAUUUAUAGUGUAUUUUUGUCAUCUUUGUAUGACUUGCAGGUCGUCCUGAUUUGGUACAUGACUGGACACAGGAAUUGGACUCAUAUUUUUCAAACCAGAAUGCCAACAAUCAAGGAUUUUCUUUUGAAAGCACUGGCGUCUUCUUCAAUGCCAAAAAGGUUAGAGAUUUUCUGUAUCCUGUUUUGUAUUUGAUCAGUUUAGCAUGUGGGUGGCAAUCAAGAAAAGUUAUUAUAACAUUUUUGUGUUCCCGAAAAACUGCUGAUGAUGUGUGACUUCUUUUUAUUUGUAUUCUUUCUUUUUUCUUUUCUCCCCAACAGUAUUAUGCAUUUCGAAGAGCUUCUUGAAGUUGAUUACCAUGUAUGCCACUUUCUUUACUCUAUGCUCAGGAUGUGAUUUUGCCAAGCAUUAAAAUGGUUUAGGUCAGAACCAUCAUCUAAAGUUUACUUAAAGUUGACGGAUUAAUUCCUUUUAAUAAUGGUCGAGUUAAUUUUACUAUACUCAUAAAACUAUUCUUAUUCUGAUAAUGCCACAAAUGUUAUGAUGUUUUCUUCAGCUAAUGAUCUUCUAUCAGGACUAGUUAGAAAUCAAAUGCUUAAAACACCGAUUGAAUGAAUAAUGCAGAAGUUUAAACAGUAUCUAAUUGAAAAUUGCAUGAAACAUGAAACAUCAAUUCAAGUCCUUCCUUAAACAGAGAAUGCAUCAAACAAAUCCAAAGUGUCUUGCAUGUCUGUAGCAUGACAAAAAAGUUGCAAAUGCGUUUAGAACCAAAUUAUUCAAGUACAGGAGAACGAGCAAGUUGAAUCAUGUACACGAGAUUGGCCUGGUUUGAGAUAGCUUCUUCACUGUACCUGAAGGGUUGGCUCAAUCUUUUCUUUAGAAUUCUGCACAUUUUGUAAUUACUCGUGUAAGCAAGCAUACAUUACAACCAUAAUAAUAAUAAAGCAAGAGUAAUGAUACGACCACCACCUCUUGUACACAAACAAUAUUGUAUAAACUAAUACGACAUAAUAUGAUUGGUUGAACAAAAACAUUACAUGGCCCUCAUAAUUUAUUUAUUUAUUUAUUAUUAUAUAUUUUCAGUCAACCAAUCAUAUUAUAUCACAUUAGUUUCUAUAAAAUAAUUUUCUAAAUAGCACCAAAACUUAAUUGAUACUCACCAUUUCAUUGAACAAUUUUUUUAUGGUGUCAUUGAGGUUGCCUUCCCAACAUCCUUCAUCAUCAUCUUUUUCUUCUUCGGUGACGUUCACUUUGUUUAGCAUUGGUGUGUCUAAGACUCCUUGAGAGAAGAUCUUCAUUUUUGGACACUGUCUCACAACUACUUGUUUCAAGGACGGGAAUUCAAGAGCGUAAUUACCUAAACAAAAGCUUGUUAGGCUUGGCAAACAAUCAAGUCCCAAGUACUUUAAUUCCUUGAAAACAAUGCAAUCUUUCGCUUCUUCUGCAACCGGCGACUGUAUGAUUUCUUCUAUCCUUUUGCAAUCAGCUAUCGUCAUACUUUGAAGAAUUAUCAGACUUCUAGAUGUUGAGAGCGUCAACAAAUUUAUCAACCUGUGACACUUCGAUACUUUCAAAGCCUCAAGAUUUUCCAAAUGCCACGAAGCUGGUACUAAUUUCUGUAACUUACUACAUUCAAAUAUUUCUAGACUUUUCAAGUUUGCAAACGCUUUGUUGGAUUCGUCAUUUUCCUUCCAGAGAUGCUGCACUUUGUGUAAUCUAGAUAGCUUUAACUCCUUCAAUUGAGGGAAUGUAAGCUGAAAAUCAACAAAAUUAAGUUGUAAAUGAAAAUAUGUAUCCAAUCUCUGCAGUAUUCCCCUGCAUAUUUUAUGGACAAGAUUAAUCACGGCAUUUUAUAUUUUAUUUCCAAAUUAGUAUGCUUUGCAGUAGGAUCCCAAAUAUAAGUAUCAAAUCGAUUACCCUUUGAAACACAUAAAUGAAAUCUGAUACUAAAUCCAAUAUGAAUUAGCUAGGAAAACAGAGAUGCGACAAGCAUAAUUGAUAUAGUUCAUCACCUCAUGUUACCAGUCAUCGAAAUAAUUUAAGACAUUUUUUUAAUUCAUACUAUAAAGUUAGUUCAUAACUGUAGUUGUAUUGUUAAUUCAUAUAUGAAUCAAGAUGACAUGCAAAAAGAUGAGUCAUAAAAUUUGAUUUGAUUCUAAUGAAAUUACAUCUGUGCAAACAAAAGUGAAGGGGAAAAUAAAAAUAAUAAUAAUAAUCACCUUUUCAUCGAAGAGGGGUUGUACUUGAUGAGCCAGCAAAAAGUUCUCUUCUGAUGUUAAUUUUUGAGGUUCCUUGUUAUUUGUUGUCACAUGCACUACCGAGUUGGAUAUGAAUGUUUCCAUAUCAGGGCAAUUCUCAAUAGUUAGAUUCUCCAACUCAGACAGUUCAAUUAUAUUCCCAGUGAAGUUACAGAAUCUUUUGAGUUUUGGAAGAUCAAUAAGCCUUAGUCUGUUAAGCCUAGGAAACCGGGGGCCUAUAUGUUCUUCCUUAGCAUUUAGCUCUUCUAAAUGAAGCACCUCUUCUAUUAAAUCACAAUUCCUCACUUCCAGGCAUCUCAAAUUGUUCAAGCAACGUAGCAGAUUGGUAGGAAUAGCACUCGACAUAUUCGUGCAGUCAUCCACAGCCAGUUGUCGUAAAUUGUUGAAGAAGCUGACAGGCACUGCUUGGCCGUGCCAUAUUUCUCUCAAGCGUGGAAAAUGUGAGAGUUGCAAAUGCUCUAUGUCACGGAAUCCAAUCUGCAUAAACCAAAACAAUUGCACUGGAUAUAUAUAAAUUUCUUUUUUUGAAAGGCAUUAGAUAUAUAUAUACAUUAAACUUACAUGUUUUGUGCUAUAACUUCUAAAAAUAUAUUUACAACGCAUGUGUAUAUGUUUAAAUGUGGUAUAGUGGAAUUAAGCUUAUUGCCAUUACUUCGAAGUGGUGUUCGUAACACCAUUACUUCGCAAAGUGAAUCGAUAAACACAUACCAUUACUUGGANNNNNNNNNNNNNNNNNNNNNNNNNNNNNNNNNNNGCCUUCCCAAUGGUGUUCACCCUCUUCCCUUUCAGUCACUUGCACUACGUAUAGCUUUGGUGUGGAUGAGAUUCCCCGAGAAAAAGUCUUCAUGUUCGGACAAUGUGUCAUAGAAACUUGUUCCAAUGAUGGGAAUUCAAGAGUGUAAUUCUCCAAACAAAAGCUGGUAAGCCUUGGUAAAUCAUCAAGUUCCAAAAGUUUUAAUUCGUUGAAAGCAAUACGAUUCUCCUUCGCUUCUUCUCCAACAUGUCCUAUGAUUUCUUCUAUUUUUGCACAGUCUGAUACAUCAAGAUUCACUAGACUAUUGGGAAUUCCAACCUGAAAUAAAGAGUAGCAUUCAACUAGAUCAAAGUAUGUCAAAAUCAUACAAUUGUUUUAUGAAAAAUAACAAUUUUGAGGAAUUGAAAGAUAACUAAUUUAAUUUUUUUUUGGAAAGACUAAUAAUGAAUGAAUUAAUGAUUAAAUAAUAUUAUUAGUUAUAUCUAUUUAAUAUUAAUGUUAUCAAAUAUAGAUUUUUCAUAAAAAAUAAUUCUUAACUAUAUAAUUAAUAAUUAGAGAGAUGUUAAUAAGCUUUUUGAUUUCCUAAAAUACGUAAUUUAAAAAAAAUUAGAAUUAUUAAAAAAAUUCAAAAAAUGAGGCCUUCACAAAAUAUGGGACCUUAGGCGACCGCCUUGUUCGCCUAUACCUAAAGCCACCCCUGCAUGGGACUGUAAUAGAGUGAAUAUUUGAGGAAAUUUUUUAAUCAACGGUCGACUCAAAAUGACCAUCAUGAAUUUGUGCUUAAUCAAUGGCGUAAUCAAUUCAUAACUAAACCAGAGAUAUUAACUACAUUUGAACACUUUUCUUUAUUUUUUAUUUUUAAAUCGAAAUCUAAAGACCCAAGGAAAAGAGAAAUAUAUAUGAAUUUGUGAACUUAAAAGCUGAGUAACUAAGUAUCUUUUAAUUUCUGAAAAUCUUAUUUAUUAGGAUAUAAGAAAAAAAAACAAUUAAAUUGAAUUAUAUUAUGCUGUUAAAUCGUGUUUAAAACAAUUACUUUAAUGCAGGUGAACCUAUAAAUUAGAUUGAAAAUGCAGAGUUCAGAAUGGUGAUUUGAAGUACACUACUUUUUUGCCCUCCAGAAGUUUGAAGUAAAAUACUUGCAAUAAAUAAUUUGUGAAUGAAAAUUAUUUGUAAACACAAAAAUGAUUAAAAUAAUUGUUGAAUGUUACUUGAAAUAAAAAUUCAAAAUGAAUAUAGCAAUCUUACCAAUGGAGGAAAAAUAUUCAGUAGAUUAUUACACCCAGAUAUCUUCAAUUUUUUCAAUUUGCUAAAAGACUUCGAAGCAAGCUGGUGGUGCCAUAUUUUUCUCAACUUAUCCGCCUCACUAAUAUGUAAUACCUCCAGACUUGGGAGUCGUACCUGAAGUUAAAAAUUCAAUGCAAUUAGAGAUGUAUAUUAAUUAAAUUUGAAGACUCAACGAAAAGAGAAUUUAAAAAUUCAAUGAAAAAAAACCUUUUCAUCAAAGAGGGAUUGAGGUUGCAUUUCAGUGUGAAUGACGUCUUCUGGUGAGGCAAAGCUACUUAGUUUUGGAAGCCAAUGGAGCGACAGGUAGUGUAGUUUGGGAAAAACCUUAAAUUCAUCUCUUCCUCCUAACGUCGUGGUGUUGACUACCCCUUCAAUUGACCGGCAAUUACGAAUCUCAAGAUGUUGGAGUUGCCCAAGACUAUUAACCAUAGAAUAUGAAAACAAAUACUUCAGACGAUGACAACUCCACACGGUCACUUUUGUUAAAUUUUGACAACAAUAUAUUCCCUGAAAUUGAUCGGACCAUAAUUUUUUGAUAUUUGUUAAACUGACAAGUUCCAGUUCCUCCAAGCGUGGAAAAGUAACCUGCAAAGAAAAACCAUACAUUUUUGUUCUUUCAACUACAACUUCUAAUAUAAUAUUCUUUCGAUGAUUGAAGAUCAAUCGUGAUAAUAUAUUAAUUAAUUAAUUAUUAAACAGAAAAUUAUUACCUGGUGAACAGGAUCAUCCUCUGCAUUGAUUUCUAUGAAUCCCUGAGUUGUUGGUGGUUUCUCCAUGUCGGGCCCUAUAAAUGAACCAAAACAAUAUACAAUAAACAUCCGUUGUUUUUUUCACCAAAAAAAAAAAAAAGAAAAAAAGAAAGAGUCAAUGUCAAUAAUCCUACCAAUAAUUAAUUUCAACACUUACCAAUAAUCAUUUUCAAAUCAUCGCAGUCUUCCACUUUUACUUUUUGAAGCCGCAAUAGGUUUUUGGCCAUAGAGAAUGAGAAGAGAUACUUCAAUUUUCGACAGGAAUCUACGUUUAUAAUCCUUAAGUUGCUGAAGGAUUGAUCUUCUCUGAGUUGGCUGUAGCAUAUCGUCUCCAAAUUAGUUAAAAACAUAAGAGACAAUGCCUCCAGCAAGGGAAAGACUUCGCAACGAACCCGUCUAACUGAACCGACAAUAUGUAAAAUCUCAGAACAGUCUGUUACGAGAAGACGCUUCAAUCGUGGAAAACCUUCCCCAUCGUCUAAUUCAUGAACAACACUUUGAACACCCUCCAAUGUUUCUAGCCAGAGAUCUUCAGUUCUCUGCAGCAACAUUUUUGUCCCAUCAUUCUCCUUAAGAAUGCUAACUUUUUUUAUCCCCUUGAGCAUCAUCAAUCUUGAUGCUUCGGAUUUGACGAGCAAUGGGUCAAACUCAUCUUCGGGCCCAUCUCCUAUACGUAUCUUAUAUCUUUGCAAUUCCACAGAGACAAAAUCCGGCGGCAGAAUUUCGGCAUCCGGAACUUCUAUCUCCAAAGUAGUUAGCUCUGUCAACCUCUCCAAUUCGACAAGACUGGCAUUACUUCCUCCUUCAACCUUCUCCCACCCUGAAAAACCGUUACCCAUAUACAAUUCUUCUAAUUGAGAUAAUUUUGAUAUGACAUUCGGUGCUAUCACCUCAAGCCACCAACAAUUGCUCAAAUCUAGCAAUUGUAACCGCGUCAAUUGUCCAAUUUCAACUGGUAGCUGGUUGAUAUUGGAAUAUGCGAGGCUGAGAAUCUCUAAUUUCUUUAGUUGUCCAAUUGCCGCUAUAUCUGCUAGUUCGCACCAGUCUAAACACAAUGUUUGAAGGUUAAUGAGGCGACCAAGUGAUGAAGGUAAUGAAGAAGAGCCAAUUCCAGGAAACUGUAAAACUUUGAGUCCUUCCAUCCCUUCAAAAAAGUGGUCUGAAACUUGCAUAGGGCCAUUACCCUCCGUAUACAACAAAAAUAACUGGAGAUUGGGACAUUGCAACCUUUCAGGGAGCUCUUGAAUAUCUCUAUGAGGUAAUGAAAUAGCAAUUGGAUCUUUCUGUAUUGUCUCUUCCAUCUUUUUCUCCAAGUCAGCAACAUUUGGAACAUUAAACAUGCGCUCCUCUGUGGCAAUUGAUACGGCAACAACAUGAAUGACGUCAUGCAUUUUAACUUCAUCUUCAGCAUCACCGUCCAACAAUAAGCAUGAAGAUUUGAGGUUGUCGAUCAACCGAUGCACUCUACUCCUUGCUUCUUCCAAUGUGUAAACAUUUUCAAACAAACCCCAACCCACACCAUAUCUCAAUAAGUCAGAAACUUGUAUGACAUUACCUUCACUGUAUAGACUACAAAGACGGAACAGAGAUUUUGCCUCCUCACUUUCCAAGAAGUCAUAACUCAAUUUUAUGGAGGUGUACACAUUUGCUUGCAUGCCAUGAAUUUCUCUAGCAUCCGAUCUUCUUAGCUGAUUCAAUGCAUCUUUCCAAAAGUAACGCUCUUUAGUUUUCAGAGCAUUUGCAACUGUACUCAGUGCAACAGGCAAACCUCCGCAUCUUUCAACGAUCUCAUUUGCUAUACUUUGAAAAGCAGAUAUUUUAGUUGAAUCACCCAAUAUCUUUUCAAAAACUGCAAUGCUUCUUUUGGUGGCAAAGCAUCGAUCGGGAAAUUUUUCUGAGAAUUCAUAUCAAUGCGCAAUAAAUCUCGACUUCUAGACGUCAAUAUUAUUGUGCAUCGUCUCUGAUCAUCCUUUGUAUCUUUCUCAUCAACAUCCCCACAAGGAAUUCCAACUUUUUCGAACUCGAGUUUUUUCCAAAUAUUAUCCAAUAUAACGAGGACCUGCUUCUCGUUCUUCAAUCUUUCACGUAAUCGAUCUGCUCUUUCGAAUUUAUUCUCAUCCGAGCCAAAUUUCAUGCCUAAGUCAAAAGCAAGUUUCUUUUGAAUUUCCUGAUGAUCUGGGGUCUGUGUUACCUCAGCCAUAACGACCUUAUCGAACACCUUAUCUUCCAUAACUUGCCUUGCAACUUGCUUGACUAGCGUGGUUUUACCCACGCCGCCCAUCCCGCAGACCCCAAUUAUCUUGAGCUUAUCAUCCUUCAACGCCUCCACAACAUCUUGAAAUACUUUCAUUCUUGAAUCAAAGGCCUCGAAAUCUUUCACUUGCAUAUGUUCUGCCCGCUUUGGAGCAGGACGGUAGGAAACAUUAGAGAAGUUACCUUUUCCCAUGAGACUAGCAGCAGCUUCUGCGGCCUUUGCUGCUUGUCUACUGAGCUUGUAACGAGAAAUCAAGUUUGGGCACAAUCCUUUGAAACAGAACUUCUUAGCUCUAUCUUCAUCAUCAGUGAUGGAUUUCGCAGCUCCCUGAGUGAAUUCCUUGACGCUAUUAAGCCAGUCUGCAACAUCCUUAUAAAUCUCAUCUCCUUGUUGAGUAGCCUGAUGAACGGGUAUUUCCACCCUUUCUCUUUUAUAUCCCAACUGUUUCACUUGAUCUUUUAGGCCAUCUAUGUAGCUCUGGUACUUGAACACAUAAGAGAUCUGCCGUAUAAUCGGUUUGAACAGUGACUUUGCAUCUUCUGAUACGAUGCUGGAAAAAGCAGCCAGACCCACUUCUACAACCAUUGCCUGUUGCUUAACAAUAUAUGUAUAUAUAUGAAUAAAAUGAAUAAAAAUGUCAAAGAAAGGAAUACAAAUAAAUUAAAAUGAACUAGAGGGAAAGACAGAGAAAGAAAAGACCGCAAACAACAUCGCGAUAUUGAUUUUGAACCAACUGAUACCUAAGUAGAGAAUUUCUUUUUCUAUCUUAAGGAUCAGAGGUUUCGCUAUUAACAGAAAGGUAUCCUUUAAGGAAAGUUGAUGGAAAUUAAGAAAGAAUGGCUAUCAAGAUCAAGUAUUCUGCUACUAAAAAUAAAUGAUAUGACUUAAGAAAAGUAAAUGAUAUGAUUAAGAAAAACCAGAGAAUUUUUUCCUAGGAAAGUUGAUGGAAAUUAAGAAAGAACCGCUAUGAAGAUCAAGUAUCAGAGAUUCUGCUACUAAAAGAAUAUUACAGGUUUUAGAACAAGUGCACCUCUUUACCUGUCUGGGAUCAGAGUCGAUGAGCUGCUGUAUUCACCUUGAAUAUAGAAGAAAUAUUACAGGUUUUGACUAAAGAGGAAUGUGAGGAACGAGUUGAUGAGAGUAAUAACAAUGAAUUUCCAAAAGAAGACGACUUGAGCAUUAAGCAUGCACCCCCUUUAUCAAUCAAAUAUUGGUACGUAUGUACGUAGGGACCAUUAUGCGUAUAUGAAGUCCAUUAGUUGCAAUCAGAAACCCUGGCCCAAUUUAAUUGGCACUCGAUUUUUGAUAAGAAGAAGGCAAGGAUAAGGACAAAGUCAAUCAAUCACCAACAGUAAUUACUUCAAUCUUUGUCAAUCUACUUAAAUUGUCGAUCAACAUGAAAAUUGUUUAAAUUGAUAUUUGUAAAUCAAUCAAUUUUCUAGUUACUAUGAUUAUAACGUUUCACCUUUCAUAUUGGAUUUUAUCUUUUCGAAAGUUUUCAAAUAUGAGUGUCAAUAAUUAUUGAGACUCCAAGCCGUGCUCUCAAGAUCGUGCUGACAAAUCACUAUUGACUUUGUUUAUGCAAAAUUCAAAGAAAAAAAGUUAUGGUUUUGUAUUGCCAGCCCUGCUACUUUUUGUUUUUUUCAUUUGUAUUAUUUACGAAUUAUUUUUUAACAGAAACAUGAGAACUCAUCAUCGUACAAAAUUGCAUGAAAAAAUCUUCAAAUUUAUAAAAGUAAAUUUCGUUGACAGAUUGUGGAUAUGUUAGAAAGAAUAAGGAUAAGAAUGAGUUAAGAAAUAAUAUAUAUAUAUAUAUAGAUAGAGAGAGAGAGAGAGAGUGAAAGUAAACAAUGUUUUGGUACAUUUGGUAUUGUUUUCAAAAUAUUUUGAAAAGAAAAAUUUUCAAUUAUCCACCUAGGAAUUAUCUUAUUAUCCAAAAAGUUAUAAAAAUUUAAAAAUAUUUAAUUUUAUACCCAUUAUUACAAUGUGUAUCAACUGUUUACUAAAAAAAUAAAGUUACUCCUAAAACAUAAUCACCACUACAAUUUUGUGUUCGCUUCUAUUUUGUCACUUUGAACGAAUAACUUUAUAUUUUUAACAGAUGUUUCAUACAAAUUGCAUACAUUGGAUGUAAAAUUAAAUAAAUUUAAAUUUUUAUAAUAAUUUUAAUAAUUGAAUAAACUUUGAGUAAAUGACUGAUAAUUUCUCUUUUAUAAGCUACAAGAAGUUAAAAAGAAAAAAGAAAAAAUAGGAUGAUAAUUUCUCUUUAAUAUGCCUCAGAUGAUUUAUUGUUUCGGGUCUAAGAUUUUAAAUAUUCAACUUAAAAGAUUAAUAUAUUAUAAAUUAAUUAAUUAAAUAAUCAUUAAGCAACUAAAUUGGGUCCCCUGGAUGUCAAUUCCUUUAUUAUUGACGCAACUAUUUUUUUAUGGCAAAUAAUUAUUAAUGCACUUACGGAACUUUUGCAUAUCUACACAGCGAUUUUAAAUAUUACUGGUAACUGCUGAGAAAUGUGCGAGAAAGAAGUUGAUGAGAGUAAUAACAGCGACUUGCAAAAGGAAAAGACAGAAUCAUUCAGACAUUCACCCCUUUUUGUAUCACGUACUUGGUUACUGUUUCCCUGUUGACGCAUGUAUAAAUUUGAGUGAUUUUUCUGCACUUUUUUGGCUGUUGCUUAACAAUGUGUGUGUGUGUGUGUGUGUGUGUAUUUGCUGUUGAAAAAUUUGGAUUCAAAUAAAUUAACUGAAAGAUUAGAGUUUUGACUAUUAACUGAAAGGUUUCAAGGGUAUGAAUGAAAAGCAACAUUCUUUUUUAGAAACUAUUUUAGAGGAGAGAUGCAAAUUAACAAAUGCUAAUAACAAGAACACAGAAGUUAACAAUGAACAGUAACUUAAAUCAAGAAAAUUAAAUGACAAAAUUAAGACAAAUAGGAGAUAUUUUUUCGUGGACGUUAAGAAAUAACUGCUGUCAAGAAUAAGGAGAUUAUGCUAUUAAUAGAAAUUAUCAAAGGAUUUAGGACAAGUUCACCUCUUUAAUUAUCCGGGAUCAGAUAGUUGAUGAGCUUCUCUAUUUGAUCUUGAAUAUUUAAGAAUAAUUUUAAUGAGCAAAAAGAUCACUGGUAACUGCUGAAAAAUAAGUGAGAAAAGAGUUGAUGAGAAUAAUAACAAUGAAUUGAAUAAAAAAAGGACUUAAUCAUGCACCCCCUUUGCAUAUCAUGUAUAGAAUAAUUACAUGUAUUAUUAUAAUUUUGGGUUCGAUAUCCUUGUAUUAGUGUCUAAGAUUUUCAUGAAGAAUUAAACUUGAAAUGACCAAAAGAGGAAGCUGCGGUGUAUUGUUGGACCCAAUUAAGUUGAAGAAAGCACUAGUUCACAACCUUACGUUUGGAUAUAUUCUAAAGAAAUAAUUAAACAGCAAAUGAUCAUCACAUGCACUUUAAUGAUUUGAUCUAUUGUUUUCAAAAGAAAUUGCAAUUAACAGUUUUUGUCAAAAGUUCGCACUGUGUGAAACUAGUGUUAAUAUAAUUUAAAAAAUUACUUUCAAUAGCAUAUGGAAUAAUUAUAAUAUUAUUAAUACCUAAGAUAUAUUUAUAUUUAUUAUAAAAAAUUCAGUUAAAUAUUUGUGUUAACUAGAAUUUAUAAUUAAUAUAAUAUAUCUUAGGUAUUAAUAAUAUUAUAAUUAUUCCAUAUGCUAUUGAAAAUAAUUUAAAUUUUUAGACGUUUAUUUUCAUAUUAAGUUUUUAUUUAUUAUAAAAUUUAGUUUAAUAUAGUAUAAGCUUGUAAAGUAUUAAAAUAUUUUUUUUCAUAUUUUUUAAAAAUAUUAAAAUUAUUUUAAUAUAUAUAUAUUAACAUUGAAGCCAAUUUUUUGAGUUAAUAGAGCUAGUAGGUGUUACACUAAAAAAGAGUAUCUUAGUAUCUCUUAUUGAGUGGGAGAGCCAAAUGAAUCGAAAAAUUCAUGUUUGGUUCGGGAAGGGAUCAUCGAAGUUUUGAGAUGAAUGGAAAGAUAAUCUACUUUCAUUAAGUGAUUUAUUAGAUAAUCGCAAACUGAGGAUUUUGAAUAGUAUUCAAAAUUCAGAAGAAAUGCAGAGAGGGGCCAUUGAACGGCCGGAAAAAGCCCGGCCCGGUUACAAAAAAUCAAAAUAGAAGCAGAUCAAUAUUGAAAAUAUAUAGAUCUAUAUAAUCAUUUUUUCAAAUAUCGAGAUGUAGCUAUAAAAGAAAAAAUAAAUUAAAAAAUUUUAAAUUUUAAAUUUUAAUAUGGCCAUCGUAGGGUUAGAAUCCCCGCUCCAACCCGAUUUGGAGAUGUGCUUGGUCUAUUUAUGUUUUGGAAAAAGAAAAACCAAAGAAAAAAAAUACGCACCCGACCAAAUCAAGUAACUCAUCAAAUAAAAAAUAAAAAAGGAAAGAAAUUUAAUGACUUGCGUGCAAUUUUGGAUCUGAAAUUAAAAUUACAUAAAAAUUCAGGCUUACGUACCUUGAUAUUUACAGCUUAUUUGAUGGCCUCAACAAGUUUAAGCAGCAUCAAAAUGUUGUGGCUCCUUCAAUGACAACAUCGACUUGUUUGACAGCUCCAACAAGGCUACGAUGAUCAGAAAAUGAGCCCUCAAUCAACCAGCGCCUUGCUCUUUGUCAUUUUUCCUCUUGUUAGUUUUCUUCUACAUAUAAUUAUUACACUGGGAAGUAUACACACACCUCUUUUCUUUUUAUAGUACCUUACUAUUAUAUCUUUACAAAACAAUAUCACCCUAAGACAUAUAUGUAUGAAAUAAAUAUAUAAGGAACUGACGAAAUAAAAUUAGAUCUAACACUAGUUUCAUGUGGUGUGUGAACUUUUGACAAUCCUCUCAUACCCCAACAAAAACUUUGUCAUAUUACGAAAGUUAUCACGACCAUAGACUUUUCAAUUGCAUAUUGGAAUUGCAAUGUCAUUUUAUUAUAGUAAUGUCAUUUCCAUUAUUCAUAGUGGCAGACAAUGGACAUCACGGGACACGGCGAGAAGUUAUCACGACCAUAGACUUUUCUAAUUUAUGAAAUAAAUGAAAUUAGAUCUAAUUCUAGUUUUAAGUGGUGUGAACUUUUGACAAUCCUCCCAUAUCCUAACAAAAGCUUUGUCAUAUUGCGAAAAUACCUUUCCAAUGUUUCAAUUGCAAUGUCAUUGCCAUUAUUCAUAGUGGCAGACAAUGGACAUCACGGGACAUGGCUAGAAGUCUAUGUUACGGCUUAUGUAAGUAACAGUAGCCAAUGGGGAACUUCCACAGGGGCUAUAGGAGAGAGAAAGAGGUCCCAAUACAAGUGUUAGAGUGCAAUUUAUACACUAGUUUUGCAUUGUUUACUUCCCUUAAUAUCAAUGUUUUGCAUUUAAUAAUAAUGAUUUACUUGUGUUUUACUUUUGUAGGUGCAAUUCUAUUGAUUUGUUAUAAAAUUGAGGUAUAAGAUGAUGUUUAAAGAUGAUUGUUCUCUUAGAGAAAUUUAGAGCGUCAGAAGAACUUUAUUGAUAAAGCGUGGGCGCGUGCUGUCAACUGCGGACCUGCAGUUUUUAGUUUAAUGUGUUUUGUAUUUUUGGCUAUUUUUGUAAUUACGAAUUUAAUAUUUCAAAUAUUAGUAUUUUAUUUUAAAUAGAACUCUAAAAGAGAAGAGAGAGAGAGUAUUUAAGGGAGGAAUCUAUUGUGAAAAAGGGGGGAUUUUAAUUGGAGAAAAAGAAAGAAACCCUAGAUCUAAUUUUUCUCUUCUCUCUAUGAAGAACUAAACUUAUUUUUUCUGGUGGAAGGUUAAUGAAGCUUUGAUUCAUCAAUACUGUGAGAUCUUUCUUAUGCUUUAAUUGUUUUAUUACUUUUUGGGUAUUUGUUUAUUCUCUGAAUUUGUUUCAUGAUUAUGUUUGUUAAUUAGGUAAUUGGCCACUAUUUAAUUAUCAACUUAAUCUAUUGUCAAUUAAAGAAUUCAUCGUAUGAAGAGUUUAAUGUUUGUGACAAAUAACAUAGCAGUGAGUUGUGUUAUGGGAAUAAACAAUCUAAUUUAAAUGAAUCAUUAUAUGUGUUGAUUAGGAUUUGGGUCUCUAUGGUUUUUCAGGCUGUCAAUUGAUUAAAUCCUAUGAUCGUAUCUAGGGUUGUCUAUUGAUUAGGGAAAUAUCCAACGGUCGUACCUUGGUUAUCGACUAGUUAAGGAGAGAUUGGCUAUUAGAGGGUCUCAAUAGCUAUAACCGGUCUAUUCAUAAGUAAUAAUAAUCUAUUUUUGAAUCAAUGAUUAGUAGUCGAAUCAAGCUGAGUUAAUUCCUUCAACCAGAGCUUUCUCCAAUUUGAAUUACAACUUUAAUUUGCAUUUUUGUUAUUUUAAUUUGAUUUUUUAUUAUUGUCAACAAUUCCCCCAUUUUACGUUUUACGUUUCAAAAGGAUUUAAAUAAUUACCGAUCUCUGUGGACACGACCCUGCUCAAUCACUAUACACAAUUUAUUUAGAGUAGGAAUUUAUUUUUGUUGGCUUCGACAACCAUCAACAAGGUGAUGGAAAUGGGAAAGUUCGAAGCUGUUACUUUCAGCUUCUGCACCGUAGCCAUGUCCCACGGGACAAGGCUAGAAGUUAUCAUGACCAUAGACUUUUCUAAUUUAUUUUUUCCUUUCAAAAAGGGACAAGGAUAAGUUUGGGAGAAUGAUUAUAUUUUUAAUAAAAGAAUUCUUUUUUAUUAUAAUACUUUUUGUCUUUAUUAAUUUAAAAAUAUUAACUCUUAUAUUUUAAUAAAUAUAAAUAUAAUAUUAUAAUAACAUAUAACAAUAUAUACAAAAAUUUAAAAAAAAUUAAGAUUUUAUUAAAAUAAAUUUUAUAAUAAAUACAAAUACAUUAUUAAUAUAAUUUUAAUAAUUUGCAUUUUAAAAAGUAAUACUGAUAUUAAUUUUUUAAAUAUUAAUUUUUUAAAUUAUAUUACUCUACCAAAAAAAAUUAAACUAUUAAAUUAUAUUGAUAUUUAUUACAAAAUUUGCAAUUAAUUCUUAUUAUAUUUUUAAUUGGAAUUUGUUCCUGUGAUAUAACAACAAUUGCUACAGUUUUUUUCCCUAAAUAAAGAUGGAGUUAUAAAUUAUUUGUGUAAGUGUCAUGAAAGUAAUAGUUGAAUAACAAUAAUGGGGCUUUAGGCAAUUUUUUCAUGAGGUCUUCUUGCAAUUUCAACACUUAAACAUACUUGUCCUUGAUCCCAAUUUAUUUACCCCAUUUGGGCCCACGAUGAGAUAAAUAUAUUCCUGUGAGAUGAAAAACAUCAGGAGAAGAAAAUGUUUUAUUAUAAUAAAAAAACAAGUGGUCCAUAAGUCUAUUUAUUACUUUUUUUAUUCAAUACAAAUGGCCAACUUAAAAAAUGAUAAAAAUCACAUAACGCACAAGCAAAAAUUUAGAUUUACAUUUUUUUAGUUCUCUCCGUGUCUCUCUUUCUCUUUUUUUUUUUUAAAAAAAAUAAAUGUCAGUGUAAAAUUAGAAAAAUUUUAGAUAUAAACUUUGGCGAUGACCAAACAAAAAUUGCAAGGGAAAGAAAAUAGAGGACCCUUGAUAUCAUUGAAAUACUGAUCAUAGACACUACAAUAUAAAUAACUUGUUGUGAUCCACUCAACUUGUAACACUUUAAUCCAUAUUCUAAAAUUUGUAUGCUUGUUAGGAAUUUUAUUAUUGACAUUACUGUACCAAUAAAAGUCUAAUUUAUUCAUAUGGAAAGAAAACAUCAAGAAAGGACCUCUGAUUUUUAUUAUAACAGAAAAAAGUGGUCCAUAAGUUUAUUUAUUAUUUUAUUUAUUCAAUACAAAUUGCCAACUUAAAAAAUGGUAAAAAUCACAAAAUGCACAAGUAAAAUUUUAGAAUUACAUUUUUUUAAUUCUCUUUGAGUCUCUCUCUCUCUCUUUAAAAAAUAAACCUCACUGUAAAAUUAGAAAAAUUUUAGACAUAAAAUUUGACAAUCACCAAACAGAAAAUGUAGGGAAAUGAAAAUGGAGGAGCCCUAUUAUCAUUAGAAUAUUGAUCAUAGAUACUAUAAUGUAAAUGAUUUGUUGUGGUUCAUUCAACCUGUCACACUCUAAGCCAUUUUCUAAAAUUUGUAAGGUUUAUAGGAUUUUUAUUAUUGGCAUCAUUGUAUCAAUAAUAUUAUAAAUUAUAUAUUCUAUUGUAAUGAAAAUUUAUGUAAUCUUAGGUAUUUAUUUAUUGUAAUAAUAAAAAAUUUCUAAAUAAAGGUGAUUGCUUCAUUGACAAGUACAUAUUUAUAUUCUCUAUUAGUAUUUGGGUUGUAAACUUUGUUUAUAAAGUGAAUAUAUUGUGGUAAGCGAUGUGGGCAAUAUCGGAUGCAAAAUAUUGAGAGAUCAUUAACGCAUAUAUUUAUUGAAGACGCAUAUAGAGGAAAGAGUGUAGAUCCGGCCGUAACAAUUAUGAAGCUUUCCCCAAGUAUUCUCACGCUUCCUUAACUGUUGCAAAGUAUUUUUCAUAGUGUGCAGAUUUACUUUAUGGUGUCUUAAUUCGUCUAAAAUGAUUACUUUAGUUCUUUUGGGAUGAAAGGUCAUUUAUUGUGUUAGUAUUAAACAAUAGAAAAAAUAAGUAAUGGUAACGAAAGACUAAUUUGUGAUAUUGAAGCAUACAUGCUUAACUCAAUCCAAAACUUAGUAAGUUAGCUCAAGAGUUAAGAGUUGUCCAAAUCUUAUAUGCUGAACCCAAGUUCAAUACUCAAUUGAUGCAGGAUGUUAUUCCUAACACCGCCCCUCAUGCGUAGGAUUGGCAAAAAAACUCGAGUCAGUCCCGCCUAGACCUGCAAGCUUUAUUUAUGGCCAGCAUGAUGAAGUUACAGAUAUUAACCUAAAAAUUUGAAACUUACUAUGAAUGGCCUUGGUUAAAGACUUUUGUAACUUUAAUUUAUAACAAGUAUGUAUACACACACACACACAUGUUUAGAUUGCAUUUGGAUGACUUUUUUAUCAAUGCAAACAAUAUCAAAUUUAUCGGAUUAAUUUGAAUCUGAUCUAUAUCCGAUUUUGCCCGCCAUANNNNNNNNNNNNNNNNNNNNNNNNNNNNNNNNNNNNNNNNNNNNNNNNNNNNNNNNNNNNNNNNNNNNNNNNNNNNNNNNNNNNNNNNNNNNNNNNNNNNNNNNNNNNNNNNNNNNNNNNNNNNNNNNNNNNNNNNNNNNNNNNNNNNNNNNNNNNNNNNNNNNNNNNNNNNNNNNNNNNNNNNNNNNNNNNNNNNNNNNNNNNNNNNNNNNNNNNNNNNNNNNNNNNNNNNNNNNNNNNNNNNNNNNNNNNNNNNNNNNNNNNNNNNNNNNNNNNNNNNNNNNNNNNNNNNNNNNNNNNNNNNNNNNNNNNNNNNNNNNNNNNNNNNNNNNNNNNNNNNNNNNNNNNNNNNNNNNNNNNNNNNNNNNNNNNNNNNNNNNNNNNNNNNNNNNNNNNNNNNNNNNNNNNNNNNNNNNNNNNNNNNNNNNNNNNNNNNNNNNNNNNNNNNNNNNNNNNNNNNNNNNNNNNNNNNNNNNNNNNNNNNNNNNNNNNNNNNNNNNNNNNNNNNNNNNNNNNNNNNNNNNNNNNNNNNNNNNNNNNNNNNNNNNNNNNNNNNNNNNNNNNNNNNNNNNNNNNNNNNNNNNNNNNNNNNNNNNNNNNNNNNNNNNNNNNNNNNNNNNNNNNNNNNNNNNNNNNNNNNNNNNNNNNNNNNNNNNNNNNNNNNNNNNNNNNNNNNNNNNNNNNNNNNNNNNNNNNNNNNNNNNNNNNNNNNNNNNNNNNNNNNNNNNNNNNNNNNNNNNNNNNNNNNNNNNNNNNNNNNNNNNNNNNNNNNNNNNNNNNNNNNNNNNNNNNNNNNNNNNNNNNNNNNNNNNNNNNNNNNNNNNNNNNNNNNNNNNNNNNNNNNNNNNNNNNNNNNNNNNNNNNNNNNNNNNNNNNNNNNNNNNNNNNNNNNNNNNNNNNNNNNNNNNNNNNNNNNNNNNNNNNNNNNNNNNNNNNNNNNNNNNNNNNNNNNNNNNNNNNNNNNNNNNNNNNNNNNNNNNNNNNNNNNNNNNNNNNNNNNNNNNNNNNNNNNNNNNNNNNNNNNNNNNNNNNNNNNNNNNNNNNNNNNNNNNNNNNNNNNNNNNNNNNNNNNNNNNNNNNNNNNNNNNNNNNNNNNNNNNNNNNNNNNNNNNNNNNNNNNNNNNNNNNNNNNNNNNNNNNNNNNNNNNNNNNNNNNNNNNNNNNNNNNNNNNNNNNNNNNNNNNNNNNNNNNNNNNNNNNNNNNNNNNNNNNUACCUCUUUUAACGACAAGAUUCGUAGUAGAUGAUAAAAAGAAAAUUAACUUCAAAUUUUUUCAUUAAAUGUAAAUCUGAUUGAAGUAGUUUAAAUUUUUCUAGUAGACUAAUAUAUAUAACUUAAAUAAUUAAUUUCAUUAUUAAUUUUUAAAAUGUUAACUAAUAUAUUUUUAAUUUAUUAUAAAAAUUUUAAAUAAAUCCUUGGAUUAAAUAGAUUUUACAAUUAAUGUAAUACUUCUGAUUUAUUAAUAAUAUUAAAAUUAUUUUAUAUGAUAUUCAAAAUAAUUUAAACUUAUAUAUAUAUUAAUAUUAUGUCUAUUUAUUAUAAUAUGGUUUAAUAUUAUACGGGAUUGUAAAAUAUUAAAAUAUUUUUCAAUAUCCAAUUAUUUUAAUAUGUAUAUAUCAUUACAUUUAUUUUAGUAUCGUAUUUAUAUUUAUUAUAAAAUAUAAAAUUAAUAAAAUUAAAGAGUAUUGCAGUAAAGUAAAAAAAAAAAGUCUUAUUAUCUCUUAUUCACAAUAUGAGAUUCUACAAAAUUAUUUCCCGAAACGGGUGUCCUUUUCUUAUUUUCAAAAGAAAAAAUAAAGUAAGAAUAAGUCCAUGGGUUUCAAAAACUUCUAGUCUUAUCCCGGGACUACAUUGUCUGCCACUAUAACUAAUGGAAAUGACAAUACAAUUGACAUUGCCUUUCGCAACAUGACAAAUUUUUGGUGGGAUAUGGAAGAAUUGUCAAAAGUUCACGCCAUGUAAGAGUUUUUGGUGGGAUGUGGGAGGAUUGUCAAAAUAUCACACCACGUGAUAUAACCACAAUUGCUAUGGUUUUUAUUUUUUAAAUAAUGAUGGGAGUUAUAAAUUAUUUAUAUAAAUUUGCGUAGAAACUAAUGUAACAUAAAAGAAGUAGCUGAAUAAUAAUAUUUGGUGCUUUAGGUAAUUUUUAUAUGAGCCUUUCUUUUAUUUAGCGGCUCUAGUGCUUAAACAAACUUGUUCUCGAUCUUAAUUUACUGACCCCAUUUAAGCCUAUGAUGACAUAAUUAAACAUAUUCUUUUGUGACGAAAACAUCAAGAGAAGACAUCUCAUGUUUUAUUAUAACAGAAAAGAAGUGAUCCAAACGUCUAUUCGUUAUUUUAUUUAUUCAAUAUAAAUGGUCAACUUUAAAAAAAUGAUAAAAAUCACACAACGCUCAAGUAAAAAUUUAGAAUUACAUUUUUUAAAACUCUCUGAGUCUCUCUCUCCUGCCCCCCCCCCCCCCUCUUUUUUUUAAAAUAAACCUUAGUGUAAAAUUAGAAGAAUUUUAGAUAUAAAAUUUGGCAAUCGCUAAACAGAAAAGUAGCGGAUUGAAAAUAAAAAAGCUCUAUUAUCAUAGGAAUAUUGAUUAUACAUAAUAUAAUAACUUGUUGUGGUUCAUUGUAGCACUCUGAGCCAUACUUUAAAAUUUACUGGUUUGUUAAUGCUUUUAUUAUUGACAUUAUUGUGUCAAUAUUACUAUAAUUUAUUCAUUUUAUUGUAAUGAUAAUUUGUGUAGUCUUAGGUACUUAUUAUAUUAAAUUAUGUAAAUUAAUUGAGAAUACUUUUAGAGACAAAAGAAACACGUGUAUGUAGGAUUAAUAAUCGAAGAAUUGUAAAUGAAGGUGAUUGCUUCAUUGAGAGGCAUAUUGAAUAAUUAUGGAGGUUGCACUAUUUCGGAAGCACAUAUUUAUACUUCCCUAUCAGGAUUUGGGGUAAACGAAGUGCUUUAUCUAUUGCAGUAAGCAAUGUGGGCAAUAUCAGAGGCGAAAUAUUAAAAGAUUAUAACGCAUAUAUUUGAGCCAUUUAUAUUGAAGACACAUAUAGAGGAAAGAGUGCAGAUCAGGCUUUCCUCAAGUAUUCUCAUGCUUCCGCAACUGUUCUGAACUAUUCUUCAUUGUGGGCAGAUUUACUUAAUUACCAACACUAUGAUUCAAUACUUCAAAGGUUGAGGAAAUGUCAAAAUAUGAAAUGAAAAUACUUAAAUACCCUUCUACCUAACAAAACUUGGUACUUCUAACUGCACUCGCAGAGAAUAUAUAAAAUUAAAAAAAUAUAUAUUCAUCCAUGAAAAGCUUCGUAACAGAAAAACCAUCUUUAAAAAAAAUAAAAAUAAAAUUAAAAAAAAAAAACAGAAAAACCGACUCAUUUAUCUGCCAAUGAACCAAUUGGGACUCAUUUAAAAAAGAAUACAAAGCAAAAGUGAAUGACACAAAUUGCAUAGAUAUCUAGGUAUAAUUUGUCCAAGUAAUAAAUUCUCCUAGGUCAAAAGCAAUUAACGAUGAAAACUUUCUUCAUUAAGGUUCUGGCCUACGUAAAAAAACAGAAAAAACCACCCCAAGGUCAAAGCACAACGAUAAGUUUAGAACUGCAGUUUUUAAUUUUUUUUAAUAAAUCAAUGUGUAUCAAAAAUAGAUAAUAAUUUUGGAUAACUUUUUUUGAUAAAUAUAGACAUAAAAUUUUAAAAUCACCAAACAGAAAAACAGGGGAAUUAAAAGAGAGCCCUUGUUUCUCCUCUGUUUUGUUUGUUAUCAAACAGUGAAAUGAAAAGAUCGCAAGCGGAAAUUUUGUUUCUGCGUUGUAUCUUCUCAAUGCUGCAUGCAUUCAAAUUAAACCUUAUAUAUGCUAGCAAACUAGCUACUCUGCAUGUAAGUUCUCGAUAAGUCCAAAUAAUAGAAUAAUUGUAAAAUGUUAAAAUUCAGUAAUUAAUUAUACAUAUUUAUUUAUUCAAAAAUUAUUAUUAUUAAUUAUUGUCAAUAUAUAUUAAUAUUCUGAUUAAUUGUAAAAAAUUUAUCAUUCAUAACAAUAAUAAUGAUGAUGAUGAUAAUAAUAAUAAUAAUUCAAAAUAUAUUAAUUAAUUAUAAUAAUAUAUUAAUUAUUUAAUAAUAGUAAUAAAUGUAAAAUGUAUAAAUUGAUUAGAAUAGUUAUAUUAAUAAAUUAUAAACAUAUAUUAAUUAAUCAUAAUAAUUUUUUAAUUGAGGACAAAAUAGACAUUUUAUAGUUUGUGAGAGGGGGUAAAAUGGUCAAUCUUGGGAACGGGGGAUUGAUUCCCACCACCUUCCUUGGGAAUCAAUCUUCCAUUCCUCAUUCCUAAAUUUGGGUGGCCCCAUAAUUCUGAUUUGGAUCCCUGCCUCCAUCAUUAAUGAUUUCGAUUUCGGAUUCCGAUUCCCCAAUCCAAGAAGUAAAGGCACCAUUAUUGUUAAUUGGUUCAAACACACAAAGAGAAUGUACCAUGUAGCUAGGCGUCAAGGUUGUGUUGCACAAGUAACCUUUUUCUUUUCUUUUUAUUUUUCUUGUUUUCCUUAACGGAUCAGAAGAAAUUGGUGCCUUUGAGAUACCACAAUGUAAAUAAGUACUUGUGGUUCAUUGAAUCGGUAACACUCGGUACCCUAAGGUUGCUUUGGAAAAAAGGCUUUUCUCACUGAUCGCCAAUAUCCAAGUAAGUUUGUUUCAUUUCAGAAGGUGCAAAGUUUCAAACUUGUUGUAUUGGGAUGUAACAAACUUUGGCCUCAUAUGCCUGCUGUGACGUUAGACUGUUCAUUUUGAUUGUUUCCUACCUUCCACUUACGCCAUUGUAGCACUGUAUUAUUCACCAUUUUAACUGUUUAAAUGAAAUUUUAUUUUUGUCAAAAAUAAAAUGACACCAUUAAAAUUUAGAAAAAUAAUAAUGUAGAUCCCAAAUUUUUAAAAAAGAAUACCAAUAUUCCCCUUGACUACAAUACCCUUAGUAGGUGGUAAUAAAAAAAAAUUGGCUUAAAAUUUUUACGAAAUGUAAAUAUGAUUUAAAUAAUUUAAAUUUUCCAGUAGACUAAUAUAUAUAAUUUAAAUAUUAAUUUUUAAAAUUUAAAUUAAUUUAUUUGUAUUUAUAAAAUAGUUGUAAUUAUUUUAAAAUUUAACUAAAUCCUUAGGUUAAAUAGAUUUUACAAUUAAUAUAAUAUUUCUCAUGUAUUAAUAAUAUUAAAAUUAUUUUAUAUGAUAUUGAAAAUAACCUAAAUUUUUAUAUAUUUAUUUGAAUAUUAUGCUCUAUUUAUUAUAAUUUGGUUUAAUAGAAUACGAGAUUGUAAAAUAUUAAAAUUUUAAAUAUUGAAAUUAUUUUAAUAUGUAUAUAUUAUUAUAUUUAUUUUAAUAUCCUAUUUAUAUUUAUCAUAAAUUAUUAGAGUUAAUUUUUUUAGUUAAUAAAUUUAAAAAAUAUUAUAAUUUUAAAAAAAAAGUCUUGUUGUCCGUUAUUCACGAUAUGAGGUUCUACAAAAUUAUUUCUCCAGGCGGGUGUCCUUUUUUUAUUUUCAAAAGGAAAAACAAGUUCAGGGCCUCAGGGGUUUCAAAAAAUUCUGGUCCUAUCUACCACUAUGACUAAUGGGAAAUGACAUUGCAAUUGACAUUGCUUUCCGCAAUAUGACAAAUUAUUGGAGGGAUAUGGGAGAAUUGUCAAACGUUCACACACGCGAGAGCUUUAGGUGGGAUAGGGGAGGAUUGUCAAGAGUUCACACCACGAGAAACUAAUGAUAGGCCUAAUUUCGUUGUCAGUUCUUUAUUUAUUUAUUUUAUUUAUUUCAUACAUUAUUGUUUUUAUAAAGGUAUAAAAGUAAAGUAAAAUACCAGGGGUGCUGUUAAGUUACAACUUAUGUAACUUGCAAUUUUUUCAAAAAUAAUGUAAAAAAUUUAAUAGGUGGUGGGACCCACAUAUUUUUUAAGAGACUUAAGUUACAACAGUUGUAACUUAACAAAAUCUAAAUAUUAGACAAUAAUGCAUAUAAUUUGGGUUUGAUUUUUAAAAGAUUAUUUGAGUACCACCUAUCCUUAUGAUAUUAAUCUGAUUAUAUCUUAAUAUUAAAUAAUCAAAAUUUGUUUAAUUAUUAUUUGUAUUUCAUACAUUACAUAUUAGAUUUGUUUGAAUUUUAAGUUGUUGCUAAUAAAUAUUUAUGUUGUCAAAGUCAAAGUCAAUAGCUACAAAAGCAGAGAUAAUGGUAUUGUAUAUAGUUUUUAAGAAUGCAAGGAUAAGCUGGAUAAUUGACUUAAAUUCUAAUGAUUAAAAGAGCAACUAUCCCUUAAGUUAUAAUGUCAAUUUCUUUAAUUAGAAAUUUUUUUUUUCAUGUGAUAUAACCUCAAUUGCUACAAUUUUUUUUAUAAUAAUAAUGGGAGUUAUAAAUUAUUUAUAUAAAAUUUGGGUUGAAACUAAUGUAACCUAAAAGUGGUUGCUAAAUAACAAUAUUUGAAACUUUAAGUAAUUUUCAUGAGUCCUUUUUAUAUUCAGCAACUUGAAUUGGGGGAAAUCCGACUUGAAUUGGCGGUUGAUUUUGGUGAUGUGGCUUUUGGUUUACGCCGGCUUUACAGUGGCGGAAGACUGGAUUUACGGUUGCCGAAUGCUAGGGAUUAUGGUGGUGGUGUAAAUUGACGGAAAAAGAAGGUGUUUUGGUGGCGGCGCAUCUAGGAAGCACUCGUGGGUUGUCGUUUCGUGUGCUGACAACGGGCGGCGAUCAAGGGCUGAAGUUGGUUGGUUUUUGGUCAACGGAGGCCGGCGAGUUUGUUGGUGGAGGUGGUUGGUGGAGAAAGUGGCUGAAUGGUGGUGGGUUGCUUGGUGGAGCCGUGGGUUUGGGUUGGUGAUUUGCGGCUGUUGAGGCAGCGAUGACUGAGGCUUGGUCAACUGUGGCUAGUGAGGUUUGUGGUGGUGUUGGCUGGCUGAUCGGCGGUGGUGGGCGGCGGUGGAGGUUGAUGUGACGGGUUGGGUUUUCAAAUUUGUAAAUUUUGUUUUUUGAUGGAUUUGGUUUGGAUAGGUAUGGUGUAUCUAGGAAAGAUGUGCGAUUCGCACAUAAUCAUCUUGAUACCAAUUGAUGGAGCGAGGCGUAGCGGAAGCAGAAUUGAUAGGGUAAGAAACAUUAGAUAUUGUUCUAGUACUAGACCAAGCCAACGCGAUUAGUUCACGCUCUAAUCGAAGCAUGAUUAGAUAUCGUUAUAAUCCAAAUGACUCAAUGAGAUUUUUAAUAAUGCGUAAUACGAGAUUAGAUGACACUCUAAUCCAAACGACUCUACAAGAGAGAUUUUGAUAAAUAAUCCUAGAGAAAAUUAUAAAAGAGGGGUUUUAUUUAAUAAUUGAACUUGAAGUUAUGAAAAUAAUGACAAGACAUCUUUAUUUUUUUUAUUACAAAUAUCUUUAUUUAUAAUAGAAGAAACCCGCUUUCCUAAGUUAACCUAAAAAGAAAAUUUAAAUCAUAAUUAUAAUGGAAAUAAAAGAUUAAAAUACAUACCAUAAUUAACUCAAACUAAAAUAGAAAAUCAUAAAAUAAUAAAUAUUCUAGAAUUAUAAAUUAUCUAAAAUAACGUUAAUUAACUUCUUAAAUCACUUCUUUGGUGUUAACCAUUUUGCAUCCAACCUCGCUUUAAAGGUUUGAACCAACGUUACCAACAAUAAUGUAUCAAAUUCCAAUCUAACUUAAGAUCCUGAUACAUCUACCGAUGUCCUUGUUUGAUUAGACAAUAAUGAGUCUAUCUCAUCACUUGUUACCUCUUUCUUGAAGGCUGCAUCUGUUGAAGUGAUAGUCUCGUUUAGAGUUUAAAGAUCUUCUUCCAUGUUAAAUAAAAUGGGCAUUUGAUUAAAAAACUUUAUCUCUAUCUCCUUCUAUCAAAUAACGACAACUAUCCGAAGGGAAAAAAAAUUAGAAAAGUCCAUGGGUCACAAUAAUUUAUGGUCUGUUCCCGGACCCCAUUAUCUGCCACUAUCAAUGAUGAAAAUGAAAAUAAAUGGCAUCUUCCCAAAAUGGCAAAAGAUUUUUGGGGGAUAUGGGGGAAUUGUCAAAAGUUCACACAACGCGAAACAAGUGUUACAUCCAAUUUUAUUUCGUCAUAUAAUGAUAAUAUCAAAUAAUGACAACCAUCCAAAAGUAUGAUGGGUCUUCCACAAUUUUGAAAAUGUCGUCAACAUUUAAUCUUCAAUGCUAAAGAAGAUGAAAUGACCAAAAAUGACACGCAGGACCAACUUACAGACUAAAUGGCUCUGACCACAUGUAACAAACUUUGGCUUUAUGUCCUUGCUGAGGCGUUAGACUGUUGGUCAUUUUGAUUGCUUUUUACCUUCCAUUUACGCCAUUGUAGCAUUGUACUAUUCACCAUUUUAGCUGUUUAAAUGAAAUUGUUAUUUUUUUUUCCAAAAAUAAAAUGACACCCUUAAAAUUUUAGAAAAUAGCCAUGUAGAUCCCAAAUUUUUAAUAAAGAACACUAAUAUCAUUUUUGACUAUAGUACUCUUAGUAGAUGGUAACAAAAAAAAAUGACUGCAAAAGUUUUUACUAAAUGUAAAUAUGAUUUAAAUAGUUUAAAUUUUCUAGUAGACUAGUAUGUCUAAUUUAAAUAAUUAAUUUUUAAAAUGUAAUUUAAUAUAUUUAUUUUAAUAAUAUAUUUAUCAUAAAAAUUUUAAACAAAUCCUUGGGUUAAAUAGAUUUUAUAAUUAAUAUAAUAUUUCUCAUGUUUUAAUAAUAUUAAAAUUAUUUGAUAUGAUAUUGAAAAUAAUUAAAACUUUUAUAUAUUUAUUUGAAUAUUAUUUCUCUAUUUAUUAUAAUUUGGUUUAAUAGAAUACGAGAUUGUAAAAUAUUAAAAUAUUUUUAGGUAUUAAAAUUAUUUUAAUAUGUACAUAUUAUUAUAUUUAUUUUAAUAUCCUGCUUAUAUUUAUUAUAAAAUAUUAAAAUUAAUUUUUUUAGUUAAUAAAUUUAAAAAUAUAUAUUAUAAUUAAAAAAAGAGUCUUAUUGUCUGUUAUUUACGAUAUGAGGUUCUACAAAAUUAUUUUCAAAAGGAAAAAUAAGUCUAAGGGUUUCAACAAAUUCUAGUCCUAUCUGCCACUAUGACUAAUGGAAACGACAUUGCAAUUGACAUUGCUUUUUGUAAUAUGACAAAUUUUUGGAGGCAUAUGGGAGAAUCAUCAAAUGUUCACACUACGCGGGAGUUUUGGAUGGGAUCAGGGAGGAUUGUCAAGAGUUCACACCACGAGAAACCAAUGAUAGCCCUAAUUUCGCUGUCAGUUCUUUGUUUAUUUAUUUUAUUUAUUUCAUACAUUGUUGUCUUGUUGGCAUUGUUUUGUAAAAUAAAAGUAAAGUAAACUAUUAGGGUGCUGCUAGGUUAAGUUGUUGUAACUUACAGUCCCUUAAAAAAUAAUGUAAAAAAUUUAACAUGUGGUGGGAUCCACAUAUGUUUGAAGAGGCCGUAAGUUACAGUAGUUGUGACUUAGCAAAAUCCAAAUAUUAGACAAUAACGCACAUUAACAAUGCAUAUAAUUUGGGUUUUAUUUUUUUUUAAUUAUUUGAGUAUUAUCUAUCCUUAAGAUAUUAAUGUGAAUAUAAUUUAAUAUUAAAUAAUCAAAAUCUAUUUAAUCAUAAUAUAUAUUUCAUACAUUGCAUGUUUAAUCAAAAUCUGAUUGCUUUUUACCUUCUAUUUCGCCCACUGUAGCAUUCUACUAUUUACCAUUUUAGCUAUUUAAAUGAAAUUUAUUUUUUUUCCAAAAAUAAAAUGACACCCUUAAAAUUUUAGAAAAUAGUCAUGCAGACGCCAAAAUUUUAAUAAAGAACACCAAUACCCUUUUUGACUAUAGUACUCUUAUGGUAGCCACAAAAAAAAAAUGACUUCAAAUUUUUUUACUAAAUGUAAAUAUGAUUUAAAUAGUUUAAAUUUUCUAGUAGACUAGUAUGUAUAAUGUAAAUAAUUAAUUUUUAAAAUGUAAUUUAAUAUAUUUAUUAUAAAAAUUUUAAACAAAUCCUUGGGUUAAAUAGUUUUUAUAAUUAAUAUAAUAUUUCUCAUGUUUUAAUAAUAUUAAAAUUAUUUUAUAUGAUAUUGAAAAUUAUUUUAUAUGUAAAUCAUAUUUACAUUUAAUAGAAUACGAGAUUGUAAAAUAUUAAAAUAUUUUUUGGUAUUGAAAUUAUUUUAAUAUGUAUAUAUUAUUAUAUUUAUUUUGAUAUCCUACUUAUAUUUAUUAUAAAAUAUUAAAAUUAAUUUUUUUAGUUAAUAAUUUAAAAAAAAAUAUUAUAGUUAAAAAAAAAGAGUCUCAUUGUCCGUUAUUCACGAUAUGAGGUUCUACAAAAUUAUUUUCAAAAGGAAAAAUAAGUCCAGGGCUUUCAACAAAUUCUAGUCCUUCUGCCACUAUGACUAAUGGAGACGCAUUGAAUUGACAAUGCUUUUUGCAAUAUGACAAAUUUUUGGAGGGAUAUGAGAGAAUCGUCAAGCUUUCACACCAUGCGAGAGCUUUAGGUGGGAUAUGGGAGAAUUGUCAAGAGUUCACACCACGAGAAAUUAAUGACAAGCCUAAUUUCGUUGUCAGUUCUUUAUUUAUUUAUUUUAUUGAUUUCAUACAUUAUUGUCUUGUUGGUACUAUUUUGUAAAGAUAUAAAAGUACAAGUAAAAUAUUAGGGAAAGUAAAGUAAAAUAUUGGAGGUGAUGCUAAGUUACAGCUGCUAUAACUUACAGUUCCUUCAAAAAUAAUGUAAAAAAUUUAACACGUGGUGGGACCCACAUUAUGUUUGAAGAGGCCGUAAGUUAUAGCAGUUGUAAACUAGUAAAAUCCAAAUAUUAGACAAUAAUACACAUUAACAAUGCAUAUAAUUUGGGUUUGAUUUUUAAAAAAAUUAUAUGAGCAUUACCUAUCCUUAAGAUAUUAAUGAGAAUAUAUUUUAAUAUUAAAUAAUCAAAAUAUGUUUAAUCAUAAUAUGUAAUUCAUACAUUGCAUGUUAGAUUUGUUUGGAUUUUAAGUUGUUGCUAAUAAAUAUUUAUGUUGUGAAAGUCGAAUUCAAUAGCUACAAAAGCAGAGAUACUGGUAUUUUAUGUAGUUUUUAAGAAUACAAGAAUAAGACCAUAAUGCAUGAGAUAAUGGUAUUUUAUAUUAAAAGACCAUAACACAUGUAUUUGAGCCAUUUAUAUUGAGGACACAUAUAAAGCGAAGAGUGCAGAUCCGGCCGUAACUAUUGUGAAGCUUUCCUCAAGUAUUCUCAUGCACACAGCCCUUAUCUGGUCAAGUUCUCUGAUUCAAUAUAAUCAAUUUCCGAGUAGUACUGACGACAGCUUCUCUGUAAAGCUCUUCAACCACAAGCAUUUCUACAAGGCAAAAGACUAGGACGUAUUGGAAUGAAUAUCAAUAAGGGAAUGUCUUAUGAAUUUAGUUUAUAUCCUAAUAUAAGACAAUCAGUAAAUAUUGGAUGCAAUCUAAGGGCUAACAUUUGAUUGAUCAUUAUACGAAAAAAAAAAAAGGUGCAAAAAUACAAAACAUAGCUGAUUGAUGGCCUCUCACAGUCAGUUAUAUGACAAAGUAGCCACCACAACAAACUUUUUUUUUUGAACUGAUUAAGCAUCAGGUUACUGUAUUACACAUAGAGAUAUAUAUAACUGCUAUGACAGCAAGUCAUUAUACUGAUAUUUACAAUCAGAUAUAUACAUGAGACUUAUAUUAUUACAUUUUUAUUAUAUGAAGUACAUGCCCAUCCAAAUCUCCCUCACGGAGGAGGGAUGUCUCUACUCCACUCACAUUUCGCAAGGGAGAAAGACGUUAUAAGAAGUUUUCACCACAACAAACUUGAACUUGGGUGGAGGUCUCAUUAGUAGUAUACCUCAGAAAUUAAGACAAAGACUUUAAAAUGCAAACUUAUGGAGCAAUUUAAGCACUGAAACUAAUAACAGUACGGUAUUAGCAAUUGACCUCUGCUUUUGCUUAGACAAAGGUUUUCAUCACAAUGGACUCAUUAGUUGCCCUUGCCUCACACGUUUGGAUGCUAAGGGGAAAAAGGAAGCUUGAAUUAGUCAAUCUCAUUUCUAAUGGCAUUCACAGAGAACUUAUAAAACAAAAAAAAAAAAAAAUUAUAAAAAAAAAUUCAUCCAUAAAAAGCUUAGUAACGGAAAAAUCGACUCUUUUAUCUGCCACUGACGAAAAAAAAACUGAAGUAUUAAAUAGAUAAAGAAUUUAAUUUUUUUCUUGGAAAAACUAAUAAUAAAUUAACAAUUAGAUAAUACUAUUAAUUAGAGAUCUUUAAUAUUAAGGUUGUCAAAGAUAGAAUGUGUAUAAAAAUUCUUAAUUAUAAGAUAAUUACUAACUAAAAAGAGGCCUAAAAAAGAAGAUUUGCUAUUAUAAGUAAUACCAAAAAUAAAAAGGGAGACUUCCUAAUUGUGUAAUUGGUUAAAAAAGAGGAUUUGCUAUUAUAGGCCUAAUUUGCCUAUGCUUAAAACCGUUCCUGGAUGUAAAAAAAUAAAAAUUAUUGUUAAAUUCCUGACUAAUAAGGUCAUUGAAAGUAUUCAAAGGACCUGAACUUAUAGGAAAGCCAGCCAUGAUGAACUAUACCACGUUGCAAGUGAGCUCGUAUCUUCACCCCUUGAUCUGCCAUCGGCAUUUCUCUUCCACUCACUAUACCAUCCUUUUCAAUCGAUUUUUAUAGAUCAUAAGAGACCAUGUGGCCCACCUUAUUUUUAUUUUGGAUCCAUAACCCAAAGCUGGCCCAAGUUCUGAUUCCAGAAUCAUUUGUCUACAAAGUGACCUCAUUCCGGCAAUUGGUUUAUGCUAAUAGCACGUGCAAUUUUCAUUUUCUUCUUUUUAUUAAUUAAUUUCAUCAUUAUUAUUUGCUUAUUAUUUUAAAAUUAAAGCUAGCAUUUUUCAAAUUAAUUAAUUAAAUUGUAUUAAUGAAAUUAAUCUUUCAUUUUCUUUUCUCUUUCAAUGCACAAAGCCAAACAACCAUUCUCGCUUCAAAUACCGAAGAGCUCCUGACUACGGCUGUCAAUGCUUCUAUAUUUACGUGCUGUGCUGCAUCACUCUUAGCGAAAGCUUGAAUGAAUGAUUAAAGACAAAAGCUUAUAUAAAAGCAGAUGCCGGAGGCAGUCAAAAAGCAUUUGAGAGAGAAGCUAAACAGCAAAUCAUCAAACGCACUUCAAUGACUUUAUUUUGAUUUUGAUUUUUGUUUCGAAAGAAGUAGAAAAGUCCAUGGGUCACGAUAACUGCUUGUCCUAUGCCGUGACCUCAUUGUCCACCGCUAGUGUCAAAUAGAUUAAUCUUUCUAGUAGAUUAAUAUAAUUUAUAAUUUUAAUUUCAGUAUUAAUUUUUAAAAUGUUAGUUGUUAUAUUUAUUUUAAUAAUAUAUCUAUUUUUAGUAUAAAAAAUUUAAAUGUAUAUUUAGAUUAAAUAGAAUUUAUAAUUAAUAUAAUAUAUCUCAUGUAUUAAUGAUAUUUAAAUUAUUUUAUAUAAUAUUAAGCCUAACUUAGAAUUAUAUAUAUUUAUUUUAAUAUUAUGUUUCUAUAUAUUAUAUAAUAUUAAGCCUAACUUAGAAUUAUAUAUUAUGUUUCUGAGCCUCUCUCUAUAACACUAUAUAGAACCCUAAGCCUAAGUGUCACGGGAUGAGUGUUUUGCGCAGCUAACCCGUGCGGCACUUAGACAACUUUGCCGAAUGUUGCUAAGUAAGCCUAGAGAUUCUCGAACAAGAGAAGAGAGCAAUUGAGCCAAAGAAACUUGUAUUGCACAAAGAGAGAUUACAAUGCUUGUUGGAUACAAAUGCCUAAUGCCAUCCCAUAUUUAUAGGGGAGGCUUUGUCAAACUUGGCCUAACUUUGCCAAACUUUGCCAAACUCUAGAGUAUUCUACAAUUUCCUAGCUAUUUACAUGUGCUGGAAUUGUAUAAAGAAUUCUAGAAUAUUUACAUGUUCACAUGUGCUAGAGUUUCCUAGAACCUUCCGGAAUUGGGCCAAGCUAGCACUCUUGGCUUUGUGUUGGCUCUCUAGCUCGAAAUUGGGGCAAUUGGGCUAGCGAAUUGGGCGGUCCGCAACAACCUCCCCCACCUAUGCUCGCGGCGUCCUCGUCGCGCUCUCAUGCUUGAACCUCUGGAUGUGCUCAGCGAAUUGCCACAAACCAUCUUCACGUUCCCAAGUGGCUUCACUCUCGGGGAGGUUUUUCCAUUUCACCAAGUACUCGCUAUGUGCUGGCACGCCCCUCCUCGAAACCGUGCGGUCCGCAAUGAUGUAGUCCACAUCUUUGUCGAAUGCGGUGACAACGGCAGUUGGUGCGCGCCUUGAUUCUCCGCGACCUGGUUCUCCCAUGUCUUCGUGAUAUGGCUUGAGAAGGCUCACAUGGAAGACCGGAUGGAUCUUGAGUCUUGGCGGAAGUUGGAGUUGAUACGAGACGUUGCCCACACGUCGAACAACUCGGAAGGGUCCCUCGUAGCGCCUCACUAACCCCUUGUGAACUUUCCGCAAUGUCUUGAAUUGUUGGGGUAGGAGCUUGAUCAUGACUUGAUCUCCUUCCUUGUACUCAACAUGCCGUCUCCUUGUAUCCGCCCAUUUCUUCAUUUUCCUCGCGGCUUUGUCGAGGUAGGCUCGCGUGAUGUCCGCUUCCUCAUGCCAUUCGCGGGCGAGCUUGUGUGCCGCGGGGCUUUUCCCUCCGUAAGUCGAGGCUAUGGCAUUGGGAGUCAUUGGCUGGAAUCCCAUGAUGAUCUCGAACGGACUCUUGCCCGUAGCCUCGCUUCGCUGCAAGUUAUAAGAAAAUUGGGCGAUGUCGAGUAGCUUCGCCCAAUCCCGCUGGUGAGCGCUCACAUAAUGCCUCAGAUACAUCUCGAGGAGGCCGUUAAUGCGCUCGGUCUGCCCAUCCGUUUGUGGGUGGAAGCUUGUCGAGAACUUGAGAUCGGUCCCCAACAUCUUAAAGAGUUCCGUCCAAAACCGCCCAGUGAACCAAGGGUCUCGGUCGCUCACAAUGCUCUUCGGAACUCCCCAAAGCUUCACAAUGUGCUUGACAAAUAGGCGGGCUGCCUCAUCCGCUUUGCAAUCCACUGGUGCGGCAAUGAAUGUGGCGUACUUGCUGUGUCGGUCGACAAUGACCAUGAUGCUUCCGCAACCUUCGGACUUGGGCAGCGAUGUGAUGAAGUCCAUGGAGACACUUUCCCAUGGCCUUGUUGCUAGUGGUAGCGGCUCCAACAAUCCCGCUGGAAGUUGAUGAUCCACCUUGUCUUGUUGGCACACAAGACAAGUUCGCACAUAUGCCUCGAUGUCGUCCCUCAUGUGCGGCCAAAAAUACGAGGCUUGAACUAGUGCGGUGGUGCGCUCGAUUCCUGGGUGACCAGCCCACUUGGAGUCGUGGCACUCCUUGAUAACUUCCUUCCGCAAAUUUCCCCACCUUGGCACAAACAGCCGAUCUCCCUUGGUGAGGAGGAUGCCUUCCUCUUGCCAAAAUCGCCUUGUCUUCCCUUCGAGCACCUUCUCCAGCAAAUCCUUUGUUAGCGGGUCUUGUUGGAGGCCUUCCUUGAUGCGUGAGACAAGGUCGGACUUCGGUUGGCUCAUGCUAAGUGUUGCCAAUUCCGCCUUGCGGCUUAGAGCGUCCGCAACGACAUUGGCUUUCCCCGGUUUGUACUCUAGCCGAUAGUCGAAUUCCGCAAGGAAAUCUUGCCACCGUGUUUGCUUCGGACUCAACUUCUUUUGAGUUUGAAAGUAGCUUGUCGCCACGUUGUCCGUUAUGAUCGUGAAGUGUGAGCCAAGCAAGUAAUGUCGCCACACUCUUAGACAAUGGAUGAUGGCUGUCAUCUCCUUUUCUUGCACCGUGUAGCGGCGUUCCGUAUCAUUUAGCUUUCGACUCUCGAACGCUAUUGGGUGGCCUUCUUGCAUAAGGACUCCACCUAUGGCGAAAUCCGAGGCAUCUGUUUGAACUUCGAAGGGCUUGGUGUGGUCCGGAAGAGCGAGGACUGGUUCCUCCGAAAUUGCCUUCUUCAACUCCUCGAAUGGACGUUGGCACUCUUCGGAUCAAUGCCACGUUCUGUUUUUCUUGAGCAUAUCCGUCAAGGGUGCCGCCUUGGCUGAAUAGCCCUUGAUGAAAUGGCGGUAGUAAUUCACCAACCCAAGGAACGAGCGAAGCUCGGGUACUUUCGAGGGAGGCUCCCAAUCGAGGAUGGCCUCUACUUUGUCAUUCUCCAUCAUGAUCUUCCCGCCCGCAAUCUUAUGGCCAAGGAACUCCACCUCUUGUUGGGCAAACGAGCACUUCUCUAGUUUGAGGAAGAGCUCAUUGUCUUGAAGUACUUGGAGGACUUUUUGCAAGUGUUGGGCAUGAUCCUCGAGUGUGGUGCUAUACACCACGAUGUCGUCCAAGUACACGACCACGAAGCGGUCGAGGAAUGGUUGGAGUACCUUGUUCAUGAGUGUGCAAAAUGUGGCGGGUGCAUUAGUAAGGCCAAAAGGCAUCACAAGGAAUUCGAAAGACCCGUACCUUGUUGUGCACGCUGUCUUUGGUUCGUCUCCCUUGGCGAUGCGCACUUGGUAGUACCCGGAGCGCAAGUCAAGUUUGGUGAAGUACCGCGCUUUGCCAAGCUGGUCGAACAAGUCCGCAAUCAAUGGAAUCGGAUACUUGUUCUUGAUGGUGAUCUUGUUGAGCGCUCUAUAGUCGAUGCACAUCCGCAGCGAUCCAUCCUUUUUCUUUUGGAAGAGGACCGGUGCACCGAAUGGGGCCUUUGAGGGGCGAACGUAGCCUGCGUCCAGCAAGUCUUUGAGCUGUCUCCGCAACUCCUCUAAUUCGGGUGGCGCCAUGCGGUAGGGCGCCAAGGCUGGUGGCUUCGCGCCUUGUUCUAGCUCAAUCGCAUGAUCUACCUCUCGCGGAGGUGGGAGCUUCUUCGGAAGUUCUGGAGGCAUCACGUCCUUGUACUCAUUGAGGACGGCUUGAAUUCGCGGAGGGACUUGGCUUGGCGACGUUCCGCUAUUUCCUUCCUCGUUUAGUUCCCGAAUGGAGACCAAGAAGCUUGGGUCCUUCUUGAAAGCCCUCUUGAAUUGCAUGGCGGAGAGUUUCUUCUCCUCGGACUUGCCUCGUUCGGUGGGUACCAUGCAUGCUUUGCUCCCAUCGAGGAUGCUUAGGGAGUUUGUAGCGGGCAGCGGGAAGGCAUGGACUUGGUCGAAGAAUUCCAUGCCAAGGACCAUCUUGAAGUCAUCCAUGGGCACAAUGGAGAAAUCAAGCUUUCCGCUCCAUGUACCGAGUGUGAUGUGCACGCCUUGUGCAAUUCCCGCAAUUGGUUUGGCGGGUGAGUUUACUGCCUUCAUUGUGCCUCCUUCCUUGGUGGCCUUGAGGCCUAAACGCUUGGCCUCGUCUACGGACACGAAAUUGUGUGUUGCUCCCGUGUCUAGCAGCGCGCGAACAGACUGGCCGUUUACCUUUGCGCUAACAUACAUGAGCCCUUUCUUGGCUAGUGCGGGCUGUUGGCGGUUGAGUGCCCCGAGGCGUUGGAGAGAACCCAUGCUGAGUUGGGGUUCCUCCGUGGACAUUGUGGGGUUGCUCUUGAGUUGGGCAGCAAGAACAUUAAGCGACCGCUUCUCCGGACAGUCGCGUACCCAAUUUGGACCGUUGCAUAUGAAGCAUGGGCUUCGCGGCUUUGGCGCCUCCUUCUUGCCCUCCGAUUUUCCUUGCCAACUCUUGUUGCUAGACGGCUUUUUCUGCCCCCAAUCUUUGCGGUUGUUACCCUUGUCCUUGCGACUCUCUCCCCCACCUUUGCCUUGGUUGGCCUUUUUGUCCUUGGAUUGGGUAGAGUAUUCGGUGAGCGACUCCGCAACGGCGAUGGCGUCGUCAAGUGUUUGAACACCACGCCUAUCAAGCUCGGUCUUGGCCCAAUCCUUGAGGCCAUCUUGGAAGUAGAAGAGUGAAUCUUUGUCGGACAUGUCACUUAUCUCCAACAUGAGGGUAGAGAACUCGUUAAUGUAGUCCCGAAUGCUACCCGAUUGCUUGAGGCGACGUAAGCGCGCUCGCGCUUCCUUCUCUGCAUUGCUUGGGGUGAACUGCUUUCGGAGUUCUUGCUUGAAGUCGGCCCAAGUGUCGAUGGUGCAAAUGCCCUUGCCCAUCUCGCCAUGCUUGCGACGCCACCAUAGUUGUGCAGCGCCUCUAAGAUAGGUGGGUGCAGUGCCCACUUUCGAUGCCUCAUCUCGUACACCCAUGGCAUCGAAGUAUUGAUCCAGCCCGAACAGGAAGUUGUCCACGAUUGUGGCAUUGCGUGUGCCAUCGUAGGUGUCGGGCUUUGGCACAUCAAUGCGGCGCGCAUCACUCGAGUUUGCGGAAGCUGGACUUGCGGAGAGUGUGCGCUUGUGCCAUGCCCAAUCCGAGCGGACUUCAUCCACUUCCGCACGGACAGCACGUAGUUCGUCCUGAACAAAACUACGAAGUUUUAGCAACUCAUCAUGGAAAGAAUGAAACUCACCUCGGAGAAUGUUCGCUUGCUCAUGCAUGAGAGCUUUUGUGGCCACCGUGAACUCGGCGUAUUCUCCCUCGAGAUUGUCCACUCUUCUCUCUAAUCCCUCAAGGCUAUCUUGAGUGGCGGACAAGGCUAUUUCGAGAGUGCCUACACGAGGCUCCAAAGCAUCCACGGAUGGGGCCUUGGACUUGCCGCGAUUCUUGCCUUGGGCGCGUUCUCCCUCUCGGCCGCGGCUUGGUUCUGGUGGAACAUCCACACCAACAAAACCCUCUUGUGCUACGUUUGAAGGGUUGGCCAUUGCUUUGUGAGCUAAUUUGCGUGCGUGCAAACCUUAGCUCUGAUACCACUUGUCACGGGAUGAGUGUUUUGCGCAGCUAACCCGUGCGGCACUUAGACAACUUUGCCGAAUGUUGCUAAGUAAGCCUAGAGAUUCUCGAACAAGAGAAGAGAGCAAUUGAGCCAAAGAAACUUGUAUUGCACAAAGAGAGAUUACAAUGCUUGUUGGAUACAAAUGCCUAAUGCCAUCCCAUAUUUAUAGGGGAGGCUUUGUCAAACUUGGCCUAACUUUGCCAAACUUUGCCAAACUCUAGAGUAUUCUACAAUUUCCUAGCUAUUUACAUGUGCUGGAAUUGUAUAAAGAAUUCUAGAAUAUUUACAUGUUCACAUGUGCUAGAGUUUCCUAGAACCUUCCGGAAUUGGGCCAAGCUAGCACUCUUGGCUUUGUGUUGGCUCUCUAGCCCGAAAUUGAGGCAAUUGGGCUAGCGAAUUGGGCAGUCCGCAACAUAAGUCUCACAUUCGCAACCGCCCCACAUAUCAGAACCACAGCGAACUGCCUCCGACCCUUCGGACCCAAAAAAAUGAUUGUAUUCCUGCUCUUUCACUUUAAUAAUUUUUUGUAUUAUUCCAUAUCUUUCACUUUAAUAACCCAAAAGCUUUCCUCUGUUUCAACCCAAAAGCUCAAAUUCCUUUUUUCAAUCGAAAAUUGUGUUUGCCUAAUUUUUUAACCAUUUUUAUAUGUCCGUUAAACUUGACAGCCAAUGUGGUCUAUUCGCUAAACAGAGUAAACGAUAACAAUCAAUGGAAAUUGAAACAAAACCCACCAAUCAACAAAACAGAAUAGCCGAGGAAUCCAAUUUCAGGAAACAGCAGUUUCAAAACUCACCAGAGACAAAUGAUAAAACGAAGCUACGCCGUUCCUCGAUCGGUGAUAACUGGCUACAAGGUUUCUUCGCAUUCGUUGGCCUAAUUUUUUAACCAUUUUUAUAUGUCCGUUAUGCUUGACAGCCAAUGUGGUCUAUUCGCUAAACAGAGUAAACGAUAACAAUCAAUGGAAAUUGAAACAAAACCCACCAAUCAACAAUGUGGUCUAUUCGCUAAAUGGUUAAAAAAUCUAACCUUUGUUCACAAUAAUUGUAUUUGCCUCACUGUUUUUGUUUUAUGAGAUCUAUAAUUGAUCUUGGGAUAUUACUUUCUAGUUCUCAUGCAAGCAAGUUACUACCUUCCCACUGCAUCUCCUCCUUUAUCUGCUAUUCAAGAGUUGCGUGCCAUAAUCUGGUGUUACCUCUGCAAGAUUGUGAAUGAAUAUAACGCCUCUAAAUUUAUUUUAUACAUAAUGCUGAUGCUGAAUAAUAUAUUGUAGCUCCUGUCAUAUUCUACUUUGACUUUUUAUAUUCUGUUUCAUAUAAAAAUCUUAUUCAACUUUAGUUGUUCAUGAGCAAAUGUCACAUGUAUAAGCCCAAAUGAUGUUUAAAGGUAGCGCGGCUACCUUUAGUUUGAGCUGACAAUGGAUGAAAAAGAUAUUGAAACUGAUAUUUUGCUGUUUUUCUGAUUUUUCAAAGUAUUUUAGAUCCUGACUUUUGUUAAGUUGUUUCCAACACCUCGUGCCAAAUGAAAGCACAAUCUUUCUGAUUCAGAUGUCUUGUUAAUUAUGCUUCAUUUUUUCAUUAAAGAUUGGAUGGUUACAUGGAUUGAUGGAGUUGGAGUUCAACCAAUAAUUCUAAUUUUUUGGACUUAAAAUGCCUUUUUCUUCUGUAUAAAAACUUUAGUAAGUGCUAUUGAGUUGACAGAAGUUGCAUACUUACAGGUUGUUUCACACUUUUUAGUAGUUUUACAUAUAUGAAUUUCUGUUUUUUGAAUUGCAGAAAGGAGGUGGAACUAUUGAUUUGGAGCCUUAUCUUACUCACUCAUCGACAACGGAGCCUACCCUCACUCCCAUGGCAGUGGAACGGACAACGACUACUAGGGCUGCAACAUCAGUUGGUUUGGGUCUGUUUUGGGUUUAUUGUCAUUUAUUUGGGUAUGUUUUGAUAGCGAAUUUUGAUAUGUCAAUAGAAUGUGUAAUUGUUUUGGGUUGAGCUGGUAAUUAUGCUGGAUUAGAUUGGUUUGGUUUUGGUGCUUCUCUGAUGGAACACUGCUUUUUUUAGAAAUUUUGAAUGUAAUAUGAGACUACAUUUAGUUUAAUUGAACACUGCAUCUAGUCUAAUUACUAGAAGUGUGGCAUUUGGUUUGGUUUAUCCGAUAUUCUCCAGAAUUUCACUUGCAUCUGGUUUUGUUGCAUAUGUUUGUUUGCUUGCAUUUGAUGGCAGUAGCAGACUGUUUGUUUUUGUGACAUUUGAUGGCAGUUUGGUCUGUUCUUGGUGUUGAUUUAAGAUUCUUCCUGUUGUGCUGAUGUUAAUUGCAGGUGCUUGAAUCAGCUAGGGUUGCUGGUUUAUUCAGAUGGUUGACUCAGGCGUUGCUACUGGUUAAUUCAGGUGGCUGACUCAAGUUGUUCAUUUAAUGUUAGGAAGCAAAUUAGGAAUUAAUGAAGUAUUCAUUUAACUAUAAUUAUUGUAGUUAUUUUAUUUCAUAACUGAAUUAUAAUCUAUGAUACUUGUGAACAAAUUAGAGAAUUUUUAUAUAUGAAUUAUAUAUAUGUGUGUGUAUGUACAUUUUGCUAUUUAUAUAAUAAUUUAAAGAAUAUAUUUCAAUUCCCACAAAAAAAAGGCUCCAAUUUCAAUAAUUCCCGCCAAAUAAUUAAAUUUUUUUAAUUUACCACCAAAAUAUAUCUUAAGUUAUUCUUGCUAGAUUUAACAAAAAUAAUUUGUAGGAUUAACAUUUAAUUAAAAUAAUUAAAUAAUUUUAUUAUUCCAAUUAAAUAUGUCAUGCUUAUACGACAGACAAUAAUCAUGAAUGGGAAGUAUUAGUAACAUAUUCUUCCUUGGGAUUUCAGGCAAAUGAAAAAAAGAUUGAGAAUGAUUUCAAGAGGACAGGUGGAUGAUAAAUAUUCAUUUUUGUAUAUUUGGCUAAUGUCCUCAUUAGUGGAUUUUUAUGGUAUUGAUCUUUUUCUUUUUUUAAAAAAAUUUUCAAUUAGUUGCAGCCCUAGAGGAAGAGCAGGCUGAUCAAAUUGAUUUGUCUUGUUUUUCGGGCAAUCUACGACACGAUGACCGUGAUAAUGCUCGUGACUGCUGGAAACUUUCUGAUGGAAAUAACUUUAGAGUUCGUAGCAAGCAUUUUUGUUAUGACAAAACAAAGGUUCCCCCAUAUUUUGUUUGUUUGUUAUGGUAUUUAUAUAUCCUGCAUAGGCUAGGUAGACAGGUUAUGAUGUAGUUUGGUUGGCUCUUCUUGUGCUUUGUGCAAUUUGUAACUGCAGAUACCUGUGGUAAAACAUUUAAUGGAUCUUGUUGCUGUUGAUUGGUUCAAAGACACAAAGAGAAUGGACCAUGUAGCUAGGCGUCAAGGCUGUGCUGCACAAGUAACUAUUCUUUUCUUUUUAUUUAAAAAAAUAAAACACAUUGCCAACAAGGAUCUCUUCAUUGAACAUGUGUCUAGUUCUGAUAAGCUAGCUGAUGUGCUUACCAAACCUCUGAGUUUUGAUCAUUUUGCCUAUAUGCAAACUAAGGUCAAUGUCUGCCCAUGACCUUGAGCUUACGGGGGCAUUUUAAGAAUAACAUAUGCUGAGUCAUCAAGCCAUGCUGGAAGUCAGUUUUGCAGUUAGUUAGAGAGCUUAUCAGCUUCCCUCCAAAAGUUUGUUAUGUGUAUUAGAAUCUGGGCUCACGAGUUUUGUGAGAUUGUAACCUUGAGAAGAUUCUCACACUACUAUAAAUUGUAUUGUGACUCAAUUAAUAAAAUAAGUUGAAGCUUUGCAUUUUCUCUCAGUCAAAAUUUUCUCUCUAUUUUUCUAAGUAACCAAACAAGAUCUACAGAGCAUUUUGUAUUUUAACUGGAGCGGCUGAUUGGUGCUGUACGUGUUACAUUUUUACUUUUUUAACUCAAGUCUGCUGUUGUCCCAAAGUUGGAACUAGAGAUAUCAUUUCACCUCAACUGUGUUUUUUUUUUAAUUAAAAAAAUCAUUUGUUUUAGGUAUACAUACAUGUAUUUUAAUUCUAUUUUCCUUGUAAUUUCUCCUUUACUUUGAAUGAAAGUCAUUGGUGUUUUCGAAUGGGAAUUUUGCAUUAAAAAAUUAAGAAUAGUUAAUAGGAAAUUUCCUGAUUCUUUAGUUACUAUUUUUGGUAUGAGUGUAAUUAGUAGUAAAGUUGGUUUCUACUCGCAAACAAGUGAACUGCUCGAUUCCCAAGUGCUAUUAACCAGUUUCCAACUUUUUAAUAUACACUAAUUGUUCCUGUUUAAUAGCUACUACUAUUAAAACUCAACAGCUAACAAAAAUACUAAAAAAAAAUGAUUUUUUCUUAUGAUGCUGUGAAAAAAAUUACGGGUUUACUUAUUUCCACGAGAUCUUGUAUAGUGUUCUUGUAUAGUGGAAUUAAGAUUGUCUUCCCGAUGGUGCAAUUCACCCUCUUCCUUUACAGUCACUUGCACUUUGUGCAGCUUUGGUGUGGAUAAGAUUCCCAGGGAAAAAGUCUUCAUGUUCGGACAAUGUGUCACAAAUACUCGUUCCAAUGAUGGGAAUUCAAGAGUGUAAUUCUCCAAACAAAAGCUGGUAAGCCUUGGUAAAUCAUCAAGUUCCAAAAGUUUUAAUUCUUUGAAAGCAAUACGAUUCUCCUUCGUUUCUUCUCCAGCAUGUCCUACGAUUUGUUCUAAUUUUUUGCAGUUCCAUACAUAAAGAUUCACCAGACUAGUAGGAAUUCCAACCUGAAAAUAAGCAGAGAGUGUGUGUGUGUGUUAAAAAAGUAAAAAUGUAAGAGUGUCAUUCAACUAAGCUCAAAGUAUGUUUGAUAAUACAAUUAUACGUUUUAUGAACAUAACAAACUGUGAAAUGUCUACUAGAUAUUUUUUGUUAAACAAAAAACGUAACAAGAUAAAUAAAUAAAUAAAUAAAAGCCAGAUAAACAAAGAUGAUAAAAAUGUAUUUACACUAUUUAGUAUUAGGGACGUAGAAAGAAUUUAAGGCAAUUUCUAAAUAUUUUAGACUUAUUUUGCAUCUUGAUAUAAGUUUUUAAGCAUAAAUUUGCACAUUUCAACUAUUCCUUUAAAAAGAACUCAACUAAAAUGCCUCUUUUUCCCUUUUCCUUGGUCCCCUUUUUUUUAUAUAUAUAUAAAAAUGGAAAAAAAAAUUUGGAAAAGACUUCUUAGUACUGUCAACAAGGGAUUGCUGUAAAGUGGAUCUUUAUUAAGUACUUCCAGACUCGAGGAAAUUUCUUUACAAUCUCAAAAAAAUAGUAAACAAUCAUGAAUUUGUGGUUAAUUAAUGGCAUAAUCAAUUCUUAACUAAACUGGAGAUAUUAAUUAAAUUUGAAGACUUUUUUUUUCCGAUCGAAAUGUGAAGAACUAUGGAACAGAGAAAUAUAUAGAUGAAUUUGUGAACUUAUAAGAUGAGUGACUAUCCUUUAAUUUUUGAAAAUCGUACUUAUUAAGAUAUGAGCAAAAACAAUUAAAUUGAAUUAUAUUAUGCUGUUGAAUCUGUUUAAAAAAAUUAUAUUGUUGAUUCUAAUGCUGGUGAACCUAAAAACUAGACUUAAAACGUAGAUUUCAGAGUGGUGGUUUGAAGUACAAUAUUUGAAAUAAAUAAUUAGUGGCUGAAUAUCAUUUGUAAACACAGAAAUGAUUAAAAAAUUGUUGAAUGUUAUUUGAAAAAAAAAAUCGAAAUGAAUACAGAAACCUUACCAAUGGAGGAAAAAUAUUCAUUAGGUUAUCACACUCUUCUAUCUCCAAAUUCUUCAAUUUCCUGAAAGACUCUGAAGCAAGCUGGUGGUGCCAUAUUGUUCUUAGGUUAUCCAUCCACGCAAUAUAUAAUACCUCCAACCUAGGAAGUCGUACCUGGCAGUUAAAGAUUAAAUAACUAAUUAAUCAAUUAAUGGCAUAAUCAAUUGAUAACUAAAUUAGAGGCGGAUAUUAACUAAAUUUGAAGACUCAAGGAAAAGACAAAUCAAGUAUUGUGACUAAAAUUAUUUUUUUAAUUAAAAAAAAAACCUUUUCAUCAAAGAGAGGAGGAGGUUGCAUUUCAGAAUGAAUGGUAUCUUCUGGUGAGCUCGUAGAGAUGAAUCUUAACAUAUUACUGCAACAACCAAUCAUGAGGUUUAGCAAAGAAGGGAAUUCAACAACUAAAUCUGUAUGAAUAUGUCCCAUAUUGGCAAAGCUACUUAGUCUUGGAAGCCAUUCUAGCUGCAGGGAGUGUAGCUUAGGAAAAACCUUUAAUUCAAUCAACUUUCCUUCAUCUCUUUCUGACCAUCCCGUGGUGUCGACUACCCCUUCCAUUGACUCACAAUAGCUUAUCUCAAGAUGUUGGAGUUGCAAAAGGCUAUUAACCAUAGAAUAUGAAAACAGAUACUUCAGACGAUAACACCUUUCCACAGUCACUUUUGUUAAAUUUUGACAACAGUACAUUCUUUGAUUAUGAUCGGCCCAUAAUUUUUUCAUGUUUCUUAAGUCCCUGAGAUUCAAUUCCUCUAAGCUCGGAAGAAUAACCUGCAAAGAAAACCCGUACAUUUUUGUUCCUUCAAGUACAACCGUCUAGUAUAAUAUUCUUUUGAUGAUCGAAGAUUAAUCGUGAUAAUAAAUUAAUCAAUUAAUUAUUGAACAGAAAAUUAUCACCUUUGGAGCAGGAUCAUCAUCAGCAAUGAGUUCCUUGAAUCCCAAAGAAGUUGUUGGUUUGUCCAUGUCGGGUCCUAUAAACAAACAAAAACAAUAUACAUAAUUAAUCUUUGUCGUUGUCUUUUUUUUAAAAAAAUAAUUGAGGCGAAGUCCAUAAAUCCACCAACACUUAAUUUCAACACUUACCAACAAUCAUUUCCAGAUCAUCGCAAAAAAACACUUCUACCUUUUGAAGCCGCAGUAGGUUUUUGGCCAUGGAGAAUGAGAAAAGAUGCUUCAAUUCGUGACAGUCUGAUACUUUUAUAAUCCUUAAGUUGCUGAAAGAUUGAUCUUCUGUGAGUUGGAUGUCACAUAUUGUCUCCAAAUUGAUCAAACGACGAAGAGACAAUGACUCCAGCAAGGGGAAGACUUUGCGACGAACCCGUCCAACUGAACAGACAAUAUGCAAAAUCUCAGAACAACUUUUUACAGAAAGAUGCUUCAAUCGUGGAAAACCUUCCCCAUCAUCUAAUUCAUGAACAACAUUCUGAACACCCUUCAGUUCUCCUAGAUAGAGAUAUUCAGUUCUCUUCAACAACAGUUUCAUCCUGUAAUUCUGCAAAAGAAUGCCAAACUUUUCUAGCCCCUGGAGCUUCAUCAAUCUUGAUAAUCCAGUUUUAACGGACCAGCUGCUCCACCACUUAUUUCCUAUACAUAUCUUAUAGCUUUGCAAUUCCACAGAGACCAAAUCCUGCGGUAGAAUUUCGGCAUCCCGAACGUGUAUCUCCAAAGUAGUUAGCUUUGACAACCCCUUCAACUCAACAAGACUGGCGUUACUUCCUCCUUCAACCUUCUCCCACAGUGAAAAGCUGUUACCAAUAUAUAGUUCUUCUAAUCGAGAUAAUUUUGAUAUGACAUUUGGAGCUAUCACCACAAGGCUGCUACAAUUGCUCAAAUCUAGCAACUGUAAUCUCGUCAAUUGUCCAAUUACAAGUGGCAACUCCUUAACAUCAGAAUCUCGGAAGCUGAGAAUCUCUAAUUUCCUUAGCUGUCCAAUUAUAGUUAUAUCGUUCAGUCGGCAACCAUCUAAACAUAAUGUUUGAACGUUAAUGAGGCAACCAAGUGAUGAAGGUAAUGAAGAGAAAAAUAUUCCAGUAAAAUCUAAAACUUUGAGUUCUUCUGUCCCUUCAAAAAAGAGGUCUGAAAUUUGCAAAGAGCUAUCACGCUUUGAAAACAACAAAAGAACUCGAGACGGGGACAUUCCAACCUUUCGGGAAGCUCUUGAAUAUCUCUAUAAGGUAAAGAAAUAGCUAUUGGACCUUCCCGUAUUGUCUCUUCCAUCUUUUUCUCCACGUAGGCAACAUUUGGAAUAUUAAACAUGAGCUCCUCUUCUGCAAUUGAUACAGUAACAGCAUGAAUGAUGUCAUGCAUUUUAACUUCAUCUUCGGCAUCACUGUCCAACAAUAAGCACGAAGAUUUGAGUUUGCCGAUCAACGUAUGCACUCUACUCCUUGCUUCUUCCAGUGUGUAAACGUUUUUAAAAUAGCCCAUACCCAUACCAUAUCUCAAUAAGUCAGAAACAUGUAUACCACGACCUUCAUUAUAUAGACCACAAAGAAGGAACAGAGAUUUUGCUUCCUUACUUCCCAGUAAGUCGUAACUCAAUUUUAUGGAGAUGUACACAUUUCUUUCCAUUCCAUCAAUUUCUUUUGCAUUGGAACUUCUUAGCUGACGCAGCACAUCCUUCCAAGUGUCAAGCCUCUCAUUUUUCAAAGCUUUUGCAAGUGUAAUCAGUGCAACAGGCAAUCCUCCGCAUUUUUCAACGAUCUCAUCUGCUAAAGGUUGAAAAGCAGAUGCUUUUGCAGAAUUACACACUAUCUUUCCAAACAAUUGCAAUGCUUCUUCCUUUGAUAAAACUUCAAUUGAGAAAUCCUUCUGAGAUUUCAUAUCAUUGCGCAAUAAAUCUCGACUUCUAGACGUCAAUAUUAUUGUGCGUCUUCUCCGAUCGUCCUCUCUAUCUUUCUCAUCAACAUCCCCAUAAGGAAUUCCAACUGUAUCGAACUCAAGUUUUGUCCAAAUAUUAUCCAGUAUAAUGAGGAGCCGCUUCUCUUGCUUCAACCUUUGACACAGUCGAGAAGCUCUUUGAAAUUCAUUCUCAUUCAAGUCAAAUUCCAUGCCUAAAUCAAAAGCAAGUUUGUCUUGAAUUUUAUGAUGAUCUGGGGUCUGUGUUAUCUCAGCCAUAACGAACUUAUCGAACAACUUAUCUUCCAUCACUUGGUUUGCAACUUGUUUGACCAGCGUGGUUUUGCCCACGCCGCCCAUCCCAUAGACCCCAAUUAUGUUGACUUUGUCAUCCUUCACCGCCUCCACAACAUCUUGAAAUACUUUCAUUCUUGAAUCAAACGCCUCGAAAUCUUUCACUUGCAUAUGUUCUGCCCGCUUUGGAGCAGGACGGUAGGAAACAUUGGAGAAGUUGCCUUUUCCCACGAGACUAGCGGCAGCUUCUGCCGCCUUUGCUGCUUGUUUACUAAGCUUGUAACGAGAAAUCAAGUUUGGGCAUAAUCCUUUGAAGCAGGACUUCUUAGCUCUAUCUUCAUCAUCAAUGACGGAUUUUGCAACCCCUUCACUGAUGAAUUCAUUAACGCUAUGUAGCCAGUCUGUGACACCCUCAUAAAGCUCAUCCCCUUGUAGCCUAGCAUGAUUAACUGGUUGCUGCACCAUUUCUCUCUUAUAUCCCAGCUGCUUCACUUGAACUUUUAGCUCAUCUAUGUAGCUCUGGUACUUGAACACAUAAGAUAUCUGCCGUGUAAUCGGGUUGAACAGUGACUUUGCACCUUCUGAUACACAGUUGGUUAAAAAAGCGAGACACGCUUCUAUAGCCAUUGCCUGUUGCUUAACAAUAUAUAUCUAGUUUUUUGGCUGUUGAAAAAAAAAAAUGGAUUCAAAUAAAUUAAAUGAACUAGCGGGGAAGAAAAAGAAAGAAACGACAACAAACAACUUUUUAGAAAAAGGUUUCAGGGGCCUGAAUGGAAAACCAACAAUUUUUUGAGGAAAGAAAACUUUUUUGGAAGAUGGAUGCAAAUUAACCAUUAAUAAUACUGCAUAAGAACACAGAAGUUGACAAUAAACAGUAACUUAAAACUCAAGAAAAUUAAAUGACAAGAUUAAGACAAACAAGAGAUAGUUUUUGUCGGACAUUAAGAAACAACUGCUAUCAAGAUCAAAGAUUAGAAAUUAUGCUAUUGAAAGAAAUUAUUAAAGUAUUUAGAACAAACGCACCUCUUCAAUUAUCUAGGAUCACGGAGUUUAUGAGCUUCACUCUUGGCCUUCGAUUUAUAAGAAAAAAUUUAAUGAGCAAAAGAUCACUGUUGACUGCAGAAGAAUGUGAGUAAGCAAUACAAUUGAAUUGUAAAAGAACAAGACUUAAAGCGUGCACCCCGUGUUCAUAUAAACAGAACACAUGUUCAUUUUUAACAAAGUGAUCAAUAACUAUAUUCGUUAUUUAAUUGAUAUUGUAACCAAUUCUAAGAGAAUAUAAUAAUAAUCAUUCAAUCCAUAAAUUUAGAAUUAGAUUUUUUUAACUCUUUAUUUAAAUAUAAACCUUAAUGGAAAAUUAUAAAAGUUUAGAGAUAAAAUUUUUCAAUCACCAAACGAAAAAAACAGGGGAAUGAAAACAGAGGAAUCUUGUUUUAACUAUUUUUUUUUCCUCAACUCUUGUUCUUAUAUUAAUAAUCUUGUUUUGAUGAUAGUGCUCGUGACUGCGGGAAAAUUUGUACUGGAAACAACUCAAUUUCGGAAGAAAACUUAAUUUUGCAAGUGAUGAAUUUGAACUCGUUGGAUUGGUUGAUUUAUGAUUGACUGAAUUUCACUUUUGCCCAAAAGAUCUUUAACCAAAGUUUAAUAGCCAUCAUGUACUCCUUAAAAGCAAUUUUUUUUUUUAGAUUUGACUGAAUUUGAACUUGUUGGAUUGGUUGUUUUUAGAUUAUUAAUAUGAGAUAUUACAACGUAAAUAUUUUCAUGUGGUUGAGCCCUAUUCUAAAAUCUGUAUAGUUAGCUUUAGAAAAAGGGCUUUUCCUGCUGAUCUGUAAUCUUCAAAUAAACUUAGAUACAAAUAAUGAAAUAAAAGACAACAAACACGCNNNNNNNNNNNNNNNNNNNNNNNNNNNNNNNNNNNNNNNNNNNNNNNNNNNNNNNNNNNNNNNNNNNNNNNNNNNNNNNNNNNNNNNNNNNNNNNNNNNNNNNNNNNNNNNNNNNNNNNNNNNNNNNNNNNNNNNNNNNNNNNNNNNNNNNNNNNNNNNNNNNNNNNNNNNNNNNNNNNNNNNNNNNNNNNNNNNNNNNNNNNNNNNNNNNNNNNNNNNNNNNNNNNNNNNNNNNNNNNNNNNNNNNNNNNNNNNNNNNNNNNNNNNNNNNNNNNNNNNNNNNNNNNNNNNNNNNNNNNNNNNNNNNNNNNNNNNNNNNNNNNNNNNNNNNNNNNNNNNNNNNNNNNNNNNNNNNNNNNNNNNNNNNNNNNNNNNNNNNNNNNNNNNNNNNNNNNNNNNNNNNNNNNNNNNNNNNNNNNNNNNNNNNNNNNNNNNNNNNNNNNNNNNNNNNNNNNNNNNNNNNNNNNNNNNNNNNNNNNNNNNNNNNNNNNNNNNNNNNNNNNNNNNNNNNNNNNNNNNNNNNNNNNNNNNNNNNNNNNNNNNNNNNNNNNNNNNNNNNNNNNNNNNNNNNNNNNNNNNNNNNNNNNNNNNNNNNNNNNNNNNNNNNNNNNNNNNNNNNNNNNNNNNNNNNNNNNNNNNNNNNNNNNNNNNNNNNNNNNNNNNNNNNNNNNNNNNNNNNNNNNNNNNNNNNNNNNNNNNNNNNNNNNNNNNNNNNNNNNNNNNNNNNNNNNNNNNNNNNNNNNNNNNNNNNNNNNNNNNNNNNNNNNNNNNNNNNNNNNNNNNNNNNNNNNNNNNNNNNNNNNNNNNNNNNNNNNNNNNNNNNNNNNNNNNNNNNNNNNNNNNNNNNNNNNNNNNNNNNNNNNNNNNNNNNNNNNNNNNNNNNNNNNNNNNNNNNNNNNNNNNNNNNNNNNNNNNNNNNNNNNNNNNNNNNNNNNNNNNNNNNNNNNNNNNNNNNNNNNNNNNNNNNNNNNNNNNNNNNNNNNNNNNNNNNNNNNNNNNNNNNNNNNNNNNNNNNNNNNNNNNNNNNNNNNNNNNNNNNNNNNNNNNNNNNNNNNNNNNNNNNNNNNNNNNNNNNNNNNNNNNNNNNNNNNNNNNNNNNNNNNNNNNNNNNNNNNNNNNNNNNNNNNNNNNNNNNNNNNNNNNNNNNNNNNNNNNNNNNNNNNNNNNNNNNNNNNNNNNNNNNNNNNNNNNNNNNNNNNNNNNNNNNNNNNNNNNNNNNNNNNNNNNNNNNNNNNNNNNNNNNNNNNNNNNNNNNNNNNNNNNNNNNNNNNNNNNNNNNNNNNNNNNNNNNNNNNNNNNNNNNNNNNNNNNNNNNNNNNNNNNNNNNNNNNNNNNNNNNNNNNNNNNNNNNNNNNNNNNNNNNNNNNNNNNNNNNNNNNNNNNNNNNNNNNNNNNNNNNNNNNNNNNNNNNNNNNNNNNNNNNNNNNNNNNNNNNNNNNNNNNNNNNNNNNUAAACUUUUUUUUGGGGGGGGGGGGGGGGAGCAUGCAAAUUUACCAAAAGAAAUAAUAAGAGCACAGGCUUUAACAAUGAAUAGUAACUUAAAACUCAUGCAAAAUAAGUUACAAUAUGAAAACAAACCAGAGAAAAUUUUUUCUUGGAAAGUAGAUGGAACUUAAGAAAGAGCAGAUGUCAAGAUCAAGGAUCAGGGAUUCUACUAUUAAAAAAAAAAAAAAAUUAUUCAAGGAUUUAGAAAACGUGCACCUCUUUAAUUAUCUGGGAUUAGAGAGUUGGUGAGCUUCUCUAUUUGGCCUUCAAUAUUUAAGAACAAGUUGAAAGAGGAAAAAGAUCACUGGUAACUGCUGAGGAAUGUGUGAGAAAAGAGUUGAUGAGAGCAAUAACAAUGACCUGCAAAAGAAAAAGAAUUAGUCACGCACCGCUUUUCUAUAUCAUGUAUUUGGUUAUUGUUGCCCUGUUGACGCAUGUUGAAGAAGAAAGCACUAGUACACAACUCUAUGUUUUCAUAUAUUCUAAAGAAAUAAUUAAGUUUUCAUAGAAUAAUACCUGUUGUGUUUGAAUAAUUUGGUAUCUACAUUGCUUGUGUACUGUGAAAUUGAAAUGAAUAUUGAUUGACAGAGCAAUGUAUAUACCUAAUAAAACAUAAAGCAAAUCCUUGAACGAAUGAUUCGGGACUAAAACUUUUAUAAAAGCAAAUACCGGAAACACACAAAAAGCAUUUAAGAUAGAAACUAAACAGCAAAUAAUCGAAGUAAGAUCAAUAAUAUAUGAUUUGAUUUAUGCAUAUUCAAAAACCAAAAUUUAAAAUAAAAUAAAAAAUAAAGUUUGAUUUAUUCUUUCCACAAAAAACAGGGGAGUGAAAACAGAGGCAGCUUGUUUUACCAAUUUUUUCUUCUUAAUUUCCGGCAAAAAAAAAAAUUCAAUAAACAGGGGAAUGAAAACAAAGGAACGAAAACAGAGGAAACUUGCUUUUCAGGCUAUCUUGUGACAUGAUGAUAUUGCUCGUGAAUGCAUGAAAAUUUCUAAUGCAAACAGCUCAAUUUGGGAUGAUAAGCUUAAGUUUGCAAGUGAUGCAAGUAAAUAAGUUUUUGCGGUUAAUUGAAUCUUUAAUACUCUGGGCCCUAUUCUAAAAUUUGUAGGUUGCUUCAGAAGAAAGGGCGGUUCUCACUCAUCUUUAAUCUCCAAGUAAAAUUAGAUACAAAGCAAAUCUAAUAAAAUGACAAACAAACAAACAAAACAAAGAAAAGACAGGAGGCAAACAACAUUGAUCUUAAGCCAACUGAUAUUUAAACAGAGAAUUCUUUUCUUUUAUUUUUUUAACCACCUUUUGCUCAAGGAUUAGAGUUUUUAUAUUAACAGAAAGGUUUCAGGGGUCUGAAUAAAAGCCCACAAUUUCUCUAAUUGUUUUUUUUUUUUUUUUUUUGGGAAAAAUGGAUGCAAAUUAUCCAAAGCUAAUAAUAAGAACACAGACAUUACAAAUGAACAAUAACUUAAAACUCAAGCAAAAUAAAUGACAAGAUGAAAACAAACAAGAUAAAUUUUUUCUUGGAAAUUAGAUGGAAAUUAAGGACUGCUAGUAAAAGAUAUUAUUAGAUGAUUUAGAACAUGUGUACCUCUUUAAUUGUCUGGGAUCAAAGAAUUGAUGAGCUUCUCCAUUCGCAUUGAAUAUUAAGUAAGAACGGGUAUUCAAAGAAAUUAUUAGGAAAAAUUUUAAUGAGUAAAAGAUCACUGUUAACUGCAGACGAAUGUCCUAGUAAAAUGUUGAUUUGUGUAAUAACAAUGAAUUGCAAAAGAAGAAAACUUAAUCAUGCACCCCUUUUAUACCCGAGUUUUAAGAUUUAAUUUUUGAAGUUCAGAAUCAAGACCAAAAGCCGAAGCUUUAACAAGGCAUGCAGUGAGAUACAAGAAAUGGAUCGGGUAAAAUACUUUAAAAAAUGUUGUUCAACUCAAUUAACUUGAAGAAAGCACUAAUUUCAUAUGUUCUAAUGAAAUAAUCAAGUUAAAAGUUUUCAACGAAUAAAUACCUGUUGCGCUUGAAUAAUUUUGGCAUAUACAUUACUUGUAUCCUGUGAAAUUGAAAAGAAUAUUGAUAUGCAGAGCUUAUUAGUAGAGAGAAAGCUUUGUAAGAUGCCUGAUAAAAGAGAAACCAAAAGCUUGAAUGAGGAAUGACAUCUUAGAAAGAAACUAAACAUCAAAGUAGGAUCAAUAAUGACUUGAUUUAUGCUUUUUUGUUAUUUCAUUUGUUCUGUCAACAAAUGAUGCCUCGUUAUUACGAGUUCCAACCUGGACGUUAUGCACAAAUUGUUUUUAUGUUUAACAGAAAAAAAUGAAAGCAGGUCACCAUACAAAAUUGCAUGAACAAAUCUUCAAUUUAAUGAUUAUAAAAUAAAAUAAAUUUUAUUAAUAGAUUAUGGGUAUGUUAACGUUAGGGAUUUGAUCAGAUGAUCAUAUGAUUUACUAAACGCUUUAACAAGAACAAGAAAAAGAAUUAAUGGGUUAAAAAAAAUUUAAAAAUAAAAUAAGAGAGAAGUAAAGAACUUAUUUGCAAUUACCAAACUGAAAAAAUGCGAAAUGAAAACAAGGGAGCCCUGUUUUUCCUCACAUUUUUUUUCUCUCUUUUUCAAGUGGUGAGAAUGAUAGCAGAAAAUGCGAGCUCACUAUUUUCAUUUGUUGGCCUAAAAGCCUUCCUCCAAGAGAUGCAUAAAUUUUAUUUGUACAUUUGUUCCAUUUUAAGUACACAUUGUUGCAUGCAUUUUGAACUGUAUUAUCAAUCCUUUUUGUUUUCAGUUGGUUAGUUCAUAAUAACAAAUGAAUUAUAUUAUUUUGCAUGGAUCGAAAUUUAACUUUCCCUCUUUAUUUGUCCCACAACUAAAUAGUCUCAUCUUUUGUAGUAAGCUCGCAGUACGUACGGGGAACUACUGUAUGGGUGCUUUAGCCUAAAAUGAAGAUCUAUUAAAAAUUUCCCUAAUAUCAUGAUAUUAAACAUUAAAUAAUAUCAACAUUUUGACUUCCAUUUUGUUUUUUGGAUGGAGGAUGUUCCAUCUUCUAUUUUAGGUGCUUUGUAAGACUUUUAAUUGAACAAUUGAUGCAAUCAGUAACAAAGGCUUUACUUACAUAUGCAAGUAAAAUUUGCAGGUUGCUUCAGAAGAACGGGCAGUUCUCACUCAUCUUUAAUCUCCAAGUAAAAUUAGAUACAAAGCAAAUCUAAUAAAAUGACAAACAAACAAACAAAACAAAGAAAAGACAGGAGGCAAACAACAUUGAUCUUAAGCCAACUGAUAAUUAAACAGAGAAUUCUUUUUUUUUUUAACCUUUUGCUCAAGGAUUAGAGUUUUUACAUUAACAGAAAGGUUUCAGGGGUCUGAAUAAAAGCCCACAAUUUCUCUAUUUUAUUUUUAUUUUUAUUUUUUGAAAGGAGCUUCACUAUUGGCCUUGAACAUAUAAGAAUAAGCAAAAGAUCAAUGUCAACUGCAAAGGAAUGUGAGUAUGUCAAAGUCAUGGGCGGUUUGGCACCAUUAACAUAUUUCAAAAUGGCCACCCUAAUUGAAGGAAAUUAAAGGCCAAGUAGAUGCCGCCCAAGGAAAGAAACAAAAGAGAAUGAAGAAAAAGAAGAAAGAGAGAAGAAAAAGAGAUGUCGGGCCGAAGAAGGAAAAGAAAAGAAAAAUUAAUAAAAUAAUAAUAAUAAUUAAAUAUUAAACAAAUAGUAGCUAAUUUUGGCUAUAAAACCGCUAGCUCCCUUCAUUUGUAAAUCAUCUAGUUCUUCAGUUCUUUUCUUUAUUUAGAGAGCGAUUUUAAGAGUCUAGUGAUUUGAGAGUUUAGGUGUAUUGGGAUUUUGGGUAGUGAGCUAAAAUACCACAAUACUUGUAACUUCUUUUCACUAGUAAAAUACUUUCCUUCUGUUUUCACCUGUGAACGUAGGCUAAAAGCUGAACCACGUAAUUUCUUGUGUCUAUUUUUUGUACUUGUUCUUUAUUUUCUUCCAAUUUCACUUUAGCUGCGUGUUUGCUUCACUCACCAAUUUUGUAAUAGUGAAUCAGAGCUAUUAGUUGUAUUUUUUGGAGUCGGGUACUGUUCACGUAAGGGGUACUAUUCACGUAUAUGGCACUGUUCACGUAUACGGUACUAUUCACGUAAAACGAUGGGAGGAUCCAAGAAUUUUGCGGUGCAAAGCAGGGAAUAGUGGUGUGAGUAAAACAACUGUGUGGUUUUGUACAUGUCUAGGAAAGUUCUAUCACAAAGGCGAUAAGAGCUUAAGGAGUCUGGGUUUUAAGUGGGACCAUUGUGACCCCUCCAAUGUUUCCUGGGAACUUUCUUGGUGUGCAUUCUCACACAUACUCACAACUAUUCAAGGUGGUACACUUGCUUGUGUGCGGUAUUUAUCAAUAAAAUGGCGGCAAAGUAUGAAAUUGAGAAAUUUAACGGAAACAAUUUUUCAUUGUGGAAAAUGAAGAUGAAAGCUGUAUUGAGAAAAAAUAAUUGCUUAGCAGUAAUUGGAGAAAGGCUUUUGGAGAUAACUGAUGACAAGUGGAACGAGAUAGAUGGCAACACCAUUUCUGAUCUACACUUGGCACUUGCAGAUGGAGUAUUAUCUAGUGUGGCAGAGAAAAAUACAGCGAAGGAAAUAUGGGAUACUCUCACAAAAUUGUAUGAGGCUAAGUCACUACACAGCAAAAUCUUCUUAAAGAGGAAACUUUAUACUCUUCGAAUGGUGGAAUCUACAAUGGUGAUCGACCACAUCAACACCUUGAAGACUCUAUUUUCACAACUCACAACGUUGGGUCAUAAUAUAGAGGAGAAUAAACAUGUAGAGCUUGUACUUCAAAGUCUACCAAAUUCGUAUGAUCAACUCAUCAUCAACCUAACGAACAACAAUCCAGCGGAUAGUCUAGUUUUCGACGAUGUUGCAGCUUUCCUAUUAAAUGAGGAGAGCAGGCGAAAAAAUAAGAAAAACAGACAAGCAAUUUCGCAGCAAGCGGCGGUGCUAUCGGUGACGAGAGGGAGAUCAACGGAACGUGGCCCUAGUGGGAGUCAAAAUCAUAGUAAAUCAAAAUCCAGAAGUAAGAAGAAUGUUAAAUGCUACAACUGUGGCAAGAAAGGACACGUCAAGAAAGAGUAUUGGAGUAACUAGAAGAGAAAAGAGGAUAAAGAACCUGAGUCAUCAAAUGCUCAGGGGUGUGUAGCAAGUACCUCAGAUGAUAGCGAAAUUCUUUACACUGGGGCAAUAACUAUUUCAGAAGGCAGAAAACGACUAUCUAAUGUCUGGCUUAUAGACUCAGGAGCUACCUGGCACAUGACGGAGAGAAUGGUUCUAGACAUAUGAACCUAUCUCAGGAGGAUCUGUAUAUAUGUGAGAUGAUCAUGCCUUGGAGAUCGCUGGUAUUGGUACUAUCAAAAUAAAAAUAUUUGAUGGUACAAUUCGCACAAUUGGGGAGGUACGACAUGUCAAUGACCUGAAGAAAAAUCUAUUGUCUUUGGGACAAAUAGGCAGUUAUGGGUGCAAAACUCAUGUGGAGAAUGGAAUUAUGAAGAUUGUUAAAGGAGAGCUUGUAUUGAUGAAGGCAGAAAAGAUCGGUGCUAAUCUAUUCAUGCUUAAAGGAGAGUCACUACAGGAGGCUGAUGCGUGUGUCGCAUCAAAUGGAGAAGAGUUAAUGAUGAUGUGACAUCUCAAACUUGGCCACAUGUCGGAACAUUGUUUGAAGAUUCUCUCUGAGCGAAAAUUACUUCCAGGGCUUAAAUCGGUAAGUUUACCUUUUUGCGAGCAUUGUGUUACCAGUAAGCAGCAUAGAUUAAAAUUUAGUAGAUCUAUUCUAGAAGUAAAUAUAUUCUAGACUUGAUUCAUUCUGAUGUUUGGAAAUCACCGGAUAUAUCCAUGGGAGGUGCAAAGUACAUGGCGACUUUCAUUGAUAAUUAUUCCAGAAGAUGUUGUGUGUAUCUAAUUAAGAAAAAGUUAGAUGUAUUUCCAGUGUUUAAAGAAUACAAAGCGCGGGUGAAACUUGAAUCUGGUAAAAAGAUUAAGUGCUUGAGGACGGAUAAUGGUGGAGAGUAUACAGACGGCGAGUUUCUUGCUUUCUGUAAGCAAGAAGGUAUUUAGAGACAGUUCACCAUAGCAUACACUCCUCAACAAAACGGAGUGGCGGAGCGGAUGAACAGAACUCUUACAGAAAGAAUAAGAGCUAUGUUGAGGACUGCUGGUCUACCUAAUUCAUUCUGGGCAGAAGCAGCCAAAACUGCUUGUUAUAUAGUAAAUCGGUUGCCAUCUACAGCUAUUAGGCUAAAGACAACGAUGGAGAUGUGGACUGGAAAGCCAACUGAUUAUUCCUACCUACAUGCAUUUAAAUGUCCUGUGUACGUGAUGUACAAUGCCCAAGAAAGAACAAAGCUGGAUCCAAAAUCUAGAAUAUGUAUCUUCUUGAGAUAUGCUGAUGGAAUAAAGGGGUAUCGUCUGUGGGACCCCACUGCCCACAAGAUCGUUAUCAGCAGAGAUGUUAUCUUCAUAGAAGAUCAACUGCAAAGGAAAGAUGAAGAUGAUAGUAGUGUAAAAGAAAAGUCAGAGACUAUACCGGUAUAUGUGGAAAAUAAUCCAUAAGAUUCAGAUUCUUCUGAAGCAGAACCAGAGCACGAGCAACAAAAACCAGUCGAGUCUGAGGCUCCAGAAGUUCGUCGGUCAACUCGUGAGAGACGACCGCCAAUGUGGCACUCGGAGUAUGUUACAGAGAUCAACGUUGCAUACUGUCUUCUAAUAGAGGAUAGAGAGCCUUUAACUUUCCAUCAAGCUUUAGAAAGCUCAGAUGUUGCUUUGUGGAUGACAGCAAUGCAGGAAGAAAUAAAGCUCUACAUAAUAACAAGACAUGAGAACUUGUACCACUACCACGUGGAAGAAAAGCCAUUGGAAACAAAUGGGUCUACAAAAUCAAACGUGAAGGCAAUGACCAAGUAGAGCGGUGUCGUGCGAGAUUGGUGGUGAAAGGAUAUGCUCAGAAAGAAGGUAUUGACUUCAACGAGAUAUUUUCGCCGGUGGUUUGCCUCACGACGGUCAGAGUAGUCUUGGCAAUGUGUGCUACAUUUGACCUACAUUUAGAGCAGUUAGAUGUGAAAACUACAUUUCUUCAUGGAGAACUUGAAGAAGAAAUAUAUAUGCUCCAACCAGAAGGUUUUGCAGAAACAGGAAAAGAGAACUUGGUUUGCAGGUUGAACAAAUCUUUAUUCGGUCUCAAACAGGCGCUGAGGUGUUGGUAUAAGAGAUUUGAUUCCUUUAUCAUGAGCCUUGGAUACAACAGACUCAGUUCAUACCAUUGUGCAUAUUAUAAAAGGUUUGCAGAUAAUGAUUUCAUUAUUUUACUAUUGUAUGUGGAUGACAUGUUGGUAGCAGGCCCUAACAAAGAUCGAAUCCAAGAAUUGAAGGCACAGUUGGCUAGGGAGUUUGAAAUGAAGGACUUGGGACCAGCAAACAAGAUUUUAGGAAUGCAAAUUCACCGAGACAUAAAUAACAGGAAGAUUUGGCUUUAGCAGAAGAAUUACUUGAAGAAAAUCUUGUGGCGCUUCAACAUGCAAGAUUGUAAGUCAAUUUCUACCCCACUUCCUGUUAAUUUCAAAUUAUCCUCAAGUAUGUGUCCUAGCAAUGAAGCAGAGAGGAAGGAGAUGUCUCGAGUACCGUAUGCAUCAGUAGUGGGAAGUUUAAUGUUCGCUAUGAUAUGUACUAGACCAGACAUUGCACAAGUAGUGGGAGCAGUCAGUCGAUACAUGGCGAAUCCCGGUGGAGAGCAUUGGAUAGUUGUGAAGAGGAUUCUGAGAUACAUCAAAGGAACCUCAGAUGUUGCAUUAUGUUACGUAGGAUCAGAGUUUACUGUCAAGGGCUAUGUGGAUUCAGAUUUUGCAGGAGAUCUUGAUAAAAGAAAAUCCACUACUAGUUAUGUGUUUACACUUGCGGGAGCAGCUGUAAGCUGGGUUUCGAAACUGCAGACUGUUGUGGCUUUAUCUACAAUAGAAGCAUAAUACAUGGCAGCUACACAAGCUUGCGAGGAAGCUAUUUGGAUACAAAGAUUAUUGGAGGAGCUCGGGCACAAACAAGAGAAAAAUUAUGUGUUUUGUGACAGUCAGAGUGUCUUUCACAUUGCAAGAAAUCCAGCCUUUUAUUCCAAGACAAAGCAUAUAGGAGUUCAGUAUCACUUCGUUCGAGAAGUAGUGGAAGAUGGAAAUAUGGAUUUACAGAAAAUCCAUACGAAGGAGAACCUAGCAGAUGUUUUGACUAAGCCGAUAAAUGCUGACAAGUUUAUCUGGAGUAGAUCUUCUUGUGGCCUAGCAGAAACGUAGGCAACAUGAUUAUGGCGAAGCAGAAAGGAUGUUGUGGACAUUGAUUGAUUCUCAAUCUAAUCUCCAGGUGGGAGAAUGUCAAAGUCAUGGGCGGUUUAGCAUCAUUAACAUAUUUCAAAAUGGCCACCCAAAUUGAAGGAAAUUAAAGGCCAAGUAGAUGCCGCCCAAGGAAAGAAACAAAAGAAAAAGAAGAAAAAGAAGAAAGAGAGAAGAAAAAGAGAUGUCAGGUCGAAGAAGGAAAAGAAAAGAAAAAUUAAUAAAAUAAUAAUAAUAAUUAAAUAUUAAAUGAACGGUAGCUAAUUUUGGCUAUAAAACCGCUGGCUCCCUUCAUUUGUAAAUCAUCGAGUUCUUCAGUUCUUUUCUUUAUUUAAAGAGUGAUUUUAAGAGUCUAGUGAUUUGAGAGUUUGGGUGUAUUGGGAUUUUGGGUAGUAAGCUAAAAUACCACAAUACUUGUAAAUCAUUUUCACUAGUAAAAUAUUUUCCUCAUGUUUUCGCCCGUGGACGUAGGCUAAAAGUCGAACCACGUAAUUUCUUGUGUCCAUUUUUUGUGCUUGUUCUUUAUUUUUUUUCCAAUUUCACUUUAUCUGCAUGUCUGCUUCACCCACCAAGUUCCUAACAGAGUAAAGAUUUCAUCAGAGUAAGUAAUACAAAUGAAUUGUAAAAGAACAAGACUUAAGCGUGCACCCCGUGUUUUGUUUUAUUCGUAUAAACAUAACAUGUUCAUUUUUAACAAAGUGGUCAAUAACUCUAUUCGCUAUGAAAAUGAUAUUGUACCCAAUUUUAAGAGAGCAUAACAAUAACCAUUCAAUGCAUAAAUUUAGAAUUUUUUUUUUGUAAUUCUUUAUUUAAAUAUAAACGUCGAUGGAAAAUUAUAAAAAUUUAGAUAUGAAAUUUUAAGUCACCAGACAAAAAAAAAAAAAAAAAAAAGGGGAACAGAAAUAGAGGAAUCUUGCUUUACCUUUUUUUUUUUUUCCUUUAACUCUUGUUCUUAUAUAAAUAAUCUUGUUUUGAUGAUUGUAACUCGUGACUGCGGGAAAUUUUCUAAUGGAAACAACUAAUUUCGGAAGAUAAGCUUAAUUACGCAAGUGAUGAAUUUGUUCAAUUGACUCUGUACUUGAACUAGUUGGAUUGGUUGAUUGAUGAUUGACUAAAUUUGAAUUAAGUUUAAUAGCUAUGAUGUGCUCCUUAAAAGCAAACGUAAAUCUUUUUUAGAUUUGACUGAAUUUGGGAACCUGUUGGAUUGAUUGUUUUUAGAUCAUUAAUAUCGGUUACUACAACGUAAAUAUUUUAUUGUGGUUGAGUCCUAUUCUCAAAUCAGUAGGUUGCCUUAGAAAAAGGGCUUUUCUCACUGAUCUUUUUUUUUUCUUUAAUUCACACGCACUUGAUUAUUGACUUCUUUCAUGAAGAAAUAAACUUGUAAUGACUUAAAGAUUUAAUUUCAAGUUAGAAUCAAUACCAAAAGACGGAGGUUUAACAAAGCCGUUUAGUGUGAUAAAAGUACUUUAAAAAAUGUUGUUCGACCCAAUUAAGUUGAAGAAAUAACAAAGUUUUCAUGGAAUAAAUACCGGUUGUGCUUUAAUGAUUUUGGCAUAGACAUUGCUUGUGUACUGUGAAAUCGAAAUGAAUUACUGUGAAAUUGAAAUGAAUAUUAAGUGACAGCGCGAUGUAUAUGCCUAAUAAAAGAUCAGCAAAAGCUUGGAUGAAUGAUUGAGGACCAAAACUUUUAUAAAAGCAUUUUUGAGAGAAACUAAACACCAAAUUAUCAAAGUAAGAUCAACAGUAUAUGAUUUGAUUUAUACAUAUUCAAAAACAAAAUAAUGAUUAAUAAUAAAGUUUGAUUUUGUAUUGCCAACGAUGCUUUUUUGUUGUUUCAUUUGUUCGACGUGGCCUUAUUUACAAAUUGGUUUAUGUUAACAGAAACAUAAAAUUCACAUCACACAAAAUUCCACGAACAAAUAUUAAGAGAACGUAAUAAUAAUCACUCAAUGCAUAAGGGUAAAUUUAGAAUUACAUAUUCUUUUUUAUUUAAUAAAAUCCCAACGGGAAGUCAUAAAAAUUUAGAUAUAAAAUUUUCAAUCACCAAACAAAAAAACAGGGGGAAUGAAAACACAGAAAACUUAUUUUAACUUUUUUUUCAUCUAACUCUUGUUCUUAUAUAAUAUUUUCCCUAGUAUUUCAGGCAAAAAAAAAAAAUCAAUAGAGAGCAAGUUGCUCAAAUUGAUUUAUCUUGUUUUUCAGGCAAUCUUGUGAUAUGAUGAUAAAGCUCAUGAAUGCUAGAAAACUUCUAAUGCAAACAACUCUAUUUGGGAUGAUAAGCUUAAUUUUACAAGCGAUAAAUAUAAAUAACUUUUUGUGGUUAAUUGAAUUUGUAAUUACUCUUAGCCCUAUUCUAAAAUUUGUAGGCUGCUUCAGAAAAGAAAAAAAAAAAUUCUUACUCAUCUUUAAUCUUCAAGUAAAAAGCAAAUCUAAUAAAAUGAAAAACAAACAAACAAGUAAAAGACAGCAAACAAACAACAUUUAACCAACUGAUAUUUAAACAAGGAAUUCUUUCUUCUUCCUUUUUCUUCCCCCCCCCCCCCCCCCCCCCGGGGCUCAUGGAUUAGAGUUUUUGCUAUUAACUGAAAGGUUUCAAGGGUCUGAAUAAAAUCCCAGACUUUUUUUUUUAAUUAACCAAAGCCAUAUAAUAAGAUCACAGACUUUAACAAUGAACAAUAAUUUGAAACUCAAGCAAAACCAAUGACAAGAUUAAAACAAACCAGAGAAAUUUUUUCUUGGAAAGUAGAUGAAAACUAAGUAAGAACUGCUAUUAAAGGAUAUUAUUAAAGGAUUUAGAACAUGUAUACCUCUUUAUUUAUAUGGGAUCAGAGAGUCGAUGACCUCCUCUAUUCGCUUCGGAUAUUAAGUAAGAACUGCUAUCAAAAGAAUGAAUUGAUGAGAGAAAUAACAGUGAAUUGCAAAAGAGGAAGACUUAAUCACGUACCCCUAUUAUACCCGAUUUUUAAGAUUUAAUUUUGAAGUCCAGAAUCAAGACAAAAGACGAAGCCUUAAAAAAUAUGCAGUGAGAAUAAUUAAGUUGAAGAAAGCACUAGUUUAUGGCUCAGUGUUUCAUAUGCUGUAAUGAAAUAAUUAAGUUGAAGUUUUUAACGAAUAAAUACAUGUUGUGCUAGAAUAAUUUUAGAAGAAUAUUGGCUUAUAGAGCAUAUUAGUAGGGAUAAGAUAGAAUAAAUGAAAUAAUAAAAAGCAUAACUGAUCAAGUCAUUAUUGAUCUUACUUUGAUUAUUACAUUGCACAUUAGUUUCUUUCUAAAAAUGUCAUUCUUCAUUCAAGCUUUUGCUUUAUCUUUUAUCAGGCAUCCUACUGUUGAUGCCCAAAUCUGAUCUAGUCUAUUAGUGACUUAAUAUCAGACUUCUACACUAGCAUUAGAUUUAUUUGGUAGAGAAUCGAUUGGUCAAUUGUCAAGAUGUCCUGCAACCACUAGCGAUUAACCUGCGAAUACCUGAAAUCAUAGAAGACGGUCAGAGGCGCUGGAAGUUUUUCCGGCGUGAACCCUCUAACGCUCAAGUCAGUUUCUGGGCCUUUGCCAAAAAACUUGUGCCACCACUCAUAUGGCUUAAUAAACAUUAACUUAAAAACCAAAAGCUUUUUGAGUAACUUGCAGAAAAAUGAAAUAGAGUGUAAAAGAAAGGAUUUUCCAUGAGAAGAAGAGAGAAAAAGAUGCCUUACAGACCCCGAAAAAAUAAAUAAAUCCUCCUUUUAAGGUCACGCCCCACUCCCCUCUUUUCCCCUUUGUUCUCCUCCACUUACGGAAGUUAAGGAUGAGUAAAAGUAAUGCCUCUACUCUCCAUUUUUUUCUCCUUUUUCCGUUACCAAACACUAGUCCCCCAGUUUCUAGUGUUGAGAGUUUUAACGAAUCAAGACUGGAAACUAUAUGAAUUUUAAAGUGACCUUGAUGUGGUUGGCAUAAAUCGGCUCGGGAUUGCUAAAAUUAACCUUACUAUUUGCAAAAAAUUUCAAGUUUUAAACUUUUACAUGCCUUUAAAUAUACCAUUUUCCUACUUGCAUAAUCAUGUAAAGCAGGUUUCAUAAGUUCACGUAUUUAUCUCACCUAAAGUAGGUUUUGAGACUUAGUCAUUUAUCUGCUUUAGAAUAUUUUUCACUCAUAUAACUCUUGCUCGCCUAAUCUUGGUCGGGCAAGAGCAGGCAAACUUUGACUUCAUCUCACUGCGAGGAGGUUUAAAGACUGUAAGCCUUUUACUUGAAGUACCCUUUGUUUUUUUUUUUUUUAACUUUCUGCUCGCCUUCACAUGGUUGAGCAGAUUCUGGCAAGCUUGAUUUCUUAUCUCGCCAUCGAGCAGACUUUGAGACUUUAAAGUCUUUUGUGUGCCUUAGAAACUUUCUUGGGAUUUUUGUUCUCUGCUCGCCUUUACAUGGUCGAGCAGAUUCUGGCGAGCUUGGCUUCCUGUCUCGCCAUCAAGGAGGCUUUGCGACUUUGGAGCCUUUGCUUGCCUUAGAAACUUUUUUGGAACUUUUGUGGUCUGCUCGCCUUCGCUUAGUCGAGCAGAUCCUGGCAUGCUUGGCUUCCUGUCUUGCCAUAAAAUAGGCUUUGAGACUUUGGAGCCUUUGCUUGCCUUAGAAACUUUUUUGGAAUUCUCAUUUUUUGCUCGCCUUCACAUGGUCGAGCAGAUUCUGGCGAGCUUGGCUUCCUGUCUCGCCAUUGAGGAGGCUUUGAGACUUUGAAGCCUUUGCUUGCCUUAGAAACUUUUUUGGAACUUUUGUGGUCUGCUCGCCUUCGCUUGGUCGAGCAGAUCCUGGCAUGCUUGGCUUCCUGUCUCGCCAUAAAAUAGGCUUUGAGGCUUUGGAGCCUUUGCUUGCCUUAGAAACUUUUUUGGAACUUUUGUGGUCUGCUCGCCUUCGCUUGGUCGAGCAGAUCCUGGUAUGCUUGGCUUCCUGUCUCACCAUAAAACAGGCUUUGAGACUUUGGAGCCUUUGCGUGCCUUAGAAGAUUUUUGAAACUUUUUUGGUCUGCUCGCUUUCGCUUGGUCGAGCAGAUCCUGGCAUGCUUGGCUUCCUGUCUCACCAUAAAACAGGCUUUGAGACUUUGGAGCCUUUGCGUGCCUUAGAAGAUUUUUGAAACUUUUUUGGUCUGCUCGCCUUCGCUUGGUUGAGCAGAUCCUGGCAUGCUUGGCUUCCUGUCUCGCCAUAAAACAGGCUUUGAGACUUUGGAGCCUUUGCGUGCCUUAGAAGAUUUUUGAAACUUUUUUGGUCUGCUCGCCUUCGCUUGGUCGAGCAGAUCCUGGCAUGCUUGCUUCCUGUCUCGCCAUAAAACAGGCUUUGAGACUUUGGAGCCUUUGCGUGCCUUAGAAGAUUUUUGAAACUUUUUUGGUCUGCUCGCCUUCGCUUGGUCGAGCAGAUCCUGGCAUGCUUGCUUCCUGUCUCGCCAUAAAACAGGCUUUGAGACUUUGGAGCCUUUGCGUGCCUUAGAAGAUUUUUGAAACUUUUUUGGUCUGCUCGCCUUCGCUUGGUCGAGUAAAUGUGGCUUCCUGUCUCGCCAUAAAACAAGCUUUGAGACUUUAGAGCCUUUGCGUGAUGAUGGGUGUCGAAGCCAACAAAAAUAAAUUCCUACUCUAAAUAAAUUGUGUAUAGUGAUUGAGCAGGGUCGUGUCCACAGAGAUCGGUAAUUAUUUAAAUCCUUUUGAAACGUAAAAAUAAAAUGGGGGUUUUGUUGACAAUAAUAAAAAUCAAAUUAAAAUAACGAGAAUGCAAAUUAAAGUUGUAAUUCAAAUUGGAGAAAGCUCUGGUUGAAGGAAUUAACUCAGCUUGAUUCGACUACUGAUCAUUGAUUCAAAUAAAGAUUAUUAUUACUUAUGAAUAGACCGGUUAUAGCUAUUGAGACCCUCUAAUAGCCAAUCUCUCCUUAACUAGUCGAUAACCAAGGUACGACCGUUGGAUAUUUCCCUAAUCAAAUAGACAACCCUAGAUACGAUCAUAAGAUUUAAUCAAUUGACAGCCUGAAAAACCAGAGAGACCCAAAUCCUAAUCAACACAUAUGAUGAUUCAUUUAAAUUAGAUUGUUUAUUCUCACAACACAACUCUCUGCUAUGUUAUUUGUCACAAAUAUUAAAUUCUUCAUACGAUGAAUCCUUUAAUUGACAAUAGAUUAAGUUGAUAAUUAAAUAGUGGCCAAUUACCUAAUUAACAAACAUAAUCAUGAAACUAAUUCAGAGAAUAAACAAAUACCCAAAGAGCAAUAAAACAAUUAAAGCACAAGAAAGAUCUCACAGUAGUGAUGAAUCAAAGCUUCAUUAUCCUUCAACCAGAAAAUAAGUUUAGUUCUCCAUAGAGAGAAGAGAAAAAUUAGCUCUAGGGUUUCUUUCUUUUUCUCCAAUCCCAAAAAAUCCCCCUUUUCACAAUAGAUUCCUCCCUUAAAUACUCUCUCUCUCUUCUCUUUUAGAGUUCUAUUUAAAAUAAAAUACUAAUAUUUGAAAUAUUAAAUUCGUAAUAAAAAAAUAGCCAAAAAUACAAAACACGUUAAACUAAAAACUGCAAGUCCGCAGUUGACAGCACGCGCCCACGCCUUAUCAACAAAGUUCUUCUGCCGCUCAUAAUUUCUCCAAGAAAACAAUCAUCCUUAAACAUCAUCUUAUAGCUCAAUUUUAUCACCAAUCAAUAGAAUUGCACCUACAAAAGUAAAACACAAGUAAAUCACUAUUAUUAAAUGCAAAACAUCGAUAUUAAGGGAAGUAAACAAUGCAAAACUAGUGCAUAAAUUGCACUCUAACACGUGCCUUCAAUGUGCUCUUAUUUGAGGUUUUUGCUUUAAAUCCUUACAUAUGGAUAACCAUCAAAAAUUUAAUUUCGGACUUGUAACUUAUAACUUGUCCAGAAAAUAGCUCUCAUUUACAACUUGCGCUUUAGCUAUUUAUAUAUGUUUGGGCCUUUGAUGGAUAAACAUCCUUGGUGUUUUUAUUACCAUCUAUAAUAUUUGGUUAGCAAUAUUAUUAAAGACCUUUGCUAAAG
rnacentral:lncRNA from 1 species